AUCGCAGCCAUCAUAACUAGUCCCAGGAAAAAAUACAACUAAGUUUGUAGUGUGGAAAGGCUUUGCUGUUCUGCUUCCCAUGGGAAUAAGUUUGACACCUAGAGGAUACUCCUGCAUAAUAAGAAGGAUACCACUUCCUUGAAGAACAGUGAUUUUAUUUAAGCAAUAUAAACAAAACAUCAACAUCAACAUCAACAAAGUGAAAUUGCAUGUACAUAUUUAAGUCUGACUAAAAUUUCAGCCAUUAAAGAAAAUUGAAUCGCUCCAGACGCUUUUGAGUUUAUAGUUGAACGACAGAAAAUGUCAAGAGACAAGAUUUGGACUUAUCUCGAGCAAGAUUUUUACAAAUAUCUGAACUUUUCUAAGUUAAUGACAUGUAAUUUAGGAUAAGCAUAAUUGAGUGAAGCAUGAUGUGUAUAACAUAGAACUCUGUAGAGUCCAUAUCCCACAUAGACACUAAGCCAGUGCAAAUGCUUCUACUAUUCUAGUUGUUCAUGUAACCCAUUAAAACCUUAAGCGACAGUUGAAAGUAAGGGCUUUGGUUCAGGCCUGCAUUAGUUUCUAAAAAAUAAAGUUCCAACACUAGGAUUGGAAACAAUGAAAUUCUCCGGCUGCAAUCAGUUUUCCAAUGCCUAUGCCACCAUCAAUAAUUGUGUCACAUAUAAGAUAAUUAUUGACUAUUUAUCCCAGAUCACGACCACUGCAUCAAAAAAGAUAAUUAAUAAGAAGAGAAAGGGAAAAGAUGCUGAGGACCUGAUGGCAAAAUAUUCCAAUCUUGACAUUUUCCACAUUGCAGAGAUUGGAGUGAUAACUGAAACUUGCUUUCCAUUAUCUCUUAUUUGCAAAGUCCAAGUUCCCACAGCAAACAACAUGACAGGGGAUUUUAAUCCAAUAGUAGGAUGAUUGAACUAUGAAAACAAAUAUUAUAGGACUUGAAUUAUUGAAAAAUCAGUUUUCUUAAAGAUCGGGUUGGUUUUCAAUCCAACAUUAUCAUUACCCAAGCUCAUAAAGGUCCAUACUGGAAAUUGGGGGGGGGGGGGUAUUAUGAUACGGAGAUUGAUUUAGCUCACAGAACCCAAUCAAUACCGCAAAAAACAAACCUGACAUCUCAAAGUGGAAGAGAUUUGCAAUUUUACAGAUUUCAUUGAAUCAUUCAGAUAACCAAUAAAAAUUAGUGGUCCUAUACGAUCAUUAUGAGGCUUCACUUCAAUAAGCAUAUCAUUGCAGCCUUUGGAGCUCAUCCACUUACAGAUAUCUGCAUGUACGUACAACAUAAAUUAUUUAAGCCUCAAAGAAAUGACUAACUAUCAAUGAAAGCAUUUAUAGAUAAUUCUCUUUUCUAUUCAGAAGAAAGUCUCUUUUUAUGAAACUAAAAGAUGUGUUAUAAAAAUGUUAAAAAAAUACUUUAUAGAGGCAAUAUUGCAAAUCCAACAUGCCCUAUACAUGAUAGCCAGCAAUUAUUUACUUUAUAAGAUGAAAGCAAUAAAAUCACAUUUUAUUGUUGCCUAAGCCGGUUGUCGCAAGCACUUAGUAAAGUUGUGUUUAUGAGUCUAAAUGAAAUUGAAGUGAUAUAUUGUCAUUAAAUGAAGAAUUAGCUCCAUCAAAAGAAGGUUUAAAUAUUUUUUUUCCGAUAAAUGUAGAAUAAAAAGGAGUUUAUCUUUAUAAACCCCAGCAAAAUGGUGCAUGGAAUCGUACAAAUUUACGCUCUUAAAAUCCCUGAUAUCGGGAAAUUGCUGUCAAAUGUAUCUACAAUAACAUGAUCAGACCUUUUAAUUUCCCAUCAUGGGGUCCCAAUUUUCCAACAAGAUACAUAAUCUUAAAUGGGAUUCCAGGACCAAAUUCAGGCUCUUCUACAUACUUCAAAAACUUCCACUUUACCUCACUGGCUGUCCCAAGUACCACUUGAUUCAGCACCUAUACCAAAGUCAUUAAAAAUAAAUAUAACAGACCAACACUAUCUACAUAUGAUUUUCAGGACUUGUAAUGUAUUCUCAAUAACUACUAGUGGUACUAACUCCAACAUAUACAAACAAGAAAAAUAAGUAUGAAAAUCCAGAAUUUUUUUAACAUACUCAGAAAAAAAUAUUCAGCAAUAGCAAACAAAAUUUUCUAAGAGGAACGGACCAUGAUAUAUAAUCAAAGCCAUCCAAUUACUAUGAGGACAAAACUUUUUUUGAUAUGACAAGGGAAAGGAAAUGAAAAACACGGUGGACUCAGACCAAUACAGGGAGCUAAUAAAUUGUUCUUUUAUCAUCAUUCAUCAGCAGUCUGUUUCAGAUGAGAAAAUACAGGUUGCAAAUAAUCAGUUUAAACAUGAUCAGUCUUAUAUGAGAUUAAAAAUGAGCACAUUCUUUCCCUUUAUAUAAGGAAAAGGAAAAUACAUGAUAACCUAAUUGAAUUAAGUCUCAGUAAAUUCAACAUAACCAUUUGAAAUUUCAGUAAAGAAAUACCAGAUUUUUUGAAUAAAUUACAUAUGGAACCUCCCUAAAAUGGGGACCUAGAUGUACUUUUAAAAGUGUUCCAUAUCGGGCUCAUCUCAGCCUCUUCUCGUACUCGUUUGUUUUCAUGAACUAGCCAAAUUAUUUUAUUACUUUGACAGCUAAUGUGUUCAAAAUUUUAACUUGUCUAGGAUGGAGCACUGUGCAUAUUCGGCUCAAAUGAACUAGAAUGAUCCAAGCUUGUGUUGAAGAUUUGUCGUUCAAAAUCAACAAUUAAUGUGUAUGGAACGAAAAUGGGGAGUUAGGCUAAAAAUUGGGCCCAAGAUACUACCAUACGACCGCAUGGUUAUCUUGUCCAUGCGGUCGCAUGGCCAUUUACCGAGGCCAAAGGGCCUCGGUUGGUUUGAACCACGUGACCGCAUGGUACAAUCUUUUGGCCGUUGGAGGCCGUUUUCUCCCGUUGAAAAUUUAAAUUUGGUGACUUUUGGCUUAUAGUUUGGUAUCAUUUCGUGAAUGGGGUGUAGGCCUAUAUAUAUUGGAUCAAGGUUGAAGGCAAAUACAUCAUCAAAAAAUCAAGGUUCCAUAUUACUUCCAAAAUCAAAGAUAAAGUCUUUUAAAUCCAUAUUCAAUAUUCAUCCCUUAUGUUCUUCAAGUUUUCUAAGAUUUGCACUUGUGCUUUGGUGCUUAAAUCCUUGCAAGACUUGUUAUAAUCUUGUAAAUCAUUUGCCAACAACCUUCGAAGCAUCUCAAAUUCAUAGGAGAAGGGACAAAAAUCAUUUGAGGACAACGAUAUCGUGUUCAAGCUAUUCAUUGAUACAAGUUCGUGAUUGUUUUGUUAUUAGUGUUGUCGGUUUGUGUUUCGUGAUUUCUACUCUAACCCAGUAAAAUUUCUACAAGAGCUUGCUUAGUAAGUAUGUUGACAAUCAUUUUGAACCUAAUAUAGGGGGCAAUUUCCCCUCCCCAACCACUCUUUUAAGGCUCAAACUAAAAGGUAGAGUUGAACCUCAACAAUUAGGUUGCGUUUGCUUGACACAUUAUAUUAUUGUCAUAUUUCAGCGUAGCAUAUAAUUAGAGUUAAUUUCGAAAUGACGUUCAAUAAUAAACAGGACCUCUGCAAAUCCUAAGCCAAAGUAAAGGAUGAAUGUGUUGUGCUAGGAAUCAAAUUUUAUUUUAUGGGAAAUGGGAAAGACAGACCAUUAGUAACGAUUGUGUUACACCCCUCACCAACUACCUCCGCGCAUCAAGUCCACUAACCUCGGCGCGUCAGAUCCACUCUCCAACGAGGUGCCACGUGUCAAUUCGAGACGUCACCAAAGUGAUAUACACCUCACCCGAACCUCAAGCUGACGUGCUGUGAGGCACAGACACUACCUAAGUGAUAUUUUUCGAGGCGUCCUUUGAUACCGAAGUGUGAGGAGACGAGGCUCCUUCGCCGCCAGUUUUAGAGAUGUAUCAGUGUCAGGAUCUCCUUAUCUUUAUGAAUUGAUUAAUGCGACAUCUCAGCCUUAUGUCAACUCACAUAUCUAAAGAAUAUAUUAUCUGCCCCUAGGAUGCCACUGAUUGACGCCUACGAGCAGAUGCCUCACGCCGUCAGAUGCAUACUGGUGUCCACAUCCAGCGGUGCCCUUUGCCUAUAAUUACCAAAGGCUUCGCAAGAGACAAAGGUAAUCUCUCUAAUUCUAGGCACGAUAUAUCUACUAAAAAAUAAAAAAUCCCCUCACACGAAGCUUAGUGUGUUCAGUUGAUGCUCCGUCUGGCACGAAGCAGCAGCCAUGGUGACCCAAAAAUGGUUUUUUAUCAUUUUCACUAAAUUUUUUCCUUCCGUAACCGUGUAAAUACUUUUUUGGCUCAACAUAUAUAUAUAUAUAUAUAUAUAUAUAUAUAUACCUUCUCUCCACUCUCUUGCACAAUUUUGCUACCACCCUAUCACCGUCCACUGACUUGACUAUCGGAGUGUACGUGGCCGCCACUACCUCCACUGGCGUCAGCCGUGUACGUCUGACUGUUUGCUCUUGUGUGCAGGGAGGAACACAUGGAGUGUCUCUCAGUUGGCCACGUGGAAAGUCUAAUUCAUGAGGUCAACAUAUUAGCACUGUUUGUGGGAACUUCUAUUCUAAAGCUUCCUGUUAACCACCGAAAAAAGCCGCUGAAGAAUUGGCAACCUUCCCCUUGAAAAAGGAACAUUCUUGAAAAAGAACCAAAGUGAAAAGUUAGCAAUCUAGUCCUGAACACCCUUGGAAAAGAAGCUACAAAAUAAGUUCCAGCAAUGAGGACGCAACUCCUGAAAGACCAAGGGACACCUUUGAAGAAGAGGUGCAUCUCUGUACAAAUAUCACCCAUCGCAGACCUCACCACCGACACCGUCGAGGUGGUGGGACGACAGCAACGCUCACUGCAUGAAUGGCUCAAAUAGCUGCAGGUAUGAGGGACAUUGUAGCCCAGCAUAAGGCGAUGCAUGAAUUCUUCAUACAGGCUCAAGGCCAGCAAGGCGACCAAAUGCCACAAAGGUCCCACCCAGUUCAAGGGAAACUUCCUACGUCUCUUGGUCGAAGCCAUUUGAGUCAUCAAAAAGAGCCCCGUAUUGAAAGAGAAGUGGGGUAGAUAUCACUUCACAAGACGCCCAGACAGCAAAAACCCAGCUAGGGAACAUUUCACCAGAAUAUGAGCCACAGAGGUCAAUCAGUGUUUUUGACCGAAUAGGGCAAAACCCUAGUAGCAGGAUUCGCUCCGUACAACAACCAGCUCAACAAGAUCAACAACAAGAUCAAGCACCCCCUUCACUUAGGAAUAGGUGUAAGAGGAAAAACUUUGUAGAUUGGGGAAGUCAAGGAGGGGUAUCUCCACUUCCCUAAAAUAUGUCAGGUGAGGAUGACUCUGAAGGGCCAUGUUGAUCCUAUGAGAUAGACGAUGACGAUGAUGACCUUCCAUUUUCCAAAAAAUUCGGAGCUUCCUAAUGCCUGCGAAUUUCAUGUUCCCUAAAAUUUCCAAGUAUGAAGGAAAAGGAGACCCUGAAAAGCACCUUACCAAAUACAUGACUCAAAUGAGUCUGAGAGGAGCCUCGCCAACAUUAAAGUACAGGGCCUUUCAUCUAACACUUGCUAGAGCUGCCGAACUGUGGUACAAUUAGCUACAACCUUUGAGCAUUAGAAGUUGGCCCAACCUAAAGAAGGACUUUCUGAACCAGUACUUCUCACGAAGGGAAGGAGAGGCCCCAGUGCAAUGCUUGCAAGAUAUUAGACAAGCUCCUGGAGAGAUACUCAAAAGCUACCUCACCAAAUUCACUGACAAAAUAACCUAUUGUGAGAAAGUUACAGAUGAGAAGCUCUUUCAGCCCUAAAAGGAGGCCUCAAUAUGAACAUUUUGUUUGGUGAGAAGUGUAAAGCAAGAAUCAGGCUAUUCACAACGAGCUAGUAGAGAUGAUGAGAGUGGAGAUCGUCAUUGAAGAGAUGAUUGACCACCAAAAUCGUACAGCCCAGGGACUUCCAUCUCCUCAAAGGUAGGUAGGUUGAGGACCGAUAGCGCACCUCGUUACCCAGCAAUAGACCCAACCCGGACAUACAGUAGCUUCUACGUUCAGACAAUCUUUAGCCUUCGGCACACUUAAUCCAAUACCAGUGUUGACAUAUGAAGAUACAAAUCAAGAAGCGGGAUCAUCCGGAGGGAGGGCAUAGGAAUCGGGGUAAGAAAAAAUAGGCAAACCAACCCUUAGAAGGAGCAAAGUACUGUACCUUCUAUCGUUUCUACGAUUAUGACACCAACGAAUGUAGAGACGCUCCUCGAUCCUCAUAGAGUAGUAACCCCCAUUUUUGUAGAGGGGACCAAUAUCAUGAAUAUCACCGGUGGUCCACCUCGCCCAAUAGAGAUGCAAGGUGAUAGAGGGAUCGUGCACCUCAGAGCAGGGAAAUAGAAAAUAAGACUCGAUGGGAAUCUAGGCAGAGAAAUUAGGCUUCCUAAGUACCAAUCAUAGGAUGUCCUCAUGUCAGAGGAUGCCCUCAUGUCAAAGGAAACACUCGAAAUACGCAGAGAAACUGUGCUAGGGAGGCGAAGAACACUCCAAUGACUAGCUAAGUUGUCAACCAGUCCCAAGAAGCAAAUAGGAUGGCACUAAUUACUUUCUCCCUAGACGAGCACCAGGUGUACAUCACCUUUAUUGUGAUGUAUUGGUGGUAAGAGCCAUAGUAGCCCGGAAUGGACUGAAGUGCAUGUUUGUUGACAAUGAAAUUUCGAUGAACCUACUAUUUGGCUCAACAUUUAAUAAAAUGCAAAUUGAGCAUGGCUUGAUCCACAUUAUCGUCCCACUAUACAGAUUCACUGAUGAUGGCAUUGUCCCACGAGGACGGAUAACUUUAGUUGUUGGGAUGGAGUAAGCCUUUUUAGUGGCCCACCACUUCAUGGAAUUCUUGGUGGUAGACCAUAGAUCAGCUUACCAUGGAAUACUAGGCCGACUUGCCCUAAAGGAGCUUUAGGCUAUCACCUCAAUUCACCACUUUUGUACGAAGUUCCCAACUGAGCAUGGGAUUACCAUAGUUUGAGGCGACCAAAUCGGCUCAAGAGAAUGCUACUUCAACUCAUUGCGAAAGUUUGAGCCACGUACUGUAAAUGUCAUCAUAACUAAUAUUGCAGACAAAGUCAGAGUGGAUAUAGAAAUGCUCGACGUCCCUUAACAAGGGCAUAACCUCAAGCAGGAGAAAGACAUCGACAUGGUUGAGGCCUUUGAAGAAGGGCAUCCUCUAGAUGAAUUGGAUCCUUGGAUCAUUGAAUCCGAGUCGAACGCAACCCCAAUGGAGGAAUUGGAAACCUUUCCUGCAAACCUUCAAGACCUCACUUAGGUCUUCUGGAUAGGGAAAACACUGCCUCAAGAGAUCAAAGAGAAAUUAAUGGACUUCAUGCAAAAGAACUUAGAUGUCUUGCAUGGAAAUAUAAGGAUAUGGUGGGAAUAGACCCAAGGGUUACCUGUCAUCACUUGAACAUCAACCUCAUCUAUGCACCACACCGACAAAAGAGACGAGCCCUCAACCCGAAAAGAUAUAAGGUGCUCAAAGAGAAAGUUGACAAAUUGAGCGACAAAUACUUCAUCAGAGAUGUCAUCUACCCGAAGUGGAUAUAUAACCCAUCUUGGUAAAGAAACCUAAUAGGAAGAGGAGGAUAUGCAUUGACUUUACCAACUUAAAUAGAGCCUGUCCCCUUUCAAGGAUAUACCAACUUUUGGACUCCACAGUCAGACAUGAACUCCUUAGUUUCAUGGAUGCAUACUUGGGAUAUUACCAAAUCUCCAUGUUCUGAGUUGAUGAAGAGGCCACCUCAUUCAUCACGGAUAGAGGACUGUACUACUAUAAGGUAAUGCCCUUUGGAUUAAAGAACGCAGGCGCCACCUACUAGAGGCUAGUCGACAUGAUGUUUGUUGACCUCAUUGGCAAAACCAUGAAAGUCUUCGUAGACGACAUGUUGGUAAAAAUCCUCCAAGCAAGAGAUCAUGUAAGUCACCUCAACAACAUAUUUCAAAUUUUAGGAAAAUAUAAAAUGAAGUUGAACCCAUUGAAGUGUACCUUUGGGUAGCAUCAUGUCAAUUUUUGGGUUACAUUAUCAACCAAAGAGAAAUCGAAGAAAACCCUGAGAAGAUAUAAGCCUUGUUAGAGAUGAGAUCACCUUAGAAAUCGAAGGAGGUGCAAAGCCUCAAUGGGCGAAUCACGACAGUCAUCCGCUUCAUCUCCAAAGCCACAGGCAAAAGCUUACCCUUCUUCAAAAUUCUAAAGCAAGGAAAGUUCCAGUGGAUAGAAGAAUACAAAGCAGCCUCCCGGGCGCUGAAAAAGCACUUGGAAAAGGUACCUCUGCUAUCAAAACCAAAACCAAGCGAGCCUUUUCUAUUGUAUUUAACGAUCUCAGAAGAGACAGUCAACACAAUCCUUGUUAAGGAAGAAGAGGUAUGUCAACUAUCAGUAUAUUACAUUAGCAAGGCCUUACUGCCAGUUGAAGCCCACUACCCAGACAUGAAGAAGCUCGCUCUUUCCCUUAUGACUGUAUCAAGGAAAUUAAGGCCAUAUUUUCAGGUUCACUUCAUUGAGGUUCUAACCACCUUUCCACUCAAACAGGUGCUACAGAAGACAGACACUUCGAAUCGCCUAUUAAAAUGGGUAGUCGUGCUCAGCGAGUUUGACCUACUUUUCAAGCUCCGAAGUGCCAUCAAGGUACAAGCCUUCACAGAUUUUGUAGCGAAGUUCGCCAAAGCCCUAAAAAUUGAGGCGACCAUGGAACCAGCAGAACCCCUUAUGUGGAGCCUCCUUAUGGAUUUUUCAUCCUGAGAGGCUAGUUCAGGGACAAGUGUCUUUCUAGAAAGCUCAGAGGCCAUAAACUAAACAAUACAAUCAGGUUUGGCUUCAAAGCCUCGAACAAUGCUGUCGAAUAUGAAGUCCCUCUUAGCAGGCCUUAGGCUGGCCAAAGAAAUGGAAGUCAAAAGACUCCUAUCCAGCAGUGCUUCGUAACUUGUAGUAAGUCAGGUUAAUGGAAAAUUCGUAGCUAAGAAUAGUGGCAUGGCCUCUUAUUUGAAAUUAGUUCUAAGCCUCAUUUCCCACUUUGAGAAGUUCAAACUGGUACAGGUCCCACGCCAUGAGAAUAUUCAUCAGAUGCCUUGUCCAAGCUGGCCAGCAGCAAGGACUCCGAGCUAUAAAAAAUUGUUCCAAUUGAGCACCUUCUGAAGCCCUCCAUUGAUGGAAACGAAGAGGUGAUGUGGAUUAAAGGUACCUCACCCUUUAUAGCCUACCUGAAAGACCAAUCAAUGCCAAGCUUGAAGAACGAGGCCAAAAGGUUGAGGAGAUGGGCUGCUCAUUUCAUCUUCCACGAUGAUAUGUUGUAAAAAAGAGGUUUCACGUCGCCUCUUCUCCAAUGCAUUGGAGGAGAAGUAGCUACAUACAUAUUAAGAAAAAUCCAUGAUGGAGUAUGUGGAAAAUAUUCUAGAGGAACAGCUCUAGCUCAUAAAUUUCUUCGACAAGGCUACUUCUAGUCGACCUUGAAAAAUGAUGUGUGCUAGUUUGUUAAAAAAUGUGAUGACAAGUACCAGCGAUUUUCCAAUGUUCAAAGACAGGCCUCCCAAAGCCUUUUUGUGGGCACUAGCCCUUCGCCAUUUGCCAAGUGGGGAAUAGACUUCAUUGGCCCCCUCCCGAAAGGGAGAGGAAGCGUAACCUUUGCCAUCAUCAUUAUUGACUACUUUACCAAGUAGGUCGAAGCUAAACCUCUAGCCAAAAUAACCGAGGCAAAUACUAUAAAGUUCAUCUGGAAAAGAAUCAUUUACAGGUUCAGCAUUCCCUAUUCUCUUGUGUUCGACAAUGGUCGAUAGUUCGAUAAUAAGAAGAUGUGAGACCUGUGUAACGAACCAGAUGUAAGAAAGGAUUUUUCAAUACCUCAUCACCCAGGCAAAUGAGCAGAUUGAGACAGUAAGUAAGACAAUCAAGCACACCCUAAAAAGGAAGCUUGACGCCUCGAAAGGAGCAUGGGCUAAUGAGCUUUCCUAUGUCCUUUGGUCCAUUUGCACCACGAGCCGAACUGCAACAGGGAAAACCCCAUUCUUCACUCCUACAGGGCCAAAGCCAUGAGCCCAGUUGAAGUGGAAAUCCCCUCGCAUCUUCGUAUACACUUAAAAGAGAUUAGCAACGACGAAGUGAGAGUGCAUAACCUCCAUCUCCUGGAAGAAAAGAGAGAUUCCUCUUAAGUCAAACUGGCCACGUAUCAGAGAAAGAUGACUUGCUACUACAACACCAAGGUCAAGAACCAAACUCUACAUUUGGGAGACCUGGUACUUAGGAGGGUCUUCCCAGCAUCUAAACCAAAAGAUCCAGAAUGCUAGGGCUAAAAUGGAAAGGGCCUUAUCGUACCAUCAAGGAAUUCGAACCUAGAACUUAUCAAAUUGAAGACAUGGCAAGAAAAAUAAUGCCUCAUCAGUGGAACAUCGAGCACUUGAGGAAGUACUACCAAUAAAUGUAUGUUUUACUCUAAACUGAAGAUGACCUAAAACAGUGCCUAGAAACAUUAGGGCAACUCAUUCCUAUCCAACUAAGUGCUGACACUGCCUUAGUUUAAGAUAAUGUUAAGUUCGAAUUAUUAAUGGAAGUUUGUCUCAUCAGUGUUCUACUCGUUGGAUAGUCCUUAUGCUACAAUUUGUUAAAAAAUGUGAUGAUAAGUGCCAACGAUUUUUCAAUGUUCAAGGACAGGCCUCCCAAAGCCUUUCCGUGGUCACUAGGCCUUGGCUAUUUGCCAAGUGGGGAACAAACUUCAUUAGCCCCCUUCAGAAAGAAAGAUGAAAUGCAACCUUUGUCAUCAUCUCUAUUGACUACUUUACCAAGUGGGUCAAAGCUAAAUCUCUGGCCAAAAUCACAGAGGCAAAUACUACAAAGUUCAUCUAGAAAAAAUCAUUUGCAGGUUCAACAUUCCCCAUUCUCUUGUGUCCAAGAAUGGUUGAUAGUUUGACAAUAAGAGGAUGCGAGACCUGUGCAAUGAACUGGAUGUAAGAAAAGAUUUCUCAACACCUCAUCAUCCCAGGAAAACGAGCAGGUUGAGGUAGUGAACAAAACGAUCAAGCAUACCUAAAAAAGAAGCUUGACAUCUCAAAAUGAGCGUAGGUUGAUGAGUUUUCCCAUGUCCUCUGGGCCAUUCGCACCAUGAGCCGAACUGCAACAGGAAAAACUUCCUUCUUCAUGACCUAUAGAGCCGAAGCCAUGAGCCCAAUUGAGGUAAGAAUCCUCUCGUAUCGUCACAUACAAUUUAAUGAGAUCAACAACAACAAAGUGCGAGUGUAUAACCUCCAUCUCCUAGAAGAAAAGAGAGAUUCCUCCUAAGUCAAACUAGCCACUUUUCAGAGAAAGAUGACCCGCUACUACAACUUGAAGGUCAGGAAUCGAACUCUGUGUUUGGGAGACUUGGUACUUAGGAAGGUCUUCCCAACAUCUAAACCAACAGAGUCUGGAGUACUAGGACUGAGUUGGGAAGGGCCUUAUCGCAUCAUCAAGGAAUCUCGACCUAGACCUUAUCAAAUUGAAGACAUGGCAGGAAAAAUAAUGCCUCAUCAGUGGAACAUUGAGCACUUGAGGAAGUGCUACCAAUAAAUGUAUGUUUUACUUCGAACUGAAGAUGUCCUAUAACAGUGAUGUGAUCCAGGAGACACAAGCGACAAAGUCAAGUCCAACAUCAAGCUCGAGGAAAGAUCCAUUGAUAGUCGAUUGGGAACCGAUGACGCGAUUGAGGGUGAAGCGAGUGAAAGAGGCGUUGAGAUUGCUCGUCAAGGCAACCAUUGAUGAAACCAUGUUCAAGAUUCAAAAUGGAGCAAGUUUCAUGUCGAGAUCGAAGGUCGAAGAAGUUUGGAUCAAUGUAUUAAAAGUGGACAAAAACGGAGCGGAAGUAAAGAACCAUGCAACCGCAUAGUUCUCCACCUCUUGGGGUCACACAGAUAGGGGCAGGGCAUCAACCAGCUGAACUUGGAUGUUCCAUGCGGCUACAUGGAAUUAAACCAUGCGACCGCAUGGGUCUAUUUCAGGAAGGAUUUUUCCAAAUUUUGCGAAUUUUCCUUUUUUGAUAGAAUUUGUUUCUUUCCAUAAUUUUAGCAUAUUUUGGAUAUUAUGCACAUUUUUACCAUAUCUUAGGGUUUUAGUAUAAAUACUCAUUAUUAUUCAUUAUAUUAGAACUUUUGACAUUAUUAUUAUUAUUGAGAGGCUUUUAUUGCUUUCUUCCCGUGUUGUUCAAUUGGACAAUCUACGAACUUAUCAAGAUUAAAUCUUGAGGCGUUCCAAUCAAUGGGGUAAGAUUCACAUAUUUUUGCGUAAUCAAGAGGUCCGUACAUUGCCGACGAUUCGGGUUGCUUGGCUCCAAAUUUAUUGAAUUUAAUCCAAAAUCUUGCUUUAGCUUUUCUGGGGACGAUUUCAAUCUUGAUUGUAGGUUUAGUAGUGAUUGAUUAUGCAGGUUCAUAUCAAUUGGUAUCAGAGUUUAGGCUCUAAUCCAAGGUUAUAUCCCUUUUAAAUUCUUAUUGAGUCGGUUAUCUUUUCAUUUCCUUUGUUUUUGUUCUUGGUGUUAUUUGAGCCAGUCAUUAAUUUUGAGUUGUUGAUCCAAAAAAAUUCCUAAAAAAAUUUCAAAUGUUGUUUUUGGAUUCAAUUUGCAUACAAAUCAACUUUCGUUUAUUGCGUUAGCAUCGUUGUUGAUUUUUCUAUCCCAGGAGUAAAAAAAAUUAUUGUUCAUCGUAUGACACUCUUCAUCCGUACAGUAUAAAAAAUCCAAAAAAAAAUUUGAACUUAAAAAAAAUUGUUAUAAUUGUUAUUGAACUUGGGAAUUUACCAGUUUUAUUAGCUCGUUUUAUUAUUUGUGUCUAGUUUUAUUCUCCAGCCAAUUUAUUCUUCUAUUUUGUGUUCUUGAGUCAAUUUCUUUGUUUUGUCUAGUAACCAAGUUAUUCUAAAUUCCUUGGGCUUACUGAUUAAAAUUUUGAUUGAGUUCCAAAUUGUUCUUUUGGGGCACUUGAUGAAAGCAACGAGUGGUAAAAGGCAGAGUGGUGAGAAAAAUCAAGGGAAAAAGCCAUAUUGAGUGAAUUUCGAACGAAAUUUGUGAGGCAAAAAAUAAAUUAAAUUUAGGAUGUGGUACAGGGAAGAAUCAAAUCCGGGUAGGAUUGAUGAUCAAAUUACAAAGCUGGAGGACUCGGCAUGGAGGAUUGAGAGGAUAUUUGGAGACAUGAGGGAUGAUUGGAUAGGCAGGACACACGGUUGGAAAGGCUAAAUCCAAUUCCUGCUAAUGUGCGAAGGGGAGGUCCUAAUGCAUGGAGAUAAUGUAGACGAAAACUUAGGAUGGAGGAACAUAGUGAUCUUGAAGUUGAUAGUGGGAUACGAAGAUGUGAUUGUGGAUGCGGAGAUUGGAAGGUGAAUAAAUAGAAGAGUUAGGCAAGAAAUGAGAGGUAGCAAUUUUAAUAGAGAUGAGGUGGAUGGAAAUUUGGGAAACAUUAAAAUGACCAUUCUUUCAUUCAAAGGGAGGAGUGAUCCAGAGGCAUAUUUGGAGUGGGAGAAGAAAAUUGAAUUGAUCCUCGAUUGUCACAAUUUCUCGGGGGAGAAAAAUGUGAAAAUUGCAGUCCUUGAGUUCACCAAUUAUGCUAUUACUUGGUGGGAUCAAGUGGUGACUACGAGGCGGAGAAGUGGGGAACACCCUAUCAACACAUGGAAGGAAUUGAAAAAUAUAAUGCGAAAGAGAUUUGUACCUAAUCACUACUAAGGGGAACUUCAUAAAAAAUUGCAAAAUUUAUAUCAAAGCUCUAGGAAUGUGGAAGAUUACCAUAAGAAGAUGGAAAUGCUAAUGAUUAGGGCAAAUGUGGAGGAAGAUUGGGAAGCCACUAUGGCUUAAUUUUUGAGUGGGUUGAACAGGGACAUCGCAAAUGUAAUGGAAUUAUAGCACUAUGUGGAAAUUGAAGAUCUGCUACAUGUGGCCAUGAAGGUAGAGAGGCAGUUGAAGUGAAGACGGAUAGCAAUGUACCAAUCUGGAUCUUCGGGUUCUAAUCCUUCUUGAAAAUCGAAGUGGGAAAAUAACAAAGGAGAUGGAACUGUUACAAGAGAGAAAGUUGAGGUACCAAGAGGCAAAGAAGAGGGUGCUAGCAAGGCCAUACCAAAGAGGGAGUCACAGCCAUCAAGAAAUAAGGAUAUUAAAUGUUUUCGUUGCUUGGGAAAUGGGCACAUUGCUUCUCAAUGCCCAAACAAGAAAAUAAUGAUUUCGCGAAACAGAGGGGAAGUGGAAACUGAAAGUGAUUAUACAGAUAUGCCAGAAUUGGAGGAUGCUGAUGAAGAAGACACCACGGAGUAUGAGGUUGGUGGUAAGCUGUUGGUCACGAGGCGAGCUCUCAGCGCUCAAAUCAAGGCGGGUGACUUGGAGCAACAGCAAGAAAAUGUAUUCCACACAUGGUCUCACAUCAAUGGCAAGGUAUGUAGUGUAAUAAUUGAUGGUGGAAGUUGUACUAACAUGGCCAAUACUAAUAUGGUGGAAAAAUUGGGUUUAACAUUAUUAAAGCAUCCUCAGCCCUAUAGAUUACAAUGGUUGAAUGAAUGUGGGAAAAUCAAGGUGACAAAAAGUGUGUUAAUUAAUUUUCCAUUGAUAAAUAUCAAGAUAAGGUGAUGUGUGAUGUUGUACCUAUGCAUGCGGGGCAUAUCAAGUUAGGAAGGCCAUAACAAUACGAUAGGAAAGCAAUGCAUGAUGGGUAUAAAAAUAAGAAUAGUUUCGUGAAAGAUAGGAGGCCUAUCACUCUUGCGCCAUUAAAAUUAGCACAAGUAUAUGAGGACCAAGUUCAACUGAAAAAUGAAGAAGAAUCGAGAGAAAAUAAUGAGGUGGCUAAUAGAGAGGAAAAGUGAGUGGGGUCACAUGGGAGAAAAGAAAGAGAGUCUUCCAUGAGGAGAGAAAAGCCGAAACAAAAUUUCUUUGUGAGAGGGAUUGAAUUGAAAAAGGCAAUAAUGGAGAGACAACAAAUGAUACUAUUAGUUUACAACUCCUCAACUUUGAGGAGCCUAACACAUCCCUCCCUAGUUUGGCUAUUUCUUUGUUGCAAGAAUUUGAAGAUGUAUUUUCGGAGGACGUGCCUAGUGGGUUACCACCCAUUAGGAGAAUUGAGCACUAAAUUGACUUCAUACUUGGAGCUAUCAUUCUUAACCGACCAGCUUAUUGGAGUAAUCCAGAGGAGACAAAGGAGCUUCAGAGACAAGUUGAAGAAUUGAUGAGCAAGGGUUAUGUGAGGGAAAGCAUGAGUCCAUGUGAUGUACCUAUACUGCUGGUGCCAAAGAAAGAUGGAACUUGGAGAAUGUGCGUAGAUUGCAGAGCCAUCAACAACAUCACGAUAAAAUAUCGUCACCCAAUUCCUAGACUAGAUGACAUGUUAGAUGAGCUACAUGGUGUAUACAUAUUUACCAAAAUUGAUCUUAGGAGUGGGCAUCAUCAAAUUUGCAUGAGGGAGGAUGAUGAAUGGAAGACGACUUUUAAAACUAAAUACAUGUUGUAUGAAUGGUUAGUCAUACCAUUUGGGCUCACAAAUGCACCAAGCACUUUUAUGCGACUAAUGAAACCUGUUUUCCGUGUUUUCAUUGAAAAAUUUGUUGUAGUUUAUUUUGAUGACAUUUUGAUCUAUAGGAAGAAUCUUGAUGAGCAUGUAGGACAUUUGAGGUGUGUGCUUGUGGUUUUGAGGAAAGAACAACUUUAUGCCAAUUUUAAAAAGUGCACAUUUUGCAUGGAUAGGGUUGAAUUUCUAGGCUUUGUAGUGAGUGCUAAUGAUGUAGAGGUAGAUGAAGAGAAAAUAAAGGCUAUUAAGGAUUGGCCAACACCUAAAAACAUAACUGCAGUUAGAAAUUUUCAUGGAUUGGCUAGUUUUUAUAGGCGUUUUGUUAGAGAUUUUAGCACGAUUACCAUGCCACUAACUGAAAUUGUCAAGAAAAAAGUGGGGUUUCAAAGGUUGUGUAAAGCACCGAUUUUAGCACUUCCUAACUUUGACAGAACUUUUGAGAUUGAGUGUGAUGCAUCAAGAAUAGGUAUUGGAGCAUUCUUAAUGCUGGAUAAGAGACCGAUCGCCUACUUUAGUGAAAACUUAAGUGGUGUAGCUCUCAACUAUCCUAUAUAUGAUAAGGAGCUCUAUUCACUUGUUUGAGAUUUGGAGACAUAGCAACAUUACCUAUGGCCAAAAGAGUUCGUAAUUUACACCGACCAUGAAUCGUUGAAGCAUUUGCGUGGUUAAAGUGAGUUGAACAAAUGACAUGCACACUGGAUGAAAUUCAUAGAAACUUUUUCAUAUGUCUUCCAUUACGAAUAAGGAAAGGAAAAUGUGGUAGCAGAUGUAUUGUCGCGAAGGUAUAUGAUUCUAACUACUUUUAGUGCGAAAUUACUUGGUUUUGAGUACAUCAAGGGCAUGUAUAUAAUGAUCUUGAUUUUUCCAACAUUUACAAUUCAUGUCAUAAAGAGGUUGUAGAUAAGUACUUUAAGCAUGAGGUGUACUUUUAAGGGAAAACAAAUUAUGUGUUCCUAAUUGCUUUAUGUGUGAGUUGUUUGUUAGAUAAGCACAUAGUGGGGGACUAAUGGGUUACUUUGGGGUAGCAAAGACUUUAGAAAUAUUAACUGACCAUUUUUAUUGGCCUAAAAUGAAAGUUGAUAUGGAACGGAUUUGCAGUCGAUGCAUAACUUGUAAAAAGGCUAAAUCUAGGGUCUUACCUCAUGGACUUUACACACCUUUACCAGUGCCUAGUGAACCUUGGGUAAACUUUUUAUGGAUUUUGUGUUAGGUUUAACUAGGACUAAAAAGGGACGGGAUUCGAUGUUUAACUAGGACUAAAAAGGCUAAAUCUAGGGUCUACCUCAUGGACUUUACACACCUUUACCAGUGCCUAGUGAACCUUGGGUAAACUUUUUAUGGAUUUUGUGUUAGGUUUAACUAGGACUAAAAAGGGACGGGAUUCGAUUUUUGUAGUGGUGGAUAUGUUUAGUAAAAUGGCACAUUUCAUUCCAUGUCAUAAAACUGAUGAUGCCACUAACAUUGCAGACUUGUUCUUUAAAGAAAUUAUGCACUUGCAUGGAGUACCUAAGAGUAUUGUGUCAGAUAGGGAUGUCAAAUUUCUUAGUCACUUUUGGAGGGUCUUGUGGAAUAAGUUAGGCACGAAAUUAUUAUUUUCUACAACUUGUCACCCACAAACCGAUGAUCAAACCAAAGUAGUGAAUAGGACCAUGAUUGGAAGAGGAAGGCCGAGUUGGUGAAGUCACUCCAUGGAAAGGUACAGGAGCAAAUCGAGAAGAAGAGCAAGCAUUAUGCCGAGCAAGAAAAUAAGGGCAGGAAGAUUGUUACCUUCAAACCAAGAGAUUGGGUUUGGGUGCAAUUCACGAAAGACCGAUUCCUAGAACAGAGAAAAUCAAAGUUGCAGCCAUGGGGAGUUGGACCGUUUCAAGUACUUGAGAAGAUCAAUGACAACGUAUACACAUUAGAUCUUCCAAGUGAGUAUAGCGUUUCAUCAACUUUUAAUGUGUAUGAUCUUUUUCUCUUUGAUGCAGGUUCAGAUUUGAGGAUGAAUCCUUUCAAAGAGGAAGGGGAUGAUGUGAUCAAGAAGACACAAACGACAAAGUCAAUUCCAAUAUCAAGCCCGGGGAAAGAUCCAUUGAUAGUCGACUGGGAAAAGAUGACGCAAUCGAGGGCGAAGCAAGUGAAAGAGGCAUUGGGAUUGCUCGUUAAGGUAACCAUUGAUGAACCAUGUUUGGGAUUCAAAACAGAGCAAGUUUCAUGUUAGGAUUGAAGGCAGAAGAAGCUUGGAUCAAUGUAUUAAAAAUGGACAAAAAUGGAGCCGAAGUGAAGAACCAUGAGACUGCAUAGUUCUCCACCUCCUACGGUCGCAUAGAUAGGAACAGGGUCUCAACUGGCUGAACUUGGUUGUUCUAUACGGCUGCAUGGAAUUGAACCAUGGGACCACAUGGGUGUAUUUCAAGGAGGAUUUUUCCAAAUUUUGCGAUUUUUUCUUUUUUUGAUAGAAUUUAUUUAUUUCCAUAAUUUUAGCAUAUUUUGGAGAUUAUGCACGUUUUUACCAUGUCUUAUGGUUUUAGUAUGGAUACUCAUUAUUGUUCAUUGUAUUAGAACUUUUGACAUUAUUAUUAUUGAGAGACUUUUAUUGCUUUCUUCCUGUGUUCUUCAAUUGGACAAUCUACGAACUUAUCAAGAUUUAAAUCUUCUGGCGUUCCAAUUAAUGGGUGAGAUUCACAUAUUUUGGCAUAAUCAAGAGGUCCGCACAUCGUCGACGAUUCGGGUUGCUUGGUUCCAAAUUUAUUGAAUUUGAUCUAAAACCUUGCUUUGGCUUUCUUGGGGAUGAUUUUAAUCUUAAUUGUCGGUUUGGUAGCGAAUGUCACAUUAAACAGUGCCUGGAAACAUUAGGGCAACUCAUUCCUAUCUAACUAAGUGCUGAUAGUGACACUUCCUUAGUUUAUGAUAAUGUUAAGUUUAAAUUAUUAAUGGAAGCUCAUCUCAUUAGUAUUCUACUCGUUGGAUAGUGCUCAUGCUACUGAUUGGUGAUUAGUAGCGUUUAUGAACUUGCAAUAUCUACACAAUAAUGCAGUAGAUAGUUCAAUCAUGAAUGGAAGAAGUUAUAACACUUGAAAAAAUAUUUCAUUUCAUUAUUAGGAGGAUUACAAGAAGUGGGCCGAAGCCAUUACAAUAUAUAGUCCUACUCUACUGGUACUAUGGCCCCCUCCCAUUUCUCUAUUUCAUCGGGAGCCGCUGUAGCCCCUUCGGCAGCCGCAAUGUCAAGAUGACCUCCAAUAGGCCCACCAAACUCUUCCUCUAGAGUUGAAAUGUCCAGGUUCCCUGAGGCACUGCAAUAUAGCUUGGGCAUUCCAUGAGGUCCAAUAGUUAGCAAAAGUGUCGUACAACUCGUGCUCUUCAAAGUGGUCAAUGACAUGUUGCACGGCUGAAUCCCCAACAUCUUUCACCUUUUCUUUAAGGGAUUCGAUCUGUUCAACAUGGGCCUUCACCCACUGCCUCAGCUCAGCCUUUUCCUUGUUGGAGGCAUCUAAAGCCUCCAUGACGAGGUGAUCUCACCUUUUCCUUGUUAAUUGCUCCGACGCGGUCUCAGUUUUCACCACAUGUGUCUAUGCUCCACUUUAUUCUUCUUGACCUCUUCUGCUUUGGCCCGAGCUACCCUCACCUCAUCCCCGUAGUAUAAGGCCUUCUCUAAUCUUUGUGCCAAGUCAACGUUUUAGCCCUCAAAUCCUUCACUAGGCCUUCCAGUUGGACACUGUGCUCAAGACUCGGGCAAUGGAGGCUUUAACAUAUACACUAUGGUGUACACUUUAGUUUACACUUUAUCACGUGACAUUACCCUUUUGGAUAGUUUAAAUUUCAAACAAUUUUCCCAUCCAAUUUACACUUGACAACAAUGCAAAUCCAAACAACGUGUCAAAAAUCAGUGUAGAAAUAGUAAACUUCAAUCGGUUAGAAACUUGCCACCUGUACACUAUGGUGUACACUUUACUUUACACUUUGCCACGUGACAUUACCCUGUUGGACAGUUUAAAUUUCAAUCAAUUUUCCCACCUAAUUAACAUUCGACAACAAUGUAAGUGUCAAAGGAUGUGUCAAAAAUCAGUGUACAAAUAGCAAAGUUCAAUCGAUAAGGACCUUGCUACACGUACACUAUGGUGUAUAAUUUAGUUUACACUUUACCACGUGACAUUACCCUGUUAGACAAUUUAAAUUUCAAAUAGUUUUACCUUCCAAUUGACACUUGACAACAAUGCAAGUGUCUAACAACGUGUCAAAAAUCAGUGUACAAAUAGCAAAGUUCAAUUGGUAAGAACCAUGCUACACAUACACUAUGGUGUACAAUUUAGUUUACACUUUGCCACGUGACAUUACCCUGUUGGACUGUUUAAUUUCAAAUAGUCUACCUAUCCAAUUGAGACUUGUCAACAAUGUAAGUGUCAAACAACAUGUCAAAAAUCAGUGUACAAAUAGCAAAGUUCAAUCAGUAAGAAACUUGCUACAUGUACACUAUGGUGUAUAGUUUAGUUUACACUUUGCCACGUGACAUUACUCUGUUGUACAGUUUAAAUUUCAAAUAGUUUUCCCAUCCAAUUGACACUUGACAACAAUGUAAGUGUCAAACAACGUGUCAAAACUCAGUGUACAAAUAGCAAAGUUUAAUCGGUAAGAACCUUGUGACUUGCACACUAUGGUGUACACUUUACCACGUGAUAGUACCCUAUUGGACAGUUUAAAUUUCAAACAAUUUUUCAUCCAAUUGACACUUGACAACAAUGCAAAUGUCAAAUAACGUGUCAAAAAUCAGUGUACAAAUAGCAAAGUUCAAUCGGUAUGAACCUUGCUACAUGUACACAUUAGUUUACACUUUAUCAUAUAACAUUACCUUGUUGGACAGUUUAAAUUUUAACCAAUUUUUUUCAUCCAAUUGACACUUGAAAACAAUGCAAGUGUCAAACAACGUGUCAAAAAUUAGUGUACAAUUAGCAAAGUUCAAUUGGUAUGAACUUUGCUACAAGUACACUUUCGUUUACACUUUACCAUGUGACAUUACGCUGUUGGACAGUUUAAAUUUCAAACAUUUUUUCCAUCCAAUUGACACUUGACAACAAUUCAAAUGUCAAAUAACGUGUCAAAAAUCAGUGUUCAAAUAGCAAAGUUCAAUCGGUAAGAAUCAUGCUACAUGUACACUAUGGUGUAAAUCAUAGUGUACACAUUGCCAAGUGACAUUCCCUUGUUCGACAGUUUAAAUUUCAAACAGUUUUUCCAUCCAAUUAACACUUCACAACAAUGCAAGUGUCAAACAACGUGUCAAAAAUCAGUGCACUAAUAGCAAAGUUCAAUCGGUAAGGACCUUGCUAUAUGUAGACUAUGGUGUACACUUUUCCACAUGAUAUUACCCUAUUGGACAGUUUAAAUUUCAAAUAGUUUUCCCAUCCAGUUGACACUUGACAACAAUGCAAGUGUCAAACAACGUGUCAAAAAUUAGUGUAGAAAUAGCAAAGUUCAAUCGGUUAGAAACUUGCUUUAUGUACACUAUGUUUUACACUUUAGUUUACACUUUACCACGUGACAUUACCCUAUUGGACAGUUUAAAUUUCAAACAAUUUUCCCAUCCAAUUGACACUUGAUAACAUUACAAGUGUCAACCAACGUGUCAAAAAUCAGUGUACAAAUAGCAAAGUUCAAUUGAUAAGAAAAAUGCUACAUGUACACUACGGUGUACACUUUAGUUUACACUUUGCCAUGUGACAUUACCCUUUUGGAUAGUUUAAAUUUCAAACAGUUUUCUCAUCCAAUUGACACUUGACAACAAUGCAAGUAUCAAACAACGUGUCAAAAACCAGUGUACAAAUAGUAAAGUUCAAUCGAUAAGGACCUUGAUACAUGUACACUAUGGUGUUCACUUUAGUUUACACUUUUUCAUGUGGCAUUACCCUGUUGGAUAAUUUAAAUUUCAAACAAUUUUCCUAUCCAAUUGACAAUUGACAACAAUGCAUGUGUCAAACAACGUGUCAAAAAUCAUUGUACAAAUAGCAAAGUUCAAUUGGUAAGGACCUUAUGACAUGUACACUACGGUGUACACUUUAGUUUACACUUUGCCAAGUGACAUUACCCUGUUGGACAGUUUAAAUUUCAAACAGUUUUUCCAUCAAACAACUUGUCAAAAAUCAGCGUACGAAUAGCAAAGUUCAAUCGGUAAGGUCCCUACGACAUGUACACUAUGGUGUACACUUUAGUUUAAAAUUUGCCACAUGACAUUACCCUACUGGACAGUUUAAAUUUCAAACAGUUUUCCCAUCCGAUUGACACUUAACAAUAAUGCAAGUACUUGACAACAAUGCAAGUGUCAAGCAACGUGUCAAAAAUUAGUGUACAAAUAGCAUAGUUCAAUCGAUAUGAACCCCGCGACAUGUACAGUAUGGUUUACAGUUUAGUUUACACUUCGCCACAUGACAUUGCACUACUGGACAUUUCAAAUUUCAAAUAGGUUUUCCAUCCAAUUGACACCUGACAUCAAUGCAAGUGUCAAACAACGUGUCAAAAAUCAGUGUACAAAUAGCAAAGUUCAAUCAGUAAGAAACAUGCUACAUGUACACUAUGGUGUACACUUUAGUUUACACUUUGCCAAGUAACAUUACCCUACUGCACAGUUUAAAUUUCAAACAGCUUUCCCAUCCAAUUAACACUUGAUAACAUUGCAAGUGUCAAACAACGUGUCAAAAAUUAGUGUAGAAAUAGCAAAGUUCAAUCGGUUAGAAACUUGCUACAUGUACACUAUGGUGUACACUUUACUUUACACUUUGCCACGUGACAUUAGCCUGUUGGACAAUUUCAAUUUCAAUCAGUUUUCCUGUCCAAUUGACACUUGACAACAAUGCAAGUAUCAAACGACAUGUCAAAAAUUAGUGUACAAAUAGAAAAGUUCAAUCGAUAAGGACCUUGCUACACGUACACUAUGGUGUACAAUUUAGUUUACACUUUACCAUGUGAUAUCACCCUGUUUGAUUGUUUACAUUUCAAACAGUUUUACCAUUCAAUUGACACUUGACAAUAAUGCAAGCAUAUAACAACGUGUCAAAAAUCAGUGUACAAAUAGCAAAGUUCAUUUGUUAAGAACCGUGCUACACGUACACUAUGGUGUACAAUUUAGUUUACACUUUUCCACAUGACAUUACUCUGUUAGAUUUUUUAAAUUUUAAGCCGUUUUCCCAUCCAAUUGACACUUGACAAAAAUGCAAGUGUCAAACAGCAUGUCAAAAAUCAGCGUACAACUAGUAAAGUUCAAUCGGUAAGAACCUUGCUACAUAUAUACUAUGGUGUACAGUUUAGUUUACACUUUGCUACGUGACAUUACCCUGUUGGACAGUUUAAAUUUCAAACAAUUUUCCUAACCAGUUGACCCUUGACAGCAAUGCAAGUGUCAAACAACGUGUCAAAAAUCAGUAUACAAAUAGCAAAGUUCAAUCGGUAAGAAUCUUGUGACAUAUACACUAUGGUGUACAAUUUUCCAUGUGACAUUACCCUGUUGGAGAGUUUAAAUUUCAAACAAUUUUCCCGUCUAAUUGACACUUGACAAUAAUGCAAGUGUUAAACAACAUGUUAAAAAUCAGUGUACAAAUAACAAAGUUCAAUCGGUAUGAACCUUGCUACAUGUACACUUUAGUUUACACUUUACCACGUAACAUUACCAUGUUGGACAAUUUAAAUUUCAAAUAGUUUUCCCAUCCAAUUGGCACUUGACAACAAUGCAAGUGUCAAACAACGUGUCAAAAAUCAGUGUACAAAUAGCGAAGUUGAAUCGGUAAGGACCUUGCUGCUUGUACACUAUGGUGUACAAACUUUAGUUUAAGCUUUACCACGUGACAUUACCCUGCUUGAUAGUUUAAAUUUCAAAUAAUUUUCCUAUCCAAUUGACACUUGAAAAUAAUGCAAGUGUCGAACAAUGUGUCAAAAAUCAGUGUACAAAUAGCAAAGUUCAAUCGGUAAGAACCUUGCGGCAUGUACACUAUAGUGUACAAUUUGCCAUGUGACAUUACUUUGUUGGAGAGUUUAAAUUUCAAAUAGUUUUUCCAUCAAAUUGACACUUGACAGCAAUGCAAAUAUCAAACAACGUGUCAAAAAUUAGAGUACAAAUAGCAAAGUUCAAUCGAUAAGAACCUUGAAACAUGUACACUGUGUUGUACACUUUAGUUUACACUUUGCCACGUGACAUUCCCUUGUUCGACAGUUUAAAUUUCAAAAUUUUUUCCAUCCAAUUGACACUUGACAACAAUGCAAAUGUCAAACAACGUGUCAAAAAUCAGUGCACAAAUAGAAAAGUUCAAUCGGUAAGGACCUUGCUACUUGUAGACAAUGGUGUACACUUUAGUUUACACUUUGCCACGUGACAUUACCCUAUUGGACAGUUUAAAUUUCAAACAGUUUUUCCAUCCAGUUGACACUUGACAACAAUGCAAGUGUCAAACAACGUGUCAAAAAUCAGUGUAGAAAUAGCAAAGUUCAAUCGAUUAGAAACUUGCUUUAUGUACACUAUAGUAUAUACUUUAGUUUACACUUUGCUACUUGACAUUACCCUGUUGGACAAUUUAAAUUUUAAAUAGUUUUCCCAUCCAAUUGAUACUUGACAACAAUGCAAGUGUCAAACAACAUGUCAAAAAUCAGCAUACAAGUAGCAAAGUUCAAUCGGUGAGAAACAUGCUACAUGUAAACUACGGUGUACACUUUAGUUUACACUUUGCCACAUGACAUUACUCUUUUGGAUAGUUUAAAUUUCAAACAGUUUUCCCAUCCAAUUGACACUUCACAACAAUGCAAGUAUCAAACAACGUGUCAAAACUUAAUGUACAAAUAGCAAAGUUCAAUUGAUAAGGACCUUGAUACAUGUACACUAUGGUGUUUACUUUAGUUUACACUUUGCUACGUGGCAUUACCCUAUUGGACAGUUUAAAUUUCUAAAAGUUUUCCCAUCCAACUGACACUUGACAACAAUGCAAGUGUCAAACAACGUGUCAAAAAUCAUUGUACAAAUAGCAAAGCUCAAACGGUAAGGACCUUGCGAUGUGUACACUAUGGUGUACACUUUAGUUUACACUUUACCAAGUGACAUUACCCAUUUCUAACAGUUUUCCCAUCCAAUUGACACUGGAUAACAAUGCAAGUGUCAAACAAUGUGUCAGAAAUCGGCAUACAAAUAGCGAAGUUCAAUCGGUAAGGACCUUGCGACAUGUACACUAUGGUGUACAUUUCAGUUUGUACCUUGCCACGUUACAAUACCCUGCUGGACAGUUUAAGUUUCAAACAAUUUUCCCAUAUGAUUGACACUUCACAAAAUUGCAAGUGUCAAACAACAUUUCAAAAAUCAGUGUACAAAUAGCAAAGUUCAAUCGGUAAGAACCCUACGACAUGUACACUAUGGUGUACAGUUUAGUUUACACUUUGCCACGUGACAUUACACUACUGGACAAUUUAAAUUUCAAACAGGUUUCCCAUCCAAUUGACACUUGACGGCAAUGCAAGUGUCAAACAACGUGUCAAAAAUCAGUGUACAAAUAGCAAAGGUCAAUCGGUAUCAACCUUGCUACAUGUAUACUAUGGUGUGCACUUUAGUUUACACUUUGCCAUAUGAUAUUACCUCGUUGGGCAGUUUAAAUUUCAAACAGUUUUUCCAUCCAAUUGACACAUGACAAGAAUGUAAGUGUCAAACAAUGUGUCAAAAAUCAGAGCACAAAUAGCAAAGUUUAAUCGUUAAGGACCUUGCUACAUGUAGACUAUGGUGUACACUUUAGUUUACACUUUGCCACAUGACAUUAACCUGUUGGACAGUUUAAAUUUCAAAUAGUUUUCCCAUCUAGUCAACACUUGAAAUCAAUGCAAGUGUCAAACAACGUGUCAAAAAUCAGUGUACAAAUAGCAAAGUUCAAGCGGUAAGAACCUUGCUACAUGUAGACACUUUGCCACGUGACAUUACCCUGUUGGAUAGUUUAAAUUUCAAACAGUUGUUCCAUCCAAUUGACACUUGACAACAAUGCAAGUGUCAAGUGUGUCAAAAACCAGUGUACAAAUAGCAAAGUUCAAUCGGUCAGAACUUUGCUACAUAUACACUAUGGUGAACACUUUAGUUUACACUAUGCCACGUGACAUUACCCUGUUGGACAGUUUAAAUUUCAAACAGUUUUUCCAUCCAAUUGACACUUGACAACAAUGCAAGUGUCAAACAACAUGUCAAAAAUCAGUGUACAAAUAGCAAAGUUGAAUCGGUGAGGACCAUGCUACAUGUACACAAUGGUGUACGUACUUCAGUUUACACUUUGCCACUUGACAAUUCCCUGCUGGACAGUUUAAAUUUCAAACAAUUUUUCCAUCCAAUUGACAUUUAACAACAAUGCAAGUAUCAAACAACGUGUCAAAAAUCAGUGUACAAAUAGCAAAGAUCAAUCGGUAAGAACCUUGCGAGAUGUACACUAUGGUGUACAUACUUUAGUUUACACUUUGCCACGUGACAAUACCCUGCUGGACAGUUUAAAUUUCAAACAAUUUUUCCAUCCAAUUGACACUUGACGACAAUGUAAGUGUCAAACAAUGUGUCCAAAAUCAGUGUUGCCAUCCAAUUGACACUUGACAACGACGAAAGUGUCAAACAACGUGUCAAAAAUCAGUGCACAACUGCAAAGUUCAAUCGGUAAGAACCUUGCGACAUGUACACUAUGGUGCACACUUUGUCACGUGACAUUACCCCGUUGGACAGUUUAAAUUUCAAACAAUUUUUCCAUCCAAUUGACACUUGACAACAAUGCAAGUGUCGAACAACGUAUCAAAAAUCAGUGCACAAAUAGCAAAGUUCAAUCGGUAAGAACCUUGCUACAUGUACACUUUAGUUUACACUUUAUCACGUGACAUUACCUUAUUGGACAGUUUAAAUUUCAAACAGUUUUCCCAUCCAUUUGACACUUGGCAACAAUACAAGUGUCAAACAAUGUUUCAAAAAUCAGUAUACAAAUAGCAAAGUUCAAUCGGUAUGAACCUUGCUACAUGUACACUUUAGUUUGCCCUUUACCAUGUGACAUUACCUUGUUGAACAGUUUUACCAUCCAAUUGACACUUGACAAUAGUACAAAUGUCGAACAACGUGUCAAAAAUCAGUGUACAAAUAGCAAAGUUCAGUCGGUAAGAACCUUGCUACAUGUACACUAUGGUGUACACUUUAAUUUACACUUUGCCACGUGACAUUAACCAGAUGGACAAUUUAAAUUUCAAAUAGCUUUCCCAUCCAAUUAACACUUGAAAACAAUGCAAGUGUCAAACAAUGCGUCAAAAAUCAGUGAACAAAUAGCAAAGUUCAAUAGGUAAGAACCUUGCUAUAUGCACACACUUUGCCACAUGACAUUACCCUGUUGGACAGUUUAAAUUUCAAGCAGUUUUCCUAUCUAAUUGACACUUGACAACAAUACAAGUGCAAAACGUGUCAAAAAUCAGUGUACAAACAGCAAUGUUCAAUCGGCAAGAACCUUGCUACAUGUAAACUAUGGUGUACACUUUAGUUUACACUUUUCCACGUGACAUUACCCUGUUGGGCAAUUUAAAUUUCAAACAAUUUUUCCAUACAAUUGACCCUUGACAACAAUGCAAGUGUCAAAAAACGUGUCAAAAAUCAGUGUAUAAGUAGCAAAGUUCAAUCGGUAAGAACCUUGCUACAUGUACACUAUAGUGUACGCACUUUAGUUUACACUUUGCCACGUGACUUUACCCUGCAGGACAUUUUAAAUUUCAAUCAAUUUUCCCAUCCAAUUGAUACUUGACAACAAUGCAAGUGCCAAACGUGUUAAAAAUCAAUGUACAAAUAGCAAAGUUUAAUCGGUAAGAACCUUGCUACAUGUAAACUAUGGUGUACACUUUAGUUUACACUUUUCCAAGUGACAUUACCCUGUUGGACAAUUUAAAUUUCAAACAGUUUCCCCAUCCAAUUGACACUUGACAACAAUGCAAGUGUCAAACAACGUGUCAAAAAUCAGUGUACAAAUAGCAAAGUUCAAUCGGUAAGAACCUAGCUUCAUGUACACUAUGGUGUACACACUUUAGUUUACACUUUGCCACGUGACAUUACCUUGCUGGACAUUUUAAAUUUCAAUCAAUUUUCCCAUCCAAUUGAUACUUGACAACAAUGCAAGUGUCAAACAACAUAUCAAAAAUUAGUAUACAAAUAGCAUAGUUCAAUCGGUAAGAACCUUGCUACAUGUAUACUAUGGCGUGCACUUUCAUUUACACUUUGCCACAUGACAUUACCUUGUUGGACAGUUUAAAUUUCAAACAGUUUUCCCAUCCAAUUGAAACAUGACAACAAUGCAAGUGUCAAACAACGUGUCAAAAAUCAGAGCACAAAUAGCAAAGUUCAAUCGGUAAGGACCUUGCUAUAUGUACACUAUGGUGUACACUUUAGUUUACACUUUACAACAUGUCAUUACCCGGUUGGACAGUUUAAAUUCCAAAUAGUUUUUCCAUCCAAUUGACACUUGAUGACAAUGUAAGUGUAAAACAACGUGUCAAAAAUAAGUGUACAAAUAGCAAAGUUUAAUCGGUAAGAACCUUGCUAAAUGUAUACUAUGGUGUGCACUUUAGUUUACACUUUGUCACGUGACAUUACCUUGUUGGAUAGUUUAAAUUUCAAAUAAUUUUCCCAUCCAAUUGACACAUGACAACAAUGCAAGUGUGAAACAACGUGUUAACAAUCAGAGCACAGAUAGUAAAGUUCAAUCGGUAAGGACCUUGCUACAUGUACACUUUAGUUUACAUUUUACCACAUGACAUUACUCUAUUGGAUAGUUUAAAUUACAAACAGUUUUUCCAUCCAAUUGACACUUGACAACAAUGCAACUGUCAAACAAUGUGUCAAAAAUUAGUUUACAAAUAGUAAAGUUCAAUCGGUAAGGAACUUGCAACAUGUACACUACUGUGUACACUUUAGUUUACACUUUACCACGUGACAUUAUCCUGUUAGACAGUUUAAAUUUCAAAUAGUUUUCCCAUCCAAUUGACGCUAGACAACAAUGCAAGUGUCAAAUAACGUGUCAAAAAUCAGUUUACAAACAGCAAAGUUCAAUUGGUAUCAACCUUGCUACAUGUAUACUAUGUUGUGCACUUUAGUUUACACUUUGCUAUGUGACAUUACCUAGUUGGAUAGUUUAAAUUUCAAACAGUUUUCCCAUCCAAUUGACACAUGACAAGAAUGCAAGUGUUAAACAAUGUGUCAAAAAUUAGAGCACAAAUAGCAAAGUUCAAUCGGUAAGGAUCUUGCUACAUGUAGACUAUGGUGUACACUUUACCACGUGACAUUAUCCGGUUGGACAGUUUAAAUUUCAAACAGUUUUCCCGUCAAAAUGACACUUGACAACAAUACAAGUGUCAAACAACGUGUCAAAAUCAGUCUACAAAUAGCAAAGUUGAAUCGGUAAGAACCUUGCUACAUGUACACUAUGGUCUACACUUUAGUUUACACUUUGCCACGUGACAUUACCCUGUUGGAAAUUUUAAAUUUCAAAUAAGUUUCCCAUCCAAUUGACACUUGACAAUAAUGCAAGUGUCAAAAAACGUGUUGAAAAUUAGUGUACAAAUAGCAAAGUUGAAUCAGUAAGAACCUUGCGACUUGUACACUGUGGUGUACACUUUAGUUUACACUUUGCCACAUGACAUUACCUCGUUGGACAGUUUAAAUUUCAAACCGUUUUCCCAUCCAAUUGUCAGUUGAAAAACAAUACAAGUGUCAAACAACGGGUCCAAGAUCAAUGAACAAAUAUCAAAGUUUAAUCGGUAAGAACCUUGCGACAUGUACACUAAGGUAGACACUUUAGUUUACACUUUGCCAUGUUACAUUACCCCAUUGGACAUUUUAAAUUUCAAACAGUCAUCCCAUCCAUUUGACACUUGAAAACAAUGCAAGUGUCAAACAAAGUGUUGAAAAUGAGUGUACAAAUAGCAAAAUUGAAUCAAUAAGGACCUUGCGACAUGUACACUAUGGUGUAUACUUUAGUUUACACUUUGACGCGUGACAUUACCCAGUAGGACAGUUUAAAUUUCAAACAGUUUUCCCAUCCAAUUGAAACUUGACAACAAUGCAAGUGUCAAACAAUGUGUCAAAAAUCAGUGUACAAAUAGUAAAGUUCAAUCGGUAAGAACCUUGCGACAUGUACACCAUGGUGUACACUUUAGUUUACACUUUGCCACGUGACAUUGUCCUGUUGGACAGUUUAAAUUUCAAACAGUUUUCCCAUCCAACUGAAACUCGACAACAAUGCCAGUGUCAAACAACAGUUCAAAAAUCAGUGUAGAAAUAGCAAAGUUCAAUCGGUUAGAAACUUGCUUUAUGUACACUAUGGUAUACACUUUAGUAUACACUUUGCCAUGUGACAUUACCCUGUUGGACAUUUUAAACUUCAAACAAUUUUCCCAUCCAAUUGACACUUGACAGCAAUGCAAGUGUCAAACAAUGUGUCAAAAAUCGGUGUACAAAUAGCAAAGAACAAUCGGUAAGAAACUUGCUACAUAUGCACUAUGGUGUACACUUUAGUUACACUUUGCCACGUGAUAUUACCCUUUUGGAUAGUUUAGAUUUCAAACAGUUUUUCCAUCCGAUUGACACUUGACAACAAUGCAAGAGUCAAACAACGUGUCAAAAAUCAGUGUACGAAUAUCAAAAUUCAAUCGUUAAGGACCUUGAUACAUGUACACUAUGGUGUACACUUUAGGUUACACUUUGCCACAUGGCAUUUCCCUAUUAAACAGUUUAAAUUUCAAAUAGUUUUCCCAUCCAAUUGACACUUGACAACGAUGCAAGUGUCAAACAACGUGUCAAAAAUCAGUGUACAAAUAAUAAAGUUCAAUCGGUAAGGACCUUGCUACAUGUAAACUAUGGUGUACACUUUAGGUUACACUUUGCCAUGUGACAUUACCCUAUUGGACAGUUUAAAUUUCAAACAGUUUUCCCAUCCAAUUGACACUUGAUAACAAUGCAAGUGUCAAACGACGUGUUGAAAAUCAUUGUACAAAUAGCAAAGUUCAAUCGGUAUGGACUUUGCGACAUGUACACUAUGGUGUACACUUUACUUUAUACUUUGCCACGUGACAUUACCCUAUUGGACAAUUUAAAUUUCAAAUAGUUUUUCGAUUCAAUUGACAGUUGACAACAAUGCAAAUGUCAAACAACGUGUCAAAAAUCAGCGUACAAAUAACAAAGUUCAAUCAGUAAGGACCUUGCGACAUGUACACUAUGGUGUACACUUUAGUUUACACUUUGCCACGUAACAUUACCCUACUGGACAGUUUAAAUUUUAAAUAGUUUCCCCAUUCGAUUGACACUUGACAGUAAUGCAAGUGUCAAACAACGUGUCAAUCAGUGUACAAACAGGAAAGUUCAAUCGAUAAGGACCUUGAUACAUGUACACUAUGGUGAACAGUUUAGUUUACACUUUGCCACGUGGCAUUACCCUGUUGGACAGUUUAAAAUUCAAACAUUUUUCUCAUCCAAUUGACGCUUGACAAUAAUGCAAGUGUCAAACAACGUGUCAAAAAUCAUUGUACAAAUAGCAAAGUUCAAUCUGUAAGGACCUUGCGACAUGUACACUAUGGUGUACACUUUAGAUUACACUUUGACACGUGACAUUACCCUCCUGGACGUUUAAAUUUGAAAUAGUUUUCCCAUCCAAUUGACACUUGAUAACGUUACAAGUGUUAAACAACGUGUCAGAAAUCAGUGAUCAAAUAGCAAAGUUCAAUUACUAAGGACCUUACGACAUGUACACUAUGGAAUACACUUUAGUUUACACUUUGCCACGUGAUAUUACCCUGUUGGACAGCUUUCCCAUCCAAUUUACAGUUGACAACAAUGCAAGUCCAAACAACGUGUCAAAAAUCAAUGUAGAAAUAGCAAAGUUCAAUCAGUUAGAAACUUGCUACAUGUACACUAUGGUGUACACUUUAGUUUACCCUUUAUCACGUGACAUUAUCCUAUUAGACAGUUUACAUUUUAAAAAGUUUUCCGAUCCAUUUGACACUUGACAACAAUGCAAGUGUCAAACAACGUGUAAAAAAUCUGUGUACAAAUAACAAAGUUCAAUCGGUAAGAACCUUGCUACAUGUAUACUAUGAUGUACACUUUAGUUUACACUUUGCCACGUGACAUUACCUUGUUGAACAGUUUAAAUUUCAGACAGUUUUCCCAUCCGAUUGACACAUGACAACAAUGCAAGUGUCAAACAACAUAUCAAAAGUCAGAGCACAAAUAGCAAAAUUCGAUCGGUAAAGACCUUGCCAAAUGUACACUAUGGUAUACAGUUUAAUUUACACUUUACCACAUGACAUUACCCUAUUGGACAGUUUAAAUUUCAAACAAUUUUUCCAUUCAAUUGACGCUUGACAAGAAUGCAACUGUCAAACAACGUGUCAAAAAAGAGUUUACAAAUGGCAAAGUUCAAUCGGUAAUGACCUUGCUACGUGUACACUAUGGUGUACACUUUAGUUUACACUUUACCACAUUACAUUACCCUGUUGGACAGUUUAAAAUAGCAAAGUUCAAUCGGUAAGGACCUUGCUACAUGUACACUAUGGUGUACACUUUAGGUUACACUUUGCCUCGUGGCAUUACCCUUUUGGACAGUUUAAAUUUCAAAUAGUUUUCCCAUCCAAUUGAUACUUAACAACAAUGCAAGUGUCAAAUGACGUGUCAAAAAUCAUUGUACAAAUAGCAAAGUACAAUCGGUCAGGACCUUGCGACAUGUACACUCUGGUGUACACUUUAGUUUAAAAUUUACCACGUGACAUUACCCGGUUGGGCAGUUUAAAUUUCAAACUAUUUUUCCAUUUAAUUGACACUUGACAACACUGCAAGUGUCAAACAACGUGUCAAAAAUCAUUGUACAAAUGGCGAAGUUCAAUUGGUAAGGACCUUGCGACAUGUACACUAUAGUGUACACUUUAGUUUACACUUUGCCACGUGAAAUUACCUUGCUGGACCGUUUAAAUUUCAAACAGUUUUCCCAUCUGAUUGACACUUGACGACAAUGCAAGUGUCAAACGACGUGUCGAAAAUCAUUGUACAAAUAGCAAAGUACAAUCGGUAAGGACCUUGCGACAUGUACACUAUGGUGUACGCUUUAGUUUACACUUUGUCACGAGACAUUAGCCGGUUGGACAGUUUAAAUUUCAAACAGUUUUCACAUCCAAUUGACACUUGACAACAAUGCAAGUGUCACACAACGUGUCAAAAAUCAGCGUACAAAUAGCAAAGUUCAAUCGGUAAGGACCUUGUGACAUGUACACUAUAGUGUACACUUUAGUUUACACUUUGCCACGUGAAAUUACCCUACUGGACCAUUUAAAUUUCAAACAAUUUCCCCAUCCGAUUGACACUUGAGGACAAUGCAAGUGUCAAACAACGUGUCAAAAAUCAGUGUACAAAUAGAAAAGUUCAAUCGAUAAGGACCUUGAUACAUGUACACUAUGGUGUACUUUAGUUUACACUUUGCCACGUGGCAUUACCCUGUUGGACAUUUAAAAUUUCAAUCAAUUUUUCCAUCCAAUUGACACUUGAAGAUAAUGUAAGUGUCAAAUAACGUGUCAAAAAUCAUUGUACAAAUAACAAAAUUCAAUCGGUAAGGACCUUGCGACAUGUACACUAUGGUGUACACUUUAGUUUACAAUUUGCCACGUGAUAUUACGCUGCUGGACAGUUUCAAUUUGAAAUAGUUUUUCCAUCCAAUUGACACUUGAUAACUUUGCAAGUGUCAAACAACGUGUCAAAAAUCAGUGUACAAAUAGCAAAGUUCAAUUGCUAAGGACCUUGCGACAUGUACACUAUGGUAUACACUUUAGUUUACACUUUGCCACUUGACAUUAUCCGGUUGGACAUUUUAAAUCUCAAACAGCUUUCCCAUCCAAUUUACAGUUGACAACAAUGUAAGUCCAAACAACGUGUCAAGAAUCAGUGUAGAAAUAGCAAAGUUCAAUCGGUUAGAAACUAGCUACAUGUACACUAUGGUGUACACUUUAGUUUACACUUUACCACAUGACAUUACCCUGCUGGACAGUUUAAAUGUGAAACACUUUUCCUAUCCAAUUGACACAUGACAACAAUGCAAGUGUCAAACAACGUUUCGAAAAUCAGUGUACAAAUAACAAAGUUCAAUCGGUAAGAACCUUGCCACAUGUAUACUAUGGUGUACACUUUAGUUUACACUUUGCCACGUGAUAUUACCUUGUUGGACAGUUUAAAUUUCAAACAGUUUUCCCAUUCAAUUGACACUUGACAACAAUGCAACUGUCAAACAACGUGUCAAAAAUCAGUUUACAAAUAGCAAAGUUUAAUCGGUAAGGACCUUGCUACAUGUACACUAUGGUGUACACUUUACCACGUGACAUUACCUUGUUGGACAGUUUAAAUUUCAAACAGUUUUCCCAUCCAAUUGAUACUUGACAACAAUGCAAGUGUCAAACAACUCGUCAAAAAUCAGUGUACAGAUAGCAAAAUUCAGUCGGUAAGAACCUUGCUACAUGUAUACUAUGGUGUGCACUUUGGUUUACACUUUGCCACGUGACAUUACCUUAUUGGACAGUUUAAAUUUGAAACAGUUUUCCCAUUGAAUUGACACAUGACAUCAAUGCGAGUGUCAAACAACGUGUCAAAACUCAGAGCACAAAUAGCAAAGUUCAAUCGGUAUGGACCUUGCUACAUGUACACUAUGGUGUACACUUUAGUUUACACGUUGCCACGUGACAUUACCCUAUUGGACAGUUUAAACUUUAAAUAGUUUUCCCAUCCAAUUAACACUUAACAACAAUAUAAGUAUCAAACAACAUGUCAAAAAUCAGUGUACAAAUAGCAAAGUUCCAUUGGUAAGGACCUUGUUACAUGUACACUAUGGUGUACACUUUAGUUUACACUUUGCCAUGUGACAUUAUCCCGUUGGACAGUUUAAAUUUCAAACAGUUUUCCCAUUCAAUUGUCACUUGACAACAAUGGAAGUGCCAAACAACGUGUAAAAAAUCAGUGUACAAAUAGUAAAGUUCAAUCAAUAAAUAUCUUGCUACAUGUACACUGUGGUGUACACUUUAAUUUACACUUUUCCAUGUGACAUUGCCCUGUUGGACAGUUUAAAGUUCAAACAGUCUUCCCAUCCACUUCACACUUGACUACAAUGCAAUUGUCAAACAACGUGCCAAAAAUUAGUGUACAAAUAGCAAAUUUCAAUCGGUAAGGACCUUGUAACAUGUACACUAUGGCAUACACGUUAGUUUACACUUUGCCACGUGAUAUUACCCUGUUGUAAAGUUUAAAUUUCAACCAGUUUAUCAAUCCAAUUGACAUUUGACAACAAUGUAAGUGCCAAACAACGUGUCAAAAAUUAAUGCACAAAUAGCAAUGUUCAAUCAGUAAAAACCUCGCUACAUGUACAAUAUGGGGUACACUUUAGUUUACACUUUGCCACAUGACAUUAUCCUGUUGGACAGUUUAAAUUUCAAACAGUUUUCUCAUCCAAUUGACACUUGACAAUAAUGCAAGUGUCAAACUACGUGUAAAAAAUCAGUGUACAAAUAGCAAUUUUCCCAUCCAAUUGACACUUGACAACAAUACAAGUCUCAAACAUCGUGUCAAAAAUCAGUGUACAAAUAGCAAAGUUCAAUUGGUAAGGACCUUGCUACAUGUACACUAUCGUGUACACUUUAGUUUAUACUUUGCCACGUGACAUUACCAUUCUGGAUAGUUUAAAUUUCAAAUAAUUUUGCCAUCCAAUUCACACUUGACAGCAAUGCAAGUGUCUAACACCGUGUCAAAAAUCAUUGCAAAAAUAGAAAUGUUCAAUCGGUAAGAAUCUCGCUACAUGUACACUAUGGUAUACACCUUAGUUUACACUUUCCCACGUGACAUUACCCUGUUGGACUGUUUAAUAUUCGAACAGUUUUCCUAUUAAAUUGACACUUGACAUCAAUGCAAGUGUCAAACAACGUGUCAAAAACAUGGGUACAAAUAGCAGUUUUCCCAUCCAACUGACACUUGACAACAAUGCAAGUCUCAAACAACGUGUCAAAAAUUAGUGUACAAAUAGCAAAGUUCAAUCGGUAAGAACCUUGCUACAUGUACACUAUGGUGUACACUUUAGUUUACACUUCACCACGUGACAUUACCCUGUUCGACAGUUUAAAUUUCAAACAGCUUUCACAUCCAAUUGACACUUGACAACAAUGCAAGUCUCAAACAACGUGUCAAAAAUUAGUGUACAAAUAGCAAAGUUCAAUCGGUAAGAACCUUGCUACAUGUACACUAUGGUGUACACUUUAGUUUAUAAUUUGCCACGUGACAUUACGCUGUUGGACCGUUUAAAUUUCAAAUAGUUUUCCCACCCAAUUGACACUUGAUAAAAUUGUAAGUGUCGAACAACGUGUCAAAAAUCAGUGUACGAAUAGCAAAGUUCAAUCGGUAAGAACCUUGCUACAUGUAUACUAUGGUAUACACACUUUAGUUUAUACUUUGCCAUGUGACAUUACCCUGUUGGACAUUUUAAAAUUCAAAAAGUUUUCCAAUCCAAUUGACACUUGACAAUAAUGCAAGUGUCAAACUACGUGUCAAAAAUCAGUGCACAAAUAGCUAAGUUCAAUCGGUAAGGACCUUGCUACAUGUAAACUAUGGUGUACACUUUACAAAGUGACAUUACCCUGUUGGACAGUUUAAAUUUCAAAUAAUUUUUCCAUCCAAUUGACACUUGACAAUAAUGUAAGUGUCAAACAACGUGUCAAAAAUUAGUGUACAAAUAGCAAAGUUCAAUCGGUAAGAACCUUACGACAUGUACACUAUGGUGUACACUUUAGGUUACACUUUGCCACGUGACAAUACCCUGUUGGACAAUUUAAAUUUCAAACAGUUUUUCCUUCCAAUUGUCACUUGACAACAAUGCAAGUGUCAAACAACGUGUUAAAAAUCAAUAUACAAAUAGCAAAAUUAAAACGGUAAGAAACUUGCUACAUGUACACUAUGGUGUACACUUUAGUUUACACUUCACCACGUGACAUUACCCUAUUGGACAGUUUAAAUUUCAGACAAUUUUUCCAUCCAAUUGACACUUGACAACAAUUCAAGUGUCAAACAACGUGUCAAAAAUCAGUGUACAAAUAACAAAGUUCAAUCGGUAAGAACCAUACGACAUGUACACUAUGGUGUGCACUUUAGUUUACACUUUGCCACGUGACACGUGACACUACACUAUUGGAUAGUAUAAAUUUCAAACUAUUUUUCCAUCCAAUUGACACUUGACAAUAAUGCAAGUGUCAAACAACGUGUCAAAAAUCACUGUGCAAAUAGCAAAGUUCAAUCGGUAUGAAACUUGCUACAAAUACGAUUUCGUUUACAUUUUACGACGUGACAUUACCCUGUUGGACAGUUUAAAUUUCAAAUAGUUUUCCCAUCCAAUUGUCACUUGACGACAAUGCAAGUGUAAAAAAAAUUGUCAAAAAUCAGUGUACAAAUAGCAGAGUUCAAUCGGUAAGAACCUUGCAACAUGUGCACUAUGGUGUACACUUUAGUUUACACUUUGCCACGUGAUAUUAUGCUGUUGGAUAGUUUAAAUUUCAAAUAGUUUUUCCAUCCAAUUGACACUUGAAAAUAAUGCAAGUGUCAAACAACGUGUCAAAAAUCAGUGUACAAAUAGCAAAGUUCAAUCGGUAAGAACCUUGGUACAUGUAUACUAUGGUGUACACUUUAGUUUACACUUUACUACGUGAUAUUACCCUAUUGGAUAGUUUAAAUUUUAAACAGUUUACCCAUCUAAUUGACACUUGACAACAAUGCAAGUGUCAAACAACGUGUCAAAAAUCAGUGUACAAAUAGUAAAGUUCAAUCGGUAAGAACCCUGCGACAUGUACACUAUGGUGUACACUUUAGUUUACACUUUGCCACGUGAUGUUACCCUGUUGGACAUUUUAAAUUUCAAAUAGUUUUCCCAUCCAAUUGUCACUUGACAACAAUGUAGGUGUAAAACAACGUGUCAAAAAUCAAUGUACAAAUAACAAAGUUCAAUCGAUAAGGACCUUACUACAUGUACACUAUGGUGUACACUUUAAUUUACACUUUGCAACGUGACGUUACGUUGUUGGAAAGUUUGAAUUUCAAAUAAUUUUCCCAUCCAAUUGACACUUGACAACAAUGCACGUGUCAAACAACGUGUCAAAAAUCAGUGUCCAAAUAGCAAAGUUUAAUCGGUAUGAACCUUGCAACAUGUACACUAUGGUGUACACACUUUAGUUUACACUUUGCAAUGUGACAUUACCCUGCUAGAUUGUUUAAAUUUCAAAUAAUUUUCCCAUCCAAUUGACACUUGACAACAAUACAAGUGUCAAACAACGUGUCAAAAAUCAGUGUAUAAAUAGCAAAGUUCAAUCGGUAAGAACCUUGCGACAUCUACACUUUAGUUUACACUUUACCUCGUGACAUUACCCUGUUGGAUAGUAUAAAUUUCUAAUAGUUUUCCCAUCUAAUUAACACUUGACAACUAUGCAAGUGCCAAGCAAAGUUUCAAAAAUUAGCGUGCAAAUAGCAAAGUUCAAUCGGUAUGAACCUUGCUACAAGUACACUUUAGUUUACACUUUACCACGUGAAAUUACCCAGUUGGAUAGAUUAACGUUCAAAUAGUUUUCCCAUCCAAUUCACACUUGACAACAAUUCAUGUGUCAAACAAUGUGUCAAAAAUCAGUAUACAAAUAACAAAGUUCAAUGGGUAAGAAACUUGCUACAUCUACACUGUGGUGCACACUUUAGUUUACAAUUUAUCACAUGACAUUACCGUGUUGGACAGUCUAAAUUUUAAAUAGUUUUCCCAUCCAAUUGACACUUGACAACAAUGCAACUAUCAAACAACAUGCCCAAAAUCAGUGUAUAAAUAAUAAAAUUCAAUCGGUAAGAACCAUGCUACAAGUACACUAUGGUGUACACUUUAGUUUACACUUUGCCACGUGAUACUAUCUUGUUGGGCAGUUUAAAUUUCAAACAGUUUUUCCAUCCAAUUGACACUUGACAACAAUGCAAUUGUCAAACAACGUGUCAAAAAUUAGUGUACAAAUAGCAAAACUCAACCGGUAAGAACCUUCAUAUUUGUACACUAUGGUGUACACUUUAGUUUACACUUUACCACGUGACAUUAGCCUAUUGGACAGUUUAAGUUUCAAGCAGUUUUCCCAUCCAAUUGACACUUGACCACAUUGCAAGUGUCAAACAACGUGUCAAAAAUCAGUAUUCAAAUAGCAAAUUCAAUCAGUAUGAACCUGGCUAUAUUUACACUAUGGCGUAUACACUUUAGUUUACACAUUACCACGUGACAUUACCCUGUUGGGCAGUUUAAAUUUCAAAUAGUUUUCCCAUCCAAUUGACACUCGACAAUAAUGCAAGUGUCAAACAAUGUGUCUAAAAUCUGUGGACAAAUAGCAAAGUUCAAUCAGUAUGGACGUGACAACAUGUACACUAUGUUGUACACUUUAGUUUACACUUUGCCACGUGACAUUACCCUGCUAGACAGUUUAAAUUUCCAACUAUUUUCUUGUCCAAUUGACACUUAACAACAAUGCAAGUGUGAAACAAUAAGUCCAAAAAUCAGUGUACAAAUAGCAAAGUUGAAUCGAUAAGGACCUUGCUACAUGUACACUAUGGUGCAUAGUGUACACUUUAGUUUACACUUUGCUUCGUAACAUUACGCUAUUGGACAACUUUAAUUUCAAACAAUUUUCCAAUCCUAUUGAGACCUGACAACAAUUCAAGUGUCAAACAACGUGUCAAAAAUCAGUGUACAAAUAGCAAAGUUCAAUCGACAAGAAUCUUGCUACACGUACACUAUGGUGUACACAUUAGUUUACACGUUACCACGUGACAUUACCCUGCUGGACAGUUUAAAUUUCAAACAGUUUUCCCAUCCAAAUGACAUAGGACAAUGAUGCAUGUGUCAGACAACAUGUCCAAAAAUCAAUGUACAAAUAGCAAAAGUUAAAUUGGUAAGGACCUUGCUACAUGUACACUAUGGUGUACACUUUAGUUUACACUUUGCAACGUGACAUUACGCUGUUGGACAGUUUAAAUUUCAAAUAGUUUUCCCAUCCAUUUGACACUUGACGACAAUGCAAGUGUCAAACAACAUGUCAAAAAUCAGUGUACAAAUAGCAAAGAUCAAUCGGUAUGAACCAUGCUACAUGUAUACUAUGGUGUAUACUUUAGUUUACAUUCUACCACGUGACAUUACCUUGUUGGAUAGUUUAAAUUUCAAACAGUUUUCCCAUCCAAUUGACACUUGACAACAGUGCAUGUGUCAAACAACGUGUACAAAAAUUAAUGUACAAAUAGCAAAGUUGAAUCGGUAAGGACCUUGCCACAUGUACACUAUGAUGUAUACUUUAGUUUACACUUUCCAACGUGACAUUACAAUGUUGGACAGUUUAAAUUUCAAAUAGUUUUCCCAUCCAAUUGACAGUUGACAAUAAUGCUGUGUCAAACAACGUGUCAAAAAUUAGUGCACAAAUAGAAAAGUUCAAUCGGUAAGAAACAUGCUAUAUGUACACUAUGGUAUACACAUUGGUAUACACUUUUCCACGUGACAUUACCCUGCUAGAUAGUUUAAAUUUCAAAUAGUUUUCCCAUCUAAUUGACACUUGAAAACAAUGCAAGUGUCAAACAACGUGUCCAAAAAUCAAUGUACAAAUAGCAAAGUUGAAUCGGUGAGGUCCUUGCUACAUUUACAGUAUGGUGUACACUUUAGUUUACACUUUGCAAUGUGACAUUAUGCUUUUGGACAGUUUAAAUUUCAAACAAUUUUCCCAUCCAAUUGAGACUUGACAAAAAUGCAUGUGUCAAACAACGUGUCAAAAAUCACUGUACAAAUAAAAAAGUUCAAUCACUAAGAAACAUGCUGCGUGUGCACUAUGUAGAACCCCAAAAAAUUCUAGACACCUUAGUGGCACUAAGACAUGAAUAUUGGAUGACUAAAGUAUACUUCAAAUUUUCAGUCUCGUUUGAGACCCAUUUUCGACAUAGGAAACAUUCGAUUUGGAAAAUGAUAUCUAAAUAAAAGUUGUAUCUCUUUGAGUUACCUUUCCAACGCACUUUGAAUUACCUCAAUUGGAUAGCUAGAGAAAAAGUUAUAAUAGAAACACUGAAAGCUAUGCAGUGUCAACCGGACUACAACCGGUCGACCGAAACUGCCUGAAAUGAAAAUUGUCAUUUUUUUCUAGAAUUUAAAUAUUUAUUUUCAUCAAUUAUUUUCUCAAAGGUCCACCCACAUUUUUGGUAAUAAAAACCCCACUAAAUUGAAGCAUUUAACCUCAAACUUAAAUGACACCCAUGUUUUCUCUCUUAAAUGAAAUUUGACCCUUUAUUUGCUUUAAGUUAUGGGAUAUUUACCUAUAAAUAGAGACCUUAUUUCACUCAUUUUUUCUCACUCCAAAAGCAAGAUACUUUACAUACCAAAGAAAGAGUUUCCAAAAGAGAAAAAGAGAGGGAGGAAAACUAUUUUUCCUAGAAGUUUAAGAAGUGUUUUCAAUCAUUUUUCAUAGAAGUUUUGGGUGCUAUCAAGGAGUGUCUUCAAACACCAAUUCUCAACGGUUUUCAAACAUCCAAGGAGUGCAUUUCUUUCAACGUCCAAGUUUCAUCGAAGUUUUCAGUCCAACUUUUUGAAGUUUCAAAAACAUCAAUCAAGGUAGGUAAAGGUGCAAUGUGUUUAAUCGUGUUAAGUUAUAAGUUUCGAUUCAUGUUAAUGUUUGUAUGUCAAAUGGUACUCCGGUACGGUAUAUCCCUCUAUGUUAAUGGUUGUAUGUCAAAUGGUACUCCGGUACGGCAUACCCCUCUAUGUUGAAGAAAUGUUCGUAUGUCAAAUGUUGCCCUCGGGUACGGCAUACCCCUUCAUGUCAAAUGGUGCUUCCGGAUACGGCAUGUAUGAAAAGUUAUAAAGUUAAUGUUUUGAAAUGUAUAGCUUGAUCACGAAUGCACCCAUGGCACCUAUUGAGUUUUUCAACUCACGAGUUUAAUCCCAUCUCUACAGAUUGAAGGAAUCCUACCUCGGGCAUGGAUGGAGGAGAAGAUGGAGAGUGAUGCAAUGAGCCCAUGGAAAUCCGGUGAAUAAGUGAUUUGGAUUUAUUUUUAUGAAAUGUUUUCCAAUGUUAUUUCUUUAAAGUUUUGAAUAACGCAGAAUGCGAGAACAAGUUAUGUUUUCUUCAAAUAAAUUACAUUUUGUUGUUUUGAAAAAUGAUUCAGUGUUUUUGUUUAAAGUAUUUGAAGUAUUGUUAUUUAAAUUAUUAUCCGAAGACGUAAGCUUCCGCUAAAAUGUAUACACUUGUUACUAAACCAUCGGUUAAGCUAAGUAAAGUAAGUAGCGUUCCGGUCCACUAGGGGUCGGGGCGUUACAGCGUGGUAUUCCAUGGCAUCGUGCAUCCAUGCAUCAAUCUCAUCCUAUGGCCUAGGUAUGUUCAUGUUUAAAGUUAAUGAUUAUGUUUAUGUUAUGAUGCUUUGAUAUGAUUUAGAGAUGUUUUAUUUAAAGAUAUGUAAUGGACUUGGGCAAAAGCUAAGGACUUAAAGGGAAUUACAUGAUAUGAAAGUUUAAAUAUUUGCAUUUUUUCUUUAAGCAAAGAAAAAGUAUGAUGUAUGUGAAAAUGCAACAGAUAUGGCUCGUAGAACGGCUAGGGCGUAUAGAGAAGUAUUGAACCGUAGAAUUGCUAUUCAUUCAUAUGAACACUAUGUAACUGAUCCGACCCGACCUCUUAGCGAACAUGUGUAUGACAUCUAUGAGAGAUGCAUGACGACGGUUAAUGCUAGUAUGGAGAUCACGCAUAUUGAGGCCAUAAAUGACCUCAUACACUCCCUCCCACCUCAAUGGGGAGAUAUGGGAGUCACGGUUAGGGAUAAAAUGUUAGAAGGCAACCCAAACCUGUUCGAGUUUGAGAGGUAUAGCCAUGCCCUGAUUGAUUUGUAGGAUGAUGUAAUCCAUGAGGAGCCUAAGGAGGAACCUUUGGCUGAGGAAGAAAAUCUCGAAGAAGAACCCAAUGAUGAUUUAGAGAAUGAUCCUGAGCCUGAGCCACAGGUUGAGAUGGACAUAGAGUCCGGACCUGAGGCGGAAGACUCCUCUGAAGAUGAAGCUCCACCAAAGAAGAUCCGUAGAACUUAUAGGGAUUAGAUUUAAAUCCUUGUAAUAGCUUCCCUUAUGUCAAGAAAUAAAAUACUAUCUUCUUUGCUUUAGUAUCCGAAGAAUGAAACUAAUAAGAACCAUAUAUUUUCUCUAAAAGAAAUGGCCCGCGCAAACCAAAACUUGAUAAGAGACCUCCUUCGAGCGGUUCAAGACCUAGGCAGGCAAAACCCGAACCAAGCUCAACCCCUACCACUAGCUCCUAAUGUUCCAAACAUGCUUCAGUGGUCGAGCAAUUUCGAAGGCACAAGCUCCCUACCUUCAACAGAGCAGCUGAUCCACUUGUAGUCGAGGAGUGGCUUCGCAAGUUGGAGCGUAUAUUCUAAUUGAGAGGGUGCAUGGACGCUUAGAAAGUCCAGUGUGCUGAGUUCAUGUUCUCCGGUGAUGGAAGUCACUGGUGGGACUCAAUGUCAAGGACAAGGACCCCUGAGCAACAAGCAGAAUUGACUUGGGAGCAAUUCAAAGGGGAAGUAAUGGACAAGUACUUUCCCCAGUCCUUGAGGGAUCACAAAGAAAGUGAAUUUCUCCAACUCAAGCAAAAGACUAUGUCCCUGACUGAGUAUGGGAGGAAGUUUGAUCAACUUUCAAGGUAUGCUCCACAUCUGGUGGAUACGGAGGAUAAGAAGGUACGAAGGUUUGGACAAGGGUUGAACUCGGAUAUAAGCAUGAUACUUAUGUCCCAUCACUUCACCACAUAUCGUGAAAUGCUGGAAAGAGCUCAUGCUAUUUGGUACCAGAAGACUAGCGCCGAACAACAUGGUCAACUGUUCAAUCAACCGGACAAUGGUAACAUGGGAAAGAGGAAAUGGAAUGGCCAGGACAAGGGAAAAGGCAAGUGGCAGAACAAGAAAGCUAAUGGUGGAGCCAAUGCCAGCAAAAGCAUUGUGCUGGUUAUUGCGCCCUGUUCUAAGUGUGGAAGGACACAUCAUGGCGAGUGCUUACAAGGGAAAAUGUCUAUUUCCGAUGUGGCAAGCCAGGACAUAUCAUUAGGGAUUGUCCCACACAUACCCAGAAGAAGGAUGAUAACAGCGACCAGAACCAGAAAGGGAAAACACGAGUUUUUGCAUUGACUUAACAGGAUGUAGAGGAAAACUCUUAUGUCAUAGCAAGUACUCUACUAAUAGCCAAUACACCUGCUUAUGUAUUGUUUGAUUCAGGAGUUACACACUCCUUUGCUUCCACAACUUUUAUGGCUAAAUCUAGUAUUACCUGUGAUAAGUCGGAAGGUACAUUAGAAGUUAGUAUUCCUUCUGGCAACCCUUUGAAUACUGAUAGAAUGCCAAGUCAGUAAGUAUCAAAGUUGAGGGAAAACCAAUGGAAGCGAACCAAUACAUGAUAGAAAUGAAGGAUUUUGAUGUAGUACUAGGCAUGGAUUGGUUAGGUUGUAAUUACGCCACCAUCCGAUGUAAGAAAAUGGAAGUAUCAUUUCAGAAACCAGGAGAGGAACCAUUUUUGUUCCUUGGAAUGAAGACGAAACCCCUUAUUCGACUAGUAUCGGCUUUACAAGUUGAGAAGAUGUUGAGAAAAGAAACAUGUCAAGGAUAUCUAGUAAGUAUCUCAGGAGGGAAACAAGAGACAAUAAGGAUUGAAGAUGUACCAGUAGUACGGGAAUUCGUAGAUGUGUUUCCAAAAAAUCUAUCUGGUAUUCCACCCGAUAGAUAAGUGGAAUUCACCAUAGACCUAAUUCCCGGGGCGGCACCACUAUCUAAGGCCUUAUACCGAAUGGCCCCAAAGGAACUACAAGAAUUAAAGAAGCAGUUGCAAGAACUCCUAGAUAUGGGCUUCAUACGACCAAGCGUAUUUCCAUGGUGUGCGUCGGUGUUGUUUGUAAAGAAGAAAGAUGGAAGCAUGAGGAUGUGCAUCGAUUAUAGGGAGAUAAAUCGAUUAACCAUCAAGAAUAAGUACCCACUCCCGAGGAUCGAGGAUCUGUUAGAUCAACUGAAAGGAGCUAAGGUAUUUUCCAAGAUCAACUUACGAUAAGGAUACCAUCAACUGAAAGUAGAGAAAAAGGAUAUACCUAAGACAACUUUUAGAACUCGAUAUGGACACUACGAGUUUACGGUGAUGCCGUUUGGGCUAACCAAUGCACCUGCAGUGUUCAUGGACAUGAUGAAUCGAGUUUUUCAUCAAUACUUGGAUAAGUUUGUCAUAGUCUUCAUCGAUGACAUUCUGAUAUAUUCCAAGAGUAAGGAGCAACAUGAAGAGCACUUGAGAAUAGCCUUAGAGGUAUUACGCAAGGAAAAGCUGUAUGCCAAAUUCAAGAAGUGCGAGUUUUGGCUUGAACGAGUUGGAUUUCUUGGACAUGUAGUUACUGCCCAAGGGAUUGAAGGAGAUCCAAGAAAAGUAGAAGCAGUAACCAACUGGAAAGCACCAACAAAUGCUGGCGAAGUACGGAGUUUUUUAGGAUUGGUUGGAUAUUAUAGGAGAUUCAUAGAAGGAUUCUCCAAAAUAGCUGGACCAAUGACGGAGCUUACAAGGAAGGGAGUAAAAUUCCAAUGGACGGAAAAAUGCGAACAAAGUUUCCAAGAACUUAAGCAGAAGUUGAUAUCAGCACCUGUAUUAACAAUACCUGAAGGUACGGAAGGGUUUGUUAUAUACAGCGACGCAUCCAAGUGAGGACUGGGAUGUGUACUAAUGCAGAAUGAAAAAGUGAUAGCCUAUGCUUCAAGACAAUUGAAGAAACAUGAGCAGAACUACCCGACGCUUGAUUUAGAACUUGUAGCGGUAGUACAUGCUUUGAAGAUAUGGCGACACUACUUGUAUGGAUGGAAGUGUGAUAUCUACACAGAUCACAAAAGUCUCAAGUAUUUCUUCACACAGAAGGAAAUGAAUAUGCGACAAAGACGAUGGUUGGAAUUGGUGAACGAUUACGACUGCACUAUUCACUACCAUCCGGGUAAGGCUAAUGUUGUGGCCGACGCUCUAAGUAGAAAAUCAAUGGGAUAAUUGACGUCACUACCCAUCUCUCAAGUGGAGUUAGUCAAGGACUUGGAAAAGUUGCAGAUCGAAGUGGUUACCACACCAGGACAAGUCAUUGCUCGUCUAGUAGCUUUAAUAAUUCGACCUACUCUUAGAGAUCGAAUUAUAGAAGUACAAAAUAAAGACUCAUUUUUGCAGAAGAUUAAGAAUGAAGUUGGUACUGAUAAGAAAAAUGACUUUGGAGUAGCUGAGGAUCAGGCACUGAUAUUUAGAAGAAGAAUUUGCGUGCCUAAGAAUGAAGCCUUGAGAAACAAGAUAUUAAAAGAAGCUCAUUCCACCCAGUAAACCGCACAUCCCGGUGGUACGAAAAUAUAUCGAGAUCUUUGAGAUACAUUUUGGUGGAGAAAUAUGAAAAGAAGUAUAGGGCUGUACGUGCAGAAGUGCAUGGUAUGUCAACAGGUUAAGGCAGAACACCAAAAACCAACUGAAUUGUUAAAUCCACUAGAUAUACCUGAAUGGAAAUGGGAAAAUAUCACGAUGGACUUUGUGGUUGGAUUCCUGAAGUCAGCAAGAGGAAAUAAUGCUAUAUGGGUAGUAGUGGAUCGACUAACAAAGUCAGCUCAUUUUCUUCCAGUGAAAAUGAUAUUCAAUUUAGACCAAUUGGCACAGUUGUACAUUAAAGAGGUUGUGAGAUUACACGGUGUACUUGUAUCCAUUGUGUCUGACAGAGACCCAAGGUUCACGUCCAAAUUUUGGAAAAGUCUAUAAGGAGCUAUGGGAAUGAAGUUGAACUUUAGUACAGCAUAUCACCCUCAGUCUGAUGGUUAGUCUGAAAGGACCAUCCAAACUUUGGAAGACAUGCUGAGAACAUGUGUUUUGGAUCUAGGAGGUAAUUGGGAGUCAUACUUGCCUCUAGUAGAGUUCGCUUAUAAUAACAGUUUCCAAGCAACUAUUGGAAUGGCACCAUACAAAGUUCUCUAUGGCCGCAGAUGUAGAUCCCCUGUUCAUUGGGAUGAAGUCGGAGAGAAGAGAGUUUUGGGACCAAAAAUGGUUGAAAGGAUGGCCGAGGCAAUCGAUAAGAUCCGUGCAAGAAUAAAGGCAGCACAGUAUCGACAAAAGAGCGAUGCAGAUACAAGGAGGAAGGAUUUAGAAUUCCAAGAUGGGGAUAAAGUGUUUCUGAAAGUAGCACUGAUGAAAGGUGUACUUAGAUUUGGAAAGAAAGGCAAGCUGUACUUAGAUUUGGAAAGAAAGGCAAGCUACGACCCCGGUAUAUCGGACCUUUCGAGAUACUAGAUAGAGUCGGAAAUGUGGCUUACCGACUAGCUUUGCCACCUGAAUUAUCGGCAGUGCACGAUGUGUUCCAUAUAUCGAUGAUAAAGAAGUAUGUACAUGAUUCUAAUCAUGUAGUGAGUUAUCAAACCUUGAAGGUACAGAAAGAUUUGUCGUACGAGGAACUACCGAUCAAGAUAUUGGAUCGAAAAGUGCAUAAACUAAGGAAUAAAGAGAUUCAGCUGGUUAAGAUACAGUGGAAUCAUUAUGGCGUAGAAGAAGCCACUUGGGAAAAAGAAGAAGAAGCCAAAGACAAGUAUCCAACACUAUUCACCCAAUCAGAGGAUAAAUUUUGAGGAUGAAAUUUUAAUUAAGGUGUGGGGGAAGUAGAACCCCAAAUAAUUCUAGACACCUUAGCGUCACAAGACAUGAAUAUUGGAUGACUAAAGUAUACUUCAGAUUUUCAGUCUCAUUUGAGGCCCAUUUUCGACAUAGGAAAAAUUCAAUUUGGAAAAUGAUAUCUAAAUAAAAGUUGUAGCUCUUUGAGUUAGCUUUUCAAUGCACUUUGAAUUACCUCAAUCGGAUAUCGGGAGAAAAAGUUAUGAUAGAAACACUGAAGGCUAUGCAGUGUCAACCGGACUACAACCGGUCGACCGAAACUGUCCGAAAUGAAAAUUCUCGUUUUUCUCUAGAAUUUAAAUAUUUAUUUUCAUCAAUUAUUUUCUCAAAGGACCACCCACAUUUUUGGCAAUAAAAACCCCACUAAAUUGAAGCAUUUAACCUCAAACUUGAAUGGCAUCCAUGUUUUCUCUCUUAAAUGAAAUUUGACCUUUCAUAUGCUUCAAGUUAUGGGAUAUUUACCUAUAAAUAGAGACUUCAUUUCACUCAUUUUUUCUCACACCAAAAGCAAGAGCUUUUACAUACUAAAGAAAGAGUUUCUAAGAGAGAAAAAAAGAGGGAGGAAAACUAUUUUUUCUAGAAGUUUAAGAAGUAUUUUCAAGCAUUUUUCAUAGAAGUUUUGGGUGCUAUCAAGGAGUGUCUUCAAGCAUCAAUUCUCAACGGUUUUCAAACAUCCAAGGAGUGCAUUUCUUUCAACGUCCAAGUUUCAUCGAAUUUUUCAGUCCAAGUUUUUGAAGUUUCAAAAGCAUCAAUCAAGUUAGGUAGAGGUGCAAUGUGUUUAAUCGUGUUAAGUUAUAAGUUUCGAUUCAUGUUAAUAUUUGUAUGUCAAAUGGUACUCUGGUACGACAUAUCCCUCUAUGUUAAUGGUUGUAUGUCAAAUGGUACUCCGGUACGGCAUACCACUCUAUGUUGAAGAAAUAUUCGUAUGUCAAAUGUUGCCCUCGAGUACGGCAUACCCUUUCAUGUCAAAUGGUGCCUCCGGGUAUAGCAUGUAUGAAAAAUUAUAAAGUUAAUGUUUUGAAAUGUAUAGUUUGAUCACAAAUGCACCUAUGACACCUAUUGAGUUUUUCAACUCACGAGUUUAAUCCCAUCUCUACAGAUUGAAGGAAUUCUACCUCGGGCAUGGAUGGAGGAGAAGAUGGAGAGUGAUGCAAUGAGCCCAUGAAAAUCCGAUGAAUAAGUGAUUUGGAUUUAUUUUUAUGAAAUGUUUUUCAAUGUUAUUGCUUCAAAGUUUUGAAUAACGCAGAAUGGGAGAACAAGUUAUGUUUUUUUCAAAUAAAUUACAUUUUGUUGUUUUGAAAAAUGAUUCAGUAUUUUUGUUUAAAGUAUUUGAAGUAUAGUCAUUUAAAUUAUUACCCAAAGAUGUAAGCUUCCGCUAAAACGUCUUGUUACUAAACCACCGGUUAAGCUAAGUAAAGUAAGAAGCGUUCCGGUCCACUAGGGGUCGGGGCGUUACACACUAUGGUAUACACUUUAGUGUACACUUUGCCACGUGACAUUACCCUGUUGGACAGUUUAAAUUUUAAACAAUUUUUCCAUCCAAUUGACACUUAACAAUAAUGCAAGUAUCAAACAACGUGUCAAAAAUUAGUGUACAAAAAGCAAAGUUCAAUCGGUGAGAACCUUGCGAGAUUUAUAAUAUCGGGUACACUUUAGUUUACACUUUACCAUGUGACAUUAACUUGUUGGACAGUAUAAAUUUCAAACAGUUCUCCCAUCCAAUUGACACUUGACAACUACGCAAGUGUCAAACAAUAUUUCAAAAAUCAGUGUACAAAUAGUAAAGUUCAAUCGGUGUGAACCUUGCUACAAGUACACUUUAGUUUACACAUUAUGACGUGACCACGUGUCAAAAAUUAGUGUACAAAUAGUAAAGUUUAGUUGGUAAGAACCUUGUUACAUGUACACUAUGGUAUACACACUUUAGUUUACGCUUGGCCACGUGACAUUACCCUGUUGGACAGUUUGAAUUUCAAACAAUUUUCCCAUCCAAUUGACACUUGACAACAAUGCAAGUGUCAAACAACGUAUCAAAAAUCAGUGUACAAAUAGAAAAGUUUAAUCGGUAAGAACCUUGCGACAUGUACACUAUGGUGUACACUUUAGUUUACACUUUGCCAUGCGACGUUAACCUGUUGGACAGUUUAAAUUUAAAAUAGUUUUCCCAUCCAAUUGAUGCUUGACAACAAUGCCAGUGUCAAACGACAUGUCGAAAAUCAGUGUACAAAUAGCAAAGUUCAAUCGAUAAGGACAAUGCUACGUCUACACUAUGGUAUACACAUGUGACAUUAUCCUGUUGGACAAUUUAAAUUUCAAACAAAUUUUCCAUCCAAUUGACACUUGACAACAAAGAAUGUGUCAAAAAUCAGUGUACAAAUAGCAAAGUUCAAUCGGUAUGAACCUUGCUACAUGUACACUUCGGUUUACACUGUACCACGUGACAUUACCCUGUUCGACAGUUUAAAUUUCAAAUAAUUUUCCCAUCCAAUUGACACUUGACAAUAAUGCAAGUGUCAAACAACAUGUAAAAAAUGAGUGUACAAUUAGGAAAUUUCAAUUGGCAAGAAACUUGCUGCAUGUAUACUAUAGCGUACAAUUUAGUUUACACAUUGCCAAGUGACAUUACCCUAUUGGAAAUUCUAAAUUGCAAAUAGUUUUCCCAUCCAAAUGACACUUGACAACAAUGCAAGUGUCAAACAACGUGCCCAAAAUCAGUGUACAAAUAGCAAAGUUCAGUCGGUAAGAACCUUGCUACAUGUACACUAUGGUGUACAUUUUUGUUUAAACUUUGCCACGUGACAUUACCCUUUUGGACAGUUUAAAUUUAAAAAAAUUACCCAUCCAAUUGACACUUGACAACAAUACAAGUGUUAAACAACGUGUCAAAAAUCAGUGUACAAAUAGCAAAGUUCAAUCGGUAAGAAACUUGCUACAUGGACACUAUAAGUACACUUUAGUUGACACUUUGCCUCGUGUCAUUACCCCGUUGGACAGUUUAAAUUUCAAAUAGUUUUCCCAUCCAAUUGACACUUGACAACAAUGUAAGUGUCAAACAACGUGUCGAAAUCAGUGUACAUAUAGCAAAGUUCAAUCGGUAAAGAUCUUGCUACAUUUACACUAUGGUGUAUACUUUUGUUUACACUUUGCCACGUGACAUUACCCUGCUGGAAAGUUUAAAUUUCAAACAGUUUUUCCAUCCAAUUAACACUUUACAAUAAUGCAAGUGUCAAACAACGUGUCCAAAAAUCAAUGUACAAAUAGCAAAGUUGAAUCGGUAAGGACCUUGCUACAUGUACAUUAUGGUGUACACUUUAGUUUACACUUUGCAACGUGACAUUACGCUGUUGGAAAGUUUAAAUUUCAAAUUUUUUUUCCAUCCAAUUGACAAUUGACAACAAUGCAUGUGUCAAACAAUGUGUCAAAAAUCAAUGUACAAAUAGAAAAGUUCAAUUGGUAAGAAACAUGCUACAUGUACACUAUGGUAUACACUUUAGUAUACACUUUGCCACGUGACAUUACCCUAUUGGAUAAUUUAAAUUUCAAACAGCUUUUCCAUCCAAUUGACACUUGACAACAAUGCAAAUUUCAAACAACGUGUCAAAAAUCAAUGUACAAAUAGUAAAGCUCAAUCAGUAAGAACCUCGCGAGAUGUACACUAUAGUGUACACUUUAGUUUACACUUUGCCACGUGACAUUAAACUGUUGGAUAGUAUAAAUUUCAAAUAGUUUUUCCAUCCAAUUGACACUUGACACUACGCAAGUGUCAAACAAUGUUUCAAAAAUCAGUGUACAAGUAGCAAAAUAUAAUCGGUAUGAACCUUGCUACAAGUACACAUUAGUUUACACUUUACGACGUGACAUUACCCUGUUGGACAGUUUAAAUUUCAAAUAGUUUUGCCAUCCAAUUAUCACUUGACAACAUUGUAGGUGUAAAACAACGUGUCAAAAAUCAUUGUACAAAUAGCAAAGUUCAAUCGGUAAGGACCUUACUAUAUGUACACUAUGGUGUACACUUUAGUUUGCACUUUGCAACGUGACAUUACGUUGUGGAUAGUUUAAAUUUCAAACAGUUUUCUCAUCAAAUUGACACUUGACAACAAUACAUGUGUCAAACCACGUGUCAAAUAUCAGUGUACAAUUAGGAAAGUUCAAUUGGUAAGAACCUUGCUAUAUGUACACUAUGAUAUAUACUUAAGUUUACACUUUGCCACGUGACACUACCUGUGGGACAGUUUAAAUUUCAAAUAGUUUUUCCAUCCAAUAGUCACUUGACAACAAUACAAGUGCCAAACAACAUGUCAAAAAUUAGUGUACAAAUAGUAAAGUUCAAUCGGUAAGAACCUGGCGACAUGUACAUUAAGGUGUACACUUUAGUUUACAUGUUGCCACGUGAUAUUACCCUACUGGACAGUUUAAAUUUCAAACAUUUUUUCCAUCCAAUUGUCACUUGACAACAAUGUAGGUGUAAAACAAUAUGUCAAAAAUCAAUGUACAAAUAGCAAAGUUCAAUCGAUAUGAACCAUGCUAUAUGUACACUAUGGUGUACACUUUAGUUUACAGUUUGCCAUGUGACAUUACCCUAUCGGACAGUUUAAAUUUCAAACAGUUUUCCCAUCCAAUUGACACUUGACAACAAUGCAAGUGUCAAACAAUGUGUCAAAAAUAAUAUACAAAUAGCAAAGUUCAAUCGGUAAGAACCUUGCGACAUGUAAACGAUGAUGUACACUUUAGUUUACACUUUUUCACAUGACAUUACCCUGCUGGACAGUUUAAAUUUCAAACAAUUUUCCCAUCUAAUUGACGCUUGACAACAAUGCAAGUGUCAAACAUCGUGUCCAAAAAUCAAUGUACAAAUAGCAAAUUUGAAUCGGUAAGGACCUUGUUAUAUGUACACUAUGGUGUACACUUUAGUUUACACUUUGCCACGUGACAUUAACCUGUUGGAUAGUAUAAAUUUCAAAUAGUUUUUCCAUCCAAUUGACACUUGACAACUACACAAGUGUCAAACAAUGUUUCAAAAAUCAGUGUACAAGUAGAAAAAUAUAAUCGGUAUGAACCUUGCUACAAGUACACAUUAGUUUACCCUUUACGACGUGACAUUACCCUGUUGGACAGUUUAAAUUUCAAACAAUUUUCCCAUCUAAUUAUCACUUGACAACAUUGUAGGUGUAAAACAACGUGUCAAAAAUCAUUGUACAAAUAGCAAAGUUCAAUCAGUAAGGACCUUACUAUAUGUACACUAUGGUGUACACUUUAGUUUGCACUUUGUAACGUGACAUUACGCUGUUGGACAGUUUAAAUUUCAAACAGUUUUUCCAUCCAAUUGACACUUGACGAUAAUGCAUGUGUCAAACUACGUGGCAAAUAUCAGUUUACAAUUUGCAAAAUUCAAUCGGUAAGAACCUUGCUAUAUGUACACUAUGGUGUACACUUUAGUUUAAACUUUGCCACGUGACACUACCUGUUGGACAGUUUAAAUUUCAAAUGCUUUUUCCAUCCAAUUGACACUUGAAAACAAUGCAAGUGUUAAACGACAUGUCAAAAAUCAGUGUACAAAUAGCAAAGUUCAAUCGGUAUGAACCAUGCUACAUACACACUAUGGUGUACACUUUUGUUUACACUUUGCCACGUGACAUUGCCCUUUUGGAUAGUUUAAAUUUCAAAUAAUUUUCUCAUCCAAUUGACACUUGACAACAAUACAAGGGUCAAACAACAUGUCAAAAAUCAGUGUACAAAUAACAAAUUUCAAUCGGUAAUAACAUUGCUACAUGUACACUAUGGUGUGCACACUUUAAUUUACACUUUGCCAAAUGACAUUACCCAGUUGGACAUUUUAAAUUUAAAAUAGUUUUCUCAUCCAAUUGACACUUGGUAGCAUUGCAAGUGUCAAACAAUGCGUCCAAAAUCUGUGUACAAAUAGCAAAGUUCAAUCGGUAAGAACCUUGCUACAUGUACACUAUGAUGUGUACACUUUAGUUUACACUUUGCCACAUGAUAUUACCCUAUUGGACAAUUUAAAUUCCAAAUAGUUUUCCCAUUCAAUUGACACUUGACAACAAUGCAAGUGUCAAACAACGUGUCAAAAAUCAGUGUACAAAUAGCAAAGUUCAAUCAGUAAGGACCUUGCUACAUAAUUGAUACUUGACAACAAUGCAAGUGUCAAACAACGUGUCAAAAAUCAGUGUACAAAUAGCAAAGUUCAAUCGGUAAGAAAUUUGCUACAUGAACACUAUGAGUAUACUUUAGUUUACACUUUUUUCCCAUCCAAUUGAUACUUGACAACAAUGCAAGUGUCAAACAACAUGUCCAAAAAUUAAUGUACAAAUAGCAAAGUUGAAUCAGUAAGGACCUUGCUACAUGUACACUAUGGUGUACACUUUAGUUUACACUUUGCAACGUGACAUUACGUUGUUGGACAGUUUAAAUUUCAAAUAGUUAUCCCAUCCAAUUAACACUUGACAACAAUGCAAGCAUCAAACAGCGUGUCCAAAUAUCAAUGUACAAAUAGCAAAGUUGAAUCGAUAAGGACCUUACUACAUGUACACUAUGGUGUACACUUUAGUUUACAAUUUGCAACGUGAUAUUACGCUGUUAGAUAGUUUAAAUUUCAAACAAUUUUUUCAUCUAAUUGACACUUGACAACAAUGCAUGUGUCAAACUACGUGUCAAAUAUCAGUGUACAAUUAGCAAAGUUUAAUCGAUAAAAACCUUGCUAUAUAUACACUAUGGUGUACACUUUAGUUUAUACUUUGCCACGUGAGAUUAUGCUGUUGGACAGUUUAAAUUACAAAUAGUUUUUCCAUCCAAUUGACACUUGAUAACAAUGCAAGUCUCAAACAAUGUGUUAAAAAUCAAUGUACAAAUAGCAAAUUUCAAUCGGUAAGAACCUUGAUACAUGUACACUAUGGCGUACAAUUUAGUUUACAUUUUGCCAAGUGACAUUGCCCUAUUGGACAUUUUAAAUUUCAAAUAGUUUUCAAAUCCAAUUGACACUUGACAACAAUGCAAGUGUCAAAUAACGUGUCCAAAAUCAGUGUACAAAUAACAAAGUUCAAUCGGUAAGAACCUUGCUACAUGUACACUAUGGUGUACACUUUUAUUUACACUUUGCCACGUUACAUUGCCCUCUUGGAUAGUUUAAAUUUCAAAUAGUUUUCCCAUCCAAAUGACACUUGACAACAAUGCAAGUGUCAAACAAUGUGUCAAAUAUCUGUUUACAAAUAGUAAAUUUCAAUUUGUAAUAAUCUUGCUACAUGUACACUAUGGUGUACACUUUAGUUUACACUUUGCAACGUGACAUUACGCUGUUGAACAGUUUAAAUUUCAAACAAUUUUUCCAUCCAAUUGACACUCGACAAUAAUGCUAGUGUCAAACAACCUUUCAAAAAUUAAGGUACAAAUAGUAAAGUUCAAUCGGUAGGAACCUUGCUACAUGUACACUAUGAUGUACAGUAUUUAGUUUAUACUUUGCAACGUGACAUUACGCUGUUGGACAGUUUAAAUUUUAAAUAAUUUUUCCAUCCAAUUGACACUUCACAACAAAGCAUGUGUCAAACAACGUAUCAAAAAUCAGUGUACAAAUAGAAAAGUUCAAUCGGUAAGAAACAUGUUACAUGUACACUAUGGUAUACACUUUAGUAUACACUUUGCCACGUGACAUUACCCUGUUUGAUAGUUUAAAUUUCAAACAAUUUUCCCAUCCAAUUGACACUUGACAACAAUGCAAGUUUCAAACAACGUGUCCAAAAUUAGUGUACAAAUAGCAAAAUUCAAUCAGUAAGAACCUCUCGAGAUGUACACUAUGGUAUACACUUUAGUUUACACUUUGCCACGUGACAUUAACCUGUUGGAUAGUACAAAUUUCAAAUAGUUUUCCCAUCCAAUUAACACUCGACAACUACGCAAGUGUCAAAGAAUGUUUCAAAAAUCAUUGUACAAAUAGCAAAAUUCAAUCGGUAUGAACCUUGCUACAAGUACACUUUAGUUUACACUUUACGAUGUGACAUUACCCUGUUGGACGGUUUAAAUUUCAAACAGUUUUUCCAUCCAAUUGUCACUUGAAAAAAAUGUAGGUGUAAAACAAUAUGUCAAAAAUUAAUGUACAAAUAGCAAAGUUUAAUUGGUAAGGACCUUGCUACAUGUACACUAUGGUGUACACUUUAGUUUACACUUUGCAAUGUGACAUUACGCUGUUGGACAGUUUAAAUUUCAAACAGUUUUUCCAUCCAAUUGACACUUGACAGCAAUGCAUGUGUCAAACUACGUGUUAAAUAUCAGUGUACAAUUAGCAAAGUUCAAUCGGUAAGAACUUUGCUAUAUGUACACUAUGCUGUACACUUUAGUUUACACUUCGCCAUGUGACAUUAACCUGUUGGAUUGUAAAAAUUUCAAAUAGUUUUUCAUCCAAUUGACACUUGACAACUACGCAAGUGUCAAACAAUGUUUCAAAAAUCAGUGUGCAAAUAGCAAAGUUCAAUCAGUAUGAACCUUACUACAAGUACACUUUAGUUUACACUUUACGACGUGACAUUACCCUAUUGGAUAGUUUAAAUUUCAAAUAAUUUUCCCAUCCAACUAUCACUUGACAACAGUGUAGGUGUAAAACAACGUGUCAAAAUCCAAUGUGCAAAUAGUAAAGUUUAAUCGGUAAGGACCUUGCUACAUGUACACUAUGGUAUACACUUUUGUUUACACUUUACAACUUGACAUUACACUGUUGGAAAAUUUAAAUUUCAAACAGUUUUCCCAUCCAAUUGACACUUGACAACAAUGCAUGUGUCAAACUAUAUGUCAAUACAAUUAGCAAAGUUCAAUCGGUAAAAACCUUGCUGUAUGUACACUAUUGUGUACACUUUAAUUUACAUUUUGCCACGUGACACUACCUGUUGGAGAGUUUAAAUUUCAAAUAGUUUUUCCAUCCAAUUGACACUUGACAGUAAUGCAAGUGCCAAACAAUAUGUCAAAAAUUAGUGUACAAAUAGCAAAGUUCAAUCAGUAAGAACCUCUCGAGAUGUAUAGUAUGGUGUACACUUUAUUUUAAAAUUUACCACGUGACAUUACCCUAUUGAACAGUUUAAAUUUCAUACAGUUUUCCCAUCCAAUUGACACUUGACAAUGAUGCAAGUGUCAAACAAUGUGUCAAAAAUCAAUAUACAAAUAACAAAGUUCAAUCGGUAAGAACUUUGUGACAUGUACACUAUGCUGUACACUUUAGUUUACACUUUGCCACGUGACAUUACCUAUUGGACAGUUUAAAUUUCAAACAGUUUUCCUAUCAAAUUGACACUUGUCACACUGCCACGUGACAUUAGCCUGUUGGACAGUUUAAAUAUCAAACAAUUUUCCCAUCCAAUUGACACUUGACAACAAUGCAAGUGUCAAACAACGUGUCAAAAAUCAGUGUACAAAUAGCAAAGUUCAAUCGGUAAGAAAUUUGUUGCAUGUACACUAUGGUGUACACUUUAUUUUAAACUUUGUCACGUGACAUUACCCUAUUGGACAGUUUAAAUUUCAAACAGUUUUUCCAUCCAAUUGACACUUGACAACAAUGCGACUAUCAAACAAUGUGUCAAAAAUCAGUGCACAAAUAGCAAAGUUCAAUUGGUAAGAACCUUUUUACAUAUACACUAUGGUGUACACAAUUUAGUUUACGCUUCACCACGUGACGAUACCCUGCUGGACUAUUUAAAUUUCAAACAAUUUUCCCAUCCAACUGACACAUGACAACAAUGCAAGUGUCAUACAACAUGUUAAAAAUCAGUGUACAAAUAGCAAAGUAUAAUCGAUAAGAACCUUGCGACAUGUACACUAUGGUGUACACUUUAGUUUACACUUUACCAUGUGAUAUUAACCUGUUGGAUAGUUUAAAUUUGAAACAGUUUUCUCAUCCAAUCGACACUUGACAACAAUGCCAGUGUCAAACAACGUGCCAAAACUCAGUGUAUAAAUAGCAAAGUUCAAUCGGUAAGAACCUUACUACAUGUACACUAUGGUGUACACUUUAGUUUACACUUUACCACGUGACAUUACCCUAUUGGACAUUUUAAAUUUCAAAUAGAUUUCACAUCCAAUUGACGCUUGGCAACGAUGCAAGUGUCAAACAACGUGUCAAAAAUCAGUGUACUAAUAAAAAAGUUCAAUUGAUAUGGACCUUGCUACAUGUACAUUUUAGUUUACACUUUACCACUUGACAUUACCCUGUUGGAUAGUUUAAAUUUCAAACAGUUUUUCCAUCCAAUUGACACUUGACAACAAUGUAAGUGUCAAACGUGUCCAAAAUCAGUGUACAAAUAGAAAAGUUUAGUUGAUAAGAACCUUGCUGCAUAUACACUAUGACGUACACUUUAGUUUACACUUUGCCAUGUAACACUACCCUAUUUGACAGUUCAAAUUUCAAACAGUUUUCCUAUCCAAUUGACACAUGACAACAAUGCAAGUGUCAAACAACGUGUAAAAAAUCGAUGUACAAAUAGCAAAGUUCAAUCGGUGAGAACUUUGCGAGAUGUAAACUUUAAUUUACACUUUGCCACGUGAUAUUAACCUGUUGGGUAGCUAAAUUUCAAACAGUUUUCCCAUCCUAUUGACACUUGACAGACGUAAGUGUCAAACAAUGUUUCAAAAAUCAGAGUACAAAAAGCAAAGUUCAAUCGGUAUGAACCUUGCUACAAGUACACUUUAGUUUACACUUUACGACAUGACAUUACCGUGUCGGACAGUUUAAAUUUCAAACAGUUUUCCCAUCUAGUUGACACUUGACAACAAUGCAUGUGUCAAACUACGUGUCAAAUAUCAGUUUACAAUUAGCAAAGUUCAAUCGGUAAGAACCUUACUAUAUGUACACUAUGGUGUACACUUUAGUUUACACUUUGCCAUGUGACACUACCUGUUGGAAAGCUUAAAUUUCAAAUAGUUUUCACUUCCAAUAGACACUUGAGAACAAUGUAAGUGCCAAACAACAUGUCAAAAAUUAGUGUACAAAUAGCAAAGUUCAAUCGUUAUGAACCAUGCUACAUGCACACUAUGGUGUACACCUUUGUUUACACUUUACCACGUGACAUUACCCUAUUGGAAAGUUUAAAUUUCAAACAGUUUUCCCAUCUAAUUGACACUUGACAACAAUGUGAGUGUCAAACAAUGUGGCAAAAAUCAAUGUACAAAUAGCAAAGUUCAAUCGGUAAAAACCUUGCGACAUGUACACUAUGGUUUACACUUUUCCACGUGACAUUACCUUGCUGGACAGUUUAAAUUUCAAACAGUUUUCCCAUCCAAUUGACAUUUGACAACAAUGCAAGUGUCAAACAACAUGUCCAAAAAUAAAUGUACAAAUAGCAAAGUUGAAUCGGUAAGGACCUUGCUACAUGUCCACUUUAGUUUACAUUUUGCAACGUGACAUUACACUGUUGGACAAUUUAAAUUUCAAACAAUUUUCUCAUCCAAUUGAGACUUGACUACUAUGCAUGUGUCAAACAACGUGUCAAAUCUGUGUACAAAUAGAAAAGUUCAAUCGGUAAGAAACAUGCUACAUGUACCCAAUGGUAUACACUUUGCCACGUGACAUUACCCUAUUGGAUAAUUUAAAUUUCAAACAGUUUUUCCUUUCAAUUGACACUUGACAACAAUGCAAGUUUCAAACAACGUGUCAAAAUCAGUGUACAAAUAGCAAAGUUCAAUCGGUAAGAACCUUGCGAGAUGUACACUAUGGUGUACACUUUAGUUUACACUUUGCGACGUGACAUUAACCUGUUGGGUAGAUAAAUUUCAAACAAUUUUUCCAUCCAAUUGACACUUGACAACUAUGCAAGUGUCAAACAAUGUUUCAAAAAUCAUUGUACAAAUAGCAAAGUUCUAUCGGUAUGAACCUUGCUACAAGUACACUUUAGUUUACACUUUACGACGUGACAUUACCCUGUUGGACAGUUUAAAUUUCAAACAGUUUUCUCAUCCAAUUGUCACCUGACAACAACGUAGGUGUAAAAGAACGUGUCAAAAAUCAAUGUAGAAAUAGUAAAAUUCAAUCAGUAAGGACCUUGCUACAUGUACACUAUGGUGUACACUUUAGUUUACACUUUGUAACGUGACAUUACGCUGUUGGACAGUUUAAAUUUCAAACAGUUUUCCCAUCCACUUGACACUUGACAUAAUGAUCAUCUACAUGGAAUUUCAUAUAGGCAACCUAGGUUCGAAUCACAAUCUAGAUGUUUUUUAUAAAACUUUCAUAUAAAUUAUCUUUAUGGCUUAGAGACUCUUCAAAUUCUUAGCUAAAGACUAAAUUUAAUAAAUUUAAUGAUAAUACAACUCUCCGGCUUAAUUUUUCAUUAAAAAGAAAGGUUAUAGAAGUGGAAGGUCACUUUUUCACUACACUCCUCUUCAAAUUCGAAUUUCAUCUCAUUUUCUCUCAAAAAAAUAUAUUUCAUAUCAAGUUAAGCUUAAGGAAUAACAAGGGUGGGAAGAAGGAAGGCUUUCUAUGCAUUUUGUUCUUUUAUCCCAGAAAAUUCAAGGUAGGUAGAGGUGCAAGUGUUCAUUCGUUUUCAAAUCUGAUUUCUAGAUGAAUGUUUAAAUGAAAUGGUACCUUUGGGUACGGUGCUUCGGCACUACAAUAGUUUGAAUGAUCAUUCUUCGGCUCUACAUGUUAUGAUAAUGCUAUAGUAAUUGGAUUUUGCCAGAAAUCCAUCUACGUGCAACGGUAUGAAUUUAUAGUUCGAAAUUUCUAAUUUGAUAACGAAUUGCACCGAUGAUAUCUAUUAAGUUUCAAACUCAUGGGUUAAUUCCCUUCCUACAAGUUGAAUAGACUUUCCUUGGGGCGUAGAUGAUGGUAAACGAUGAUACAACAUGUCAUGGAGAAGCCGGUGAUUUACAUCUUUAGUUGAUUUUGAGAUGUUUACACUUUCUUUAAAUUUGAUUCCUACGAAUAUUGUGUGAAUCUAUUUUACGAACACUCAUUAUGAAUAAUUAUGUUUGGAUGUAGAUAUGCGUCAUAGGAAUAUAUUUACAAAUCACCGUAUACAAAAAAAAAAAAGUUAGCGACUUAAAGUUUUGAUAUCUCUUCAGAAAUUUCAGUUUUUGCCUCAUCUUUAAAAAAAAUCAUAACUCUUUCGUUACUUGGUAUUUUUAUACAAAACCAAUUGGAUUGGAUAGCUUAAUAAGUUAGCUACUGAAUAAAAUUGGAAUCAUGUCAAUCCAACAUCGGUAAAAGGUUAUAUGUCACAUAAAUUAAACUAUGCUGGGUGCUAUCUCUGUUUUUCAGCUUCUACCCUUAUUUUCAAAAAAAAUCAUAACUCACUCGUUACUUUGAAUUUUUGGAUGAAACUAAUUGGAUUUGAUAAUAUCAUGGAUUAGCUACUGAAUAAAUUUUAAAUCAUGUAGUUUUGACGUUGGUGGAAUUUCAUAUCCCAUUUUAAGUGAACUGCACUGGUUUACCUUUCAACCGGGUCGCUUUGAGUUUUGAAAAAUAUUUUAAUACCCCAUAUGACAUCGACGGAAGCUAAUUUUUGACUAAAUCAUAUUAUAAGGAGUUUAAUACCUUACAUUAAAAUUUGAUGAAGUUUCAAGGUCGAUAGCUAUGAGAAAUAUUUAUUUUGACAAUUACUAUUUGAGACAAAAAAAACUGGAACAGCAACAUUACUUUUAAGUUUUGCCAAAAAUUUCACGUCAAUAGUCGUUACAUGCAUGGAACCCGUUCUAAAAAUAUUUUUUGAAAUUUUUUUCUUUUAGAAUUGAAUUAUUGUUUAAAAAAAAGAAAAUUCUUUAAAAUUCUAAAAUUUAAUAUUUAUACCUUCUACUAAAAAUAUAUGGAACUAACUUUACGGCUAAGGUACAUUGGUUGAGUGACGUUUCCGUCCAUGCGGGUCGGGGCGUUACAGCGUGGUAUCAGAGCACGAGUCUUGUCGAUUCUGUAGACUUAGUGUAUUUUAUUUAUGAAAUGAAAAAAAAUGAAACAUUUAAGGCACUCCAUGGCAUCUUGCGUCUAUCAGUUGACCUCAUCCAAAGAACCCAAGGUAUGGAAUAAAAUAUUAUGUUCCACAUUAAUUUUUUCGAGCAUGAUUUUUUUAAUCAUUUAAGCUUGAAUCUAUGAAAAAUGCUUAUGACGUUUUGAAUGAAAUAUGCUAUGUACAAUAUAUUUUGUUUAAAUAUACGUGAAGAAAUGAUGAUUGGCCAUCAUAUUGAACCUCGAGAGCAUAAUGUAUAAGUUGAUAUCACUAAUGAAGAUAACACAUAAUUGGACACUUAUGUGACAGACAUGGCUAGAACUUAUCAGACCGCUAGAAAGGCCACAAUUUGUAUAGCAGUGUUGAACCGUAGGGCCAUCAUCCAGUCCUAUGAGAACUGUGUGACUGACCGGUCUCAUCCACUUAUUGAACACGUAUAUGAUAUCUAUGAGAGAUGUAUGGCAGCUGUAGAUGCGGGACUAGAGAUCUCGCAUAUCGAGGAUGUGAAUAACCUUAUACAUUCACUUCUACCUCAGUGGGGAAACAUGGGAGUCAUUGUUAGGGAUGAGAUGCUAGAGGGUAACCAUCCAGAGCACCUAAAUACAAUUGAAUUUGGUAUAUAUUGUUAGACCUUUCUAGAUAGAUGGAGUGAGAGUUUAGAACCCCAACUGGAGAUAGCAAUUGAGCCCAAUAAUGAGGUUGAGCUUGAGCUCGAGCCAGAACCUCAGUUUGAAUCAGACCCAGAUGAAGAUCCCAAAUGGGAGCAUGAGGUUGACUUUAGGUUGGACUUAGAGAAUGAUCUUGAGCAUGAACCUGAGCCACAGGUUGAGAUGGACCUAGAGUCAGGGCCUGAGACAGGAGACUCCUCCGAAGAUGAGGCUCCACCGAAGAAGAUUCACAAGAUUCAUAGGGAUUAGAAAUUUAGAUUUCCAUUUCCUUGUGAGAUAUUAUAUCUUAUCUCUAGGAAAAUGUCUGAGCAAACCAGAACAACUUGAUAAAGGAUCUCCUGCAAGCGGUUUAAGAUCUUGGCAGGCUGAAUCAAAAUCCCGCUCCACCUACACCACCAGCUUCUAUUACUCUUCUGACUCAUACCUCGGUAGUUGAGUUAUUUCGAAGGCAUAAGCCCCCUACCUUCGAUGGAGCAUCUGGUCCACUAGUAGUUGAGGAAUGGCUUCGUAAGCUAGAAUGAAUUUUUCGGCUCAUAGACUACACUGAUGCCCAAAGGGUUCAAUGUGCGGAGUUUAUGUUUACCAGUGAUGCAAGUCACUGGUGGGAUUUGAUGUCCUGAACUAGGACUCCGGAGCAGCAAUUGGCAAUAACUUGGGAACAAUUCAAGGAGGAAGUGAUGGACAAAUAUUUUCCUCAAUCUCUAAGGGAUUUCAAAGAGAACGAAUUCCUUCAACUCAAGCAGGGUAAUAUAUCCCUAACGAAUUAUGAGCGGAAGUUUGAUCAACUCUCAAGGUAUGCUCCACAUCUGGUUGACGUGAAAAUUAAGAAAACUCGAAGGUUCGAGCAAGGGUUCAACCCAGACCUAAGUAUGAUCCUUAUGUCACAUCGCUUCACGUCGUACCGUGAGAUGUUGGAAUGAGCUCACGCUAUUUGGUAUCAAAAGGCUAAUGCAGAGCAACAUCGUCAAUUGUAUAACCAGUAGGAUAAAGGGCAAAUUGGAAAGAGAAAGUGGAAUGGUCAAGACAAAGGAAUGGGCAAAUGGCAAAAUAAGAAAGUUAAUAUCGGAUCUAUUGCCAGUAAGGCCAUGGUAGCUGCAGUAGCGCCAUACCUUAAGUGUGGUAAGCCUCAUCGUGAUGAAUGCUUGUAUGGGAAGAAUGCUUAUUUUUGGUGUGGCAAAUCAGGACAUAUUGCUAGGGAUUGUCCCACAUUUGCUCAGAGAAAGGAUGAUAACAAUGAUCAGAACAAGAAGGGAAAAGCACAAGUUUUUACAUUGACUCAAAAAGAUGUAGAGGGGAACUCAAACGUAAUAACAGGUAUUUUACUGGUAGCCAAUACACCUGCUUAUAUACUGUUUGAUUCAGGAGCUACUCACUCUUUUGUAUCAACGUCUUUUAUUGAUAAAUCUAGUAUUACUUGUAAUAAGUCAAAGAGUACACUAGAAGUUAGCCUCCCCUCAGGCAGGACAUUGAACACAGACAAGUUAGCCAAGUCAGUAAAAUUCGAUAUUGAGGAAAAAACCUUAGAAGCUAAUUUGUAUAUGAUAGAUAUGAAGGACUCUGAUGUGAUUUUGGGCAUAGAUUGGUUAGGAUGUAAUUAUGCGACCAUUCGUUGUAGAGAAAGGGAAGUGUCUUUUCAAAAACCAGGAGAAGAACAAUUUUCUUUCCUCGGAAUAAAGACCAAACCCCAUCUCUUGCUGGUUUUAGCCUUACAAGCCGAGAAAAUAUUGAGAAAAGAAACAUUUCAGGGGUUUCUAUUUAAUAUCUUUGGAGAAAAAUGGGCAACGACAAAGAUUGAUGUACCAAUGGUACAAGAAUUUAUAGAUGUGUUUUCAGAAGAUCUACUGGGUAUUUCACCAGAUAGAUAAGUGGAAUUCACAAUAGAUCUAGUUCUCGGAGCGGCUCCAGUAUCUAAAGCCCCAUACAGAAUGGCCCCAAAGGAACUUCAGGAGUUGAAAAUCCAGUUACAAAAAUUGUUAGACCUUGGUUUUAUUCGACCAAGUGUAUCACCAUGGGGUGCACCAGUAUUGUUUGUAAAGAAGAAAGAUGGAAGUAUGAGGAUGUGUAUCGACUAUCGGGGUUGGACCGUUUGACCAUCAAGAAUAGGUAUCCUCUCCCUAGAAUUGAGGAUUUGUUUGAUCAAUUGAAAGGGACUAAGGCAUUUUCUAAGAUCGAUUUACGAUCUGGAUAUCAUCAAUUGAAGGUUAAGGUAGAUGAUAUACCUAAGACAGCUUUCAGAACUCGUUAUGGACAUUACGAGUUCACAGUUAUGGCAUUCGGAUUGACAAAUGCUCUGACAGUGUUCAUGGAUCUGAUGAAUCGAGUAUUUCAUCAGUAUUUGGAUCAAUUUGUUAUAGUCUUCAUUGAUGACAUUUUGAUAUACUCCAAGAGUAAAGAUCAACAUGAGGAACAUCUUAGAAUAGCGUUAGAGAUACUACGCAAGGAAAAGUUAUACGCCAAAUUUAAAAAGUGCGAAUUUUGGCUUGAACGAGUUGGAUUUCUCGAUCAUGUAGUUAUUGCCCAAGGAAUUGAAGUGGACCUAGUAAAGGUGAAAGCAGUAACUAAUUGGAAGACACCGAUUAAUGCUGGUAAAGUUUAAAGUUUUCUAGGAUUGGCUGGGUACUAUCGAAGAUUUAUAGAGGAAUUUUCCAAAAUAGCUGGACCAAUGACACAAUUGACAAGGAAAGGAGUAAAGUUGCAAUGGACAGAUAAGUGUGAGCAAAGCUUUCAGGAGCUAAAACAACGAUUGAUCACAGCACCUAUAUUAACCAUACCUAAAGGUUCAGAAGGGUUUGUUAUAUAUAGUGAUGCAUCCAAGCAAGCUUUGGGAUGUGUACUGAUGCAGCAUGGAAAAGUAAUUACCUAUGCUUUAACGCCAUUGAAGCAACAUGAGCAGAACUACCCGACGCAUGAUCUAGAACUUGCGGCAGUGGUAUGGCGCCAUUACUUAUAUGGAGGAAAGUGAAAUAUUUAUACGGAUCAUAAGAGUCUCAAAUAUUUCUUCACAUAGAAGGAAAUGAAUAUGAGACAGAGAUGAUGGUUGGAGCUAGUGAAAGAUUAUGAUUGCACUAUUCAUUAUCAUCUGGGUAAGGCUAAUGUUGUUGCUGAUGCUCUAAGCAGAAAGUAGACGGGACAGUUGGCAUCAUUACAUACUAUUUCGAUGGAGUUGAUCAAAAACUUAGAAAAGUUACAAAUUGAAGUGAUUACCACACCAGAACAAGUCACUGCUCAAUUUGCAACUUUGGUGGUUCGACCUAUUCUUAGAGACCGGAUCAUAGAAGCACGGGAUAAAGACCCUUUCUUGCAGAAGAUCAAGAACGAGAUUGGUACUGAUAAGAGAAAGGAUUUUGGAAUAGCUUCGGAUCAGGCACUAAUGUUUAAAGGAAGAAUUUGUGUGCCAAAUGAUGAAGUUUUGAGGAAGGAGAUAUUGGAGGAGGCUCAUUCCACCCCGUAUGCCGCACAUCCUGGUGGUACAAAAAUGUAUCGAGACCUUCAAAAUACAUUUUGGUGGAGGAAUAUGAAAAGAAGUAUAGGUUCAUUUCUGGCAAAAUGUAUAGUAUGCCAAUAAGUUAAAGCGGAACAUCAAAAAUUGGCAGGGUUAUUAAAUCCAUUAGACAUACCUCAAUGGAAGUGGGAGAAUAUCGUAAUGAACUUUAUGGUAGGAUUUCCAAGGUCAGCAAGAGGAUAGAAUGCUAUAUGGGUAAUAGUGGAUCAUCUAACAAAGUCCGCCAUUUUCUUCCAGUAAAAAUGACAUUCAGUCUAGAUCAGCUGGCGCAGUUGUACAUUAGAGAGACUGUAAGAUUGCGUGGUGUCCCCGUGUCCAUUGUAUCUGAUAGAGAUCCGAGAUUUACGUCAAAGUUUUGGAAGAGCUUACAAGGAGCUAUGGGAAUGAAAUUGAAUUUCAGUACAGCAUAUCACCCUCAAUUUGAUGGUCAGUCUAAAAGGACCAUUCAAACUUUGGAAGAUAUGCUAAGGGCUUGUGUUCUGGAUCUAGGAGGUAGUUGGGAAUCAUAUAUACCUCUGGUAGAAUUUGCACAUAAUAAUAGUUUCCAAGCAACUAUUGGAAUGGCACCGUAUGAAGCUCUUUAUGGUAGAAAAUGCAGAUCACCUGUUCAUUGGGACGAAGUUGGAGAAAAGAGAGUUUUGAGACCAGAGAUCAUUGAAAGAAUAGUUGAAGCCAUUGAUAAGAUCCGUACCAAGAUAAAGGCCGCGCAAGAUAGACAAAAGAGCUAUGCAGAUACCGAGAGAAAAGACUUAGAAUUUGAAAUUGGAGAGAAAGUCUUUCUAAAGGUGGCACCAAUAAAGGGUGUACUUAGGUUUGGCAAGAAAGGUAAACUACGACCUCGUUAUAUCGGACCUUUUGAAAUACUUGAUAGAGUUGGAAAUGUGGGUUUUCGAUUGGCGUUGCCACCUGAACUAUCGACAGUUCACAAUGUGUUUCAUGUAUCGAUGAUCAAAAAGUAUAUGCACGAUCCUGAUCAUGUGGUCAACUACCAAUCCUUGGAAGUACAAAAUGACUUAUCUUAUGAGGAAUUACCGAUCAAGAUACUGGAUCGAAAGGUACAUAAAUUACGGAACAAGGAGAUUCAACUAGUCAAGGUACAAUGGAAUAAUCAUGGAAUAGAAGAAGCUACUUGGGAAAGAGAAGAAGAAGUUAAAGACAAAUACCCAACACUCGUUGUCCAACCAUAAGGUAAAUUUCAAGGACGAAGUUAUAUUUAAGAUGUAAGGGUUGUAGUAGCCGAGAAAAAUAAAAUGAAAUUUUGCUAAUAUUUUGUGAUGAUCUAGCACCACGAGCCUAACCCAUUUUAGAAACGACCUUUGGAAGCUCAACCCAUGUAAGAUUACGAAAGCCCAAGUCAUAAGUUAAUUAAAAGCCCAAUAAUUUAAGAGAUUAAGUUUAAGUAAAUUUGAUUACAACGAUUUAAUGAAUAACUUGGUUGCCACAAUGGUCAUCUACAUGGAAUUUCAUAUAGGCAACCCAGGUUCGAAUAACCAUGUAGAUGUUUUUUAUAAAACUUUCAUAUGAAUUAUUUUUAUGGCUUAGAGACUCUUCAAAUUCUUAGUUAAUGACUAAAUUUAAUAAAUUUAAUGAUAAUACAACUCCCCCACUUAAUUUUUCAUUAAAAAGAAAGGUUAUAGAAGUGGAAAGUCACUUUUUCACUACACUCCUCUUCAAAUCCGAAUUUCAUCUCAUUUUCUCUAAAAAAUAUAUAUUUCAUAUCAAGUUAAGCUUAAGAAAUAACAAGGGUGAGAAGAAGGAAGGCUUUCUAUACAUUUUGUUAUUUUAUCCAAGAAAAUUCAAGGUAGGUAGAGGUGCAAGUGUUCAUUCGUUUUCAAAUAUGAUUUUUUCGAUAAAUGUUUAAAUGAAAUGGUAUCUUCAGGUAAGGUGCUUCGGCACUACAAUAGCUUGAAUGAUCAUUCUCCGGCUCUACGUGUUAUGAUAAUACUAUAGUAAUUGAAUUUUGCCGGAAAUCCAUCUAGGUGCGACAUUAUGAAUCUAUAGUUCGGAAUUUCUAAUUUGAUAAAGAAUUGCACUGAUAUCUAUUGAAUUUCAAACUCAUAGAUUAAUUCCCUUCCUACAGGUUGAAUGGAUUUUCCUUGGGACGUAGAUGAUGGUAAAGGAUGAUGCAACAUGUCAUGGAGAAGUCGGUGAUUUACAUCGUUAGUUGAUUUUGAGAUGUUUACACUUCCUUUAAAUUUGAUUCCUAUGAAUAUUGUGUGGAUCUAUUUUACGAACACUCAUUAUGAAUAAACUAUGUUUGAAAGUAGAUAUGCGUCAUAGGAAUGAAUUUACAAAUCACCGUAUACAUAAAAUAAAUAAAUAAAUAAAUAAAAAUUUGCGACUUAAAGUUUUGAUGUCUCUGUAGAAAUUUUAGUUUCUUCCUCAUCUUUAAAAAAAUCAUAACUCUUUCAUUUCUUGGUAUUUUAUAUGAAACCAAUUAGAUUGGAUAGCCUAAUAAGUUAGAUACUGAAUAAAAUUGGAUUCAUGUCAAUCCAAUAUCGGUAAAAGGUUAUAUGUCACAUAAAGUAAAUUGUGUUGGGUGCUGUUUCUGUUUUUCAGCUUCUACCCUUGUUUUCAAAAAUUCAUGACUCACUCGUUACUUGGAAUUUUUGGAUGAAACCAAUUGGAUUUGAUAGUCUCAUAGAUUAUCUACUGAAUAAAUUUAAAAUCAUGUGGUUUUAACAUCGGUGGAAUUUAUAUGCCAUUUUAAGUGAACUGCACCGGUUUAACUUUCAACCGGGUCGCUGCUAAGUUUUGAAAAAUUAUUUUAAUACCCUGUAUGAUGUCGACGGAAGCUAAUUUUUGACUAUGUCAUAUUAUAAGGAGUUUACUACCUUACAUUAAAAUUUGAUGAAAUUUCAAGGUCGAUAACUAAGAUGCCCCUCAUGUUGAUCUUUACUCUUGGAGUAUAUCAAAAUGUCAUCAAUGAAGACUAUGAUAAAUUGAUCCAAAUACUGAUGAAAUACUCGAUUCAUCAGAUCCAUGAACACUGCCGGAGCAUUUGUCAAUUCUAAUGGCAUAACUGUGAACUCGUAAUGUCUAUAACGAGUUCUGAAAGCUGUCUUAGGUAUAUCAUCUGCCUUAACCUUCAAUUGAUGAUAUCCAGAUCGUAAAUCGAUCUUAGAAAAUGCCUUAGCCCCUUUCAAUUGAUCAAACAAAUCCUCAAUUCUAGGGAGAGGAUAUAUAUUCUUGAUGGUCAAACGGUUCAACUCCUGAUAGUCGAUACACAUCAUCAUACUUCCAUCUUUCUUCUUUACAAACGAUACUGGUGCGCCCCAUGGUGAUACACUUGGUCAAAUAAAACCAAGGUCUAACAAUUCUUGUAACUGGAUUUCAACUCCUGAAGUUCCUUUGGGGCCAUUCUAUAUGGGCCUUUAGAUACUGGCGCCUCUUCGGGAACCAGAUCUAUUGUGAAUUCCACUUGUCUAUCUGGUGGAAUACUCGGUAGAUCUUCUGGAAACACAUCUAUAAAUUCUUGUACCACUGGUACAUCCUCAAUCUUUGUCGUUGCCAUUUUUUCUUCAAAGAUAUUAACUAGAAACCCUUGAGAUGUUUCUUUUCUCAAUAUUUUCUCGGCUUGUAAGGCCGAAACCAGUUGGAGAUGGGGUUUGGUCUUUAUUUCGAGGAAAGAAAAUUGUUCUUCUCCUAGUUUUUGAAAAGAUACUUCCCUUUCUCUACAACGAAUGGUCGCAUAAUUAUAUCCUAACCAAUCCAUGCCCAAAAUCACAUCAAAGUCCUUCAUAUCUAUCAUAUACAAAUUAGCUUCUAAGGUUUUUCCCUCAAUAUCAAAUUUCACUGACUUAGCUAACUUGUCUGUGUUCAAUGUCCUACCUGAGGGGAGGCUAACUUCUAGUGUACUCUUUGACUGAUUACAAGUAAUACUAGAUUUAGCAAUGAAAGAUGUUAAUACAAAAGAGUGAGUAGCUCCUAAAUCAAGCAGUAUAUAAGCAGGUGUAUUAGGUAUGAGCGAAAUACCUGUUAUUACGUUUGAGUUCCCCUCUGCAUCUUUUUGAGUCAAUGUAAAAACUCGUGCUUUCCCUUUCUUAUUCUGAUCAUUGUUAUCAUCCUUCCUCUGAGUAAAUGUGGGACAAUCCCUAGCAAUAUGUCCUGAUUUACCACACCAAAAAUAGGCGUUAUUCCCAUACAAGCAUUCACCACGAUGAGGCUUACUACACUUAGGGCAUGGCGCUACUGCAGCUACCAUGGCCUUACUGGCGCUAGAUCCGAUAUUAACUUUCUUAUUUUGCCAUUUGCCCUUUCCUUUGUCUUGACCAUUCCACUUUAUCUUUCCAAUUUGCCCUUUAUCAUGUUGGUUGUGUAAUUGACAAUGUUGCUCUGCAUUAGCCUUUUGAUACCAGAUAGCGUGAGCUCGUUCUAGCAUCUCACGGUACGACGUGAAGCGAUGUGACAUAAGGAUCAUACUUGUUCUGAUUACCACACCAGAACAAGUCACUGCUCAUUUAGCAACUUUGGUGGUUCAACUUACUCUUAGAGAUCGGAUCAUAAAAGCACAGGAUAAAGACCCAUUCUUGCAGAAGAUUAAGAACGAGAUUGGUACUGAUAAGAGAAAGGAUUUUGGAAUAGCUUCGGAUCAGGCACUAAUGUUCAAAGGAAGAAUUUGUGUACCAAAUAAUGAAGUUUUGAGGAAGGAAAUAUUGGAGGAGGCUCAUUCUACCCCGUACGCCGCACAUCAUGGUGGUACAAAAAUGUAUCGAGACCUUCGAAAUACAUUUUGGUGGAGGAAUAUGAAAAGAAGUAUAGGUUCAUUUGUGGCAAAAUGCAUAGUAUGCCAAUAAGUUAAAGCGAACAUCAACGACUAGCAGGGUUAUUAAAUCCAUUAGACAUACCUCAAUGGAAGUAGGAGAAUAUCACAAUGGACUUUGUGAUAGGAUUUCCAAGGUCAGCAAGAGGACAGAAUGCUAUAUGGGUAAUAGUGGAUCGUCUAACAAAGUCCGCUCAUUUUCUUCCUGUAAAAAUGACAUUCAGUCUAGAUCAGCUGGCGCAGUUGUACAUUAGAGAGAUUGUAAGAUUGCAUGGUGUCCCCGUGUCCAUUGUAUCUGAUAGAGAUCCGAGAUUUACGUCAAAUUUUUGGAAGAGCUUACAAGGAGCUAUGGGAAUGAAAUUGAAUUUCAGUACAACAUAUCACCCACAAUCUGAUGGUCAGCCUAGAAGGACCAUUCAAACUUUGGAAGAUAUGCUAAGGGCUUGUGUCCUGGAUCUAGGAGGCAGUUGGGAAUCGUAUAUACCUCUGGUAGAAUUUGCAUUUAAUAAUAGUUUCCAGCAACUAUUGAAAUGGCACUGUAUGACGCUCUCUAUGGUAGAAAAUGCAGAUCACCUGUUCAUUGGGACGAAGUUGGAGAAAAGAGAGUUUUGAGACCAGAGAUCAUUGAGAGAACAGUUGAAGCCGUUGAUAAGAUCCGUAUCAGGAUAAAGGCCGUGCAAGAUAGACAAAAGAGCUAUGCAGAUACCAGGAGAAAAGAUUUGGAAUUUUAAGUUGGAGAGAAAGUCUUUCUAAAGGUGGCACCAAUAAAGGGUGUACUUUGGUUCGACAAGAAAGUCAAACUACGACCUUGUUAUAUCAGACCUUUUGAAAUACUUGACAGGGUUGGAAAUGUGGCUUAUCGAUUGGCAUUGCCACCUGAACUAUCAGCAGUUCACAAUGUGUUUCAUGUAUUGAUGAUCAAAAAGUAUAUGCAUGAUCCUGAUCAUGUGGUCAACUACCAAUCCUUGGAAGUACAAAAAGACUUAUCUUAUGAGGAAUUACCGAUCAAGGUAUUGGAUCGAAAGGUAUAUAAAUUACGAAACAAGGAGAUUCAACUAGUCAAGGUGCAAUGGAAUAAUCAUGGAGUAGAAAAAGCUACUUAGGAAAGAGAAGAAGAAGUUAAAGACAAAUACCCAACACUCUUUGUCCAACCAUAUGGUAAAUUUCGAGGACGAAAUUUUAUUUUAGGUGUAAGGGUUGUAGUAGCCGAGAAAAAUAAAAUGGAAUUAUGCUAAUAUUUUGUGAUGAUCUAUCACCAUGAGCCUAACCCAUUUUAGAAACGACCUUUGGAAGCUCAACCCAUGUAAGAUUACGAAAGCCCAAGUCAUAAGUUAAUUAAAAGCCCAAUAAUUUAAGAGAUUAAGUUUAAGUAAAUUUGAUUACAACGAUUUAAUGAAUAACUUGGUUGCCACAAUGGUCAUCUACAUGGAAUUUCAUAUAGGCAACCCAGGUUCGAAUAACCAUGUAGAUGUUUUUUAUAAAACUUUCAUAUGAAUUAUUUUUAUGGCUUAGAGACUCUUCAAAUUCUUAGUUAAUGACUAAAUUUAAUAAAUUUAAUGAUAAUACAACUCCCCCACUUAAUUUUUCAUUAAAAAGAAAGGUUAUAGAAGUGGAAAGUCACUUUUUCACUACACUCCUCUUCAAAUCCGAAUUUCAUCUCAUUUUCUCUCAAAAAAAAAUAUUUCAUAUCAAGUUAAACUUAAGGAAUAACAAGAGUGAGAAGAAGGAAGGCUUUCUAUACAUUUUGUUCUUUUAUCCAAGAAAAUUUAAGGUAGGUAGAUGUGCAAGUGUUCAUCAGUUUUCAAAUAUGAUUUUUCGAUCAAUAUUUGAAUGAAAUGGUACCUUCGAGUACAGCGCUUUGGCACUAAAACAGUUUGAAUGAUCAUUCUUUGGCUCUACGUGUUAUAAUAAUGCUAUAGUAAUUGGAUUUUGCCGGAAAUCCAUCUACGUGCGACGGUAUGAAUCUAUUGUUCGAAAUUUCUAAUUUGAUAACGAAUUGCACCGAUGAUAUCUAUUGAGUUUCAAACUCAUGGGUUAAUUCCCUUCCUAUAGGUUGAAUGAAUUUUUCUUAGGGCGUAGAUGAUGGUAAAGGAUGAUGCAACAUGUCAUGGAGAAACCGGUGAUUUACAUCUUUAGUUGAUUUUGAGAUGUUUACACUUUCUUUAAAUUUGAUUCCUAUGAAUAUUGUGUGGAUCUAUUUUACGAACACUCAUUAUGAAUAAAUUAUGUUUGAAAGUAGAUAUGCAUCAUAGGAAUAAAUUUACAAAUCACCAUAUAAAAAAAAAUUAGCGACUUAAAGUUUUAAUGUCUCUUCAGAAAUUUUAAUUUUUGUCUCAUCUUUAAAAAACUUAUAACUCUUUCGUUAUUUGGUAUUUUUAUACGAAAUCAAUUGGAUUGGAUAGCCUAAUAAGUUAGCUACUGAAUGAAAUUGGAAUCAUGUCAAUCCAAUAUCGGUAAAAGCUAAUAUGUCACAUAAAGUAAACUGUGCUGGGUGCUGUCUCUGUUUUUCAGCUUCUACCCUUGUUUUCAAAAAUUCAUAACUCACUCGUUACUUGGAAUUUUUGAAUGAAACCAAUUUUAUUUGAUAUUCUCAUCGAUUAGCUACUGAAUAAAUUUGAAAUCAUGUGGUUUUCACAUUGGUGGAAUUUUAUAUGCCAUUUUAAGUGAACUACACCGGUUUACCUUUCAACUGGGUCGCUGCAGAGUUUUGAAAAAUAUUUUAAUACCCCAUAUGAUGUCGACGGAAGCUAGUUUUUGACUAUGUCAUAUUAUAAGUAGUUUAAUACCUUACAUUAAAAUUUGAUGAAGUUUAAAGGUUGAUAGCUAUGAAAACAAAUUUAUUUUGACAAUUAUUGUUUGAGAAAAAAAAACUGGAACAGCAAUAUUACUUUUUAAGUUUUGCCAAAAUUUCAUGUCAAUAGUCGUUACAUGCAUGGAGCCCAUUCUAAAAAUAUUUUUGAAAUUUUUUUCUUUUAGAAUUGGAUUAUUUUUUAAAUAAAAAAAAAGAAAAUUCUUUAAUUAAAUUCUAAAAUUUAAUCAUUAUACGUUCUACUAAAAAUAUAUUGAACUAACUUUACGGCUAAGGUACAAUGGUUGAGUGACGUUUCCGUCCACGCGGGUCGGGGCGUUACCGCUGUAAGGGCCUUGCUACAUGUACACUAUGGUAUACACUUUAGUUUACACUUUGUCAUGUGACAUUACCUUGCUGGACAGUUUAAUUUCAAACAGUUUUCCAUCCCAUUGACACUUGACAACAAUGCAAGUGUCAAACAUUUGUCAAAAAUCAGUGUACAAAUAGCAAAGUUCAAUCCAUAAGAACCUUGCUACAUGUACAUUAUGUUGUACACUUUAGUUUACACCUUGCCACGUGACAUUACGCCGUUGGACAAUUUGAAUUUCAAACAGUUAUCCCAUCCAAUUAACACUUGACAACAAUGCAAAUGUCAAAAACCAACAUACAAAUAGCAAUUUUCCCAUCUAAUUGACACUUGACAACAAUGCAAGUGUCAAACAAUAUGUCAAAUAUUAGUGUACAUAUAGCAAAAUUCAAUCGGUAAGAACCUUGCUACAUGUACACUAUAGUGUACACUUUAGUUUACACUUAACCACAUGACAUUACCCUGUUGGACAUUUUAAAUUUCAAACAGUUUUUCCAUCUAAUUAACACUUGACAACAAUGUAAGUGUCAAACAACGUGUCAAAAAUCAGUGUACAAAUAGUAGUUUUCCCAUCCAAUUGACACUUGAAAACAAUGCAAGUGUCAAAAAAUAUGUCAAAAAUCAGUGUAAAAAGUGUAAAGUUCAAUCGGUAAGAACCUUGCUACAUGUACACUAUGGUGUGCACUUUAGUUUACACUUUGCCACGUGACACUACCCUGUUGGACACUUUAAAUUUUAAACUAUUUUUCCAUCCAAUUGACACUUGUCAACAAUUCAAGUGUCAAACAACAUGUCAAAAAUAAGUGUACAAAUAGUAAAGUUCAAUCGGUAAGAACCUUGUGACAUGUACACUAUGGUGUACACUUUAGUUCGCACUUUGCCACGUGACACUACCCUGUUGGACAGUUUAAAUUUCAAACAGUUUUUCCAUCCAAUUGACACUUGACAACAAUGAAAGUGUUAAACAACGUGUCAAAAAUCAGUGUACAAAUUGCAAUGUUCAAUCGGUAAGGACCUUGCUACAUGUACACAAUGGUGUACACUUUAGUUUAAACUUUGCCACGUGACAUUAGCUUGUUGGACAGUUUAAAUUUCAAAUAGUUUUCCCAUCCAAUUGACACUUGACAACAAUGCAAGUGUCAAACAACGUGUCAAAAAUUAGUGUACAAAUAGCAAAGUUCAAUCGGUAAGGACCUUGCUACAUGUACACUAUGGUGUACACUUUAGUUUACACUUUGCUACAUGACAUUACCGUGUUAGAAUAUUUAAAUUUCAAAUAAUUUUCCCAUCCAAUUGACACUUGACAACAAUGUAAGUGUCAAACAACAUGUCAAAAUUUAGUGUACAAAUAACAGUUUUCCCAUUCUAUUGACACUUGACAUUAAUGCAAGUGUCAAACAACCUGUUAAAAAUUACUGUACAAAUAGCAAAGUUCAAGUGGUAAGAACCUUGCUACAUGUACACUAUGAUGUACAUUUUAGUUUACACAUUUCCACGUGACAUUACCCUGUUGGAGAGUUUAAAUUUCAAACAGUUUUCCCUUCAAAUUGACACUUGACAACAAUGCAAGGGUCAAACAACGUGUCAAAAAUCAGUGUACAAAUUGCAGUGUUUAAUCGGUAAGGAUCUUGCUAUAUGUACACUAUGGUGUACACUAUAGUUUAAAGUUUGCCACGUGACAUUAGCCUGUUGGACAAUUUAAAUUUCAAAUAGUUUUCCCAUCCAAUUGAAACUUGAUAACAAUGCUAGUGUCAAACAACGUGUCAAAAAUCAAUGUACAAAUAGUAGUUUUCCAAUCCAAUUGACACUUGACAACAAUGCAAGUGUCAAACAGCGUGUCAAAAAUUAGUAUACAAAUAGCAAAGUUCUUUCAGUAAGAACCUUGUUACAUGUACGCUAUGGUGUACACUUCAGUUUACACUUUGCCACGUGACGUUACCCUGUUGGACUAUUUAAAUUUCAAACAGUUUUCCCAUCCAAUUGACACUUGACAACAAUGCAAAUGCCGAGCAACGUGUCGAAAAUCUGUAUACAAAUAGCAAAGUUCAAUCGAUAAGGAUCUUGCUACAUGUACACAAUGGUAUACACUUUAGUUUACACUUUGCCACGUGACAUUGCCCUGUUAGACAGUAUAAAUUUCUAACAAUUUUCCCUUCGAAUUAACACUUGACAACAAUGCAAGUGUCAAAUAAUGUGACAAAAAUCAAUGUACAAAUAGCAAAGUUCAAUCGAUAAGAACCUUGCUAUAUGUACACUAUGGUGUACACUUUAGUUUACACGCUGUCACGUGACAUUACCCUGUUGGACAGUUUAAAUCUCAAGCAGUUUUCCCAUCCAAUUGACACUUGACAACAAUGUAUGUGUCAAACAACAUGUUAAAAGUCAGUGUACAAAUAGCAGUUUUCCCUUCCAAUUGACACUUGACACUUGACAUUAAUGCAAGUGUCAAACAACGAGUCAAAAAUCAGUGUAAAAAUUGCAAAGUUCAAUCGGUAAGAACUUUGCUACAUAUACACUUUAGUUUACACAUUGCCACGUCACACUACCCUGUUGGAGAGUUUAAAUUUUAAACAGUUUUCUCAUCCAAUUGACACUUGACAACAAUUCAAGUGUCAAACAACGUGUCAAAAAUCAAUGUACAAAUUGCAAUGUUCAAUCAGUAAGGACCUUGCUACAUGUACACUAUGGUGUACACUUUAGUUUAAACUUUGUCACGUAACAUUAGCCUGUUGGACAGUUUAAAUUUCAAAUAGUUUUCUCAUCCAAUUGACACUUGACAACAAUGUAAGUGUAAAACAACGUGUCAAAAAUAAGUGUACAAAUAGCAAUGUUCAAUCGGUAAGGACCUUGCUACAUGUACACUGUGGUGUACACUUUAGUUUACACUUUGCCACGUGACAUUCCCCUACUGGACGGUUUAAAUUUCAAACAGUUUUCACAUCCAAUUGACACUUGACCACAAUGCAAGUGUCGAAAAUCUGUGUACAAAUAGCAAAGUUCAAUCGGUAAAAACUUUGCUAUAUGUACACUAUGGUGUACACUUUUGUUUACACUUUUCCACGUGACAUUACCCUAUUGGACAGUUUAAAUUUCAAACAGUCUUUCCAUCCAAUUGAAACUUGACAACAAUGCAAGUGUCAAACAAUGUGUCAAAAAUCAAUGUAUAAAUAGUACUUUUCCCAUCCAGUUGACACUUGAAGACAAUACAAGUGUCAAACAACGUGUCAAAAAUCAGUGUACAACUAGCAAAGUUCGAUCGGUAAGAACCUUAUUAUAUGUACGCUAUGUGUACAUUUUAGUUUACAAUUUACCACGUGACAUUACUCUGUUGGACAGUUUAAAUUUCAAAUAAUUUUACCAUCCAAUUGAUAAUUGACAUUAAUGCAAGUGUCAAACAACGAGUCAAAAAUCAGUGUAAAAAUUGCAAAGUUCAAUCGGUAAGAACUUUGCUACAUGUACACUUUAGUUUACACAUUGCCACGUCACACUACCCUGUUGGAGAGUUUAAAUUUUAAACAGUUUUCUUAUCCAAUUGACACUUGAAAACAAUGCAAGUGUCAAACAAUGUGUUAAAAAUCAGUGUGCAAAUAGCAAAAUUCACUCGGUAAGAACCUAGCUACAUGUGCACUGUUGUGUACACUUUAGUUUCCACUUUGCCACGUGACAUUACCCCUUUGGACAGUUUAAACUUGAAAUAGUUUUCCCAUCCAAUUGACACUUGAUAACAAUGCAAGUGUCAAACGACGUGUCGAAAAUCAGUGUACAAGUAGUAAAGUUCCAUCGGUAAGAACUUUAUGACAUGUACACUAUAGUGUACACUUUAGUUUAGACUUUGCCACAUGACACUACCCUGUUGGACAGUUCAAAUUUCAAACAGUUUUUCCCAUCCAAUUGAGACUUAACAACGUGUCAAAAUUCAGUGUACAAAUCACAAUGUUCAAUCUGUAAGGACCUUGCUACAUGUACACUAUGGUGUACACAUUAGUUUCCACUUUGCCACGUGACAUUACCCUGUUGGACAGCUUGAAUUUCUAACAGUUUUCGCAUCCAAUUGACACUUGACGAAAAUGUAAGUGUUAAACGACGUGUCAAAAAUCAGUGCACAAAUAGAAAAGUUCAGUUGGCAAGCUACAUGUGCACCAUGGUGUACACACUUGAGUUUACACUUUGCCACGUGCAAUUACCCUGUUGGAUAGUUUAAAAUUCAAAUAGUUUUCCAAUCCAAUUGAUGCUUGGUAACAAUGCAACUGUCAAACAACGUGUAGAAAAUAUGUGUACAAAUAACAAAGUUCAUCGGUAAGGACCUUGCUACAUGUACACUAUGGUGUAUACAUUAGUUUACACUUUGUCACAUGACAUUACCCUAUUGGACAAUUUAAAUUUCAAACAAUUUUCUGAUCAAAUUGAAACUUGACAACAAUGCAAGUGUCAAACAACAUGUCAAAAAUUAGUGUACAAAUAGCAAAAUUCAAUCGGUAAGAACCUUGCUACAUGUACACUAUGGUGUACACUUUAGUUUACACGUUGCCACAUGACAUUACCCUGUUAGAUAGUUUAAUUUUCAAAUAAAUUUCCCAUCCAAUCGACACUUGACAACAAUACAAGUGUCAAACAAUGUGUUGAAAAUUAGUGUACAAAUAACAAAGUUCAAUCGGUAAGAACAUUGCUACAUAUACACUAUGGUGUACACUUUAGUUUACACUUUGCCACGUGACAUUAUCCUAUUGGACAGUUUAAAUUUAAAACAAUUUUCAAAUACAAUUGACACUUGACAACAAUGCAAGCAUCAAACAACGUGUCAAAAAUCAGUGUACAAAUAGGAAAGUUCAAUCCUUAAGAACCUUCCUACAUGUACACUGUGGUGUACACUUUAGUUUACACUUAGCCACGUGACAUUACCCUGUUGGACAGUUUAAUUUCAAACAGUUUUCCCAUCAACUUCACACUUGACAACAAUGCAAGUGUCAAACAACGUGUCAAAAUUAGUGUACAAAUAGCAAUGUUCAAUCGGUAAGGACCAUGCUACAUUUACACUAUGUUGUACACUUUAGUUUACACUUUGUCACGUGACAUUACCCUGUUGGACAGUUUAAAUUUUAAAUAGCUUUCCCUUCCAAAUGGCACUUGACAACAAUGCAAGUGUCAAAAAAUGUGUCAAAAAUCAUUGUACAAAUAGCAAAGUUCAUCGGUAAGGACCUUGCUACAUGUACACUAUGGUGUAUACAUUAGUUUACACUUUGUCACAUGACAUUACCCUAUUGGACAAUUUAAAUUUCAAACAAUUUUCUGAUCAAAUUGAAACUUGACAACAAUGCAAGUGUCAAACAACAUGUCAAAAAUUAGUGUACAAAUAGCAAAAUUCAAUCGGUAAGAACCUUGCUACAUGUACACUAUGGUGUACACUUUAGUUUACACGUUGCCACAUGACAUUACCCUGUUAGAUAGUUUAAUUUUCAAAUAAAUUUCCCAUCCAAUCGACACUUGACAACAAUACAAGUGUCAAACAAUGUGUUGAAAAUUAGUGUACAAAUAACAAAGUUCAAUCGGUAAGAACAUUGCUACAUAUACACUAUGGUGUACACUUUAGUUUACACUUUGCCACGUGACAUUAUCCUAUUGGACAGUUUAAAUUUAAAACAAUUUUCAAAUACAAUUGACACUUGACAACAAUGCAAGCAUCAAACAACGUGUCAAAAAUCAGUGUACAAAUAGGAAAGUUCAAUCCUUAAGAACCUUCCUACAUGUACACUGUGGUGUACACUUUAGUUUACACUUAGCCACGUGACAUUACCCUGUUGGACAGUUUAAUUUCAAACAGUUUUCCCAUCAACUUCACACUUGACAACAAUGCAAGUGUCAAACAACGUGUCAAAAUUAGUGUACAAAUAGCAAUGUUCAAUCGGUAAGGACCAUGCUACAUUUACACUAUGUUGUACACUUUAGUUUACACUUUGUCACGUGACAUUACCCUGUUGGACAGUUUAAAUUUUAAAUAGCUUUCCCUUCCAAAUGGCACUUGACAACAAUGCAAGUGUCAAAAAAUGUGUCAAAAAUCAUUGUACAAAUAGCAAAGUUCAUCGGUAAGGACCUUGCUACAUGUACACUAUGGUGUACACUUUAGUUUACACUUUGUCACGUGACAUUACCCUGUUGGACAGUUUAAAUUUUAAAUAGCUUUCCCUUCCAAAUGGCACUUGACAACAAUGCAAGUGUCAAACAACGUGUCAAAAUUAGUGUACAAAUAGCAAUGUUCAAUCGGUAGGACCUUGCUACAUUUACACUAUGUUGUACACUUUAGUUUACACUUUGUCACGUGACAUUACCCUGUUGGACAGUUUAAAUUUUAAAUAGCUUUCCCUUCCAAAUGGCACUUGACAACAAUGCAAGUGUCAAAAAAUGUGUCAAAAAUCAUUGUACAAAUAGCAAAGUUCAAUCAGUAAGGACCUUGCAACAUGUACACUAUGUUGUACACUUAAUUUACACUUUUCCACGUGACAUUAUCCUGUUAGACAGUAUAAAUUUCUAAUAAUUUUCCCAUCAAAUUAACACUUGACAACAAUGCAAGUGUCAAAUAAUGUGUCAAAAAUCAGUGUACAAAUAGCAAAGUUCAAUCGAUUAGAACCUUGCUAUAUGUACACUCUGGUGUACACUUUAGUUUACACUUUGCCACAUGACACUAACCUGUUGGACAGUUUAAAUUUGAAACAGCUUUCCCAUCCAAUUGAGAAUUGAUAACAAUGUAAGUGUCAAACAACGUGUCGAAAAUCUGUGUACAAAUAGCAAAGUUCAAUCGGUAAGGACCUCGCUACAAGUACACCAUGGUGUACACUUUAGUUUACACUUUGUCACGUGACAUUACCCUAUCGGACAGUUUGAAUUUCAAAUAGUUUUCCCUUCCAAUUGACACUUGACAACAAUGCAAGUGUCAAAAAAUGUGUCAAAAAUCUACAUACAAAUAGCAAUGUUCAAACGGUAAGGACCUUACAACACGUACACUAUGGUGUACACUUUAGUUUACACUUUGCCACGUGACAUUACCCUGUUAGACGGUGCAAAUUUCUAACAAUUUUCCCAUCGAAUUGACACUUGACAACAAUGCAAAUGUCAAACAACAUGUCGAAAAUCAGUGAACAAAUAGCAAAAUUCAAUCGGAAAGAACCUUGCUACAUGUACACUAUGGUGUACACUUUAAUUUACACCUUGCCACGUGACAUUACCCUCUUGGAAAUUUUAAAUUUCAAAUAGUUUUCCCAUCCAAUUGACACUUGACAACAAUGUAAGUGUCAAACAACGUGUCAAAAAUCAGUGUACAAAUAGCAAAGUUCAAUCAUUAAGGACCUUGCUACACGUAUACUUUAGUUUACACUUUGUCACGUGACAUUACACUGUUUAACAGUUUUAAUUUCAAACAGUUUCCCCAUACAAUUGACACUUGACAACAAUGCAAGUGUUAAACAACGUGUCAAAAAUCAAUGUACAAACAGCAAAGUUCAAUCGGUAAGAACCUUGCUACAUGUACACUGUGGUAUACACUUUAGUUUACACUUUGCCACGUGACAUUACCCUGUUGGAUAGUUUUAAUUUCAAACAGUUUUCCCAUCCCAUUCACCUUGACAACAAUGCAAGUGUCAAACAACGUGUCAAAAAUUAAUGUACAAAUAGCAAAGUUCAAUUGUUAAGCACCGUGCUACAUGUACACUAUGGGAUACACUUUGGUUUACAAUUUUCCCUGUGACAUUACACCGUUAGACAGUUUAAAUUUCAAAUAGCUUUCCCAUCCAUUUCACACUUGACAACAAUGCAAGUGUCGAAAACCAGCGUACAAAUAGCAAUGUUCAAUCGAAAAGAACCUUUUUAUAUGUACACUAUAGUGUACACUUUAGUUUACACUUUACCACAUGACAUUACCCUGUUUGACAGUUUAAAUUUCAAAUAGUUUUCCCAUCCAAUUGACCCUUAACAACAAUGCAAGUGUCAAACAACGUGUCAAAAAUCAGUGUACAAAUAGCAAAGUUCAAUCGUUAAGGAUCUUGCUACGUGUACACUAUGGUGUACACUUUAGUUUUCACCUUGCCACGUGAUAUUACCCUGUUGGGCAAUUUAAUUUUUUAACAAUUUUCCCAUCAAUUGACACUUGACAACAAUGCAAGUGACAAACAACGUGACAAAAAUUUGUGUACAAAAAGCAAAGUUCAGUCGGUAAGGACCUUGCUACAUUACACUAUAGUGUACACUUUAGUUUACAAUUUGCCACAUGACAUUACCCUGUUGGACAGUUUAAAGUUCAAAUAUUUUUCCCAUCCAAUUGACACUAGACAACAAUGCAAGUAUCAAACAACGUGCCAAAAAUCAGUGUACAAAAAGCAAAGUUCAAUUGGUAAGAAUUUUGCUACAUGUACACUAUGGUGUACGCUUUAGUUUAUACUUUGCCUCGUGAUAUUACCCUAUUGGACAUUUUAUAUUUCAAAUAUUUUUCCCAUCCAAUUGACACUUGACAACAAUGCAAGUGUCAAAAACGUGUCAAAAAUCAGUGUACAAAUAACAAAGUUCAAUCGGUAAGAACCUUGCUAUAUGUACACUUUGGUGUAAACUUUAGUUUAACCUUUGCCACGUGACAUUGCCCUAUUGGACAGUUUAAAUUUCAAACAGUUUUCCCAUCCACUUCACACUGGACAACAAUGUAAGUGUCAAACAACGUGUCAAAAAUCAGUGUACAGAUAGCAAAGUUCUAUCGAUGAGGACCUUGCUACAUGUACACUAUAGUUUACACUUUGCCACAUGACAUUGACCUGUUGGACAGUUUAAAUUUCAAACACUUUUCCCUUCCAAUUGACACUUGACAACAAUGUAAGUGUCAAACAACGUGUCAAAAAUUAGUGUACAAAUAGCAAAGUUCAAUCGCUAAGGACCCUGCUACGUGUACACUAUGGUGUACACUUUAGUUUUCACUUUGCCACGUGACAUUACCCUCUUGGACAGUUUAAAUUUCAAACAGUUUCCCCAUCCAAUUGACACUUGACAACAAUGUAAGUGUCAAACAACGUGUUAAAAAUUAGUGUACAAGUAGCAAGGUACAAUCGGAAAGGACCAUGCUAUAUGUACACUAUGGUGUACACUUUAGUUUUCACUUUGCCACCUGACAUUACCCUCUUGGACAGUUUUAAUUUCAAACAGUUUUCCCAUCCCAUUGACACUUGACAACAAUGUAAGUGUCAAACAACGUGUCAAAAAUCAGUGUACAAUUAGCAAAGUUCAAUUGGUACGAACCUUGCUACUUGUACACUAUGGUAUACACUUUAGUUUAUACUUCGCCACGUCAAAUUACCCUGUUGGACAGUUUAAAUUUCAAAAAAAUUUCCCAUCCACUUCACACUUGACAACAAUGCUAGUAUCAAACAACAUGUCAAAAAUUAUUAUACGAAUAGCAAAGUUCAAUCUGUAAGAACCUUGCUACAUGUACACUGUGGGGUACACCUUAGUUUACACUUUCCCACGUGACAUUACCCUAUUGGACAGUUUAAAUUUCAAACACUUUUCCCUUCCAAUUGACACUUGACAACAAUGCAAGUGUCAAACAACAUGUCAAAAAUUAGAGUACAAAUAGCAAAGUUCAAUCGUUAAGAACCUUGCUACAUGUACAAUAAGUUGUACACUGUAGUUUUCAAUUUGCCAUGUGACAUUACCUGUUGGACCGUUUAAAUAUCAAAUAGUUUUCCCAUCCACUUCACACUUGACAACAACGCAGGUGUCAAAUAACGUGUCAAAAAUCAUUGUACAAAUAGCAAAUUACAAUCGGUAAGGACCAUGCUACAUGUACACUAUGGUGUACACUUUAGUUUACGCUUUGCCACGUAACAUUACCCUGUUAGACAGUUUAAAUUUCAAACAGUUUUUCCAUCCAAUUGACACUUAACGACAAUGCAAGUGUCAAAUAAUGUGUCAAAAAUUAGUGUACAAAUAGCAAAGUUCAAUCGUCAAGGACCCUGCUACGUGUACACUAUGGUGUACACUUUAGUUUACACUUUGCCACGUGACAUUACCCUGUUGAACAGUUAAAAUUUCAAACAGUUUUCACAUCCACUUCACACUUGACAACAAUGCAAGUGUCAAACAACGUUUCAAAAAUCAGUUUACAAAUAGCAAAGUUCAAUCGAUAAGGACCUUGCUAUAUGUACACUAUGGUAUACAAUUUUGUUUGACUUUGCCACGUGACAUUACCCUAUUGGACAGUUUAAAUUUCAAACAGUUUUCCCACCCAAUUGAAACUUGACAAUAAUGCAAGUGUCAGCAACGUGUCAAAAAUUAGUGUACAAAUAGCAUUUUUCCCAUCUAAAUGACACCUGACAACAAUGCAAGUCUCAAACAACGUGUUAAAAAGCAGUGCACAAAUUGCAAAGUUCAAUCGGUAAGGACCUUGCUACAUGUACACUAUGGUGUACACUUUAGUCUAUACUUUGCCACGUGACAUUACCUUGUUGGACAGUUUAAAUUUCAAACAGUUUUCCCAUCCAAUUCACAAAUGACAACUAUGCAAGUGUCAAACAACGUCUCAAAAAUUAGUGCAGAAAUAGCAAUGUUCAAUCGGUAAGAACCUCGGUACAUGUACACUAUGGUGUACACUUUAGUUUACACUUUGCCACGUGAUAUUAUCCUGUUGGACAGUCUAAAUUUCAAACUAUUUUCCCAUCCAAUUCACACUUGACAACAAUUCAAGAGUCAAACAACGUGUCAAAAAUUAGUGUACAAAUAGUAAAGUUCAAUCGGUAAGAACCAUGCUACAAGUACACUACGGUGUACACUUUAGUUUACACUUUGCCACAUGACGUUACCCAAUUGGACAGUAUAAAUUUCAAAUAAUUUUUCCUUCCAAUUGGCAUUUGACAACAAUACAAGUGUCAAACAACGUGUCAAGAAAUAGUGUACAAAUAGUAGUGCUCAAUCGGUAAGGACCUUGCAACAUGUACUCUAUGGUGUACACUUUAGUUUACAAUUUGCCAUGUGACAUUACCCUGUUGGACAUUUUGAAUUUCAAAUAGUUUUUCCAUCCAAUUGAUACUUGACAACAAUGCAAAUGUCAAAUAACGUGUCAAUAAUCAGUGUACAAAUAGCAAAGUUUAAUCAGUAAGGACCUUGCUUCAUGUACACAAAGGUGUACACUUUAGUUUAUACUUUGCCACGUGACAAUACCAUGGUGGAAACUAUAAAUUUCAAACAGUUUUCCCAUCCAAUUGUUACUUGAUCACAAUGCAAGUGUCAAACAACGUGGCAAAAAUCAGUGUACAAAUAGCAAAAUUCAAUCGGUAUGAACUUUGCAAUACGUACACUGUGGUGUACACUUUAGUUUACACUUUGUCACGUGACAUUACCCUUUUGGAUAGUUUACAUUUCAAAUAGUUUUUCCAUCCAAUUCACACUUGACAACAAUGCAAGUGUCAAAAAUCAGUGCGCAAAUAGCAAAGUUCAAUCGGUAAGAACUUUGCUACAUGUAUAAUGUGGUGUGCACUUUAGUUUAUACUUUGCCACGUGACAUUACCCUGUUGGACAGUUUCAAUAUCAAACAAUUUUCCCAUCCACUUCAUGCUUGACAACAAUGCAAGUGUCAAACAACGUGUCAAAAAUCAAUGUACAAAUAACACUGUUCAAUCAGUAAGGACCUUGCAUCAUGUAUACUAUGAUGUACACUUUAGUUUUUACUUUGUCAUGUGACAUUACCCUAUUACACGGUAUAAAGUUCAAACUGUUUUACCAUCCAAUUGACCCUUGAUAGCAAUGCAAGUGUCAAACGUGUCAAAAAUCAGUGUACAAAUAGCAAAGUUCAAUCGGUAAGAACCCUGCUAUAUGUAUAAUAUGGUGUACACUUUAGUUUACACAUUGUCGCGUUACAUAACCCAAUUGGACAGUUUAAAUUUCAAAUAGUUUUCCCAUCCAAUUGACACUAAACAACAAUGCAAGUGUUAAACAACGUGCCAAAAAUUCGUGCACAAAUAGCAAAGUUUAAUUGAUAAGAACCUUGCGACAGGCACACUAUGGUGUAUACUUUAGUUUACACUUUACCACGUGACAUUGCCCCGUUGGACAGUUUAAAUUUCAAACAAUUUUUCCAUCCAAUUAACACUUAACAUCAAUGCAAGUGUCAAACAACGUGUUAAAAAUCAGUGUACAAAUCGCCCAGUUCAAUCGGUAAGGACCUUGCUACAUGUACACUAUGGUGUAAACUAUAGUUUACACUUUGCCACAUGACAUUACCCAAUUGGACAGUUCAAAUUUCAAACAAUUUUCACAUCCAAUUGACACUUGACAACAAUGGAAGUCUCAAACCUCGUGUCAAAAAUCAGUAUACAAAUAGCAAAGUUUAAUCGGUAAGAACCUUGCGAUAGAUACACUAUGGUGUACACUUUAGUUUACACUUUACAACGUGACAUAACCCUGUUGGACAGUUUAAAUUUUAAAAAGUUUUCCCAUUCAAUUGACACUUGACAACAAUGCAAGAGUCAAACAACGUGUCGAAAAUUAGUGUACAAAUAGCCAAGAUCAAUCGGUAAGGACCUUGCUACUUGUACACUGUGGUGUACAGUUUAGUUUACACUUUGCCACGUGACAUUACCCUAUUGGACUGUUUAAAUUUUAAACAAAUUUCCCUUCCAAUUGACAUUUGACAACAAUGCAAGUGUCAAACAACGUGUCAAAAAUCAGUGCACAAAUAGCAGUAUUAGAUCGGUAAGGACCUUACAACAUAUACACUACGGUGUACACUUUAGUUCACACUUUGCCACGUGACAUUACCCUAUUGGACAAUUUAAAUUUCAAAUCAUUUUCCAACCCAAUUCGCACAUGAAUACAAUCCUAGUGUCAAAAAACGUGUCAAAAAUCAGUGUACAAUUACCAAUGUUCGAUCGGUAAGAACCUUGGUACAUGUACACUAUGGUGUACACUUUAGUUUACACUUUGUCAUGUGACAUUACCCUACUGGAUAGUUAAUAUUUCAAAUCGUUUUCCCAUCCAAUUGACCCUUAAAGACAAUGCAAGUGUCAAACAACGUGUCAAAAAUCAGGUUCCUACGGACCUUGCUACACGUACACUAUGGUGUACACUUUAAUUUUCACUUUGCCACGUGACAUUACCCUUAUUGGACAGUUUAAAUUUCAAGCAGUUUUCCCAUCCUAUUGACACUUGGCAACAAUACAAGUAUCAAACAACGUGUCAAAAAUCAAUAUACAAAUAGCAAAGUUCAAUCGGCAAGAACCUUGCUACAUGUACACUAUGGUGUACACCUUAGUUUCCAUUUUACCACGUGACAUUACCCUCUUGGAUAGUUUAAAUUUCAAACAGUUUUCCCAUCCAAUUGAAACUUGACAACAAUGCAAGUGCAAAACAACGUGUCAAAAAUCAGUGUACAAAUAGCAAAGUUCAAUCGGUAAAGGCCUUGCUACAUGUAGAGUAUGGUGUGCACUUUAGUUUACACAUUGCCACGUGACAUUACCCUGUUGGACAGUUUAAAUUUCAAAAAAAUUUCCCAUCCAAUUCACACUUGACAACAACGCAAGUGUCAAACAACGUUUCAAAAAUCAGUGUACAAAUAGAAAUGUUCAAUCGAUUAGAACCUUGGUACAUGUACAAAAUGUGUACAGUUUAGUUUAUACUUUGCCACGUAACAUUACGUUGUUGGACAGUUUAAAAUUCAAACAAUUUUCCCAUCCACUUCAUACUUGACAACAAUGCAAGUGUCAAACAACGUGUCAAAAAUCAUUGCAAAAAUAGCAAUGUUCAAUCAGUAAGAAUCUCGCCACACGUACACUAUGGUGUACACUUUAGAUUACAACUUGCCACGUAAAAUUACCCUGUUGGACUAUUUAAUAUUCAAACUGUUUUCCCAUCCAAUUGACACUUGACAACAAUGCAAGUGUCAAACAACGUGUCAAAAAUUAGUACACAAAUAGCAGUUUUCCCAUCAAAUUGACACUUGACAACAUUGCAAGUCUCAAACAACGUGUUAAAAAUCAGUGUGCAAAUAAUAAAGUUCAGUUUGUAAGAACAUUGCUACAUGUACACUAUGGUGUAGACUUUAGUUUACAGUUUGCCACGUGACAUUAGGCUAUGAGACAGUUUAAAUUUCAAACAGUUUUCCAAUCGAAUUGACACUUGGCAACAAUGCAAGUGUCAAACAACGUGUCAAAAAUCAGUGUACAAAUAGCAAUUUUCCCAUCUAAUUGGCACUUGACAACAGUGCAAGUGUCAAACAACGUGUCAAAUUUCAGUGCACAAAUAGCAAUGUUCAAUCAGUAAAAACCUCGCCACAUGUACACUAUGCGGUACACAUUAGUUUACACUUUGCCACGUGACAUUACCAUGUUGGACAGUUUAAAUUUCAAACAGUUUUCCCAUCCAAUUGACACUUGACAAUAAUGCAAGUGUCAAACAACGUGUAAAAAAUCAGUAUACAAAUAGUAGUUUUCCCAUUCAAUUGAAACUUGACAACAAUGCAAGUCUCAAAGAUCGUGUCAAAAAUCAUUUUACAAAUAGCAAAGUUCAAUCGGUAAGGACCGUGCAACAUGUACACUAUGGUGUACACUUUAGUUUACACAUUGUCACGUGACAUUACCCUAUUGGACAGUUUAAAUUUCAAACAGUUUUCCCAUCCAAUUCACACUUGACAACAAUGCAGGUGUCAAACAACGUGUUAAAAAUCAUUGCAAAAAUAGCAAUGUUCAAUCAGCAAGAACCUCGCUACACGUACACUAUGGUGUACACUUUAGUUUACAAUUUGCCACGUGACAUUACCCUAUUAGACUGUUUAAUAUUCAAACAGUUUUCCCAUCCAAUUGACACUUGACAACAAUGUAAGUCUCAAACAACGUAUCAAAAAUCGGUGUACAAAUAGCAAAGUUUAGUCAGUAAGAACCUUGCUACAUGGACACUAUGGUGUACACUUUAGUUUACAAUUUGCCACAUGACAUUAUGCUAUUGGACAGUUUAAAUUUCAAAUAGUUUUCCCACCGAAUAGACGCUUGACAAAAAUGUAAGUGUUGAACAACGUGUUAAAAUCAGUGUACAAAUAGCAAAAUUCAAUCGGUAAGAACCUUGCUACAUGUGCAUAUGGUGUACACACUUUAGUUUACAAUUUGCCACGUGACAUUACCCUGUUGGAUAGUUUAAAAUUCAAACAGUUUUCCAAUCCAAUUGACACUUGACAACUAUGCAAGUGUCAAACAACAUGUCAAAAAUUAACGUACAAAUGCAAAGUUCAAUCGGUAAGAACCAUGUUACAUGUACACUAUGGUGUACACUUUAGUUUACCGUUUACCUAUUGGAUAGUUUAAAUUUUAAACAAUUUUUCCAUCCAAUUGACGCUGUACAACAAUGCAAGUGUCAAACAUGUCGAGAAUUAUUGUAAAAAUAGUAAAGUUCAAUCGGUAAGGACCUUGCUACAUGUAAACUAUGGUGUACACUUUAGUUUAUACUUUGCCACAAGACAUUACCCUGUUGGGCAGUUUAAAUUUCAAACAAUUUUCCCAUCCAAUUGACACUUAACAACAAUGCAAGUGUAAAAUAACUUGUCAAAAAUCAGUGUACAAAUAGCAAAUUUCAAUCAGUAAGGACCUAGCUACAUGUACACUAUGGUGUACACUUUAGUUUAAACUUUGCCACGUGACAUUACCUUGUUGUACAGUUAAAAUUUCAAACAGUUUUUCCAUCCAAUUGACAUUUGACAACAAACAACGUGUCAAAAAUCAGUGUACAAAUACCUAUUUUCCCAUCCAAUUGACACUGGACAACAAUGCAAGUGUCAAGCAACGUUUCAAAAAUCAGUGUACAAAUAGCAAAGUCCAAUCGGUAAGAACCUUGCUACAUGUACACUAUGAUGUACACUUUAGUUUACACUUUGCCAUGUGACAUUAUGCUGUUGGACAGUUUGAAUUCCAAACAGUUUUUCCAUCCAAUUGACACUUGACAACAAUGCAAGUGUCAUACAACGUGUCCAAAAUUAGGGUACAAAUUGCAAAGUUCAAUCGGUAAGAACCUUGCUACAUGUACACUAUGGUGUACACUUUAGUUUACACAUUUCCACAAGACAUUACCCUCUUGGACAGUUUAAAUUUCAAAUAGUUUUCUCAUCCAAUUGACACUUGACAACAAUGCAAGUGUUAAACAACGUGUCAAAAAUCAGUGUACGAAUAGUAAUGUUCAAUCAGUAAGAACCUUGGUACAUGUAUACUAUGUAUACACUUUAGUUUACACUUUGCCACGUGACAUUACCCUGUUGGACAGUUUAAAUUUCAAAUAGUUUGCCCAUUCGAUUCACACUUGACAACAAUGCAAGUGUUAAACAACGUGUCAAAAAUCAGUCUACGAAUAGCAAUGCUCAAUCGGUAAGAAGCUUGGUACAUGUACACUAUGGUGUACACUUCAGUUUACACUUUACCACGUGACAUUACCCUGUUGGAUAGUUUAAAUUUCAAAUGGUUUUCCCUUCCAAUUGACCUUAAUAACAAUGUAAGGGUCAAACAACGAGUUAAAAAUCAGUGCCCAAAUUGCAAAGUUCAAUCGGUGAGGACCUUGCUACAUGUGCACUAUGGUGUACACUUUAGUUUCACUUUACCACAUGACGUUACCUUGUUGGACAGUCUAAAUUUCAAAUAGUUUUUCCAUCCAAUAAACACUUGACAACAAUGCAAGCGUCAAACAACGUAUCAAAAAUCAGUGUACAAAUAGGAAAGUUCAAUCCGUAAGAACCUUGCUAUCUGUACACUAUGGUGUACAAACUUUAGUUUACAGUUAGCUACGUGACAUUACCUUGCUGGACAGUGUAAAUUUCUAACAGUUUUGCCAUCCAAUUGACACUUGACAACAAUGCAAAUGUCAAACAACGUGUCGAGAAUUAGUGUACAAAUAGCAAAGUUAGAUCGAUAAGGACCUUGCUACAUGUACCCUAUGGUGUACACUUUAGUUUACACGUUGCCACGUGACAUUACCCUAUUAGGCAGUUUAAAUUUCAAAAAGAUUUCCCAUCCAAUUGAUACUUAACAACGAUUCAAGUGCCAAACAACGUGUCAAAAAUCAAUGUACAAAUAGCAAACUUCAAUCGGUAAGGACCUAGCAACAUGUACACUAUGGUGUACACUUUUGUUUACACUUUUCCACGUGACAUUACCCUAUUGGACAGUUUAAAUUUCAAACAGUUUUUCCUUCCAAUUGAUACUUGACAACAUUGCAAGUGUCAAACAACGUGUCAAAAAUCAGUGUACAAAUUGCUGUUUUCCCGUCCAAUUGACACUGGACAACAAUGCAAGUGUCAAACAACGUGUCAAAAAUUGGUGUACAAAUAGUAAAGUUCAAUCGGUAAGAACCUUGCUACAUGUACACUCUGGUGUACACUUUAGUUUACACUUCGCCACGUGACAUUAGCCCAUUGGACAGUAUGAAUUUCAAAUAGUUUUCCCAUCCAAUUGACACUUGACAUCAAUGUAAGUGUCAAACAACGUGUCUAAAAUCAGGGUACAAGUUGCAAAGUUCAAUCGAUAAGAACCUUGCUACAUGUAUACUAUGGUGUACACUUCAGUUUAUACUUUGCCUGUUUGUCACGUGACAUUACCUUCUUCGACAGUUUAAAUUUCAAACAGUUCCCCUAUCCAAUUGACACUUGACAACAAUGCAAGUGCAAAACAACUUGUCAAAAAUCAGUAUAGAAAUAGCAAAGUUCAAUCGGUAAGGAUCUUGCUUCAUGUACACUAUGUUGUACACUUUAGUUUACACUUUACCACGUGACAUUACCCUGUUGGACAGUUUAAAUUUCAAAUAGUUUGCCCAUCCAAGUAUCACUUGACAACAAAGCAAGUGUUAAAUAACAAAUCAGUGUACAAAUAGCAAUGUUAAAUCGGUAUGAACCUUAGUACAUGUACACUUGGUGUACACUUUAGUUUACACUUUGCCACGUGACAUUACCCUGUUGGAUAGUUUCAAUUUCAAACAGUUUUCCCAUCCAAUUGACCCUUAACAACAAUGUAAGAGUCAAACAACGUGUCAAAAAUCAGUGUCCAAAUAGCAAAUUCAAUUGGUAAGGACCUUGCUAUAUGUACACUAUGGUGUACACUUUACCACGUGAUAUUACCCCGUCGGACAAUUUAAAUUUCAAACAGUUUUCCCAUCCAAUUGAUACUUAACUACAAUACUAGUGCCAAACAACGUGUCAAAAAUCAGUGUACAAAUAGCAAAGUUCAAUCGGCCAAGACCUUGUUACAUGCACACUUUGGUGUACACUUUAGUUUACACUUUGGCACAUGACAUUACCCUGUUGGACAGUUUAAAUUUCAAAUAGUUUUCCAAUCCAAUUGACACUUGACAACGAUGGACGUGUCAAAAAUGAGUGUACAAAUAGCAAAGUUCAAUCGGUGAUAACCUUGCUACUCUACACAGUGGUGUACACUUUAGAUUUCACUUUGCCACAUGACAUUACCCUGUUGGACAGUUUAAAGUUUAAACAGUUUUCCCAUCCACUACACACUUGAAGAGAAUGUAUGUGUCAAACAACAUGUCAAAAAUCAUUGUACAAAUAGCAAAUUUCAAUCGGUAAGGACCUUGCUACAUAUACACUAUGGUGUACACUUUAGUUUACACAUUGCCGUGUGACAAUACCCUAUUGGACAGUUUAAAUUUCAAAUAGUUUUCUCAUCCAAUUCACACUUAACAACAAUGCAAGUGUCAAACAAUGUGUCAAAAAUCAGUUUACAAACAAAAAUGUACAAUCGGUAAGGUCCUUGUGACAUGUACACUAAGGUGUACACUUUAGAUUAUACUUUGCCACGUGAUAUUACCCUGUUGGACAGUUUAAAUUUCAAACGGUCUUUCCAUCCAAUUCACACUUGACAACAAUGCAAGUGUCAAACAAUGUGUCAAAAAUCAGUGUACAAAUAGCAAUGUUCAAUUGGUAUGAACCUCGUUACAUGUACACUAUAGUGUACCCUUUAGUUUACCAUUUGCCACGUGACAUUACCCUGUUGGACAGUUUAAAUUUCAAAUAGUUUUCCCAUCCAGUUGACACUUGACAACAAUACAAGUGUCAAACAACGUGUCAAAAAUCAGUGUACAAAUAACAGUUUUCCCAUCCAAUUGAGACUUGACAACAAUCCAAGUCUCAAACAAUGUGUCAAAAAUCAGUGUACAAAUAGCAAAGUUCAAUCGGUAAGAACCUUGCCAUAUGUACACUAUAGUGUACACUUUGCCACGUGACACUACCCUGUUGGACACUUCAAAUUUCAAAUAGUUUUCCCACUCAAUUGACACUUGACAACAAUGCAAGUAUCAGACAACAUGUUUAUAAUCAGUGUACAAAUAGUAAAGUUCAAUCGAUAAGAACCUUGCUACAUGUACACUAUGGUGCACACACUUUAGUUUACACUUUGCCACGUGACAAUACCCUAUUGAACAGCUUAAAUUUCAAACAUUUUUUCCAUCCAAUUGACACUUGACAACAAUGUAAGUGUCAAACAACGUGUCAAAAAUCAGUGUAAAAAUAGCAAUGUUCAAUCGGUAAGAACCAUGCUACAUGUACACUAUGGUGUACACUUUAGUUUACACUUUACCAUGUGACAUUGCACCAUUGGACAGCUUAAAUUUCAAACAGUUUUUCAUCCAACUGACAUUUGAUAACAAUGCAAGUGUCAAACAACGUGUCAAAAAUUAGUGUACAAAUAGCGAAGUUCAAAUGGUAAGGACCUUGCUACAUGUACACUAUGGUGCACACUUUAAUUUACGCUUUGCCACGUGACAUUACCCUGUUGGCCAUUUUAAAUUUCGCAUAGUUUUCCCAUCCAAUAGACACUUAAUAACAAUGAAAGUGUCAAACAAUGUGUCAAAAAUCGGUGUAUAAAUUGCAAAGUUCAAUUGGUAAGGACCUAGCUACAUGUACACUAUGGUAUACACUUUAGUUUACACUUUGCCACAUCACAUUACCCUGUUGGAAAGUUUAAAUUUCAAACAGUUUUUCCAUCCAAUUGACACUUGACAACAUUGCAAGUGUUGAACAACGUGUCAAAAAUCAGUGUAAAAAUUGAUGUUUUCCCGUAGAAUUGACACUGGACAACAAUGCAAGUGUCAAAUAACGUGUCAAAAACUAGUGUACAAAUAGCAAAGUUCAAUCGUUAAGAACCCUGCUACAUGUACACUAUGGUGUACACUUUAGUUUACACUUUGUCACGUGACAUUACCCUCUUGGACAGUUUAAAUUUCAAAUAGUUUCUCCAUCCAAUUGACACUUAACAACAAUGCAAGUCCCAGACAACGUGUCAAAUAUCAGUGUAUAAAUAGCAAAGUUCAAUUGGCAAGGACCUUGCUACAUAUACACUAUGGUGUACACUUUAGUUUACACUUUGCCACGUGACAUUGCUCUGUUGGACAAUUUAAAUUUCAAACAAUUUUCCCAUCCAAUUCACACUAGACAACAAUGCAAGUGUCUAACAACGUGACAAAAAUCAGUGUACAAAUAGUACUAUUCAAUCGGUAAGGACCUUGGUACAUGUACACUAUGGUAUACACUUUAGUUUACACUUUGCCACAUGACAUUACCCUAUUGGAGAGCUUAAAUUUCAAAUAGUUUUCCCAUCCAAUUGACCUUUAACAACAAUACAAGAGUCAAACAAUGUGUCAAAUAUCAGUGUCCAAAUAGCAAACUUCAAUCGGUAAAGACCUUGCUACAUGUACACUAUGGUGUACACUUUAGUUUUCACUUUGCCACGUGACAUUACCUUGUUGGACAGUUUAAAUUUCAAACAAUUUUCUCAUCCAAUUGACACUUGACAACAAUGCAAGUGUCAAGCAACGUGUCAAAAAUCAGUGCACAAAUAGUAAAGUUCAAUCGGUAAAAACCUUUCUACAUGUACACUUUAGUUUACACUUUGCCACGGGACACUACCAUGUUGGACAGUUUAAAUUUCAAACAGUUUUUCCAUCCAGUUCACACUAGACAACAAUGCAAGUGUCUAACAACGUGACAAAAAUUAGUGUACAAGUAGCAGUAUUCAAUCGGUACGAACCUUGGUACAUGUACACUAUGGUGUACACUUUAGUUUACACUUUACCACAUGACAUUACCCUGUUGUACAGUUUAAAUUUCAAAUAGUUUUCCCAUCCAAUUGACCCUUAACAACAAUGCAAGAGUCAAACAAUGUGUCAAAAAUCAGUGUCCAAAUAGCAAAGUUCAAUCGGUAAAGACCUUGCUACAUGUACACUAUGGUAUACACUUUAGUUUUUACUUUGCCACGUGACAUUACCUUGUUUAACAGUUUAAAUUUCAAACAAUUUUCCCAUCCAAUUGACACUUGAAAACAAUGCAAGUGUCAAAAAUCAGUGCACAAAUAGCAAAGUUCAAUCGGUAAGAACCUUGCUACAUGUACACUAUGGUGUAAACUUUAGUUUACACUUUGCCACGGGACAUUACCCUGUUGGACCGUUUAAAUUUCAAACAAUUUUCCUAUCCAAAUUGACACUUAACAACGAUUCAAGUGUCAAACAACGUAUCAAAAAUCAUUGUAAAAAUAGCAAAGUUCAAUCGGUAAGGACUUUGCUACAAGUACAUUAUGGUGUAUACUUUAGUAUACACUUUGCCAUGUGACAUUACCCUGUUGAAAAAUUUAAAUUUCAAAUAGUUUUCCCAUCCAAUUGACACUUGACAACAAUGGAAGUGUCAAACAACGUGUCAAAAAUCAGUGUACAAAUGGCAAAGUUCAAUCGGUCAAGACCUUGCUACGUGUACACUGUGGUGUACACUUUAGUUUACACUUGCCAAAUGACAUUAGCUUGUUGGACAGAUUAAAGUUCAAACAUUUUUCCCAUCCACUUCACACUUGAUAACAAUACAAGUGUUAAACAACGUGUCAAAAAUCAGUGUACAAAUAGCAAAUUUUAAUUGGUAAGGACAUUGAUACAUGUACACUAUGGUGUACACUUUUGUUCGUACUUUCUGACGUGACAUUACCCAGUUGGACAGGUUAAAUUUCAAACAGUUUUCCCUUCCAAUUGACACUGGACAUCAAUGCAAGUGUCAAACAACGUGUCAAAAAUCAGCAUCCAUAUAGCAAUGUACAAUCGGUAAGGACCAUGUAACAUGUACACUAUGGUGUACACCUUAGUUUACACUUUUCCACGUGACAUUACCCUGUUAGACAGUUUAAAUGUCAAACAGUUUUCCCAUCCAAUUCACACGUGACAAUAACACAAGAGCCGAACAACGUGUCAAAAAUUAAUGUUCAAAUGGCAUUGUUCAAUCGGUAAGAACCUCGCUACAUGUACACUAUGGUGUACACUUUAGUUUACACUAUGCUACGUUAGAUUACCCUAUUGGACAGUUUAAAUUUCAAAUAGUUUUUCCAUCCAAUUAACACUUCACAACAAUGCAUGUGUAAAACAACGUGCCAAAAAUUAGAGUACAAAUAGUAGUUUUCCCAUCCAAUUGACACUUGACAACAAUGCAAGUCUAAAACAACGUAUCCAAAAUCAGUGUACAAAUAACAAAGGUCAAUUGGUAAGGACCUUCCUACAUGUACACCAUAGUGUAUACUUUAGUUUACACUUUGCCAAGUGACAUUACCCUAUUGGACAGUUUAAAUUUCAAAUAGUUUUCCCAUCCAAUUCACACUUGACAACAAUGCAGGUGUAAACCAACGUGUCAAAAAUUAGUGUACAAAUAGCAACGUUCAAUCGAUAAGAACCUCGCAACAUGUACACUAUUCUGUACACUUUAGUUUACACUUUGCCACGUGACAUUAUCCUGUUGGACAAUUUAAAUUCCAACCAGUUUUCCCAUCCAUUUGACACUUGACAACAAUGCAAGUGUCAAACAACGUGUCAAAAAUCGAUACAACAAUGCAAGUCUCAAACAACGUGUCAAAAAUCAUUAUACAAAUAGCAAAAGUUCAAUCGGUAAAAAUCUUACUACAUGUACACUAUAGUGUACACUUUAGCUUACACUUUGCCAUGAGACAUUACCCUGUUGGACAGUUUAAAUUUCAACUAGUUUUCCCACCCAAUUGACACUUGACAACAAGAGAAAUGUCAAACAACGUGUCAAAAAUCAGUGUGUAAAUAGCAAAGUUCAAACGGUAAGAACCUUGCUACAUGUACACUAUGGUGUACACACUUUAGUUUAAACUUUGACACGUGACAUUACCCUGUUGGACAAUUUAAAUUUCCAUCAAUUUUCCCAUCCAAUUGACACUUGACAACAAUGCAUGUGUCAAACAACGUGUCAAAAAUUGGUGUACUAAUAGCAAAGUUCAAUCGGUAAAAACCAUACUAGAAGUACACUAAGGUGUACACUUUAGUUCAUACUUUACCACGUGACAUUACUCCAUUGGAAAGUUUAAAUUUCAAACAGUUUUUUAAUCCAAUUGACACUUGGCAAUAAUACAAGUGUCAAACAACGUGUCGAAAAUUAAUGUGCAAAUAGUAAAGUUCAUUCGGUAAGGGCCUUGCUACAUGCACACUAUGGUAUACACUUUAAUUUACACUUUGCCACGUAACAUUACCCUAUUGGACAGUUAAAAUUUCAAACAGUUUUCCCAUCCAAUUAACACUUGACAACUACGCAAGUGUCAAACAACAUGUCAAAAAUUAGUGUAGAAGUAGUAAAUUUCAAACGGUAAGAACCUUGCUAAAUGUAGAUUAUGUUGUACACACUUUAGUUUACACUUUGACAUGUGACAUUACCCUGUUGGAUAAUUUAAAUUUCAAAACAUUUUUCCAUCCAAUUGACACAUGACAACAUUGCAAGAGUCAAACAACAUGUUAAAAAUCAGUGUACAAAUAGCUGUUUUCCCAUCCCAUUGACACUGGACAACAAUACAAGUGUCAAACAGCGUGUCAGAAAUUAGUGUACAAAUAGCGAAGUUCAAUCGGUAAAAACAUUGCUACAUGUACACUAUGGUGUACACUAUAGUUUACACUUUGCUACGUGACAUUACCCUGUCGGAUAGUUACCACAAAAAUGCAAGUCUGAAACAGUGUGUCAAAAAUUAGUGUACAAAUAGGAAAGUUCAAUUGGUAAGGACCUUGCUACAUGUACACUAUGGUGUACACUUUAGUUUACACUUUGCCAUGUGAUAUUACCCUAUUGGACAGUUUAAAUUUCCAUCAAUAUUCCCAUCCAAUUGACACUUGAUAACAAUGCAAGUGUCAAACAACGUGUCAAAAAUCUGUGUACAAAUAGCAAAGUUCAAUCGAUAAGAACCAUACUACAAGUACACUAAGGUGUACACUUUAGUUUAUACUUUACCACGUGACAUUACUCCAAUGAAUAGUUUAAAUUUCAAACAGUUUUUCCAUCCAAUUGAAACUUGACAACAAUGCAAGUGUCAAACAACGUGUUGAAAAUUAAUGUGCAAAUAGUAAAGUUCAAUCGGUAAGGAUCUUGCUACAUGUACACUAUGGUGUACACUUUAAUUUACACUUUGCCACGUGACAUUAUCCUGUUGGACAAUUUGAAUUUCAAAAAAUUUUCCCAUCCGAUUGACACUUGACAACUAUGCAAGCGUCAAACAACGUGUCAAAAAUCAGUGUAGAAAUAGUAAAUUUCAAACGGUAAGAACCUUGCUACAUGCACACUAUGGUGUACACACUUUAGUUUACACUUCGCCACGUGACAUUACCCUGUUGGACAGUUUAAAUUUCAAAACGUUUUUUCAUCCAAUUGACACUUGACAACAUUGUAAGAGUCAAACAACGUAUUAAAAAUUAGUGUACAAAUAGCUAUUUUCCCAUCCCAUUGACACUGGACAAUAAUGCAAGUGUCAAACAACGUGUCAAAAAUCAGUGUACAAAUAGCGAAGUUCAAUCGGUAAGAACCUUGCUACAUGUACACUAUGGUGUACACUUUAGUCUACACUUUGCUACGUGACAUUACCCUAUCGGACAGUUACCACAAAAAUGCAACUCUGAAACAGCGUGUCAAAAAUUAGUGUACAGAUAGCAAAGUUCAAUCGGUAAGGACCUUGCUACAUGUACACAAUGGUGUACACUUUAAUUUACACCUUGCCACGUGACAUUACCCUGUUGGACAAUUUAAAUUUCAAAUUGUUUUCCCAUCCAAUUGACACUUGAAAACAAUGCAAUUAUCAAACGACGUGUCAAAAAUCAGUGUGCAAAUAGCAAAGUUUAAUAAAUAAGGGCUUUGCUACAUGUACACUUUAGUUAACACUUUGCGACGUGACAUUACCCGGUUGGACAGUUUAAAUUUCAUACUAUUUUCCCAUCCAAUUGACACUUAACAUCAAUGCAAAUGUCAAACAAUGUGUCAAAAAUUAGUGUACAAAUAGCAAAGUUCAAUCGGCAUGAACCGUGCAACAUGUACACUAUGGAGUACACUUAAGAUUACACUUUGCCACUUGACUUUACCCUGUUGGACAGUUUAAGUUUCAAAUAGUUUUCCCAUCCAAUUGACACUUGACAAUGAUGCAAUUGUCAAACCACGUAUCAAAAAUCAGUGUAAAAAUAGCAAAGUUCAAUCGGUAAGAACCAUGCUGGAAGUACACUAUGGUGUACACUUUAGUUUACACUUUACCACGUGACAUUACUCCAUUAGACAGUUUAAAUUUCAAGCAGUUUUUCCAUCCAAUAGACACUUGACAACAAUGCAAGUGUCAAACAACGUGUCGAAAAUUAAUGUGCAAAUAGCAAAGUUUAAUCGGUAAGGACCUUGCUACAUGUAUACUCUUGGGUACACAUUAGUUUACACUUUGCCACGCGACAUAUCUUGUUGGACAGUUUAAAUUUCAAAUUGUUUUCUUACCCAAUUGACACUUGACAACAAUUCAAUUGUCAAACAACGUGUCAAAAAUCAGUGUACAAAUAGCAAAGUUCAUCAGUAAGAACCUUGCUACAUGUACACUUUACCACGUGACAUUACUCUGCUGGACAGAUUAAAUUUCUAACAGUUUUCCCAUCAAAUUGACACUAGACAACAAUGCAAGUCUCAAACAACGUGUCAAAAAUUAUCGUACAAAUAGGAAAGUUCAAUCGGUAAGGACCUUGCUACAUGUAGACAAUGGUGUACACUUUAGUUUACACUUUGCGACAUGACAUUACCCUGUUGGACAGUUUAAAUUUCAUAUAGUUUUCCCAUCCAAUUGACACUUAACAACAAUGCAAGUGUGAAACAACGUGUCAAAAAUCAAUGUACAAAUACCAAAUUUCAAUCGGUAAGAACCUUGUUACAUGUACAUUAUGGUGUACACUUUAGUUUACACUUUGCGACAUGAUAUUACCCUGUUGGAUAGUUUAAAUUUCUAAUUGUUAUCCCACCCAAUAGACAUUUGACAACAAUGUAAUUGUCAAACAUCAUGUCAAAAAUCAGUAUACAAAUAGCAAAGUUUAAUCAGUAAGAACCUUACUACAUGUACACUAUGGUAUACACACUUUAGUCUACACUUUGCCACGUGACCUUACCCUAUUCGACAGUUUAAAUUUCUAACAGUUUUCCCAUCAAAUUAACACUUGACAACAAUGCAAGUCUCAAACAGUGUGUUAAAAAUUAGUGUACAAAUAGCAAAGUUCAAUCGGUAAGGACCUUACUACAUGUACACUAUGGUGUACACUUUAGUUUACACUUUGCCACAUGACAUUACCCAAUUGGACAGCUUAAAUUUUAAACUAUUUUCCCACCCAAUAGACACUUGACAACAAUGCAAUUGUUAAACAACGUGUCAAAAAUCAGUGUGUAAAUAGCAAAGUUCAAUCGGAAAGAACCAUACUACAUGUACACACUUUAGUUUACACUUUGCCACGUGACAUUACCCUGCUGACAGUUUAAAUUUCUAACAGUUUUCCCAUCAAAUUGACACUUGACAACAAUGCAAGUCUCAAACAACUUGUCAAAAAUUAGUGUACAAAUAGCAAAGUUCAAUCGGUAAGGACCUUGCUACAUAUACACUAUGGUGUACACUUUAGUUUACACUUUGCCACGUGACAUUGCCCUGUUGGAGAAUUUAAAUUUCAAAUUGUUGUCCCACUAAACUAACACUUGACAACAAUGCAAUUGUCAAACAACGUGUUAAAAAUCAGUAUACAAAUAGCAAAGUUCAAUCGGCAUGAACAUUGCUACAUAUACACUAUGGUGUACACACUUUAGUUUACACUUUGCCACGUGACCUUACCCUACUGGGCAGUUUAAAUUUCUAAUAGUUUUCCCAUCAAAUUGACACUUGACAACAAUGCAAGUCUCAAAUAACGUGUCAAAAAUUAGUGUACAAAUAGCAAAGUUCAAUCGGUAAGGACCUUGCUAUAUGUACACUAUGGUGUAUACUUUAGUUUACACUUUGCCACGUGACAUUACGCUGUUGGACAGUUUAAAUUUUAAAUUGUUUUCUCACCCAAUUAACACUUGACAACAAUGCAAUUGUCAAACAACAUGUCAAAAAUCAGUGUGCAAAUAGCAAAGUUCAAUCGGUAAGAACCUUGUUACAUGUACACUAUGGUAUACACAGUUCAGUUUACACUUCGCCACGUGACAUUACCCUACUGGACAGUUUAAAUUUCUAAUAGUUUUUCCAUCAAAUAGACACUUGACACAAUGCAAGUCUCAAACAACGUGUUAAAAAUUAGUGUACAAAUACCAAAGUUCAAUCGCUAAGGAUCUUGUAAUAUUUACACUAUGGUGUACAAUUUAGUUUACACUUUGCGACGUGACAUUACCCUGUCGGACAGUUUAAAUUUCAUACAAUUUUCCCAUCCAAUUGACACUUAACAACAAUGCAAGUGUCAAACAACAUGUCAAAAAUCAGUGUACAAAUUGCAAUGUUCAAUCGGUAUGAACCAUGCAAUAUGUACACUAUGGAGUACACUUAACUUUACACUUUGCCACAUGACUUUACCCUGUUGGACAGUUUAAGUUUCAAAUAGUUUUCCCAUUCAAUUGACACUUGACAACAACGCAAUUGUCAAACAACGUGUCAAAAGUCAAUGUACAAAUAGCAAAGUUGAAUCGGUAAGAACUAUGCUACAAGUACACUAUGGAGUACACUUUAAUUUACACUUUACCAUGUGACAAUACUCAAUCGGACAGUUUAACUUUCAAAUAGUUUUUCUAUCCAAUUGACACUUGACAACAAUGCAAGCGUCAAAAAUUAGUGUACAAAUAGCAUAGUUCAAUCGGUAAGAACCUUGCUACAUGUACACUAUGGUGUACACUUUAGUUUACACUUUACCACGUAACAUUACCCAUUUGGACAGUUUAAAUUUCAAAUUGGUAUCCCUCCCAAUUGACAAUUGAAAACAAUGCAAUUGUCAAACAACGUGUCAAAAAUCAGUGUACAAAUAGCAAAGUUUAAUCGGUAAGGACCUUACUACAUGUACAGUAUGGUGUACGCUUUAGUUUACACUUUGCCACGUGAUAUUACUCUGUUGGACAGUUUAAAUUUCAAAUUUUUACCCCACCCAAUUGACACUUGACAACAAAGCAAUUGUCAAAUAAAGUGUCAAAAAUUAGUAUACAAAUAGCAAAGUUCAAUCGGUAAGAACCUUGCUACAUGUACACUAUGGUGUACACUCUUCAGUUUACACUUUGCUACGUGACCUUACCCUAUAGGACUGCUUAAAUUUCUAAUAGUUUUCCCAUCCAAUUGACGCUUGACAAUAAUGCAAGUCUCAAAUAACGUGUUAAAAAUUAGUAUACAAAUAGCAUAGUUCAAUCCGUAAGGACCUUGCUAUAUGUACACUAUGAUGUACACUUUAGUUUACACUUUGCCACAUGACAUUAAACUGUUAGACGGUUUAAAUUUCAAAUUAUUUUCCCACCCAAUUGACACUUGACAACAAUGCAAUUGUCAAACAACGUGUCAAAAAUCAGUGUACAAAUAGAAAAGUUCAAUCAGUAAGAACCUUGUCACAUGUACACUUUUCCACGUGACACUACCCUGCUGGACGGUUUAAAUUUCUAACAGAUUUCCCAUCAAAUUGACACUUGACAACAAUGCAAGUCUCAAAUAACGUGUCAAAAAUUAGUGUACAAAUAGCAUAGUUCAAUCGGUAAGGACCUUCCUACAUGUACAGUAUGGUGUAUACUUUAGUUUACACUUUGCAACGUGACGUUAACCUGUUGUACAGUUUAAAUUUCAUAUAGUUUUUCCAUCCAAUUGACACUUAACAACAAUGCAAGUGUCAAACAACGUGUCGAAAAUCAGUGUACAAAUAGCAAAUUUCAAUCGGUAAGAACCUUGCUACAUGUAUACUAUGGUGUACACUUUAGUUUACACUUUGCCACAUGACAUUAUCCUGUUGGAUAGUUUAAAUUUCAAAUUGUUAUCCACCAAUUUGACACUUGACAACAAUGGAAUUGUCAAAUAACGUGUCAAAAAUCAGUAUACAAAUAGCAAAGUUCAAUCGGUAAGAACCUUGCCACAUGUACACUAUGGUGUACACGCUUUAGUUUACACUUUUCCAUGUGACCUUACCCUGCUGGACAGUUUAAAUUUCUAACAGUUUUCCCAUCAAAUUGACAAUUGACAACAAUGUAAGUCUCAAACGACGUGUCAAAAAUUAGUGUACAAAUAGCAAAGUUCAAUCGAUAAGGACAUUGCUACAUGUACACUAUGGUGUACACUUUAGUUUACACUUUACCACGUGACAUUACCCUGUUGGACAGUUUAAAUUUCAAAUUAUUUUCCCACCCAAUUUGAACAGUUCAAUCGGUAAGAACCUUGCUACAUGUAAUCUUUUCCAUGUGACAUUACCCUGCUAGAUAGUUUAAAUUUCUAACAGUUUUCCCAUCAAAUUGACACUUGAAAACAAUGUAAGUCUCAAACAACGUGUCAAAAAUUAGUAUACAAAGAGCAUAGUUCAAUUAGUAAGGACCUUGCUACAUGUACACUAUGGUGUACACUUUAGUUUACACUUUGCCACAUGACAUUACCCUGUUGGACAGUUUAAAUUUCAUAUAGUUUUCCCAUCCAAUUGACACUUAACAACAAUGCAAGUGUCAAACAACGUGUCAAAAAUCAGUGUACGAAUAGCAAAGUUCAAUUUGUAAGAACCUUGCUACAUGUACAUGAUAGUGUACACUUUAGUUUACACUUUGACACGUGACGUUACCAUGUUGGACUGUUUAAAUUUCAAAUUGUUAUCCCACUCAAUUGACAUUUGACAAUAGUGCAAUUGUCAAACAACGUGUCAAAAAUUAGUAUAUAAAUAGUAAAGUUAAUCGGUACAAACCUUGCUACAUGUACACUAUGAUGUAUAUACUUUAGUUUACACUUUGCCACGUGACAGUUUAAAUUUCUAACAGUUUUCCCAUCAAAUUGACACUUGACAACAAUGCAAGUCUCAAACAACGUGUCAAAAAUUAAUGUACAAAUAGCAAAGUUCAAUCGAUUAGGACUUUGCUAUAUGUACACUAUGUUGUACACUUUAGUUUACACUUUACCACGUAACAUAACCCUAUUGGACAGUUUAAAUUUCAAAUUGUUAUCCCACCAAAUUGACAUUUGACAACAAUGUAAUUGUCAAACAACGUAUCAAAAAUCAAUAUACGAAUAGCAAAUUUCAAUCGGUAAGAACCUUGCUACAUGUACACUAUGGUGUACACACUUUAGUUUACACAUUGCCACGUGUCCUUACCUGCUGGACAAUUUAAAUUUCUAACAGUUUUCCCGUCCAAUUGACACUGGACAACAUUGCAAGUGUCAAACAACGUGUCAAGAAUUAGUGUAGAAAUAGAAAAUUUCAAUCGGUAAGAACCUUGCUGCAUGUACACUGUGGAGUGCACUUUAAUUUACACUUUGCGACGUGACAUUACCCUGUUGGACAGUUUAAAUUUCAUACAGUUUUCCCAUCCAAUUGACACUUAACAAUAAUGCAAGUGUCAAACAACAUGUCAAAAAUCAAUGUACAAAUUACAGUGUUCAACCGGUAUGAACCAUGCAACAUGUACACUAUGGAGUCUACUUAACUUUACACUUUGCCACAUGACUUUACCCUGUUGGCGAGUUUAAGUUCCAAAAAGUUUUCUCAUCCAAUUAACACUUGACAACAAUGCAAUUGUUAAACAACGUGUCAAAAAUCAGUGUACAAAUAACAAAGUUGAAUCGAUAAGAACCAUGCUGCAAGUACACUAUGGUGUACACUUUAGUUUACACUUUACUACGUGACACUACUCUAUUAGACAAUUUAACUUUCAAACAGUUUUUCCAUCCAAUUGACACUUGACAACAAUACAAGUGUCAAACAAAGUGUCAAAAAUUAGUGUACAAAUAGCAAAGUUCAAUCGGUAAGAACCUUGCUACGUGUACACUAUGUUGUGCAGUUUAGUUUACACUUUGCCACGUGACAUUACCCAUUUGGACAGUUUAAAUUUCAAAUUGUUAUCCCUCCCAAUUGACACUUGACAACAAUGCAAUUGUCAAACAACGUGUCAAAAAUCAGAGUACAAAUAGCAAAGUUCAAUCGGUAAGGACCUUGCUACAUAUACACUAUGGUGUACACUUUAGUUUACACUUUGCAACGUGAUAUUACUCUGUUGGACAGUUUAAGUUUCAAAUUGUUAUCCCACCCAAUUGACACUUGACAACAAAGCAAUUGUGAAACAAAGUGUCAAAAAUUAGUAUGCAAAUAGCAAAGUUCAAUCGGUAAGAACCUUGCUACAUGUACACUAUGGUGUACACUUCAAUCCGUAAGGACCUUGCUACAUGUACACUAUGGUGUACACUUUAAUUUACACUUUGCGACAUGACAUCACCCUAUUGGACAGUUUAAAUUUCAAAUUAUUUUCCCACCCAUUUGACACUUGACAACAAUGCAAUUGUCAAACAACGUGUCAAAAAUCAGUGUACAAAUAGAAAAGUUCAAUCGGUAAGAGCCUUGCUACAUGUACACUUUUCCACGUGACAUUACCCUGCUGGACAGUUUAAAUUUCUAACAGUUUUCCCAUCAAAUUGACACUUGACAACAAUGUAAAUCUCAAACAACGUGUCAAGAAUUGGUGUAUAAAUAGCAUAGUUCAAUCGGUAAGGACAUUCCUACAUGUACACUAUGGUGUAAACUUUGGUUUACACUUUAUGACGUGACAUUAUCCUGUUGGACAGUUUAAAUUUCAUAUAGCUUUUUUGUCCAAUUGACACUUAACAGCAAUGCCAAGUGUCAAACAACGUGUCGAAAAUCAAUGUACAAAUAGCAAAUUUCAAUCGGUAAGGACCUUGCUACAUAUACACUAUGGUGUACACUUUAGUUUACACUUUGCCACGUGACAUUACCCUAUUGGACAAUUUAAAUUUCAAAUUUUUAUCCCACCCAAUUGACACUUGACAACAUUGCAAUUGUCAAACAACUUGUCAAAAAUCAGUAUACAAAUAGCAAAGUUCAAUCGGUAAGAACCUUGUUACAUGUACACUAUGGUGUACACGCUUUAGUUUACACUUUGCCAAAUGACCUUACCCUGCUGGACAGUUUAAAUUUCUAACAGUUUUCCCAUCAAAUUGACACUUGACAACAAUGCAAGUCUCAAACAAUGUGUCAAAAAUUAGUGUACAAAUAGCAAAGUUCAAUCGGUAAGGACCUUGUUACAUGUACACUACGAUGUACUCUUUAGUUUACACUUUGCCACGUGACAUUACCCCGUUGGACAGUUUAAAUUUCAAAUUAUUUUUCCACCCAAUUGACACUUGACAACAAUGCAAUUGUUAAACAACGUGCCAAAAAGUAGUGUGCAAAUAGCAAAGUUCAAUCGGUAAGAACCUUGCUACAUGUACACUAUGGUGUACACAGUUCAGUUUACACUUUGCCACGUGACAUUACCCUAAUGGACAGUUUAGAUUUCUAACAGUUUUCCCAUCAAAUUGACACUUUACAACAAUGCAAGUCUCAAACAACGUGUCAAAAAUUAGUGUACAGAUCGCAAAGUUCAAUCGGUAAGGACCUUGCUACAUGUACACUAUGGUAUACAAUUUAGUUUACACUUUGCGACGUGACAUAACCCUGUUGGACAGUUUAAAUUUCAUACAAUUUUCCCACCCAAUUGACACUUAACAACAAUGCAAGUGUCAAACAACAUGACAAAAAUCAGUGUACAAAUUACAAAGUUCAAUCGGUAUGAACCAUGCAGUAUGUACACUAUGGAGAACACUUAAGUUUACACUUUGCCACGUGACUUUACCCUGUUGGACAGUUUAAAUUUCAAACACUUUUCCCAUCCAAUUGAACUUGACAACAAUGCAAUUGUCAAACAACAUGUCAAAAAUCAGUGAACAAAUAACAAAGUUGAAUCGGUAAGAACCAUUCUACAUGCACACUAUGGUGUAUACUUUAGUUUACACUUUCCCACGUGACAUUACUGCAUUGGACAAUUUAAAUUUCAAACAGUUUUUCCAUCCAAUUGACAAUUGACAACAAUGCAAAUGUCAAACAACAUGUCAAACAUUAGUAUACAAAUAGUAAAGUUCAAUCGGUAAGAACAUUGCUACAUGUACACUAUGGUGUACAGUUUAGUUUACACUUUGCCACGUAACAUUAUCCAUUUGGACAAUUUAAAUUUCAAAUUGUUAUCCCUCCCAAUUGACACUUAACAACAAUGCAAUUGUCAAACAACGUGUCAAAAAUCAGUGUACAAAUAGUAAAGUUCAAUCGGUAAGGACCUUGCUACAUGUACACUAUGGUGUACACUUUAGUUUACACCUUGCAAUGUGAUAUUACUCUAUUGGAUAGUUUAAAUUUCAAAUUGUUAUCCCACCCAAUUGACGCUUGACAACAAAGCAAUUGUGAAACAAAGUGUCAAAAAUUAGUAUGCAAAUAGCAAAGUUCAAUCGGUAAGAACCUUGCUACACGUACACUAUGGUGUCCACACUUUAGUUUACACUUUGCCACGUGACCUUACCCUACUGGACAGUUUAAAUUUCUAAUAGUUUUCUCAUCCAAUUGACACUUGACAACAAUGCAAGUCUCAAACAACGUAUCAAAAAUUAGUGUACAAAUAGAAAAGUUCAAUCGGUAAGGACCUUGCUACAUGUACACUAUGAUGUACACUUUAGUUUACACUUUACCACGUAACAUAAACCUAUUGGACAGUUUAAAUUUCAAAUUCUUAUCCCACCCAAUUGACACUUGACAACAAUGUAAUUGUCAAACAUCGUGUCAAAAAUCAAUAUACAAAUAGCAAAUUUCAAUCGGUAAGAACCUUGCCACAUGUACACUUUGGUGUACACUUUGGUGUACACACUUUAGUUUACACUUUGCCACGUGACAUUACCCUGCUGGAUAGUUUAAAUUUCAAAUUGUUAUCCCACCCAAUUGACACUUGACAACAAUGCAAUUGUCAAACAACGUGUCAAAAAUCAGUGUACAAAUAGCAAAGUUAAUCAGUACGAACCUUGCUACAUGUACACUAUGAUGUAUACACUUUAGUUUACACUUUGCCACGUGACCUUACCCUUCCGGACAGUUUAAAUUUCUAACAGUUUUCCCAUCAAAUUGACACUUGACAACAAUGCAAGUCUCAAACAACGUGUCAAAAAUUAGUGUACAAAUAGCAAAGUUCAAUCGGUAAGGACCUUGCUACAUGUACACAAUAGUGUACACUUUAGUUUACACUUUGCCACGUAACAUAAACCUGUUGGACAGUUUAAAUUUCAAAUUGUUAUCCCACCCAAUUGACACUUGACAACAAUGUAAUUGUCAAACAACGUGUCAAAAAUCAAUAUACAGAUAGCAAAUUUCAAUCGGUAAGAACCUUUCCACUUGUACACUAUGGUGUACACACUUUAGUUUACACUUUGCCACAUGACAUUACCCUGCUGAAUAGUUUAAAUUUCAAAUUUUUAUCCCACCCAAUUGACACUUGACAACAAUGAAAUUGUCAAACAACGUGUCAAAAAUCAGUAUACAAAUAGCAAAGUUAAUCGGUACGAACCUUGCUACAUGUACACUAUGAUGUACACACUUUAGUUUACACUAUGCCACGUGACCUUACCCUACUGGACAAUUUAAAUUUCUAAUAGUUUUUCCAUCAAAUUGGCACUUGACAACAAUGCAAGUCUCAAACAACGUGUCAAAAAUUAAUGUACAAAUAGAAAAGUUCAACCGGUAAGGACCAUACUACGUGUAGACGAUGGUGUACACUUUAGUUUACACCUUGCCAUGUGACAUUACCCUAUUGGGCAGUUUAAAUUUUAAAUAAUUUUCCCACCCAAUUGACACUUGACAACAAUGCAAGUGUUAAACAACGUGUUGAAAAUCAGUGUACAAAUAGCAAAGUUCAAUCGGUAAGAACCUUGCUACAUGUACGCGAUGGUGUACACACUUUAGUUUACACUUUGCAACGUGACCUUACCCUGCUGGUCAGUUUAAAUUUCUAACAGUUUUCCCAUCCUAUUGACACUUGGCCACAUUGCAAGUGUCAAACAACGUGUCAAAAAUCAGUGUACAUUGAAUAGCAAAGUUCAAUCGGUAUGAACCAUGCUACAUGUACCCUAUGGUGUACAUUUAAGUUUACACUUUUCCACGUGACAUCACCCUGUUGGACAGUUUAAAUUUCAAACAGUUUUCCCAUCCAAUUGGCACUUGACCACAAUGCAAGUGUCAAACAACGUGUCAAAAAUUAUUGUAUAGCAAAGUUAAAUCGGUAAGAACGAUGUUAGAAGUACACUAUGGUUUGCACUUUAGUUUACACUUUAUCACAUGUCAUUACUCUAUUAGACAGUUUAAAUUUCAAACAGUUUUUCCAUCCAAUCAACACUUGACAACAAUGCAACUGUCAAAUAACGUGUCGAAAAUAAGUGUACAAAUAACAAAAUUCAAUCAGUAAGGACCUUGCUACAUGUACACUAUGGUGUACACUUCAGUUUACACUUUGCCACGUGACAUUACCUUGUUGGAUAGUUUAAAUUUCAAACAGUUUUCCCAUCUAAUUGACACUUGACAACAAUGCAAGUGUCAAACAACAUGUCAAAAAUCAGUGUAUAAAUAGAAAAGUUCAAUCGGUAAGGACCUUGCUACAUGCACACUAUGGUGUACACUUUAGUUUACACUUUGCCACGUGACAUUACCCUGUUGGACAGUUUAAAUUUCAAAAAGUUUUCUCACCCAAUUGAUACUUGACAACAAUGCAAGUGACAAACAACGUGUCAAAAAUCAGUGUACCAAUAGCAAAGUUCAAUCGAUAAGAACCUUGCUAAAUGUAUACUAUGGUGUACACACUUUAGUUUACACUUUGCCACGCAACAUUAUCCUGCUGAAUAGUUUAAAUUUCAAAUUGUUAUCCCACCCAAUUGACACUUGACAACAAUACAAUUAUCAAACAAUGUGUCAAAAAUCAGUAUACAAAUAGCAAAGUUAAUCGGUGCGAACCUUGCUACAUGUACACUAUGAUGUAUACACUUUAGUUUACACUUUGCCACAUGACCUUACCCUUCUAGACAGUUUAAAUUUCUAACAGUUUUCCUAUCAAAUUGACACUUGACAACAAUGCAAGUCUAAAACAAUGUGUCAUAAAUUAGUGUACAAAUAGUAAAGUUCAAUCGGUAAGGACCUUGCUACAUGUACACUAUGGUGUACACUUUUAUUUACACUUUGCCACGUAACAUAACCCUAUUGGACAGUUUAGAUUUCAAAUUGUUAUCCCACCUAAUUGACACUUGACAACAAUGUAAUUUUCAAACAACGUGUCAAAAAUCAAUAUACAAAUAGCAAAUUUCAAUCGGUAAGAACCUUGCUACAUGUACACUAUGGUGUACACACUUAGUUUACACAUUGCCACGUGACCUUACCCUGCUGGACAAUUUAAAUUUCUAAGAGUUUUCCCAUCCAAUUGACACUAGAAAACAAUGCAAGUAUCAAACAACGUGUCAAGAAUCAGUGUACAAAUAGAAAAUUUCAAUCGGUAAGAACCUUGCUACAUGUACACUGUGGUGUACACUUUAAUUUACACUUUGCAACGUGACAUUAUCCUGCUGGACAAUUUAAAUUCCAAAUUGUUAUCCCACCCAAUUAACACUUGACAAUAAUGCAAUUUUCAAACAACCCGUAAAAAAUCAGUAUACAAAUAGCAAAGUUCAAUCGGUAAGAACCUUGCUACAUGUACACUAUGGUGGACACACUUUAGUUUACACUUUACCACAUGAACUUACCUUGCUGAACAAUUUAAAUUUCUAACAGUUUUCCCAUCAAAUUGACACUUGAUAACAAUGUAAGUCUCAAACAACGUGUCAAAAAUUAGUGUUCAAAUAGAAAAGUUCAAUCGGUAAGGACCAUGCUACGUGUAGACGAUGGUGUACACUUUAGUUUACACUUUGCCUGUGACAUUACCCUAUUGGGCAGUUUAAAUUUUAAAUAAUUUUCCCAUCCAAUUGACACUUGACAACAAUGCAAGUGUUAAACAACGUGUUGAAAAUCAGUGUACAAAUAGCAAAGUUCAAUCGGUAAGAACCUUGCUACAUGUACGCUAUGGUGUACAAACUUUAGUUUACACUUUGCAACGUGACCUUACCCUACUGGACAGUUUAAAUUUCUAAUAGUUUUCCCAUCCUAUUGACACUUGACCACAUUACAAAUGUCAAACAAUGUGUCAAAAAUCAGUGUACAUUGAAUAGCAAAGUUCAAUCGGUAUGAACCAUGUUACAUGUACCCUAUGGUGUACAUUUAAGUUUACACUUUGCCACGUGACAUCACAUUGUUGGACAGUUUAAAUUUCAAACAAUUUUCCCAUCCAAUUGAGACUUGACCACAAUGCAAGUGUCAAACAACGUGUCAAAAUCAGUGUAUAACAAAGUUCAAUUGGUAAGAACCAUGUUAGAAGUACACUAUGGUGUGCACUUUAGUUUACACUUUACCAUAUGUCAUUAUUCUAUUGGAUAGUUUAAAUUUCAAACAGUUUUUCCAUCCAAUUAACACUUGAAAACAAUGCAAGUGUCAAAUAACGUGUCGAAAAUAAGUGUACAAAUAGCAAAAUUCAAUCGGUAAGGACCUUGCUACAUGUACACUAUGGUGUACACUUUAGUUUACACUUUGCCACGUGACAUUAUCAUGUUGGAUAGUUUAAAUUUUGAAUAGUUUUCCUAUCUAAUUGACACUUGACAAUAAUGCAAGUGUCAAACAACGUGUCAAAAAUCAGUUUACAAAUAGCAAAGUUCAAUCGGUAAGGACCUUGCUACAUGCACACUAUGGUGUACACUUUAGUUUACACUUUUCCACGUGACAUUACCCUGUUGAACAGUUUAAAUUUCAAAAAUUUUUCCCACCCAAUUGAUACUUGACAACAAUGCAAGUGUCAAACAACGUGUCAAAAAUCAGUGUAGAAAUAGCAAAGUUCAAUCGGUAAGAACCUUGCUAAAUGUACACUAUGGUCAACACACUUUAGUUUACACUUUGCCACAUGACAUUACCCUGCUGGAUAGUUUAAAUUUCUAACAGUUUUCCCAUUCAAUUGACACUUGACAAUAAUGUAAGUGUUAAACAACGUGUCAAAAAUCAGUGUACAAAUAGCAAAGUUCAAUCGGUAAGAACCUUGCUACAUGAACACAAUGGUGUACACUUUAGUUUACACUUUGCCACGUGACAUUAUCCUGUUGGACAGUUUAAAUUUCAAACUAUUUUCCCAUCCAAUUGACACUUGACAACAAUGCAAGUGUCAAACAACGUGUCAAAAAUUAGUGUACAAAUAGUAAAGUUCAAUCGGUAUGAACCAUGCUACAUGUACACUAUGGUGUACACUUUAGUUUACACUUUGCUAGGUUACAUUACCCUAUUGGACAGUUUAAUUUUCAAACAGUUUUUUCAUUCAAUUGACAUUUGACAACAACGCAAGUGUCAAACAACCUAUCAAAAAUUAGUGUAGAAAUAGUAAAUUGCAAACGGUAAGAACCUUGCUAUAUGUAGACUAUGUUGUACACACUUUAGUUUACACUUUGACAUGUGACAUUACCCUGUUGGAUAGUUUAAAUUUCAAAACAUUUUUCCAUCCAAUUGACACUUGACAACAUUGCAAGAGUCAAACAACGUGUCAAAAAUCAGUGUACAAAUAGCAAAGUUUAAUCGGUAUGAACCAUGCUACAUGUACACUAUGGUGUACACUUUAGUUUACACUUUACCACGUGACAUUAACCUGUUGGACAGUUUAAAUUUCAAAUAAUUUUUCCAUCCAAUUGACACUUCACAACAAUGUAAGUGUUAAACAACAUGUCAAAAAUCAGUGUACAAAUUGCAAAGUUCAAUCGAUAAGAACCUUGCUACAUGCACACUAAGGUGUACACUUUACCACGUGACAUUACCCAGUUAGACAGUUUAAAUUUCAAAAUGUUUUCCCAUCCUAUUGACACUUGACAACAUUGCAAGUGUCAAACAAUGUGUCAAAAAUCAGUAUACAAAUAGCAAAGUUCAAUCGGUAAGAACCUUGCUAUAUGUAGACUUUGGUGUAGACUUUGGUGUACACUUUAGUUUAUACUAUGUCAGUGACAUUACACUGUUGGACAGUUUAAAUAUCAAACAAUUUUUCCUUCCAAUUGACAAUUGACAACAAUGCAAGUGUCAAACAAUGUGUCAAAAAUUAAUGUACAAAUAGUAAAGUUCAAUCGGUAAGAACUAUGCUACAAGUACACUAUGGUGUACACUUUAGUUUUCACUUUGCCACGUGAAAUUACUCUAUUGGACAGUUUAAAUUUCAAACAAUUUUUCCAUCCAACUGACACUUGACAACAAUGCAAGUGUCAAACAACGUGUCGAAAAUUAGUGUACAAAUAGUAAAGUUCAAUCGGUAAGGACCUUGCUACAUGUACACUGUAGUGUCUACUUUAGUUUACACUUUGCCACGUGACAUUACCUGUUGGACAUUUUAAAUUUCAAAUAGUUUUCCCAUCCAAUUGACACUUGUCACAUUGUCACGUGACAUUAGAUUGUUGGACAGUUUAAAUUUCAAAAAGCUUUCCCAUCCAAUUGACACUUGACAACAAUGCAAGUGUCAAACAAUGUGUCAAAAAUCAGUGUACAGUUAGCAAUGUUCAAUCGGUAAGGAUCUUGCUACAUGUAUUCUAUGGUUUAUACUUUGCCACAUGACAUUACCCUGUUUGACAGUUUAAAUUUCAAACAGUUUUCCCUUCCGAUUGACAUUUGACAACAAUUCAUAUGUCAAACAACGUGUCAAAAACCAGUGUAGAAAUUGCAAAGUUCAAUCGGUAAAAACCUUGCUACAUGUACACUAUGGUGUACACACUAUAGUUUACACUUAGCCACGUGACAUUACCAUGUUGGACAGUUUAACUUUCAAAUAGAUUUUCCAUCCAAUUGACACUUGACAACAAUGCAAGUGUUAAAGAACGUGUCCAAAAUCAGUGUACAAAUAGCAAAGUUCAAUUAGUAUGAACCAUGCUACAUGUACACCAUGUUGUACACUUUAGUUUUCACUUUACCACGUGACAUUACCUUGUUGGACAGUUUAAAUUUCAAACAGUUUUCCCAUCCAACUACACUUGACAAUAAUGUAAGUGUUAAAUACCAUGUCAAGAAUCAGUGUACAAAUUGCAAAGUUCAAUCGGUAAGAACCUUGUUACAUGUACAUUAUGGUGUACACUUUAGUUUACACUUUGGCACGUGACAUUACACAAUUGGACAGUUUAAAUUUCAAAAAGUUUUCCCAUCCAGUUGACACUUGACAAAAUUGCAAGUGUCACUCAAGUGUCAAACAACGUGUCAAAAAUCAGUGUACAAAUAGCAAAGUUCAAUGGUAAGAACCUUUCUACAUGUACACUUUGGUGGUGCACACUUUAGUUUACACUUUACCACAUGACAUUACCUGGUUGGACAGUUUAAAUGUCAAACAGUUUUCCCUUCCAAUUGACACUAGACAACAAUGCAAGUGUCAAACAACGUGUCAAAAAUCAGUGUAUAAAUAGCAAAGUUCAAUCGGUAAGAACCAUGUUACAAGUACACUAUUGUGUACACUUUAGUUUUCACUUUGCCACGUGAAAUUACUCGAUUGGACGGUUUAAAUUUCAAACAUUUUUUCCAUCUAAUUGACACUUGACAAUAAUGCAAGUGUCAAACAAAGUGUCGAAAAUUAGUGUACAAAUAGUAAAGUUCAAUCGGUUAGGACCUUGCUAAAUUACACUAUGGUGUACACUUUAGUUUAUACAUUACCAUGUGACAUUACCCUAUUGGACAGUUUAAAUUUCAAACAAUUUUCCCAUUCAAUUGAUACAUGACAAUAUUGCAAGUGUCAAACAACGUGUCAAAAAUCAGUGUACAAGUAGCGACGUUCAAUUGGCAAGAACCUUGCUAUAUGUACAUUAUGGUGUACACUUUAGUUUACACUAUGCAACAUGACAUUAUCCUGUUGGACUGUUUAAAUUUCAAACAGUUUUUCCGUCCAAUUGACACUUAACAGCAAUUCAAAUGUCAAACAAUGGGUCAAAAAUUAAUUUACAAAUAAUAGUUUUUCCAUCCAAUUGACACUUGACAACAAUGUAAGUGUUAAACAACGUGUCAAAAAUCAGUGUACAAAUAGCAAAGUUCAAAUGGUAAGAAUCUUCCUACAUGUACACUAUGGUGUACCCACUUUAGUUUACACUUUUCUACGUGACAUUACCCAGUUGGAUGGUUUAAAUUUCAAAUAGUUUUUCCAUCCAAUUGCACUUGACAACAAUGUAAGUGUUAAACAGCGUGUCAAGAAUCAGUGUACAAAUUAUAAAGUUUAAUCGGUAAAAACCUUACUGCAUAUACAUUAUAGUGUAUACUUUAGUUUACACUUUGGUAUGUGACGUUACCCAGUUGGACAGUUUAAAUUUCGAACAGUUUUCUCAUCCAAUUGACACUUGACAAAAUUGCAAGUGUCAAACAAUGUGUCAAAAAUCAGUGUACAAAUAGUAAAAUUAAAUAGGUAAGAACCUUUCUACAUGUACACUCUAGUGGUGCACACUUUAGUUUACACUUUACCACGUGACAUUACCCGGUUGGACAGUUUAAAUGUCAAACAGUUUUCCCUUCCAAUUGACACUAGACAACAAUGCAAGUAUCAAACAACGUGUCAAAAAUCAGUGUACAAAUGGCAAAGUUCAAUCGGUAAGAAUCAUGCUACAAGUAUACUAUCAUGUACACUUUAGUUUUCACUUUGCCACGUGAAAUUACUCUAUUGGACAGUUUAAAUUUCAAACAAUUUUUCCGUCCAAUUGACACUUGACAACAAUGCAAGUGUCUAACAAAGUGUCAAAAAUUAGUGUACAAAUAGCAAAGUUCAAUUGGUUAGGACCUUGCUAAAUUACAUUAUGGUGUACACUUUAGUUUACACGUUGCCACGUGACAUUACCUGUUGGACAGUUUCAAUUUCAAAUAGUUUUCCCAUCCAAUUGACACUUGUCACUGUGCCAUGUGACAUUAGUCUGUUGGACAGUUUAAAUUUAAAAAGUUUUCCCAUCCAAUUGACACUUGAAAACAAUGCAAGUGUCAAAAAUCAGUGUACACUUAGCAAAGUUCAAUUGGUAAGUACCUUGCUACAUUAAUACUAUGGUUUACACUUUGCCACGUAACAUUACCCUGUUGGACAAUUUAAAUUUCAAACAAUUUUCCCACCCAAUUGACACUUGACAACAAUGCAAGUGUCAAAUAACGUGUUAAAAAUCAGUGUACAAAUAGCAAAGUUCAAUCGGUAAGAACCUUGUUACAUGUACACUAUGGUGUACACACUAUAAUUUACACUUAGCCACGUGACAUUAAUCCUGUUGGACAGUUUAAAUUUCAAAUAGUUUUCCCAUCCAAUUGACACUUGACAAUAAUGCAAGUGUCAAACAACGUGUCAAAAAUCAGUGUACAAAUAGCUAAGUUCAAUCAGUAUGAACCAUACUACACGUACACCAUGUUGUACACUUUAGUUUUCACUUUACCCCGUGACAUUACCUCAUUGGACAGUUUAAGUUUCAAACAAUUUUUCCACCCAAUUGCACUUGACACCAAUGUAAGUGUUAAACACCGUGUCAAGAACCAGUGUACAAAUUGUAAAGUUCAAUCGGUAAGAACCUUGCUACAUGUACAUUAUGGUGUACACUUUAGUUUACACUUUGGUACAUGACGUUACCCAGUUGGACAGUUUAAAUUUCAAAAAGUUUUCCUAUCCAAUUGACACUUGACAAAAUUACAAGUGUCAAACAAUGUGUCAAAAAUCAGUGUACAAAUAGCAAAGUUCAAUAGGUAAGAACCUUUCUACAUGUACACUUUGGUAGUGCACACUUUAGUUUACACUUUGCCACUUGAGAUUACCCGGUUGGACAGUUUAAAUGUUAAACAAUUUUUCCUUCCAAUUGACACUAGACAACAAUGCAAGUAUCAAACGACGUGUCAAAAAUCAGUGUACAAAUAGCAAAGUUCAAUCGGUAAGAACCAUGCUACAAGUACACUAUUGUGUAAACUUCAGUUUUCACUUGGCCACGUGAAAUUACUCUAUUGGACGGUUUAAAUUUCAAACAGUUUUUCUUCCAAUUGACACUUGACAAUAAUGCAAGUGUCAAACAAAGUGUCAAAAAUUAGUGUACAAAUAGUAAAGUUCAAUCGGUUAGGACCUUGCUAAAUUACACUAUGGUGUACAAUUUAGUUUACACGUUGUCACGUGACAUUACCCUGCUGGACAGUUUAAAUUUCAAACAGUUUUUCCAUCCAAUUGACACAUGACAAUAUUGCAAGUAUCUAACAAUGUGUCAAAAAUCAGUGUACAAGUAGCAAAGUUCAAUUGGUAAGAACCUUGCUACAUGUACAUUAUGGUGUACACUUUAGUUUACACUAUACCACGUGACAUUAUCCUGUUGAACAGUUUAAAUUUCAAACAGUUUUCCCAUCUAAUUGACACUUGACAACAAUGCAAGUGUCAAACAACGUGUCAAAAAUCAAUUUACAAAUAGCAGUUUUCCAUCCAAUUGACACUUGAAAAUAAUGUAAGUGUCAAACAACGUGUCAAAAAUCAUUGUACAAAUAGUAAAGUUCAAACGGUAAGAACCUUGCUACAUGUACACGAUGGUGUACCCACUUUAGUUUACACUUUGCCACGUGACAUUAACUUGUUGGACAGUUUAAAUUUCAAACAGUUUUUCCAUUCAAUUGACAAUUGACAGCAGUACAGGUGUUAAACAGCCUGUCAAAAAUCAGUGUACAAAUAGCAAAGUUCAAUCAGUAAGCAUCUUGCCACAUGUACACUAUGGUGUACACUUUAGUUUGCACUUUGCCACGUGAUAUUACCUUGUUGGACAGUUUAAAUUUCAAACAGUUUUCCCAUCCAAUUGACACUUGACAACAAUGCAAGUGUCAAACAACGUAUCAAAAGUCUAUGAACAAAUAGCAAAGUUCAAUCAAUAAGGACCUUGCUACAUUACACUAUGGUGUACACUUUUGUUUACAUUUUGCCACAUGAUGUUACCUUGUUGGACAGUUUAAAUUUAAAAUAGUUUUCCCAUCUAAUUGACCCUUGAAAACAAUGCAAGUGUCAAACAACGCGUCAAAAACUAGUGUACAAAUAGCAAAGUUCAAUCGGUAAGAACCUUGCUACAUGUACACUAUGGUGUACACUUCAGUUUACACUUUAUCUCGUGAUGUUACCUUGUUGGUCAGUUUAAAUUUCAAAUAGUUUUCCCAUCCAAUUGACAGUUGACAACAAUGCAAGUGUCAACAACGUGUCAAAAAUCAGUAUACAAAUAGCAAAGUUUAAUAGGUAAGAACCUUACGACAUGUACACUAUGGCGUGCCAUUUAGUUUACACUUUGCCACGUGUCAUUACCCUGUUGGAUAGUUUAGAUUUCAAAUAAUUUUCUCAUCCAAUUGACACUUGCCAUACACUUGACAACAAUGCAAGUGUCAAACAACGUGUCAAAAAUCAGAGUACAAAUAGUAAAGUUCAAUCGAUAAGAACCUUGCUACAUGUACACUAUGGUGUACACUUUAGUUUACACUUUGUCAUGUGACAUUACUCUAUUGGACAAUUUAAAUUUCAAACAAUUUUCAUAUCCAAUUGACACUUGACAACAAUGCAAGUGUCAAACAAAAGGUCGAAAAUUAGUAUACAAAUAGCAAUGUUCAAUCGGUAAGGACCUUGUUACAUGUACACUAUGGUGUACACUUUAGUUUAUACUUUGCCACAUGACAUUACCCUGUUGGACAACUUAAAUUUCAAAUAGUUUUCCCAUCGAAUUGAUACUUGACAACAAUGCAAGUGUCAAACAACAUGUCAAAAGUCAGUGUACAAACAGCAAAGUUCAAUUCGUAAGAACCUUGCUACAUGUACACUAUGGUGUACACUUUAGUUUACACUUUGCCACGUGACGUUACCCUGUUGGGCAGUUUAAAUUUCAAAUAGUUUUGCCAUCCAAUUGACACUUGACAGCAUUGUAAGUGUCAAACAACGUGUCAAAAAUCAAUGUACAAAUAGCAAAGUUUAAACGGUAAGAACCUUACUACAUGUACACUAUGGUGUACCUACUUUAGUUUACACUUUUCCACGUGACAUUACCUUGUUGGGCAGUUUAAAUUUCGAACAGUUUUUCCAUCUGAUUGACAAUUGACAACAAUGUAAGUGUCAAACAACCUGUCAAAAAUCAGUGUACAAAUAACAAAGUUCAAUCGGUAAGCAUCUUGCUACAUGUACACUAUGGUGCACACUUUAAUUUACACUUUGCCACGUGACAUUACCCUAUUGUACUGUUUAAAUUUUAAACAGUUUUCCCAUCCAAUUGACACUUGAUAACAAUGCAAAUGUCAAACAACAUGUCAAAAAUCUAUGUACAAAUAGUAAAGUUCAAUCGAUAAGGACCUUGCUACAUUACACUAUGGUGUACACUUUUGUUUAUACUUUGCCACGUGACGUUACCAUGUUGGAAAGUUUAAAUUUAAAACAUUUUUGCCAUCUAAUUGACACUCAAAUACAAUGCAAGUGUCAAAUAACGCAUCAAAAAUCAGUGUACAAAUAGCAAAGUUUAAUCGGUAAGAACCUUACUAUAUGUAUACUAUGGUGUACACUUUAAUUUACAAUUUACCACGUGCGGUGGAUGUGGUGGGUAGUGGAGACACUGGUCGGUGGCUGUGCUGUACAGCGACGCUGGUUGGCAAUAAGUGUAACAGUAUUGCCACACGCACAAGAUGUGUGCUGAUUUGUGUGAGUGCAGUGUGUGUGGAAGUGUAUUUGUACAGUGAUGAGGUAUUUUUGUUGGGUUUGUUGGUUUUUGGAGUGAUGUGGAUACAAUGGUGGUGAUGGUGGCUCUACCGGUAUGCAGCGGCUCUGGUGGUGGGAGGUUCUUGACGGUGGCUCUGUGUGAAAUGCUGUGUUACAGUAUUUUUGUUGGGCUUGUUGGUUUUUGGAGCGGUGGUAGUGGUGGCAGCGGCGGCGCUGAUCGUGAUGGUGUUGUGGUAGGGAUAGUGUUAGUGACCAAGAAUUGUGGUGGAUUGGGAUCGGGUGUUUAGUGUCUGUGACCAACUAUUUGGUCCCCUAUGACUGACUAUUAAUCUGUGACCAUCAAAUUUGAAAAUAUGUGACCUAUGACCUAUAAUUUUUUGAAUUUGUGACCAAUGACAAAAACCAUGAUCUAUAAAAUCGAUAGAUAAAUUGUGAUCUAUAAUUUUUUGAUCUGUGAUCAAAUAUUUUAAUCCGUGACCUAUUAAAGUUUUGAUUUGAGACCGGUGAAUAAAUCUAUAAUCUAUAAUUGUGUACAUGUCAUUAAUUGUAUAAUUGUGACAUUAUUAUAUUUAAUUAAUAAAUAUUUUUAAUUAGAUGAAAACUUGAAUUUUGCAUUAGUUAAACUUAAAACUUGAUUUUUGAAUUGUGCAUAAUUAAUACAUUAUUUAUGAAUUUUUCCCCGCUGGGAUAACUAGGCUAGGCGGGUUGGGUCAUGGGUGAAAUUUCGAUCAAAUAUUCUCAUGUUAAAUUUUGGGAUAGCUAGGCGGGUCGGGUCAUAGGUAAUACUCUCAUAUUAUCCUUAUUAAAUUAAUUUAUUUAAAACACUAUUUAUAAUUGGUAAAAAAUUUUGUAUAUUUAUAAGUUGUGGAUCCUAUAAAAUAUAUGGAUAGAAAGCAAUUUGUAAAAUUAUUGUUCAUCGAUGCAUUCUUUUGUUACGUCUCAUAAUUCGUAGUAUUAGUAAUAUCCCAAAAAUACAUUAAUCGAUAUUAAUUUGAUAAAAGACUGAAAAAAGGAAAUUCUUUGAUUUAAGAAGGGAUGAGCUUCGUCUUUAUAAGAUAAUUUGACUAGUUUUGAUAAUGAUGUGAUCGAAAUUCUAGAUCCACUCAUCGGAUCCUCGUCGUCUAUUACCAUUAUCAUUAAGGGUUAUUUCAGUAGUUAGGAUGGGUGAUUUUUAAAGAUCCAUCAGUUGAGCACCAUUUCUAUAUUCCUUUGUGGCCGGGCUACUGUAUCUCAAAUUAUUAAGUAGGAGGUAUAUUGUUCAAUCUCUUACUUUUUACUACCCGGCCAAAUAGUUCAAAUUGCACAGAUGAACAAUUAGGCGAACAGCUUUACAAAUGUCAGUAGGGUAAUUACUAAUAAUCUUAGGUGAUACGUAGGAUACUCAAGCUUGGGAUGAUUUGUGAUGGCUGUGAUUGAAGAUCCAGAGAGAAACUUAAAAUUUUCUUCAACUUCUUCCCAAUAUUUAUCCUUCAAGGUAGAUGAUGGUGACAUUUUCCAAUAUCCCCGAUCAGUAUAUCCCGAGGACUAAUUUUGAUAAAGUUGUAAAUCCAUCUGCGGUGUCCUCGAGCAUUUCGUCCUCGAGACACCAGGCCCGACCACAUCUCCAUGAUGCUUCACAUAUUGCAAACAUGUGUCCUCGGGCAUAGUCCUUGGGAAUGUGCCCCUCCUCACUACUGACGAUUGUUAACCCUUUAGAAUUCCUACGCAAUUAGGAAUCUUAACUCCCACAAGAGUCCUAUCUCACGCAUAAUUCUGGAAUUCAACCAACUCCUUAACCAUUCAGGACUCCAACAGAUGAGGACAUCCAGCUAGUUGAGUCCAAUUAGGAGAAUGUCACUUACUACUAUAAAUACAGAACCUUGAACCAUUAUUCAGGUACGUUUUUUCAUUGUUCUUCAGCACAUAGCCUCACGCAUAUAUUUCCCUUUCUGACUUAAGCAUCAGAGGGGCAACGAGAACACACCUCGUUGCCUUUGUUUCAGGUAUCGAAAGAUCACAUUCGUGCCCUUCAUCCAUCAUCAAGCUCGGGAAAUCUACAGGUACGAUUUUUGGUAGCAUCAUUGGCGCCAUCUGUGGGAAGCGCUACCAAAAGCCAUGGUAAACACACGGUCAGGUCUUCCACCCGCAAGCUCAUCCGCUCCAAACCAACCCCCUCCUGAGGAUAUCCCUGUUCCUCAAGAGGAAUCAUCAGAAGUGCCAGAGCCCCGACCGGCAAUCGUCACUACUGGAGCCUUUGAAGAGCUCAGACAACAGGUCGCCACACUGACUCAGCUGCUAGGUCAAAGAAAUUCGCAUCCAUCACCCACACCGGCACCCUAGGGGGGUUUUAUGGCUGAUGCUCGAACUCAAGCUCAUGUCCCUGACAAUGGCGGAGCAGGGGCCUCGGGUAUACCACAUGUGACCUCGGCCUCGAGAUCAGUGACCAUGGAGUCCGGAGAACUCACUAGGAUUAUUCAAGAAGAAAUUGCGGCGGGCCUACUUCAGGGCAAUAAAGGGACGACAAGAUUCAGUCCCAACACUCCAUUUACUCCCGAGAUAUUAACAUUCCCCUUGCCGGACAGAUUUAAGUAUCCUAGGAUCAAAGAGUAUGAUGGGACCACCGAUCCAAUCAAUCAUCUGAACAUAUACACUGACGUCAUGAAUUUACAGGUCGCACUAGAUCAGGUGAUGUGCAAGGCAUUCCCGCAAACCUUGACGAAUGCUGCUAGGGAUUGGUUCUCAACCUUAGAGUCCAACUCCAUAGCCUCAUUCUCGGAUUUGGCGGACAAGUUCUCCGCUUUCUUCGCAAGCAGCAAACGCAUCAGGAAGACAGCGGCUUCCCUCAUGCAACUUAGGCAGGGGCAAAAUGAGACCCUACGUGACUUCAUGACCAGGUUCAACAAGGAAAGACUUCAGAUUCCCGACCUACACAUAACUGCAGCGGUUUCUGCCCUCACAUAUGCCAUAAAGUGUGAGGCCUUCAAGAUGUCUUUAUCCAAAACUCCGUCAAAGACAGUGACCGAGCUUCUUACCCGAGCCGAGAAGUACAUAAAUAUGGAAGAAACACUAAACUCGAGAAAGGUUGGACCAUCCCAUGACAGGGUCGAGCAUAAAAGACAGCAUGACCCGAACCCUCGUGAAGAACAGCAUCGAAAAAAAUAGAGACAGGAGGUUCCCCCGAUGCCGUUUACACGUCUAAACACGUCAAAGACCAAUAUAUUGAUGGAGAUCAAGGAUAUGAAGGAACUGAAAUGGCCUGUCAGAAUGAGGUCACCACCCGAAUCCAGGGACAUGAACAAGUACUGUGAGUUCCAUCGGGAUCACGGGCAUACCACGGAGAACUGUAAGGCCCUGCAACGGGAGAUUGAAGCCCUUAUCAAAAGAGGACUCCUGAGCUCCUACGUUGGUAACGAUAAACGCCCGAGGAAUGGUCGUGACAGGGAAAAAGACCCUGAGGCAAAAAGGGAUGGUCAACCUACUGCUGGAACCAUCAAUAUCAUCAUUGGAGGUAUUGCCUCGGGAGGAGACUCCAACAGUGGGAGAAAACAAUAUGCCCAACGAUAUGCCUUGGCCUCUGGGAUGCCUCAGGGAAAGCUGGAAGAUAUUAGUUUUGGGACCGGAGACUUAGAAGGCGUAUCACUUCCACAUGAUGAUGCCUUGGUAAUCUCAGCGAUUGUGGCCAAUUUUGAAGUAAAGAGGAUCUUGGUUGACAACGGGAGUGCGGCCAAUAUACUUUCACAAGAAGCUUUUGCCAAAAUGGGAAUCUCCUCUCACCAACUCAAAGCGGUUGAAACUCCUCUCCAGGGGUUUGGUGGAGGAGUCAUCACUCCAGANNNNNNNNNNNNNNNNNNNNNNNNNNNNNNNNNNNNNNNNNNNNNNNNNNNNNNNNNNNNNNNNNNNNNNNNNNNNNNNNNNNNNNNNNNNNNNNNNNNNNNNNNNNNNNNNNNNNNNNNNNGGUUGACAAUGGGAGUGCAGCCAAUAUACUUUCACAAGAAGCUUUUGCCAAAAUGGGAAUCUCAUCUCACCAGCUCAAAGCGGUUAAAACUCCUCUCCAGGGGUUCGGUGGAGGAGUCAUCACUCCAGAGGGUGUAGUUGAGCUUCCACUAACUUUGGGUUCUGGCCAGAAACAGGUUACGGAGCUGACAUCUUUUCAAGUGGUACGUGUCUCAAUGGCCUAUAAUGCAAUUCUGGGAAGACCACUCCUGAACAAGAUUAAAGCCAUUGUGUCCACCUUCCACCUAGCCAUGAAGUUUCCAACGGGUAAUGGCGUUGGGGUUGUCCGUGGAGACCAGACAGCUGCCAGACAAUGCUAUGUUGCCAGUGUUCGGGAAAUAAAUAACGACGUCAUGCAAAUCUCGAGGAUGGAUCCCGAGGAUGGGCAACAAGUCAGACUUGCUCCUGUCGAAGAAUUGAUGGAAAUUGAGCUCGAGCAUGAUAAGAAGGUGACGAUCGGUCGGGAUCUUGACGUCACCCUGAAGACAGAACUUGUCAGUUGUUUAUCUCGCAACAUUGACGUUUUUGCCUGGAAGGUUGAGGAUAUGUCAGGAAUAGACCCUAAAAUUGCAGUCCAUAGGCUUAAUAUUAGCCCAGGGGCCAGGCCAGUAAAACAGAGGAAAAGACAGUUUGCCCCAGAACGUCGGGAGGUCAUCCGCGAAGAAAUUAACAAACUCAUAAGUGCUCGGUUCAUUCGGGAGGUCCAAUAUCCCGAUUGGCUCGCCAAUGUCAUUUUAGUGAAGAAGGCCAAUGGUAAGUGGAGAGUCUGCAUUGACUUCACAGAUCUUAAUAAAGCAUGUCCAAAGGAUAGUUAUCCCCCACCGCGGAUUGACAACUUGGUGGAUAGCACGUCUGGACAUAAGCUAUACAGCUUCUUGGAUGCAUUUUCUGGUUAUCAUCAAAUCCUCAUGGCCGAGGAAGAUCAAGAAAAGACCUCAUUCAUGGUCGAUUCUGCCAUAUACUGUUAUAAGGUCAUGCCUUUCGGUUUGAAGAAUGCAGGGGCAACAUACCAAAGACUCAUCAACAAAGUCUUUGCUAACUUGAUUGGAAGGAAUGUGGAGGCGUACGUUGAUGACACGGUGGUCAAGAGCAAACAGGUGGACCAACAUAUUUCAGAUCUUGAAGAAGUGUUCAACACCUUGCGAAAGUACGGGACGAAGUUGAACCCCGCAAAAUGUGCAUUUGGCGUGGCCUCGGGCAAGUUCUUGGGCUUCAUGAUCACUCACCGGGGGAUAGAGGCCAACCCUGACAAAAUACAAGCAUUAGCAUCUAUGGAAUCACCAAGGAACAAGAAAGAGGUACACAGGUUGACUGGCAGGAUAGCAGCCUUGAACAGGUUCAUGUCCCGAGCAUCGGACAGGUGCUAUCCCUUCUUCAAAGUCCUCAGAGGAAACCAAGGCUUUGAUUGGAGUGAAGACUGUGAGAAAGCUUUUCAAGAGCUCAAACAGACAUUAGCAUCUCCUCCAAUUCUAACAAAGCCUGAGCCUGGUGACACUUUGUUUUUGUACCUGGCCGUAUCUCAAAAUGCGGUCAGCGGGGUCUUCGUGAAAGAGGUUAACAAAGUCCAACAACCGAUCUACUAUGUAAGCAAGGUCCUACAAGAUGCGGAAACAAGGUAUACUUUGGCGGAACAACUUGCCCUUGCCUUGGUUGUAGCAGCACGGAAACUUAGGCAGUAUUUCCAGUCUCACCCUAUUGUGGUGCUCACUAAUCAACCACUUAGGCACAUACUUCAGAAGCCGGACGUAUCGGGAAGACUGAUGAAGUGGGCAAUCGAGCUAGGAGAAUUUGCCAUCGAAUUCAAACCACGCCCAUCUAUCAAAGCCCAAGCACUAGCCGACUUCAUCGCAGAACUAACCCCUAGGCCUCGGGGGCCAGGUGACAGCUCGAGCAUGAGCACUAAUUUGGACACUUGGCAAUUUUUUGUGGAUGGAGCAUCGAACUCCUCGGGCUCGGGCGUAGGGGUCAUCAUCAUCAGCCCUGACAAACAAACAGAGAUCCAAUGCGCUCUCAGAUUCGAGUUUGAAGCAACCAACAACGAGGCCGAGUAUGAGGCCGUCGUUAUUGCUCUUGAGCUAGCCCUUUGCCUACAGCUCGAGUUCGUAAAGGUAUUCAGCGAUUCACAGCUAGUGGUCGGACAGAUUGGAGGAUCAUUUGAAAGAAAGGAGGAGAAAAUGAGUUUGCACUGUAUGAAGGUCCAGGAUCUUCAACGAAAAUUCAAGAGCUGUGAAAUUACAAAAAUUGCUCGAAAGGACAACGGAAAAGCCGACGCAUUAUCCAGGCUUGUGUUCAUGGGGGUAGACGGCCUUGAUAGAACGGUUCACAUUAAAAUCAUCACAGAACCCAGCAUCAGUCAAAUCCUCGACAUCAUGGACAUUGACAACGAACCUUCCUGGAUGGACCCGAUCUUAGAAUUCAUCAGAAGUGGAAAUCUACCAAGCGAUGCCAGGUUGGCUAGAAGCAUCAGAGCCCGAGCUCCUAGGUACUGCAUGAUCAGUGGUGUCCUCUUUCGCAGAAGUAUUACUCUUCCAUACCUAAGGUGCCUCGGGCCAUCAGAAUCAUCCCAGGCCUUUGCUGAAGUUCAUGAAGGUGUGUGCGGGAACCAUCAAGGGGCCAGGGCCUUGGCCUUUAAACUCGUACGAUAUGGAUACUACUGGCCAACUAUGAAAAAAGAUGCCUCAAAAUAUGUUAAAAAUUGUGAUAAGUGCCAAAGGUUUGGUAAUAUUAUCCACUCACCAGCCGAAGACCUCACCAACAUUAACUGUUCGGCCCCGUUUGAACAAUGGGGAGUUGACAUCCUCGGCCCCUUUCCCGUGGCAAGAGGUCAAUUAAAGUUUGUUGCUGUAGCAGUAGAAUACUUCACAAAAUGGGUAGAGGCAGAACCUCUUGCCACAAUAUCGGAGCCCAAGCUAAGAGCCUUCACUUGGAGGUCUAUCAUUUGCAGAUUUGGGAUACCGAAGGUCCUCAUCACCGACAAUGGCAGGCAAUUUGACAACCAACAGUUUAGAAACUUUUGCUCAAACCUUGGAAUUGAUCACCGUCUGACAUCAGUUUCGCAUCCUCAGAGCAACGGUCUGGCCGAGGUAACAAAUCGAAUCAUAUUGCAAGACCUCCGAACAAGAAUAAGCGAUGCUAGGGGUUCUUGGUCAGACGAGCUGCCUUCUAUACUUUGGACGUAUAGAACAACUCAUAGGACAACCACAGGAGAAACCCCUUUUAUGUUAGCCUAUGGCAUUGAAGCAAUGGUCCCAGUGGAAAUUAGACUGCCAAGCCAUAGGAGGCUCGUGCCAGAAACCUUGGAGCAUACAACUGAACAUCUUGAUCUCUUGGAAGAAGUACGGGAGCAAGCCGCUAUAAAAGCGGCCUCUUACCAAGCAAAGACAGCAAAACAUUUUAAUAGCAAAGUCAAGGCUCGGAGGUUCAGAGCUGGCGAUUUGGUCUUGAGGAGGGCCGAAGCAACAGGCCACCCCCCAGGGAAGCUCGGGCCCGUCUGGGAAGAGCCCUUUGAGGUCAUACGGCAGGUUCGCAAAGGAGCAUACAGCCUAAGAGACACUUCGGGUAGACCUCUUCCGAGGCCCUAGAAUGCCGACAAUCUGAAAAUAUAUUACAAGUAAAAUUCCCGACACCUUUGAGGAGAUUUUCUUUUUCUGUAUUUUAUUUCUAGUUUAGCGGGCCUGCGUGCCCAUGCAUGUUUUCCGUUCUCUUUUGUAAUGAACUACGUUCGGCUUGAUCCCGUUUGGGUACGUAGGCAGCUUGGAUGCAAUAUAAAUCCAAGUCCAGUCCAAACAAUUAAUAAAUCCAAACCUCGGGUAUAACAGCCCCUCUAAGCCUUGUCUUUGACAAGCCAAUAUAAGCCUUGCCCUCGAGCAAGCCAAUUUAAGCCUUGUCUUUGACAAGCCAAUAAGCCUUGCCCUCGAGCAAGCCAAUUUAAGCCUUGUCUUUGACAAGCCAAUAUAAGCCUUGCCCUCGAGCAAGCCAAUUUAAGCCUUGUCUUGGACAAGCCAAUAAGUCUUGCCCUCGAGCAAGCCAAUUUAAGCCUUGUCUUUGACAAGCCAAUAUAAGCCUUGCCCUCGAGCAAGCCAAUUUAUGCCUUGCCCUCGAGCAAGCCCCCUUUAAGCCUUGCCCUCGACCAAGCCCCUUUUAAGCCUUGUCCUCGACAAGCCAAUGCAAGCCUUGCCUCAGGCAAACACCAAAAUCUUGGAGUAUGAUCAGCACAUCAAAAUAGUGCAGCACAAGUAUAAAUACCGAGGACAUAUAUCCCGAUCACAUAUCCUUGUAUUUUUGCCCAGGCCUGAAAAUGAAAGCUUGGGAUAAAUUCAUGUACAGAGGUCGGUCACAAUUCCUCGGACUUAAUUCUCGAGUGUUAAGUGUGUAGAAAACUACACUGUCCUCGGAAUUAUCACUUGUUUAAAAAAUUCUGUUAUUCUAAAUCGUCGAGAUGAUUAAUUAAUCGUCGAAAAUAAUUAAUCUUCUUUAGUCCUCGAGGUAACUUGGUUAAUGCUCGGGUUCGAACACAUGUUCCCAGAUGGGUUUACAGUUUGAGUCCUCGGGAUGAAUUUGUGUACGUUAUAUUCAGAAAUAUUUUCACAAAUUAGUCCUCGAGGUGUUCAACUAUUUUAGGCGUCGAGUUAUUUAACCAUCUUACGUCGGGCUAUUUGAAUGAUCGAGAUACCAAUACACAGCAGAAGGAAAAUACUUGAUCGAGUAAAAUACAUGUUCAAAUUACAAAAUGAAAGGGCUAUCGUCAUACGAAAAAAAAAAAAUUAAUCUAAGUCCUCGGCCCUUUCCCCCGAGGCUGUGCUCCCCUGCUCCUCCACUACGUCCUCGCCGUCAACAUCGACCUCUUGGUCCUCGACGAUUUCCUCGGACUCGGACAGCUCGAGGGUAUCAGCAAUCUCGGGGAUGUGCUUUAUCUCCUCGGGGUUAGCAUCGGGCUUCGAUCUCAAAAAUGCCCGAGCUUCCUUGAAGGCAUGGAAGUACGAGCCCAUGGCAUACUCUCCCUUAAGACCGUUAAACUCCUCGGACAUUUUAAACUCCUCGAUCGCAACCCCUCGAGCUCCAGCCAGGCGAGUCUCAAAAUCAGCCUUUAAACGCUCGAUCUCGAGCUUUAAACCUUCAGCCUCAGCCCUAGCAGUUCCAGACUCUUCUCGAGCUCUCUGGGCAUCAUUUUUCGAAUCCUCGAGCUCCUUCUGCAGAAGAAAGCGUUCAGCCUCCAAGUCGGCUAUCCUCUUCUCCUGUGCUCGAGAAGAGUCCUCGAGUUCGGUGGUCUUUUGGGCCUCAUCUUUCCCCUUCAGAGAAAGGCCUCGGGCAAUGCUCAAAGCCUACACCAUACAAACCCGAGCUUAAGUAAUCACUGCGUUUAAACCUUUUUAAAUUAAAGUAAAUUAGGCGAGCUUACCUUCAGAGUAAGGGAUUCCAGAGCCUUCAUGCCCUCAUCAAAAUCGAGGUCCUUUCUAUACUUGUCCACGAUGCUUAACACCAGAGGACACCAGUCAGGCUCCUGAUUCUGGAAAGAGGGCAUAGGCCUAACCUCAUCAUCGAGGUCAACAACCUCGGGAGUACUCCUUGGUCGAGGAUGUGAUCGAGGUCCAGUAGGAGUCUCAGUGGCCUGUGUGGUCGGGGUAUGUCCCCGGGCAGAAGUUUCCCCAGGCCCACUUCUGAUAUUCUUGGGGCCUGGGUCCCGAGCUCUCUUCUUCCCUCUCUUCUGCCCUGGAGCCUGAGCUUGAGGGGCCUUUGACUUUUUGGUCACGGCCUGUCUGAGGGCUGAAGGAUCAAAAGUCAUCUCUGCAAAAAAGAGCAAGUCAUUAGAACGAGCACAAUUAUAAGUUCAAAGGACAGAUCAGUAAAGAGGAAGGCAAAAAAGUCCUACCCUCAGUGCCUUUCACAUCCGCGAGAUUGAGAACGUCAUCCCCGAGGAUGUCAUCUAUAUCAUAUACAAGAGGCUCGAGGUUCUCUAACAUUACCCUAUGCCUCUCUAAAGAUUCAAAAUAGGCCUGGCCUUCACAAAAUCGGGGAGUGUCGGGCAAAACCCACCUAGGGCUAAAAGGAAGGUCGCUAUCCUGAGGUAUGACAUAAAACUACUUUUCUUUCCAACCUUUUAAAGAACUGGGCAUCCUCGGUAAUCUAAAUCCUCCUCGGGAUGAAAGGUAAGCAAAACAAGUAUAUUGAGGAAGUUGUUUCAGGUCGAACACCAUCCUACAGAGAUCGACGUAUGGGUUAAUUCCUAGGUAUCUACAGGCUAUAAAGAAAUAGGUAAGCAUCCUCCACCCAUUUGGCACGAGCUGUCCAGGGCUCAUAUUAUGCUCGACCAAUAGGGCCACAAAAAAGGGAUGCAGAGGCCAUCGAAAUCCCCCCUUAAGUGAGUCCCUAAAAAACACGAACUCUCCAUCCCGAGCAAAGGCCAUCCUAUCCUCUACCCCUGGCGUCCUAACGUUGCAUUUGGGCAUGAGCCCAUGCUCCCUAGCCGUCGAUAUCGCUAGAUGUUCUUUAAAUUUACAAGGGACCUCGGGAUACCUAAAAGGGGUCGGGAUACUUUGUGCCCGAGGUUGGGCAUUAAUUAGGACAGCCAUAGGUAUAAUUGAACAACCUAUGUCCUCGGGAGUACUCCUCGAGGAUGAUGAGGAUGAAGUGUCGCUACUGCUACUACUAGACAUCCUGACCUAUGUAAAAAAUACCUAAAGAAUAACUUAAAAACUCGAGGUCUUACCUUAAAGUCGACGCCUAAAAACUCAAAGUCCGAUCCCGACGAUUAGCAAGAGAAGUUUACUGAGAGUAAAAAGUGAAAAAUGAAAUGAGGGGAGGGUAUUUAUAGGUAACAGGAGCAGGAAGCCCAAAGGUCACUACCCCGACCGUUAGAUCUGGACACGUGUCCUACAUCUAACCCUACCAGUUUUUACCGCCUUUUCCUAUUCUAGGGCUGACGUCAGUACGCGUCAGCCUUUUGAUCAAGCACAGGUGUUCAGAAAUCCCCGAGCUAAAACUCGAGCUUUUAAUUCUAAUCUCUUUGCAUCAUAUCCUCGAGCAUAUCUUCGAGCAUAUAUGCACGGGGGCCUAUGAUGGUGAAAUUUUCCAAUAUCCCCGAUCAGUAUAUCCCGAAGACUAAUUUUGAUAAAGUUGUAAAUCCAUCUGCGGUGUCCUCGAGCAUUUCGUCCUCGAGACACCAGGCCCGACCACAUCUCCAUGAUGCUUCACAUAUUGCAAACAUGUGUCCCCGGGCAUAGUCCUCGGGAAUGUGCCCCUCCUCACUACUGACGAUUGUUAACCCUUUAGAAUUCCUACGCAAUUAGGAAUCUUAACUCCCACAAGAGUCCUAUCUCACGCAUAAUUCUGGAAUUCAACCAACUCCUUAACCAUUCAGGACUCCAACCGAUGAGGACAUCCAGCUAGUUGAGUCCAAUUAGGAGAAUGUCACUUACUACUAUAAAUACAGAACCUUGAUCCAUUAUUCAGGUACGUUUUUUCAUUGUUCUUCAGCACAUAGCCUCACGCAUAUAUUUCCCUUUCUGACUUAAGCAUCGGAGGGGCGACGAGAACACACCUCGUUGCCUUUGUUUCAGGUAUCGGAAGAUCACAUUCGUGCCCUUCAUCCAUCAUCAAGCUCGGGAAAUCUACAGGUACGAUUUUUGGUAGCAUCAGUAGAUAAGCAAGCAAAAAUAGAGAUGGUUAUUGAUGGCUGUUUACGAUCCAAAGGAUAGGAAAUGUUAAAGAGGAAAAUCUAAAAAAACUUUGGAGAUCUGAUGGUAAGUCCAAAACAUGUUAUUGUUGCCUCCAUGAUCUCAUUAGGGACAUGUGUUUGAGAGAAGCCCAGAAAGAAAUCUUUCCUCAUGUUAUAGAAAGACCUGAUCAAAUCCCUUCGGUAGGGUUGAACAUAGUCUUGUUCGGUUCGGUUCUUACGAGGACCGAACUAGACUCAAAAUUUUAGGAUAUUUAGUAAGUGGAACCUUCGGGUCCAAAUUUAAUUAUGGAAUCAUUUGGGUUCGGUUCCAUCGGUUCCAUUCGGUUCGAUUCGGUUCCAUAUUAUAGUUAAAUUUUUUUAAUGUUUACAAAGCUACAAUAAUUCAACUAAUAAUAUGUUCAAUUUUAGCUCUUAGAAAAUAACGUAAUUCAAUCUUAUAUAUCUUUUACGUCUCCCUUUGCUGAGUUUUUCAUAGAUUUGAUUGUUAAAAUCACAUAAAUAGGAAGAUAGUGAGUUCACAAUAAUUAAGAGAGGCGUUGUUGAGUUUCAAUUCAAUUUCUCUGGAACGGUAGAAACGGCAUUAUGAUAGAGUAACGAAUUUGAAUAAAAAUUAGGUCAAUUUGAUUAAGUUGGCUUUGAACUGAAAAUUAAAAAUAGGAAAAUAAUAUUUUUGGGUUUGAGUUAAAUUAAUUAGUUAGCAAAUUUAUUUAAAAAAAUAAAUAGUUUUGCUUAUUUAAAAUAAAUUAAUUAAAAAAUUAGGAAAACUCAGUUCUUAUUCGGUUCUUUGGAUCUUGAUCUAGAGUCGAGAAUCGAACCGAACCUAUCGGUUCUUGAUUCAAAUACACGUUUGGGUAUUUAACUUAAGAGGAACGGUUUGGUUCAAUUCGGUUCAGUUCGGGAGUUUUGUCCAAUCCUACCCUCCGGUAAACUUCGUCAAAUCGUUUUCCACCAUAACAUCUCAUACUAUGUGGAUCUCAAGCGUGCACUACCAUUUAACUGUUCCUUACUGUGUUAGAAUAAGGAUUCCCAUGCGUUUGAAUGGAAUGAAUUUGAACCAAUUUCUCCUGUGCAGAGUUUAAGGCUGUUUGUAUUUUAGUUUUGAGGCUCUCCUUUAAGAUUAUUAAAGCGUGUCUGAUAUCUCAUUCUAAAUCUAUUUCUCAUAACAAAAAACUAGAAAAUAUGUUUGGUUUGAAAUUCCAACAAAUUAUAUUAGUGUAACAAAGUUUGGAGUUAAUUGUUGCAAUGGUCUCUGAACUUAGGUAUAUAUCUUCAAUUGCUCACCGAAAAAAUGUCAAAUUUUGGUCACUAAACUUAGAUCGGUUGAUCUCUAAAGUUUAAAAUGUCGAGUUCGGCCACUGAAUUUUGAAAAACAUUGUAAGUUACAAACUAGCAUAACUUCCGCCUCAAACCUCUAAUGGAAUUGGUGACGUGACUGACAGAAUGCACAUGUGACGCCUUGUCACAUCGUUAAACUUUGAGAUGGUCGAAUUUUAACUACCAAACUUUGAAAAAUGUUUUUCAUUGCUCACUAAACUUUGAGGUGGUCAAAUUUUGGCCAUUGAACUUUUAAAAAUAUCGAACUUUGGCCACUAAAUUUUUCAAAAGUCUUCUAUUGUUCACUAUAGAUUUGGACUUAACCACACAUUUAUACGGUAAAAUAUUAUACUCAUAAACUCAAAAUUUUUCCAACUUUUUAACCACUCAUUUUCCAAAAAAUCGCUGUUUUUAGAACAAAUACACACACUCACUCUUCCCCCCCCCCCCCUCCUUCUCCCUCUCUCUCUAAAUAAUGGGCAUCAAAUAGGGGUUAAAAUUUGUUGUUAAAAAAAUCGAAUUUAAUUUAAUUUUAUGAUAAAUAUAUUAUAUGUUUUACUGCUAUUAGUAGUCACUUCCUUUGCACAACUUUGCGAGCAAGAUCUAUACCAUUAGGAAUGAAUACUCAAUUAUACGGCAGUUAAAUUUAAAUUUUAUUUAUUUUUUUAGAAUUAAAAGCUAUUUUUGUCAUAAUAUUUGAAUUUUACAACAAAACACAUAAUAAACUUGUUGUUAAAUAAAAUUAAAUCCAAAUUUAUUGUCAGCCAUAGAAGACGUUUUUCAAAGUUUUGUCGCAAAAACUCACCCAUACUGACUGAAUUUUAAGAUGGUCGAUUUUUAGCUACUGAACUUUGAGAUAGUUGAAUUUUUGCCACUAAAAUUUGAGAUGGUCGAGUUUUUAAAUAGUGGUUUUUUGGAGAAUGUGAUUAAAACGUUAUGAAAAUUUUUGAAUUUACAUGUAAAAUAUUUUAUUAUAUAGAUGUGACGUUAAAUUUAUAGUGAGUAAUAAAAGACGUUUUUUAAAGUAUAGUGGCCGAAGUUUGAUGUUUUUCAAAGUUUUGUGGUCAAAAUUCAAUCACCUCAAAGUUCAAUGAGUAAUAGAAGGCAUUUUUCAAAGUUUAGUGGCUAAAAUUUGACCAUCUCAAAGUUUAACUAUGUGACGGGGUACCACGUAUGCAUUUUUUCAACCAUAUUACCAAUUCCGUUAGAGGUUUGAGACCAAAGUUAUGUUAGUGAGUAAUGUACGACAUUUUUCAAAGUGCAGUGAUCAAAACUCGACGUUUUAAACUUUGACGAACAAUCGAAGACAUAGAUCUAAGUUUAGUAAUCAAAACUAAACAUUUUAAAUUUCAGUGAGCAGUGGAAGACAUGAACCUAAGUUCAGCGACCAUUAGAAGAGUUGACUCCAAAGUUUAAGCUUCUUAAGGUGUUUGGCUUAAAUAAUGUGUUAUAACCAUAACUUAUUUAAUGUUGCACAUUUAUUAAACACCAAUUUGAGCCCAAUCAUCUAAAAAAAAAUUUCUAAAACUUAUUUUCAAUUACAAAUUCUCUCAAUAAAAUAAUUUUGUAUGUAAAUAAAAAAAAAAUCAUACUUUUUAACCACACAAUAUUCGAAAAAUCAUUAUUACAAUUUUUUCCCCCAAAAAAUGGAGCUCAAACAAGAGCUAAGUAUCAUUUCAUCAACUUAUAAUGGUAGAAUAGGAAGAAAUUAUCUUAAUUGAAACCAAAUCAAAUGGUACUGGUCGAUUAAUAUCAAACUAAAGUGUAGUUAUCCAAAUGAAUAAAAUUGAAAUAUUGAUGGAAAUGUAAGCAAUAUAUUAGCUCCUGUUUUAUCUCAAUAUAUUUCAAUAGAUCCAUGCGUAUAUACUGCUCACUUAUCCACCAACUCAUUUCUUUUUAUAUUAAAAUUUAUAGACACUAUCCCAACAUGAUUGGCAAUUCAAACUUGAUUAUGCUAACUCUCACCGUAUUUGAUUAGCAGAGUUUGAUUUAGGUGAUUUUUGAACUAUUUUCAAACCUACAUAAUUUGGAAAAAUUUUAAAUCACACAAACCAUCUCAUUUUUCAAAUUGAACCAUUUUUUAUGGUCUGAUUCGAUAUCAAACCACGUUUUUAAUAGCAUAGUCCAUACGUAUAUGCUACUCACUUAUCCACCAACUCAUUUCUUUUUAUAUUAAAAUUUAUAGACACUAUCCCAACAUGAUUGGCAAUUCAAACUUGAUUAUACUAACUCUCACCGUCUUUGAUUAGCACAGUUUGAUUUAGGUGAUUUUUGAACUAUUUUCAAACCUAUAUAAUUUGGAAAAAUUCUAAAUCAGACAAACCAUCUCAUUUUUCAAAUUGAACCAUUUUUUAUGGUCUGAUUCGAUAUCAAACCACUUUUUUAAUAGCAUAAAAAUAAUAACUUUCAAACAAAUAAAAAUAAAAAUAUAUUGAUCUCAAAUAUUAAUAAAACACUUAAAUUGAGACAUUCUAACAUAAACUUUAAUAAUAAUAAUAAUAAUAAUAAUAAUAAUAAUAAUUAUUAUUAUUAUUAUUUCAAUAUAAAAGUUUAAACUCUUGAACUGUAAAAAAGUCUCAGGCACUGUAUAUCGGCCUAAGACAUGAUCACAAGUGUUAUCCAGUCAAUAGAAUUGUGGCAACCCAAUUAUAUUAGCACAAGUGUUUUAUCAAUUUGGUUCAUUAUUCCCAGCACAGCAGCCCAAAUAGUUUGUCAGCCCAUUAUUACGAUAAUAAUCCAUCAGCCUUUGAGCUGGAUCAGCUGAUCAUCACUUGGAAGGAAGAGUACUUUGAUCGUCCUCAUUCACUUUGAUUUGCCCAAGUCUGUUAGACAGUUGAUAAAACUAAUUAUAUCAGAUAUCAAGCUGACUUGGACAUAAGCUUCUUGAGGUUGGUUAUGCUGAGAGUUGGACUUGAUCACAUGUUCCUUCAACUCUUGGAAACUUUAUGAGCUAUUUUACUAACUUCUAUAUACUUUGUCAUUAUGCAUUCCCCUUGACAACUAAUGUAAUGCUUCUUCUCCUAUGUAAUUGAUCAAUAUACCUCAUCUUUCAAACUCGUAAUGCUGUUAACAUAUACAGGAAGAUUGUGAGAAGAGAGGCAAGGUCGCAUCGGCAGGAAUGUAUUUCUUGCAUUUUCAAGUGUACAAAAUGGAUUCAACUGUAAAUGUUGUACAUCACUUCACCUUCUUCAUUUUUCCCCUGAAGAGGUUUAAUUGAUAUGUUUGCGGAACUACACACUUGUUGUGGGUAGUUGGCAAUGGCAAAGGACACAAAAGCCACUUUCUUCAAACGAUUGGAAGGCCUUCAACCUUGUGAGUUUUUGCAACUUUAAACUAGUGCUCACAUAUUCGCAGUUUAUGGUUUGGACUGCUUAUAAUACAUGUUUAUUAAUUUGAAUUACAUGAUGUAUUACAUCUUAGAACUAUUAAUUGCAUGAGGAGCAAAUAAUUUCUUAAAGGCUUGUCUUUGGUCUGGUACCUACAGGUGAUAACUUCUUCAAACCUGCUGUCUAUACAAUUGAGGCUCUCUGUGCAAAGUCAUAUGAGGAUACAACUAAUAAGCUUCAGGGUAUUGAGGCUCAGAUUUGAACGAAGAGAAAUGAGCUAUGCCAACUCGAGACAGAAUAUAGAACUGUAGUCUUCCCUUUCCAAUCAUAUUUGUUAUGGAUGUUCUGUUCAGAUUAUCUGUAUUACACUUAUUUGUGCCUGAAUUUUUUAGGCGUUGUCACGCUACCAAGAAGUAAUUCAUAGAUACGUCCAGGCAAAGCAGUUUGUAAGUUUGCUUCCUGAGAAUCCUUUAUACUUUUGAAUGUUUCCUGUCAACAUAAUAUCCUUGCAUUGAUGCUAAUCUCUAUCUUUCUCUCUCUGUAACUCAUUUACCCUGUAAUCAAUGCACAAAUACAGAUCCAGAGGGGUGAAAAGUCCUAUGUUAAAUAACCAGAAAAGCAAAUUUAAGUCCUAGCCUUUUGUAGUUUUAUUCAUUGUCCAGAAUAAGAUUUGCAUUUUCUGAUGUCUCUUCGAUUCAUUUUCUAUCUUAUUUGUAGGAUUAAAUUAGUGCAGUGUAUGAAACCGGAUUCACAUAUACCAUAUAUAUAAUUUAGACACCGGAUUUACGCAUAUUGGUUUUACCCAUUUCAUAUCAACAGUGAGGUUAGAUACCGUACAUGUAACUAAAAAAAUACCGAAAUUGCAUUUACGAAGCUGAAUGUUAGCAAAAAAAUUCAGAAUUUUUUCUUCUUUUCAAUCUGAUUUUAUUUAAAACAUAAAUCGAACGACAAAAUAAUAAAACUGCAAAUUAUAUGAAGCACACGAAUGAAUUGUAGAAAUAUACGAACAAUGGAGAUAAAAUCGCAUGAAAUAAAUAAAUAACGGAUAAACUUUCAACCCGAGACCUAUGCGAGCACAGUUUCCUUAAAACAGAUUCGCCCCUCACUGUAAGUGCUUGAAACAGUUUCCUUAAUCCUAGUAUUUGUUUCCUAGAAUACAACAAUAAAUCAAUAGAAUCUGAGCACUGGUGAAACUAUUUCGACGAACUGACUUAUUAUUCGAACAAUUUUAUCACCCAAACGUUUGACAGAAACUAUAUAUGCAGACAGAACAAUUUUGUACAAUAGACAGAUAAUGAUUUAUUCAUAUGGAGAAUUUUUGUGUAUUUCUUGGUAAAUGCAAUGAAAAGAAUUACCAAAUAAAUAGGUUGUAAUGGAGACUUAAGUGGCUAGGAGUUACGUCAUUAACUCGACAAUGAAUGUUAGAGUUUCAACUGUUUUAAAAAUUUAAACAGUCAGUUGAAGAAAGCCAAAAAAAAAAGGAAAAUGUGGACAUUCCAAAGGGGACAAUUUUUGCUCCGUUUGGUUCGACAUUCGUGCACGCGGGUCGCGCUUGUUCACAAGUUCAAGGCUCAAUGUACUAUUUCAAUCCUUGAUUUGCACCCCCACUGCGCAUGCAUGUGGAGAGAGCCUCUAUACUGAUUACACCCUUCCAAAGUAUAACCAUAUAUAAAUUGGUUCAUGCUUUCUUCAUUUUCCUAUGUGGGACAAAUUCUAUAUUUCCACAUAAACCAACUUCCAAUGGUCAACUUUGAGCUCUAAUUUCUCAUUCACCCAUUCAUCAAUUUUGGUAAGUAAAUAUAUGGUUUUGAUGCUCUCACAGAGAAGAACAUAGAUCAACUUUGCUCUUCCAAAUUAGACCAAUGGGUCUUACUCAAAUUUUAUGCCAAUGUCAACCACUAAACCCCUUUUUUCUAACAAUCUCCCACGUGAAUGAAAAUUGGGAGAGACGAGAUCGUGAACCACUAGACUUGGUGAUACAGUUCAACGGUUGAAUCCUACAUAGGAUAGGUAGGUAUUACCCUUUAAACAUUUUCUUGUGAAAGUAUAUUUACUGUACUAGCUAGCCAGUAGAUGCGUUGUUCUUGAAUUAUUGUACUGUUUGUGUAAACAAUGAUAUACUCCACAUAAGAUUCUUCCUAACACAAAUAAGUUCUCAUUAUUAUGCUCGUUUUGGCCAUGAACAUAUGCCUGGUUCUAUGAGAAUUUCUAAGAAUUGAGCCCCAAACAGUUUUCUUAAAAGCGACCCCACUUCUUUCUCAUAUGGGUGAUUUCUUAUUACAAGUAACGCACAUUACUUUGCUUGACUUACGAUGCAUAAGAAUCAUUAAAAGCCUAUUACUUAUCCGUCAUCCUUACGAGCAUCACUAUUACAUCAUAGGAAUGGACAAGAGGUAACACCCCUACAGUAAUUUUAUUAAGUCUUUACAAUUAGGUUGUCCCUUUGAACCUAAAUUUUAGGAUCUUCGGUCAACUAGGUUGGGUUUCCUUUGUAAUGACUUAUCCAUUCAAAGGCUUAAGUGACAUUUCUUUCAAUGAUUUCUCAACUAACUCUCUAUUUAGACCUUUAGUUAGCGGAUCUGCAAUGUUAUCUUUUGACCUUACAUACUCAACAGUGAUAACUCCAAUUUAGAGUAGUUGUCUUAUGGUAUUAUGUCUAUGAUGUAUAUGUUUAGACUUACCAUUGUACAUGUUACUCUAUGCCCUUCCAAUUGCUGAUUAACUGUCACAGUAUAUGCAAAUUGUCGACACAGGUUUCGACCAUCUUGGAAUAUCCUCUAAGAAGUUGCGUAACCAUUCGAUCUCUUCACCACAUUUAUCUAGAGAUAUAAACUCAUAUUCCAUCAUAGAUCUAGCUAUAAUUAUUUUCUUAGAGGAUUUCCAAGACUAGGGCAGCACCUCCCAACGUGAACACAAAUCCACUGGUGGACUUUGAGUCUUUUAUAUCAGAUAUCCAAUUAGCAUCACUUUAUCCUUCAAUGACUGUUGGAUAUCUGGUAUAGUGUAGUUCAUCGUUAUGAGUAUAUCUUAAGUACGUUAGUACUCUUACUAUUCAUUUCCACUUAUCAGUUCUUGGAUUACUCGUAUAUCUACUCAGUUUAUUGACUGUGUAGGCUAUGUUUGGUUUUGUACAACUCAUCAAGUACAUUAGACUUCCAAUAAAUCUCGAGUAUUCCACUUGAGAGACACUUUUACCCUUAUUUUUGGAUAGAUGUUGACUUGUAUCUAUCGCUGCUCUAGCCAAGCCAAAAUCAUCUUUAUUGAACUUUUCUAAAAUUUUGUCCACAAGAUGUGACUGACUUAGAAUAAGCUCAUCCAAUGUUCAUGAGAUUUUGACUUCAAGUAUAACAUCAGCUAAACCCAUAUCUUUCAUGUCAAAUCUCAAAUUUAACAUAUUUUUAGUGGAUUCAACCAUCUUAUUAUCACUACCAACAAUAAGCAUAUCGUCAACGUAAAGACAUAAAAUGACAUAAUCAUCUUUAGUGUCUUUGACGUAAACACAUUUAUCACACUCAUUAAUUUUAAACUCACUCUCUAUCAUGACAUUAUCAAAUUUUUCAUGCUAUUGUUUGGAUGCUUGUUUCAAGCCAUAUAGUGAUUUCACCAGUUUAUAGACUUUCUUUUCAUGUCAUGGUGACGAAAACCCCUCACGUUGUUAUAUAUAGAUUUUUUCUUCUAAAUCUCCAUUUAAAAAGGCAGUUUUAAUAUCCGUUUGAUGUAUUUCAAGAUUUGGCAAAGCGGCAAUCAUAAGUAUCACCCCAAUAGAUGUUAUUCUCGUCACUAGAGAAUGCGUAUCAAAAUAAUCAAGGCCUUCUCUUGUUUGUAACAUUUUAUUACUAAUUCGGCCUUAUAUUUUUCUAUAGUUCCAUCUGUUUUCAUUUUUCUUUAGAAAAUCCAUUUGUAGCCUGCUUCCUGGAGAAAGAUCCACUAGCUCCCAUGUAUAAUUUUGCAGUAUGGAAUCUAUUUCACUUUUAAUGUCUCUUUCCAUUGAGGUCCUUUCAAGGAAUUCAUAAUUUCUUGAUAACAUUGAGGUUCACUUUCUAGCAUAUAGGUCAGAAAAUCAGGACCAUAAUAAUUUUCUGUUUAUUCCCGUUUGUUACGUCUAACCUCAAUCUCCUCUUCUAGUUCUUCAUCUUGACUAUUUUCAAUCAUAGUCUCAUAUGUUCAUUUAGAGGAACUUGCUUCCUCUUUGGACCUAAAUGGAAAUACAUGUUCAAAGAAUGAAGCAUUUUUUUAUUCCAAUAUCAUGUUUUUGUGCAUGUUUGGGAUUUUAGAAUUAUACAUAAGAAAUCGAUAAGUACUACUAUUAUGUGCAUAUCCAAUGAAGAUGUUUGACCUUAUCCUACCUUCUUUGAUGUUGGAACGGCCACUUUAGUAAGACAUCCUCACACUCGUAAGUAUUUAUAAGAAGAGUUUCUUCAUUUCCAUAGCUCAAAAUGGGUCUGUUCCAUUUUCUUUCAGGGUACCUUAUUUAAAAGGUUAUUUGCUGAUAACAUAACUUCUCCCCAUAUGUUUAGAGGUAAUCCAAAACUUACUAGUACUGCAUUCACCAUUUCUUUUAAAGUAUGAUUUUUCCUUUCAAUAACAUCAUUUUGUUGCGGUGAAUCAGGUACAGUGGCUUCAUGUAUAAUUCCGUGUUGAGCACAGAAUUCAACAAAUGGUGCUUCAUACUCACCACCUCGAUCACUUCUUAACGCCUUAAUUUUCUUAUUCAGUAGGUUUCAACUUCAUUCUUAUAGAGAAUAAAUUUCUUUAUGGCUUUAUUCUUACUUUUUAGCAAAUACAAAUAACAGUAUUUUGUGCUAUCGUCAACAAAAGUAAUGAAAUACUUGUUGUCAACUCUUGUUUGAACAAAUUUUAGAUCACAUAUGUCACUGUGAAUUAAAUCAAAUGAUUUUUGUGUUCCAUUCAAUUGAUUUAAAGGAUGGCCUUGUCAAUUUUGUCUGAACAGAAGUUUCACACUUAUGUUUGGAGUCAAUGUGAAACUCGGGUAUACAAUUCAAGUUAAACUAGUCUACAUAAGGUAUCUUAGCUAACAUGCCCUAGUCUACCUUGCCACAAAUUGAAAGACUCCAGCAAAUAAACAGAAGAGUUUGUUUUAUUCAUUUUUGGUUUAACAACCAUUACAUUCAGUUUAAACAUAUCAUCAAAAACAUAACAUUUUCCAACAAACAUUCUACUUUUUGACAAAAUAACUUUAUCUGACUCAAAUAUAAUGCAAAAAUCAUGCUUAUUCAAAAGCAACUUGGACACUAGGUUCUUGCAAAUUUUCGACACAUGUAGUACAUUGUUAAGAGUCAGCUCCUUUCCCGAGGUCAUCUUCAGAACCACCUUUCGUUGACCCUUGAUUUCAAACGUUGCUGAAUUUCCCAUGAACAACUUCUCGUCAUUCUCAAUUGCUUCGAACGUAGCAAAUAGCUCUUUAUCAAAGCACACGUGCCUCGUAGCACCGAUGUCAAUCCACCACUCUUUUGGGUUUGAACCCACCAUAUUCACUUCAGAAAUUACGGCUACGAGGUUUAUUUCUGACACAUCAUCAACCAUAUUUGCCUUUUUCUUCUUCUUUGGCAAUCUACACUCCAAAGACUUGUGGCUUACUUUGUCACAAUUGAAGCAUUUUCCUUGAAAUUUCUUCUUAGAAAUUCCACCUUUCGAUCAUAGCUUAGUUCUUUGCCACCGGAUGACCCAGACUUAUUUUUGUAAAUCUGACUAUUUUGACCAUGCUCCACAACAUUAAAUUUAGCAGCACUAGGAUUGAAUCACUUCUUUUCAGAAAUCUUGUUGCCUUAUUCAAUUCGAAGUCUAACAAUUAGUUCUUCGACGUUCAUUUCCUUUCGUUUGUGCUUAAGAUAAUUCUUAAAAUCUUUCCACGUAGGGGGGCAAUUAUUCAAUGACUGCAGCUAUUUGAAAGGUUUCACUCAAAAUCAUCCCUUCGGCAUAAGUGUCGUGAAGAAUCACUUGGAGUUCUUCCACUUGAUUGAUAACUGUUUGGAGUCCAACAUCUUAUAAUCUAAGAAUCUGCCGAUAAUGAACUUUUUAGUUUCGACGUCCUCAGUUUUAUAUUUUCGGUCCAAAGACUCUCACAACUCCUUAGUAGUUUUCAUAGUACUAUACACAUUGUAUAGCAUGUCUACUAAGCUGUUCAUAAUAUAAUUUCGGCACAAAAAAUCUGAAUGCUUCCAAGCAUCAAGUGUACUGACUGCUUGAACAUCUUCUUCUUCUUCAUUGAGUUGUGGAGCCGUCUCAAUCAAGAAUCUCGCAAUAUUCAAGGUGGUCAGGUAAAAUAGCAUAUUCUGCUACCACCUUUUGAAAUUCAAGCCAUUGAAUUUCUUUGAUUUUUCUCCAUGAUUAAUCGGAACAGUAACGGUUUGGCCAGUGGUUGGAGCCACAGUUUGACUUACAACAUGACUUAGCAACUUAGCUAUAGUUUGAGCCACAACAGAGCUUCGCACUUGAGCCAAAGUAGAGCCCACAACUUGAUUUCCUGGAGAAACAGCUUGGGUCACAUCCAUGUUGGUUGGUUUGACAGCCAUUUCAUAAAUUGAAACAAAUAUAAAUUUCCAAUAAACCAAAAUAAAAAACUUGUUUACUACCAAUAUAUAUUAACAAUCUGGUUUAUGUUUGUAGGAUUAAAUUAGUGUAGUGGAUGAAAUCGAAUUCACACAUACCGUAUAUAUAAUUUAGAUACCGAAUUAACGCAUAUUUGUUUUACUCAUUUCAUAUCAACAGUGAGGUUAGAUACCGUACAUGUAACUAACAAAUACCAAAAUUGCGUUUACCAAAUUGAAAGAUAGAUUGAAUGACAAAAUAAUAAGACUGCAAAUUAUAUGAAGCACGCGAAUAAAUUGCAGAAAUAUACGAACAAUGAAGAUAAAAUCACAGAAAGUAAGUAAAUAACGGAUGAACUUUCAACUCUAUAAGUAAAUAACGGAUGAACUUUCAACUCUAGGCCUGUGGGAGCACAUUUUCCUUAUAACAGAUUCGCCCCAUUACCGUAAGUGUUUAAAAUAGUUUCCUUAAUCUGAGCGUCUGUUUUCCAAAAUACAACGGUAAACCACUAGUGAGCACUGCAAAAAUUACUCCCACGAAUUGACUUAGUAUUUGAAUAAUAUCACCACCCAAAGGUUUGACAGAAACUAUAUACACCGACGAAAAAAUUCUACGUAGUAGACAGAAAAUGAUUUAUACAGACAGAGAAUUCACGUGCAUUUUCCUGGUGAAUACGAUGGAAAAGGAUGCCAAAUAAAUAAGUUUUAAUGAAGACUUAAGAGGCCAGGAGUUACGUCAUUAACUCGACAAUAAAUAUUGGAGUUUCGACUGUUUUAAAAAUUUUUGCUCCACUCGGUCCGACAUUCGUGCACACAGGUCGCACUCGCUCACAAGUUCAAGGCUCAAUAUACUAUUUCAAUCCUUGAUUUGAGCCCCUUACUAGCGUAUAUGGAGAGCGCCUCUAUUCUACACAUGAUUAUACCCUUCCAAAGUGUAAUCAUAUAUAAAGUGGUUCAUGCUUUAUUCAUUUCCUUAUGUAGGACAAAUUCUAUUUUCCCACAUAAACCAUCUUCCAAUGGUCAACUUUGAGCUCCAAUUUCUCAUUCAUCCAUUCAUCAAUUUUGGUAAGUAAAUAUAUUGUUUUGAUGCUCUCACGGAGGAGAAUACGAAUCAACUUUGCUAUUCCAAAUUGGACCAAUCGGUCCCACUCAAAUUUUAUGCCAAAGUCAGCCACUAAACCCAUUUUUUCCAACAUUAUUAUGCUUAGCUAUUUCUGAUGUAAUGUUUGUAUCCAUUUUUAUCAAGCCAUUAUUCAUAGAUAACUUACUAACACGUUAACAGUUUGUAGGCAGCCUUUGCCUUUAGUAUUUACUCCUUUGUUAUCAUUUUGUGCUUUCCUCGAACAGGUCGAUGAGUUACUAAAAAGGCGAGAUAAUAUCCAUUCUUCUUUUACUAUUAUAAUGUUAGUUCCAAAUGCCAGUGGGAAUGAGCCUUUUGGUAAUGGAAGUAGCAUAUCUCCUGGUAAUGUAAGUAACAUAUCUCCCAUUUGGUGACUAGAGGUUCAACUACUUUUAUUAUAUUUCUUUGGUAUAACUAGCUUUAUACUUAUUAAAUCCUAAAGGUGUUGUAUAUUUGUUGCUAGUUAUGCUUUGGUUUGCUUGUCUGUUGAUGCUAAGUUGAAUGUUAGCUACUAAACUAUGAUACCAUAUGUGUGUCUGAUUAUCAUAUUCUUCUUGUUUGCAUUCGAAAGAAAAAAGUAUAUCUGAACCCAAAAAAAAAAAAAAUUGAGUGAUGGGAGGGAGAUACCAAUCCUUGAACCUUGACUACGGUUGUAAAAGCAAUAAUCUUUAACAUACUACGAUAAGGUGAAUUGGUAAAAAAAUUUAGUAUUUGACUAUCUAUUUUCCUAGAGCUUUUUUUUCCAUCUUACUUUAAGUCGGGGCUUGAGGGCAUCUUGAAAAGAAAGACACAUUUUCUGACCCGUUUUGUUUACUUACAUGGCUCCUCAAUUGACCAUUUUUCUCUGGUGGUUAUCACAGGCCAUAGCACAAAAUUUUAUAAUGAAAUUAGUUCAAAAUGAAUCAAAUCUUUCUAUUUAAAAGAACUGCCGAAAAUAAGGUUCUCUAGUUUACAACUUGUAGGAAAUCUGCAGCAUACUUUGACAUGAAUUUCGGAUCAAGAAAAAUACUUGAAAUGAUGAAUUUAAAGAUCUUUUUGUGUGGUUGAAUCACCUUUUAUUCCAAAGCUCCAAAAUCUACAUUUUCUUGUUCUUCAAUGGUCCCAAUCCUGAUCACAAUGGAAGGGGAUAGUUACCCACAAUCUAAUUGCCAUUUUUUAUUUUUUAUUUUUGAGAUUUUAUGCCAAAAAUAUGGUUCUAGGGACUUUCUAAUUUCCAUACAAAAUUUCACCAUUCUUUCAUGCCAUCUUUUUGUUCACUUUUUUCCAUAACUUCUUUAUGGAAGCUGCAAGGAGUUAUUUGGGCGUUAUAGAUUUGAAUUCUAAAUUCAAACCACUCUCUCCAACCUUUUUAAAAUCUUGCGGGUCGGGUCACCUCACAUUGGCGACCCAUUAUCCGUAUUUUCCAACAUCUCACACAUGAUGGGGUUAAUCCGAACCACGAGUGACAACGAAUGUCUCAUCUUAGAUCCUUCUCAAGAUUUAUCUCACAAAGAUUCAUACGGUAAAUAGAUCGUGCGACCAGCAAGUAAUAUUAGAGCUCAUGGUUCUAUAAACCUAUUAGGGAUAUAUAGUAGCUCUGUUAGAGGAAUAUCACAUCUCGGUAUACUCCAAACUCAUUUUCCAAAAUUAAUUCAAGUAUUUUCGAUCCCUCAAGUAUUUAUGGAACAUACUUGAACCCCAUAUCAUAUUAUUGUAUUCACAAUUGCGUUCUAUGCCCUAAAUGGUUAAACACAAUUGUUCGGCUCGUGAUGUUGGUAAAAAUAUUUUUCCUUUUCUACUUGAAUCCUUUAAUUUUAAAUCAACUGCUUUCCUAGAGAUGCCCCAUCAAACCGAAACAAUCAUAGUUAUUGGUAAAAUGUUAAAGUAGCAACACUGAAAUAAAAUCUCAAGAAACAGUCAAAAGUCAUAAGGGUAUAUAUGAGGUUAUAUAAACAUUAGGGUCUCACACAACCAGGAAGCAGGGAUCCAUUUACUCCUAAUAUUGGUCACAAAAGUAUACAUGGUAUGAAACACGUGCUACAAUGUUUUCUCCCUUUCAUAGGGUGUAUGUCAUAAUCUUUGUAAACAAACAACACAUUACAGAUUCUAGUUCAAGUAUUUUUUGAUAUCUAACUUGAGUUCUCCUUAUAUUCAUUCCUCCAGUUAAUGUUAAAUCGAGAACUCAAUCUAGCUACUAAACAAGUUUAAUGGAUAGCAAAAUCCAUUUCGAUUACUUAUUGUAAUAUCAUCUUGAUAUCUUAUCAAGGUGACUGGAUCAUGUACACAACAUGAUCAUUGUGUCUCAUCUCAGCACACUUCAAAUUGUCUGAGAUGAUUGCUUAUGUGAGUGAGCCAAUCUCAACCCAUUCGACAUAUUUUAUAGGUGCAUACAAAUCAUUUAUCUCAUAAUCCUAACAUUAGAUUACAUAUGAACUCAAAAUUGUUCAUUUAUGGGCACACAAAACUCAAUCAAGAGUUUUUUGAUACACUAAGUAUCAUAUUCUACAAAAUUCUAGAGAUUCAAUAUUACCAACAAAUAUAUCUCUAGACAUUUUCAAAGUAUGAUGAUUACAUAUCAUCAUUUACGUAGAUAUAUCGCAAAGACACUUUCUUUGAUAAUAUCUCUCACACAAAUACCAUCAGGUAUUUGGUUCUAUCUUGAUACUUGAGAUCUUAACAUAUAUGAUAGUUGCAUAACUAUCAUGGAUCUCAUAUUCUCAACCAGUAUCAUUAGAUGCUCAAUAUAUCUAUACCAGACAAUUUCGUUAGCUGCCAAGAUAUACAUUACGAUAUAUGCUUCUUACUAGUCUAUAUAGCAAGAGUGCACGAGUCUACUAACUCUCAUUCUUAGUCGACAAUUGUAUAUCUAUUCCAAUCACAAGUUAUUCCUUUAACAAUAAAAUAGAACUAGAUCCAUGGCAUGACCAAUGUUAUAGCAAUUAUACAUCAUAAUAUACUUCUAUCUCCUAGCUCUUAAUCAUACUAAAUAUAGUUCUCUGGAUAUUUCUUUGUGCACCUAUGAAAUCUUUGGACAUUUAUGAAGACUCAUAUAGUAACCUUUCGAUAUAGGAGUAUCAACAGGGUAGCAACUCCUCAUGAACUUUUAUAUAAAACUCUUGUGAUAGAGCAAGAAGACUCAAAUAAUCUUUUUAACACAAAUCAUACAAUUUGAUAAACCCACGUCAUUUGUCUCAAAGAUUGAGGAUAACCAUUCAAUAUGGUCUCUAUACACUCAUUUUCAUGCUUAGCAAAUCCAAUGUAAUAUCAAAAUUAGAAUUACACACCUUAGAAAAAAAGCCUUUAACAUGAAAUUUGCAAGAUAAUUCAUCUUGAUCUCUUUUAUAAUUUCUUAAUUGAGAAUAAAAAUACAGUCUUUAGGUCUAUGUGGUGUAACUCUAAAUUUAAACAUACUAUCACGGUUAGCAUAGACGUACAGAAGCAAAUCCCGUUGUAAUGAAAGAAUCUCUAUCUAACUCAAUAAAUUCAUAUUGAGUAUACCAUUUUUCAAAGAGAUAAGCUUUAUUUAUUAGAAACUCAUUCGUGUUCUACUUAGUUUUCAAGAACAUAAAUGUUCUAAAAAAAUAUAAUGUUGAAAGAGAAAUUUUAUCAUAUCCCAUAUUAGGUUUAAAUUCUAUACUCUAUAUAUAUACUUCGAUCACUUUUCUCAAAAUUUUCCACUAGUUUUCUGAACCAAAAAUCAUUGACAUUAAAUAGUUCUUAGGUUCCAAUCAGAACCAAGAAUUAUUGAUAUUAAACAGCUCUUAGCUCCCACUCGAUACCAAUAGUCAUUGAAAUUUGAUAGUUCUUAAAUGGCUCCCACUCGGAUAGAUAGGUCCAACUCUGAAAUUGAUUGCUCCCACUUGAAUUAGAAUUUUGAAUCAACUCUUAUAUAUUCAAAACUUAUUCAUAAAUACAUAUAAUAUCAAUUUCAACGACGUUCACCAAUCUUUUCUCCCUUCCUAGGAAAAAUAUCAAAUGUUACAUCUUGUGACUUGAUAUCCAUCAAAAAUUUCACUUAAGUACCUUUUUUUUGGACUACAUGUAUGUCAUCGAGACCAUCUCACUCUUAAUUGACUUUUAUUCCUGAACUCAUUAUCGAGAACAUGUGUAGUUCAUUAUGAGUCUAUGAUAACCCACAUUUAGUUUUCGACAUGUCCAUAACUUAUAUAUUCCGAAGGUGCCAACAUUGAGAGAACUCCAUUAACUAAUACAUUGUAGUUAGCCAACGUUCUUUCCAAAAGCAAAUACGUAAGUUGGACUGUGUAUCUCAACCCUCAUCAUAUUCAUCAAUAUUUCAUUCCUUCAAUCAAAUACACCAUAUAAUUAUUGAUGAUUAAGGAAUAGUCUAUCAAAUGAGAAUAUCUUUCAUCCCAUAGAUCAUUGAUCACGCCAUUAGAUAAUUCUCAAAGUCUUCACUUCCACAAUCUGAUUUUCUACUCGACUUCAGAAAAGUCUAAACCAAUACAAUAUGUUCAAUUUAAGAAAAUCAGAGUCAUAUUUGAAAUGUGUGAAUCCGUCUAUAAAUGUAAUGAAAAGUAAAGUUCCAUCUCUAUCUCUCUUAAACAUAGCCCAUAAGGAAAUUUAGAUGGAUUUAUUCCAUGGAAAUUUAGCUCUUACAGUUUUGAAUGGUUUUCUCAGCUCAAAACCUUAAUCCACUGCACAAAUAUCCAGAACCAUAAUAAGCAUCACUACUGUGAGCACGAACAGAUCUACCACGUAUAAGUUCAAGUAAGAGACCACUCUUCGAAGAACAAUAACUAAGAUCAAAUUUAGUAGAGUUUUUGAUACUAUCUUAAUAUCGAAUAGGAAGUCAGUUUCUCCACUUUGCAACACUAAGUUGCAGUAUUAGUCAUAUAAACAUUCACUUCAUGUUCAUUAUUUGUAUAUAUCUACUUUAUAUCAAGUCAAAGACUCGACAAUAGAAGAAUAUACCUUUUCAUCUCAUACAAAGUGUGUUUUUAACCCUUAAAUCUAUUAUCCACACAAGAUAAGUUCCAAUAUAUAUAGUGUUGACAUGUAAAAAAAACAUUGAGAGGAAUAUAUUCAAGUGCAAUAUCACUUAGUUUAUCCACUUUCGAGCUAAGAGAUUCAAAUUGUUUAAUUGAAGCACUUGAACCUUUGAAACAUUGAUCAUCUACCAAAACCACUUUCAUUUACUUACUAUCUGAUAUGUUCUUCCUAGUCCCUUUUUCAGUCUCCUUAUCUAUCCCGCAUUUGAUCUAGCUCAUAUAAUGCUUAUGAUUCAAAAUCUAAUGCAAGCCAGAACAUUGCUACACAAGCAUGUCCUCGAGACUUAGCAACAUCAGUUCACAUAUAUUUUAACUCACACAGCGGGUAGUGUCAAUAUAGAAAAUUGACACUUCAAUUGGUAAGUCACAAUAACCUUCAAAGUUCUUAUAUUGAGAAGAGACUAGUUUGAACUUACUAUUCAUCUAAAAAUAAUGUGACCAAUGAAAAUGUUAACACUAUGUUAACCAUCAACUAAGUCACAUUCGAGAAAAAAAGUUAUUUAUAUCAAAACUUAACAAUUCAAAUGUUCAAGCACUAGAAUCUAUCUUUUCUUGUACUUAACAAAGUUCUUAUCUUUAUUCUCUAGAGUAGUAUGACCUACAUAAGGUCUUUUAUUGUGUAAUUAAUGCUCUCUAAAGUAUCAUAUCCUUCUAGUGCACUCAAAAUCUUAUCAUGCCAAAUGUUAUCGCAUUUAGCUUAUCACCUUUAUUAAGGUCAAUUAUUAUAGAUUUUGAUGCCAUGAUCUAUCAAAUUUUUCGAGAGAUUUUAUUCUCAACCAAUGCCCAUUUAUGCACAUAUUCAAUUUUACAUUAACUCAAAUUAACGUUUAUGAUAGUUUAAUGUUAGGUAAAGAGUCCAAAGUUCACUAUAUUCCCAAUCAUCAUUUGUAAUCCUAUUGUUUCACUAUCAUAAACUUAAUUACAUAAUGCAAAAUCUCAUGUGUUCUAAGUGAGAAUUACAUUGAUUCUUCCAGCUUGAGAACUCCACGUAGUUGGUGAAUCAUAUAGUUUUAAGAGAGAUUUUCUCUUAAUCUUCCAAUCAUCAAACUAUCAAUGACAAUCAAUACAUCUAAAUAAGAAUCUCACUAAUACUACCGGCCUUAGCAUUUAUAACAAUACAUGAAUUAACGGAUAUCACGUUUUCAAUUAGAUAAUUUCAUAAUAUGUAAUAAAAACAUAAAUAUGCACAUUUAUCCAAUUAUGACAUGCAUCAUGAUAUAACAUAUUAACUCUUCCAGAAGAUAACUUCAAUUAUAAUUCAAAAUAAAAUAUCGUUUAAGUUUUAUUUUACGAAUUUUCAAUCCCUUUUAAAUCUCUAUUGUAACACAGUCUUAACAAAUGGGAAGAGACAUCACAAUUCUCAUAUUCGGCUUAUCAUUAAAAAUUUAUAUCCCAAAAUAUUCACGUGUUCCACAAUAGGUCAUGUUCCAAAUCCAUUUAUUUAUAUCAAUAAGCACGAAACAUUUCAACAAAUUUCAUAGCCUUUGAUUUUCUAGCAUUCCUUUUAAGGAUGCUAUAAAUGUGCAUAGAUUUAGCCAUAUCUGAUCAAGUACAAAAAAUUGAAAACAAAUCACAAUGGAUUACAUAACCUAAUCAAGACUCACACAACUCAUGAACGUAUAUAUAAUGUGGUAUUUUAAAUACUUUCGGAGUAUUUUUCAUUUAAAAAUGAAAAAUUUCAAAAAAAAAAAAAAACUCUCACUAAGCAAAUACCACUUAAUAAAUAUUCUUGAUUUUUAUAAAAAAAAAAUUCAGAAUUUAAUUGAGUCCAAAAAAUAUUUUUGAUUAUCUGAAUUUUAGUCGCACAUAAAAAUCAAAAAUAUUUGAGGGAUCAAUUUGCAAAUUUGUAAAUUUCAUUUGAAAAAGUAAAACGUUAAUUUUAUUUUACAUUCCAACUUUUUAAUUUUUAUAUAUGAAAAAUGGGCAUUGAACACCCACUACAUGCCCAUCUGCGGCGUUUAUUUAAUGAAAUUUUUUUCGUUAAUUCGUCCAUUUAAUCAGUUUUAUCGUUCUGAGUUUCUCUGUGUGGUCAGAUUUUACAAUAUCAACUAUUAAGAUUGUGUUCUAAACCCAAACAAAUCUGAGUGAGGCUAAAAAAUGGGGAAAAAAUUAUUGUUCAUCUAUAAAAAAAGAACAGAAUUUCCAAAUUUUUAUCAAUACUUCAGGAUGCCAUAACUUCUUCAUUCCAAGGCCAAAAUUUAUAUUCUUUAUAUCAUUGGAAAGUUCUCGAGAAGAUCUAUCCAACAUAUCAAAUGGGCAUCAUGAAACAUAGUGUGGAAGAAGUUAUCAUGUGAUGAAGUUUUUGAUGUUACAAAUUUUCAUACAAAAACAAAUUCUUAUCCAAAUUUCGGGAGGGCAUAACUUUCUCAUUUCAGGCCUAAAAUUACUGAUUUUUAGAUAGUUAGGAAGAUCACGAGAAGAUCUAUUCAACCAUAUCAAAUGGACAGCAAGACUUAAUGUAUAAAAAGUUAUCACAUGACGAACUUCAGUGUUUUAUCAAGUUUCAUGCCUAAAAUUUAAAUUAUCAUCCAAAUUUCAAAAACUCAUAACUUUUUCGUUUCAAGUCCAAAAUUUGAGUUCUUUAAUGGUUGGAAAACUUAUGAGAAGACGUUUCUAAUCAUACUAGCUGGAUGAAGAUGAACGACCAAAUGGCAGUAAAUUAUAAAUGAUGCCCCUAAAUACCACAUAAGGUUUCAAAACUUUGCAUACAAGAUUCAUAACCCAAAUUUUAUCAUGUAAUGGCAUAUUUAAGUAUGAAUUACAGCAAGGAAUUCAACCUUAUGACUCUGAUACCAAUGUAGGAAAUCUGCAACAUACUUUGAUGUGAAUUUUGGGUCAAGAAAGUUACUUGAAAUGAUGAAUUUCAAGAUCUUUUUGUGUGGUUAAAUCACCUUACAUUUCAAAACUCCAAAGUCUGCAUUUUCUUGUUCUCCAAUGGUCCCAAUUCCAAUCACAAUGGAAUGGGAUAAUCAUCUACAAUCUAAGUGCCAUUUUUUUUGUGAAAUUUUAUGCCAAAAAUAUGGUUCUAGGGACUUUCUAAUUUUGGUAUGAAUUUUCAUACGAAUUUUCACCAUCUUUUUGGCCACAUUUUUUAAUAACUUCUAUAUGAAAGUUGCAAGGAGUUAUUUGGGAGUUAUAGAUUUGAAUUCCAAAUUCAAACCACAUGGACAACCCAUUACCCGUAUUUUCCACCAAAACUUGAUCGCUACAUUGGUUCAUUUGUCUCUGUCUUUGUCUUUACCAUUUAUUGUCCACGGAAUAUGUAUGUCUUUUUUAUUAUUCUCUUGUUUAGGACAGGACUAAGCUAAAUUAUAAUAACCCAUAUUACAUAUUUCUAUAAUGUUUCAUUUUACGUAACUUGUCUGUAUCUUCCUACAUCUUGAGUUGCCCAAAUUUUGUAGCAUGUUCUCCAGACUAAAUACCUCGCAAUAAAAUAACAAUUAAACUACUUGUACAAAGUAGUUUGACAAAGUGUGUGUUGACAAGAUCAAUGCCCAUGUAUUUUGUUGCUUUCAAAAACUAUUUUUGAAUUGAAUGGUCUUGAUUUUGCCAACAACCAUUUUGUCAACCUUUUUUGUAAACCUAUUUUGUAAGCAUAGCAUCACUCAUAAAAUAAAGGGUAUACGCUAACUUGCACCUAUAGAUUAUACAAGUACCUACCAAGAAAAAAUCACCUCGCCUUAGAUUAUAUUGUUCCUAAGAUUUGUGUAAACAUAAAUAUAUUAGCUGAUAAUUUUAUAUGAAGAGAUACACUUAAGCAAUUCAUUUGAAACUACAAUUCCCUUUAUUGAAUUUGUGGUUUAUGUGGAGACAAAUUUCAUCAACUUGCAUUCAUUUAUGACACAAGUACUUACAAGACUUUUAAGGACUGUUUAUCUGAUCAUCUUUCAUCCCUUAGCAAUUUCCUUGUCUCGAUUUUACCUAAUGUAAUACUCUUUGUAGGUCAAUAAUAAGAACAUAACUAUAAAGUCUAUUUAGUUAUUUCUACUUAACUCUUGGCAAAAUUGAAAAAUCUUUUUAUCAUUAAAUUAAUUGUAGGAGAAGUAUUUUAUUUUACAGAUACAAAUAAUAUUCUAAUGAUAGACCAAGACUAAUAAGUAGUGACUUCAAACAAUUUGGAUUUGGUCCCGUGGGCACCUAAUGUUUGGGAGGUAAGAUUUAUAAUGGGAUAACUGCAAAAACUAUCCUUCAAAUUCUUUAACAAACUAAAAAAUAUUUCACUUUUCAUUAUUUUGAUUUUUAUUUGGUUACCUUAUUUUACAUUUUAGUAACAUACUUUUUAUUGUUUUAUUUUUUUUAACUUUGUUAACUUAUUUUACAUGUUAGAAACAUGUGUUAACAUUUUUAUUUUUUAUUUUUAAAGUAACACAUCAUGUUGUGUUACUCCAAUAUCAAUACAUGACACCACCGCAUCCAACACUGUUUCUCACUAUUGCCACUGCCUUCGUCAUCAAUGUUAGUAAAAUUAGGAUUGAACAUCAAGUGGUUCGAUCCAUGCAUCUUAAUAACUAGAUUGAACCAAUUCCCAUUGAGGAUUGUUAAAAUAGAAUCAUUGAUUUGAAAUCAAUGAGUUCUGGUUCAGCCAAUACGUAUUUUUUUCGCAGAACCACUGGUUCUAAUCCUUAUUUUUAUGCUUCGGUGUAAACCUUCAUAUAAAUUUUAGAGAAAAUUGCAAUAUCGGUCUCUAACCUUUUUGCAAGUUUAUCUUAACCUUCCGUUUGUGUCGGUAGUGAUCCCAAACCUUUGAGAAAUUAGCAAUUGUGGUCCAAAUGAAUGGAAUUUGACCAUUAAUAGACCAAGAAAAUUAGAUUUUGACCAAUUUUGACCAAAUCAAAACGGUAAAUUAAUAACUUUACAUUUUCCCAAUUUAAAUAAUUAAAUAAAAAAAUAAAAGAAAAUGGGGCUGCACCGUACCCUACCCCACCCCACCUAACCCAAACUUCAUCUUCUUACCUUGAUGCACCGGCAACCAUUAACACUACCGCAAACACACAAUUUGCCUUCAUCAAUAAAACGGCAUGGUCAUUGCUUUCAUCUAUAGAACCCCUCAAGUUCUCCACCAAUCACCAAUUUUCCUCCUCCUACAAACCCAGUUUCAAUAACUCCACUACUCAAUUUCCCCAUUAAUAUAAAUGUUUCUCCUUCCUCAACAUAGACAUAGUUGAACGAGAACGAGCACUGUAGAGUUUUUUAUUGCAUAUAGGGUAUGCUUAAGACAAGGUCAAUACAAGCAUACCUAUAAAACACAUACAUACAGUAAUAUAAGUAUGAAUCGAAGGUGUCAAAUUUAUUGCGAAAAUUGUGAGGAAGAUGACCCAAAGAUUUGGGUUCGAUUUUGAUUUUUCAUUUAUGUUACAUUUGAUAGUGGAGAAGAUUGUAGCAGAGGUGAUGAAUGGUGGCGGAGGCGACGAUGAUGAUGGCUGUGGCGACGAUGAUGAGUAGUGAUUUUGGUUUUGGUGGGGAUAGGUUUGGAUGGAUAAUGGGGAAAAGGAAGGGGUGGAAUAAGAUAAUGAUUUUUUAAUUUUUUUUUAAAAUUUAAUUAAUUUAAGUAUUUAUUGUGAGAAAAUGUAAAGUUACUAAUUUUAUCUUUUUAAUUUGGUCAAAAUUGAUCAAAGUUUAAUUUUCUUGGCCAACUAACGUCAAAUGUUUCAUCCAUUUGGACCUUAACUGCUAAUUUCUCAAAGGUUUGGAAUAACCGUUGGCACAAACCGAAAGUUAAGAUAAAGUCUGAAAAAAAAAAAAGCAAAAGGUUGUGGACUGCUAUUGCAAUUCAUCCUAAAUUUUAUUAUUUCGUUUCAUGCUAUAUAUUUUAAACGUAUAAAACUCUCAAUUAUACUCAAGAUGUAUGAAUAUAUAUAAAUUAAGAAUUUACUAAGCGAUUGUAAGAGUAAUAAUUUUGAAAUUGAAUCAAAAUUUGGUUUUAUCAAGACCAAGGACUAGACCAGAACCAUACAACUUUCUAUUCAAAGACCCAGAAUCAAUUUGAAAUGGAACCAGAGCGAACUGACUAAUUUGGCUUGGUUCUGGAUCCUGGUUCUUGAUGGGUGGUCUUGGGUAAUUUCUUGCCCUUAGGUAACAUGUAUUACUUGUCCGGUAAUUGCCUGGUUUAUAACUUAUUGGGAGUAAUUAUGUUUUCGACCCUAACUCCUUCCAUCAUCAAUAUCAACAUCGGACUACAGCCCCAAAAUGUUAGUACCACCAACCACCUUCUAAACAAUCAAUCAACACCACGAUAUCCUCCAACCAUCGCUACACCAAUAUAAAACCAUAACUAUCACGAUGGAAAGCUUUAGAAACACGAAAAUCAUUUCGAUACAAAAAUAUUUGAUGAAUGGUAGUGAUGACUGCUACACUUGAGAGUGGUGGCUGAGCGCGACCUUUGCGAUGAUACAAUUGGAGAAGCAAUAAAUGUUGAAAAUGGUGAGUUUGGCGACAAUUAGAUUGAGAUUCCAAUGACGGUGGCUGUAUAAGUCGAUGAUAGUAUGGGAUCCUUUUUGGUGGAAUGGUGGAGACGAUUGUUGUCUACCAAUACAAUCUGGUGAAAUGGUUGUUAUAUGAUGGAUAUAAAUCAAAGUUUAAUCCGCAGGAGCAUAAUUAAAUACAAAGAUAUAUGAAAAACCUUGGUAUAUAGGGAUGGCAAUCGGGCUCGAUGACUUAGACCACCCAUGGCUCGGCUCGCGAAAUGCCUAAGUAGGCACGGCUUGUGGCUUGGGAAACCCAAACCACAUUUUGGGACGUCGGAUCGAGCCUUGGCUGGCCCAUCUGGCUCAUUGAGCCACACGGGCCAACCCGAGCCAGAAUAUUAUUUUAAAAAAAAUAAAUAAAAACUGCCUAUUAAGGCAGCCAGAAAUAAAAAUAAAUAAAUUUCUUGCAUAGCUGCCUCUUAGCACCGGUGAUGUCUCAUUUAAUUCUAGUUCAUCAAUAUCUAGAAUGAUAGAUGUUAGUGGUACAAAUCUUGAAAUCCCCUUUAAGUUAGUUAGGUAUCUAUACGUAGAUGUUCGCAGUGCGUUACAACUAAAAGAAUUAUAGUAAUUUAAUAUUUAAUCAUGAUGGAGGUAUAACGAAAGGCUAUAUCCAAUUGUAUAAAAAAUUGCACAUAAUCUACUAACACAUCUGGUGUCCAUGGUGGCAUUAGAGACUGCAUUUAGUUUAGGUGGUCGAGUUUUAUCAAACGGAAGAUCAAAGCUCGAAAGUCGGCUUCGCUCGUUAAGGCUCGAGCCAAAAGCUCAGGCUGAGCCUAGGUUUCUUGACCGGGUAAAAGCUCGACUCAGGCUAGUAAAAAAGCUCAGACCAUUUUACUCGGGCCGAGCCUCGAGUUUUGGCUCGUGAGUCGGCUCAACUCGAUUCGACUCGUUGACACCACUAAUCGUAUACUACAAAACACAAAGAAAUAAGAAAUGAAAAAAAAAAUGAGAUGCAAAAUGAUCCGAGGUAAGUGAUUACACUUCCUCCUUAAAACAAAAUUGCCCCACAAAGGUGCUACCGGUUCACGGCACUUGUCUCUCAAGAUACGACAGAUUCAACUUGUAGUAGAAGUAAUUCAAACCACAAGCCACACCGAACUCGAACGGAAUUUAUCCUGUCUACAAAGAAAAUGAUAUGGAAUGAAUUUUGAAGAGUUUUUGCAAGAGAUUUGAUAUAAUGCUUAAUUCAAAAUCGAUAUGGAAUGAGUUAUGGACAUGCAAAGGUUCCUAUUUAUAAAGGAUGAGAAGUUGUGGGCAAAGUGUUGUGUGCCAAAUAUCGCAACCUUACGAACAGAAGCAUCACUUGCUGUCGCUAGCCUGACACUGUCCUUUAGCUCAAGCGUUAGUGUUAAAAUGUGAUAAGUGUAUUUUGUACACGUAUCCAUGCUAGUAGAUUGGAGUGUUUGUUAGUGAUUUGAAUGAGUUAUAACUUAAUUAUGUGUUAAUUGUGUUAGUUAGGUUGAAUUCAAUACAAAUUGGUGGAAUUGGAAGAAAUGAGCAAAAAUGAAAGAAAUCCAAAGUAUGGUGACCAAAGUGUAAAUAUCCAAUGGUUGAUUUGGACCACAAAAGAUAUUUUGAAAAUUGAUAGGAGUCAAUCGAAUGCAAAUUGAAGUUAAAAAAAAAAAUAAAAGAAUGGGAUAUGAUUAUAAUGUUAUCAUAAAUCAACUUUCAAUCACAUAAGACAUCUUCCAGAUUUUUGGUCAACUUGAAACCCAUUUUUCGGAUAGAAAACGUUUGAAUUGGAAAAUCUAUAUUCGAAAGAAUUAUAGCUCUUUGAAUUAGGUUUCCAACACACUCUGAAUCACCACAAUCAGACAUCGGAAGAGAAAGUUUUGACCGAAAUACUAAAAGUUGUGCAUAGACAAAAUCAUGCGUGCGCGAAGGCAACUUUCCUUAUUUGAUUAAAACUCUUCUUAAAGGCAAUUUGGACGUGAAUUUUAACCUAAUUUCAUCAUAUAAACACAAGACAUUGCAGCAAUGGGAAAAAAACCCUCUCUUGCCUCUAUGUACACAAUAAUUUCAUCAAAUUUAUGAAGAAUAAGAGGUCAAUUACUAUAUUUUGAGAGAGGGAAUCAAGCCAUAGCAAGGAAUUGAAAUUCAAUUGCAUCAAAAUUUUGAAGAAUUCAACUUUAGACUUGAAGAUCAAUAUCUUUUGUAUUUUUUCAUGAUCUGAGUGAUAUUUUUCUAUUAUUCUACUUGUAAUUUAUUUAUUAAUAUACUAGGCUAGAUCCGCUUUUGUAUUGGAUGAAGUUGAACUUUAUUGUUUAUUUAUUUUAAAUUAAAGACUAAUAUUUUAGUUUAAUUCUUGCAUUUCUUGAUUAAUUUUGCAUAGUCAUUGCAUUAUUUAAUUGAUUGGACAUCAAUUAGAUAACUAGUUACUCGUUGUAAUGUUGAGAGACUCACGGUAAGUUUAGAACGUGACAAAAUUAAGAUAUCUAUAAUAGAUGUUAGAAAAAACAUAUAUCACGUGUGCAAUUAUAUAGAUAAUCUAAACUUUAAUGUGUUCUAACCAUUCAAAUUCGGACUAGGAAUAGAUUUGAUCGUGGUUAGGAUAGACUUAAUUUGUCUUGGUAAAAAAAAUUAUAUAUUAUAGCUUUAUCAAUGGUCAUGAACGGAUCUAGAUUAUAAAUCAAUAAUUAAAAUAGAUAACAAUAGGCGGAGUCGAAAUCCAAUGCAAUCAUCCAUAAUUUAAUAAAAACUAAACUUUUAUUGCUUUCUUAGAUUAAAUUAAAAUCUCUCUUUGGUUUUAUAUAAUUCGAAUUCCAUAUAUGCAAACUUGAAUUAAAAUUUACUCCAUGUGGAACGAAACUCUUAACUCACUAAACAUAUUACUUGUUAACAGACUCGUACGCUUGCGGGUUUUGCACGAACAAAAUGAUUUACAGAAACUUUUCACUUACCUAUCGCUAGCCUGUCGCUUGAGCAACAGCCUUGCCGCUCGAGCUAUAUAUGAGCAAUGGAGUUGGGCAUUUUUUUCAAGCCAAUUUUUCCUUUAUUUUCCUUUUAACUUUGGACUGCAAUUUCUCAUUCAUCAAGAAUUGAUCUACUUGACGAAUAGAACAAAUUAGUCUUUUACAUUUAUAAUUUGACUAUCGAAUCAACUCCAAAUAUUUGGCCGAAGUUGACAAGAAAGUCACUUUUUCACAUUUUUCAUUUUAACAAUUAACCAAUUUUCCUUCAAUUCUAAACCAAUUUCCAACAAUCUCCCAUGUGAAAGAAAAUUUGAAUAUGUAUAUGCAAUGCAAAAAUUAUGAUGCAUCAUAGAAAGAGAGCAAAAAAACACUGCAUCUGGUAAAGUAGCUUCCAGCUUCGAACCUUUCUUAGUGAAAUACUAUCAGACUUACUUGGCUAAUUGGUGAACAUGAUAUCUUGAACCAUUCAGCCAUUUGUGUAAGUUAAAACAACAAUAAUCACAUAGAUGUCUUCCCUAAUCUGUUCAUGAUUUUCAUGACUUUUCAUUUUUUGUCCUGAAUCGUUCUUGGGUUUCAUAAUUGCUUAGAGAAUUUUAGCCUCGAAUAAUUCUCAUUGAAGCAACCUUACUUCACACUUACAUUGGUGACAUCUUAUUAAGAGUAUUCUAUCUUACUAUACUUGACUUUAAUCGAGAUAUAAGAAUCAUCAAAAGAGUAUCUUAACAUCUUAUCACUCUGCAAAAAGCACUUUAAUAUUAUAAGAAUAAGUUAGAAAAUAAUUUCUUAAGUGCUUCAUUGAAUCAUCAUAUCUUAGUUGUCCCCUUGAACCAAGAUCUUGGGAUCUCCAGUCAAAAAGGUUUUUCGUAGGACUUUCCUCAAACACAUUAUACUGUUUAAGUAUACUCUCAAUGUAGUGAGAUUGGAAAAGUAUAAGUUCCUAUAAUGUUUUAGAGAUCUUAAUCCCUAAUAUUGUAUCAGUCACACCCAUGUCUUUCAUAUCAAAAUGCUUUGUUAGCAUUUUUUUAGUGUUUAGCAUCAUUUCGUGUCUAUUGCCUAUUACUAACAUGUCGUCUAUAUAUAGACAUACAAUCACAUAUGCAUUUGAUGUAUAUUUAUGCAUACACACUUAUCACACUCCUUUAUCUUAAAUUUGUUUGACAACAUCGUUUGUCAAACUCGAUGUUGUCAAACUUCUGAUGCCAUUGUUUAGGAGUUUGUUUCAAUCCAUACAAAGACUUGAAAAGUUUACAAACCCGUGUUUUUUAUUUGGAGAGAUGAAUCCUUCAAGUUGUUCCAUGCAUAUCUCAUCUUCUAACUCACCAUUUAGAAAUGUCGUUUUCACAUACAUUUGAUGAAUCUCAAGAUUGUGUGCUGCGAUAAUUCCAAUUAAAGCUUCAUUGAAGUGAUUCUUGUCACGAGUGAGUAAAUAUCAAAAACGUUAAGUAAUUUAUUUUGCCUAUAUCCUUUGGCAACCGACAUAACUUUAUAUUUGUCAAUGGAUCCAUCUGAUUUAAGUUUCUUCUUAAAAAUCCAUUUACAACCUAAAUGCUUGUUUCCUAGAGGUAAAUCAACUAUUUCCCAAGUAUAAUUUUGCAUUAUAGAAUAUAUCUCGCUAUUGAUAGCUUAUUUCCAAUGCGAUGCUUUCAAUGUAGACAUUAUUUCGUCGAAAGUCUUUAGGUCAUUUUCCACCAUAUAGGUUAGAAAAUUUGGGCCAAAUGUCGUAAAUAUCUUAGCCCUUUUCUUACGCAUUGGUUCUUCAUCAUUUGAAGUACCACUUGUAGUAUCAUAAGCCCUUUUAUUUGAACUUUUAUUUUCCUUUUCUUUACAAGGAAUUUUUUUUUUUUUUAAAUGAUGCAUUUCUUGAUUCACUUAUGGUUCCCUCAUUUACAUCUUAAACUUCAGAUUCAUGUAUGAGGAAACGAUAUGUACUAUUGUUAUUGGCGUAUCCAAUAAAUAUACAAUCAAUCAUUUUGGGGUCAAUCUUUACUUUUUUAGGCUUAGGAAUUCAACUUUAGCCAAACACCCCCAUACUUAAAGUGUUGGUAGGAAAGAGAAUGACCUUUUUCAUAACUAAUAUGGUGUUUCUUCCAUUUUCUUCAGGGGUAUCUUAUUAAGAAUGAUAUUUGUCGCUAAAAUAGCUUCUUCCACAAGUUCUGAGGUAAACCUGAACUUAAAAACAUUACGUUCAUCAUUUUCUUAAGAGUUCGAUUUUUAUGUUCAGCAACACCAUUCGAUUGAGGUGAGUAAGGUUCUAUUGUUUGAUGAAUAAUUUCGUGUUAAGAACAGAAAUUUUCAAACGAUGCCUCAUAUUUACCUCCUUCAUCACGACGAAUAUUCUUUAUUCAUUUAGCAAGUUGAAUUUCAACUUCCACCCUCUAACUUUUAAAUGCAUCUAAGGUCUCGUCUUUACUUCAUAGUAAGAAGACAUAACAAUACUUUGUACAAUCAUCAAAGAAAUUUAUGAAGUAUUUCUUACCACCGCUAAUUUGAUCAAAUCUCAAAUAACAUAUAUCACUAUAAAUUAAUUUUAAAGGUGUAGUAUUUCUUUGAACCGAGUGGAACGAUGUUUUAGCCAACUUUGCUUCAACACACACUUCACAUUUAUGAUUAGGAUCAAUCUUAAGUGCCAGAAUUAAACUUUGAUUCACAAGUUUGCAAAAAACUUGUAAUUACAUGUUCUAAUCGACUAUUCUACAAACAAGACAACUCAAGCAUAUAAAUGAAAUUCAAAUCUUUAUUCAUAAUGCUUUGCCUUGGUACAAUUGUAAGAACAUUCGUUUUGAACAUUCCAUCACACAUGUAUCAUUUUCCUACAUACAUUUCGUAGUUAGUAAAUACAAAUCCAUCGAAUACAAAUACAAGUUUAAAAUCAUUUUUAAUAAGUAGAGACCCAAACGCAAGACUAUUGCGAAUGUCCGGAACAUGUAGGACAUUGUUAAGGACGAGUUCUUUCUCGAAGAUCAUCUUCAAUGUAACUUUCUCUUGUCCUUAAACUUUAGAACUUGCGGAGCUUUCCAUGAAGAGUUGUUCUCCAUUUAAUUCUUUAUAGUUAGAGAACACAGCUUUGUCUGCACACAUGUGACGAGUAGCACCAAUAUCAACCCACCACUCUCGAGAGUUACCAACAUUGUUGCAUUUCGGGAACAAAACCAAACAUAUUUAUUCCUUGCAUCCCAUCAGAGAAGGCGUCUCUUUCAAUCAUGUUGACUUUUGCGGUUUUCUUUGAUUUUUAACAUUCGCUUUAACAAUGUAUGGUUUUUUCACAAUUGUAAUAAUUGCCUUUAAACUUCGUUGUCUCUUUUUGGUGCAUCACCGAACAUCUUGUGCUUCUUGUUGAUAAUUUUCGAGUUUGUUUCAAUAAAGUUUGCUCCAAGUUUGACAAUAGACCUUUUCACAAUUUUCAUAUUGUCUUCUUCGAUCCUAAAUCGGAUAAUCAAUUAUUCCAAGUUCAUCUCCUUAGGUUUGUGCUUGAGAUAGUUUUUGAAGUCUUUCCACAUAAAAAUGAGCUUAUCAAUGAUGGCAAGGACUUAGAAGGAUUCGCUCAACACCUUCUUUUUGGCAUGUAUGUCGUGAAGAGAACUUGAAGUUCUUGUACUUAACUUAUCACGGUCUUGGAGUCUACCAUUUUGUAAUAAAAAAAACUUGCCGAUUAUGAACUUUUUUGUUACGACAUCCUUAAUCUUGUACUUCUUUUCCAAUGAAUCUCAUAGUUCCUUGGCAGAGUCCUUUGAACUAUACACUCCACAUAGUGUAUUGUCUAAUCCAUUUAGGAUAUAAUUUUUGCAUAAGAAGUUUGAGUGCUUCCAUGCAUCUAAGGCAAUAAUCUAUUCACGAUUAUUUUCUCCUUCUUCUACAGUUUAUAGAGUCUCCUUUAGAAACUUCACCAAGUUUAGAGCAAUUAGAUAUAACAAUAUCUUUUGUUACCAUCUUUUGAAGUCCAUGUCUCUAAACUUUUUCAGUUUUUCCACGUGGGAUCACACUAUUUUGAAGUGGUACGGCCAAAGGGGAACCACAUUAUUCGUACCAUUGAUAGUUUGACUUGAAGUAGUUUCCAUGGUGUUCAUUUCUGUUGCACAAAUAGAAGUUCAAUGCAGCAAUAAUAAAAAGGGAAUAGCAAGUAAAGCAUAUUACACAGAUGAAGAUCACGAGUUUGUUUACAACAUAACAAUCAAAAUUUUAUCUUAAUACUGCUGUCUACCAAUAUAAUCUGGUGAAAAGGUUGUUAUGUAAUGGAUGUAAAUCAAAGUAUAAUUCAUAGGAGUGUAAUUAAAUACAACGAUAUAUGAAAAACCUUUAUGGUAUACAAACCACAAGAAAUAAAAAAUGAAGAAAAAAGAGAUGGAAAAUGAUCAGAGGCGAGUGAUUACAAUUUCUCCUUAAGACAAAAAUUGUCCUGCAAUAGUACUAAUUGUUCAUGACACUUGUCUCCCAAGAUACAACGUAUUCAACUUGUAGUAGAAGCACUUCGAAUCACAAGCCACAACGAACUUGAAUGGAAUUUAUCCUCUCUACAAAGAAAAUUAUAUGGAACGAAUUAUGGAGAGUUAUUGCAAGAGAUUUGAUGUAAUGCUUAAUGCAAAAUGGAUAUAGAAUGAUUUAUGGAUGUUCAAAUGGUCCUCUUUAUAGAGGAUGAAGAGUUGUGGACGAAACGUUGUGUGUCAAACCUUGCAACCUUAUGAACAAAAGAAUUACUCGUUGUCACUAGCCUAUCAUUGACCUCUUGCUCGAGCGCCAGCAUCAAAAUGAUUUACGAAAAUUUUUAGCCUGCAUGUUGCUAACCUGUUGCUCGAGACAGGCCCCAUUGCUUAAGCAAUAGGUGAGCUACGGAGUUAGGCAAUUUUUCAAACCAGAUUUUCCUCUAUUUUUCUUUCAAUUUUGGACCGCAAUUUCUCAUUCAUUCACAAUUGGUUUUGAGAUUCCAAAUAUACCACGAUGAUCUAUUCGACAAGUAGAAUAAGUUAGUCUUUUUUACAUUUGUAAUUUGACAUCAGUUCAAGUCCGAAUAUUUGAUCGAAUUUGACACGAAAGUCACUCUUUCACAUUUUUUAUUUUAACACGUAACCAAUAUUCGUUCAAUUCUAAACCAAUUUUCGAACAAAGAUAAUAGAAAGAGGUUGUUGAUUUGAAAAUAUUGAGUUGGAUGUGCUACUUGGCAACAAUGAUCCAACAAUAGUGGUGUGCUAAUUUGGAAUAAUGCUAUUUAUCAUUAUGAUGAUAGAAUAUCAGCGAUGUGAUAGUCUAUGUGAAAUAAUGGAAUUAGGUAAUUCAAUUUUUAUGAGAGAAAGAUGGGAAGAGGCGUGAUCUCAAGAGAAAGAAAUGUGAUGGAUAAUGGAUUGCUAGAUCAUCGAUAUUACAUCAUCGUGAUGGUAAAUAGUAUUACUCGCUAGUGCAGUGUUUUGUUGGAUAGGAAUUUGACUAGAAUGAAGGCAUGCUUAAAACUCAUUAAAUUAGAACUCUUUAUUUCUUAUAUUCGUUUUAUUCACACAUUAAAAUAUUAUGUACUAAACCUAUAAUAUUUUCCUACUUUUUAACAACAUACUUUUCAAAAAAUCACUAUAUGAAACAUUAUUUUCCUCCAAUUUCAAUUUAUAAUUGUCAUCAAAUAGGGCUUAGAAUAAAUUUGUAAUAUUUUAAACACUAGAAAAAGAAGUAUAUUUCAAAAAAAAAAAUUAUUAUUAGUUACAGGUAAAUAUCUGGAAAACAUAAAAGGGAGGAAUUUUUUAGUUUUUGUAAGAAAAGAGAGUAUCCCACCUUAGAGCAAAUCCAAUGAAUUUAAAGAUUAUAUUUUACAAUUUAGAGAUCAUAUAUAAAUUUUGAGAUUAAAAAAUUGAAAAUACUUUAACAUGCUUUUUAUCUUUAAUACUUAAUUUACUUCUCUUAAUAUUUAUUUAUUAUUUUUUCAUAUAUUUUAUUUUCUCUAGCUUCCCUUCAAAGUAUUAUAUUAUUUUCCUCAAUUUUAUUUGUAUAUACUACUUAUUAGGUCAAUAUAUGUAGCAUUGAAAAGUGGAAUAUUUUGAUCACGUACAUUUAAUUAUAAAGUGUGAAGUUGACUCUUGAAGCAUAAUUCAAAAGUCGAUUAUUUAAAAUAGAAUGCAUGGAAAGGUCAAAUGAUUGGUUUUUUUCCACGAAAUAGUUGUUUUGACUUUUUAUGGCCCACUUUUACGUACUUAUUAUGGGAUGUCAAAUAAAGUCGAAACAUUGCAUUUUUAAUACCAUUUCCAAAUGCUCUUGGCCUUGUUUUUAUUUCGUUAAUGGCGUGCAAACGAUCAAUCGUAACAAAAGUUACAAUGCAUCAAAGUAGACUGUUCCGGAUAGAUAUUUUGAGAAUUUCGAUAAUAUGCUAACUUUUAAAAUUCAUCGAUAAUCGUAUAUUAUCCUAAUCCACAAAUCACCUACGUCAUCUAGAAGCUUGUUUAGUAAACUACGUCACGGCCAUAUUGAAUGAUCUAAACGAAUAAUGAAAAUAGUUAAAUAUGCAUCAAACGUACGUCUUAAAAGAGAUAUCUAACUCUUCAUUUCUUUAAAAAAAAAAAAAUCAAUUGUUUCAUUAAUUUUGAUUAUUUUUGCAUGAUAAUUUUUUGUAAAAUCCAUUGAAGUAACUAUCCUUUCAUUUUCCACAACAAUUGGGAACGACAUGAAGAGUCGGGGCCUUGAAGUUGUUUCUGAUUCGCAGCUUAAAAAUUAUAAAAAUAAAAAAAAUAAAAAUUCUUGGAUACGAAUUUCACUCAUCAGUGUUAUUUGUUUAGGCUGACUAGUGCUCAACUUAAUUCUUUUCGUUUUCACGAGUCUUCAUGGGGAGAAAAAAUCCAAGUCAACUGCCGUGUUCACUUUCACCCUGACUUUCGUUGCGAGUAAAUAAAUUAAUUGAAUUUAGACAACCGCACCAGAAUCUGAUUUCUCUAUUCUUCUUCUUUCUUCUGUUUGUUGUUGAGUUAGGCUGGCAUGGUUUUCUCACGUAGGGCUGCUUCCAGUUCAGUUGUUUAUGUCUCUUUGUUUCAUCUAUGUAUCCUUCACUUGGUUGAUUCUCAAUGCCCAAAGCAGUUCCAGUGUGGAAAUCUUGGCAAUUUGGAGUUUCCUCUGGCCAAUUCUUCGGGAUGUGGAUUGUUCACGGUUAACUGAAGUGCUCAGCCGAAUCCAAUAAUUCACCUGGUCCUCGAUAAUGAUUGGUUUUCACCAUCCUGUGAGAUUCUGAAAAAGUUAUCUCGCAAUGAAUUAUUUAUUCGAAAUCAAUUUCUUCAACGUGUUUUAUAUAGUAAAAAUUAUGAGGAAAUGUGCCGUUUGCUUUUUCAUCUCCCUAUGCCAAUCUCUCCUUAUAUUUUGGUUUCUUUCUUCCCCAAUAUCACUCUAUUCAAAUGCACCAAAGAAAGAAACUACGACAAUGAGAUACCUAAUUUCCAAGAAAUUUAUAGAAAUUACACUGGUUGCAAGCUCUUCGAUAUAUACUACCCCAAGUCAAAUGAAAGUCUUCCGCCCUCCAACGACUGUUCAGUUCUUCACUUGCCAGGCAAUUUACAAGAUAACUCAGAUUCAUUGGACUUGUUCCAACGGUUAGGCGCUGAUUGUCAUCUAAAAUGGAAUGUGUCUGGUGAUAAAGGUACCAUCGGCCCUUGAACGUGAUCUUUUCAUUAUGGAUUAUAUUAUUGAAUAUUGAGUUAAAAAAUUAUUAAAUUAAGAAACUUUUUGUAUGACAAUUUUAUUUUGUCAAUUCAGCUCUUUCCCAAUAUAGUUAUAUGCCUUUUUUUCUUUGUUUCAAAUUGAAUUCAACUCUGUCCUUAAUUUGUUUGUAAUGUAUACACCAAAUUUGGUAAUUUUUUUCCUCAUUUUGUGGAAAGUAAUUAUUCAAUAUUACGACUAUCUGAAAGACUCAAUCAAAAAAUAAAAUAAAUAAAAUCCAGUUCAUAGGACGCAACUACUAUUUGGAUCAUGAUAAUUGAAUGUCCCUUUACAUGAUUCCAUCACCUUAUUAUGAUAAUUUAUGGAUGUUUUCAUAUUCAUCAACUUGUGGUUCACGGACAAUAUCUUUAUUUGACCAAGUCUAGUUAUGCAAAAGUAAUUUGCAAUAGCUUCUUGUUUAUGAAUGUACGGACAUAUAAACUGUUGACAAGAUCCAUUAUUUUUUAACCUAUAAGUCAUAGAUAUAGCUUUGUAGUGUACAAGUAGCAAAAAUACAACGCACUUAUUAAAUUAAUAAAUUUCAUUUAUUGAUAAAUUAAUAUUAUUCAUUAAUUUAAAAAAAAUAAACAACUGUUCAAAUAAUAAUUUUUCUUAGUACCCAGAGUAUUACUUCAUAGGUUUUACUGUAGUGUGUUGCAUUACAAUCACUAUAGAGGUUAUCCCUUUGUGAAAGUUUGUCUUUUAGCAUUGUAAUUAUAGAGGUCAAGUGGUCUCAAAUUUAAUUAGAAUCUAAAUCAUUUACAGAGAACAAAUUUGUUGAAUUAGAUAGUAGUGGUUUUCUUUUGAUACAAGUACAAGAGGAAAUUUGACAGAAAAUCUUGACUCUACCUGUGAGAAAAACAAAAUCUAUAUCAUUUAUAAGUUCGCUCAAUCUAACAUGUGUUUUGACUUCAGCUGCUGCAAGGAUUAAAUUGAAACUGAUUUUCCUUGCAGGUAACUCUUCCAAAUUUCAGUGACAUUUCUUUUGUUUUUUGAUUUAUAAAAAUAGUUGUCUUUUUUCAUCUCAGGUGUUUCAGCUGCUGCGAAAGUCCUCAUCUCCAUAAUCUUGUUCACUUUCAAUGGGAGGAAGUACAUGCUGAAUUUGAAGGGAAAAACUCAAAACCACAAGGACAUUGAACUCUUCCUAAAAACAAUGAAAUCCUUACACCAAGAAGAUACAACUAUUCUGAUCUUAGGAAAAUGACUAAAUCAUUCAAUGACAACUUAGGGAAAGGCGUUUUUGCUAAUGUGUAUAGAGGAAAGUUACCCGAUGACCGUCUUGUAGCAGUAAAGAUUUUGAAAGAAUCGAAAGGCAAUAGAGAAAAAUUUAUCAAUGAGGUAGCAAGUAUCAGUAGAACUUCCCAUGUUACCGAUGUCACUCUCCUGGGAUUUUGCUUUGACGGUUCCAAAAGAGCUCUCGUUUACGAGUUCAUGCCCAAUGGAUCUCUUGAGAAAUUCAUAUGCAGCAAUACCUCCGUAGCAAAACAUCAGUUAGGAUGGGAAAAUUUGUUUCAAAUUGCUAUUGGUAUUGCUAAGGGAAUAGAAUACUUGCACCAUGGAUGUAAUACACGGAUUUUGCAUUUCGACAUCAAAGCCUCGUAACAUUCUUCUAGAUGAAGACUUGAACCCUAAGAUAUUGGAUUUCGGUUUUUCUAAACUUUGCCCCAAUAGGUCCAGUAUAGUGUCAAUGCUAGGGGCUAGAGGAACAAUACGAUAUAUUGCUCCAGAAAUAGUUUAUAGGAAUGUUGGAGUCAUUUCUUACAAGUCAGAUGUCUAUAGCUAUGAUACAAUGAUUUUGGAAAGUGUUGGAGAGGCGAAAAAUGCUGAUGUCAAAGUUGAUCAUUCAAGUGAAAAAUAUUUUUCAGAUUGGAUCUAUGAGCACCUCGAAUAGAAUUUUGAACUUGAUUUUAACCAAGUUGUAAAUGAAGAUGAAGUUUCGAAAAGGAAAAUGGUAAUAGUUGGCUUAUGGUGCUUACAAUUUGAUCCUACAACUAGACCAUCAAUGAGCAAGGUUAUAGAAAUGUUGGAAGGGAACAUGUAAUCUCUUCAAAUCCCACCAAAAUCGUACUUUUUACAGCCAAGAGCAGCAGAAAAUUUUUCAACUACUGAGUCGUCGGUCAUUCUCUCCCAGUUUCAUGAAGUUUAGCUUCCUGGAAUCCCAUGGUGUUUCGUGGCUCCUAGUUACCAUGCAAUAUAGGCAGUUAUCUCUGUUGUUUUGCUAUUGUAAUUUUUAAGUUGUUAACACCUCUCCUGGCCCAAUGUUUAUUAAAUUUCUUCUUGGAGAUCAAGCUUGACAUUCGUGAGCUUAAUGUUUGUUUCUUUGUCAUAUUGAGCUUGAUUGCAGAUAUCAUUCCAAUUCCCAGGCACUCCAUGACUUCCACCCUUGAGUCUGUAGAAAAUAAAGUUUCCCCCAUGGAAGAUCUUGUAGGUUUCUGGCUUUGAGAAUACUAUCCAUCAGGGGUGCAACAUUUGAUACUCUGUCUACUUGUGAAGGAGUCGAAGCUUUUCUCUAAAAAUUCAGCUUUUAGAUUUUUCUCCAUGUUUUAUGUAAAAACUAAAACGAUUAUACUUUUGAACAGGUGAAAAGUACGGUUCUCGUGCAGCCAAAAUCUGAUAACUUUUCCCUUUUAUUUCAGUUAUUAUUCUCCACUUUAAUGUAACAAAAUAUAGAACUUCCUCCUCCAAGAAGUUUCUUUUUGCCCUGUUUUUCAUUUUAUUGCUGAUUUUGAUUUGUUUCUUCUGGUUGCUGUAGUACAGAUUUUUCUGUGUUCUUUCAUAGGAAGAUUUUCAACUUGAUAGUCUGGCAAGAGGUACAAGUAAUCCUUCAGAAUGACAGGAAUAAUGUAAGAAUCAUGCAUCGCCAGUUGCUGCUCGUGUGUUUUGCGAGCUUUCCAAGUUCUAACCCUUGAACUGAAUAAGGGAGAACCUGUCCGCCUUGCUCGACUGUGUAAUUGACCUUUGCCUCAACUUCAUAUAUCACAUUUUAGCCAUCUUUUCAAGGGUGGUGAUGGGAAGGCUCCAUUUUCCGCUUUUUUGGUUCAGAUUAAAAUAUGAUUUUAAUUUAAGUCAAUGUCAAAUAAUCAAUAUUAAUCACAUCUUUUAUGGAACCCCACAACUUUUCAACCACACAUUUCAAAAAUUUCUAUCACAAUCUACUAAAAAAUUUAAUUUUAAUCUCCACCAAACAUCCUCAGCAUUUAUGUCUACAUGAAAUUCCAUUUAGAUUGAUUAUGUCAAGAUAGUACAAAGGAUCUCUUUUAAGAUUAUGCCCCGAUCGAGUCUCGAUCUCUGAAAAAUCAUUUUUUUUUUCUGAACUCAAUUUCAACCACAUAUUCUCCUAGUAAAAUAAUUCAAAAUAUUUUCCUACUUUUUCAUCCGACAAAAAAUAAAUAAAAAAAAAUCAUUUUUCCAAAAUGCUCAAACUAACAUCCCCAAAUCUAAAUAUCUAAAUUGAGAAGUAUUAUUAUUUAAUUUUCUCUUAAAAUCAUAAAUGCGAAAAAUGAUUAGAUUUUUCUUUAACAUAAUAAAUAUCAAUGACUUCAUUUAUGAAGAUAAUUUGUACCCCGUUUUGUACUUAUUUAAGGCCACGUUUGUUUCACAUUUUUUGGCCACAAAAAUGAAAAAAUGACCAUUAUUCAUCACAUCAAGUCACCAUAUUUGACUUUUUCUAUCUUGUGUGGGUCAUGUAAUAACUAUAUUUUUCAUUCUCAUUCAUAUAAGAAUGAGAAUCAAAUGAGGGCUAAAUUAGAUUUUAGUCUAAAUCAAAGUUGAACAAUCAAUUUUAACAAUAUAUUUUAUGGGUCCCACCAACUUUUCAAUCACACAUUUCAAAAUUUUUUUAUCAAAAUCUACUCUCUUUUUUUUUUAACUCCUAUCAAAGAAGGACUUAAUAAAAAUAUAAGAUAAUUAAAUUAAACACAAACUUUAUUUUCAAAACGAAUUCAAUAUCUAAAUGUGAUAGUAUUAAGUCUGUUGCACCACAAGUAUUCAUCUCGGCCUUCAUAAUUUGAAAAAUGAGAAGAGAUAAUAUGGAAUGAACUAACGCCUGGUAAACAAAUUUCAUGCAUAUGAUGCAUGCUUUUGAUAUGUAUAUGCUUAAUUUUAAAAUAAAUAACUUUUUUCAAUAUGCAUCCCAUUUUCUUUCAUUUAAUUUUUUUUAAAUAUUAAUAAUGUGAGCUUAUUUUUGUGUAUCGCGUAACCCAUCAAAAUGCAACGGACAAUUAUUAUUUGGAACUCAAUUCAUUCUACAGAUAGUAUCGCAAAGUGGUUAACAUUAACAUUAAACAUUUAACAUUGGUUAGAUGCAUACACUUCUUAAAAAAUACAUUCAGGAUACAUAUUUUUUUAAUAAUAUUUAUCAACUCAUUGACAUUUGAAAAAAUUUUAUUUCUUAAAACUUUAUGUAUAUUUACAGAUGUAUUGGCGUGUAUGAAUAUGUCAUGAGAAGCGCCAAUGACAUAAAACAUAAUAAUCAAAUAUCAUAUUCACGUAAUAACAAAUUUAGGUAACACAUUUGUACAUUUAACAAUGUAAUGUAUGCAUGAAAACAAAGGAAGGUUUACUAAAAAUUGAUUGAAAUUUAAAUUUGAACGGCAAGUAAAGACGCUCCUAGCCGUUUACGAAGUUAACGUAUCAAAAAUACUAGUCCAUUAUCAUUUAUUUAUAAACUUCAAGAAUAAAUUGGACAUCACUCCAAUCUAGACCAUUGUUCUAAUAAUUUAAAUUUAUUUAUUAUUGUUGUUAUUAAAUUCCUAAUUAUAAAUAAAACGGCAAAGAAUUAUAAGAACUAAAGGGGAACCUAUUAUUGAAACAAAGCAGUUUUGUUCCAUAUGGGUCUUGUUUGGCUAAAUUUCUAAUGAUGAAAUAAUGUCUUUAUCUACUUAAAUUAAUGCUCUUGUAAUACUAGAAUGGAGAGAAGAAGAAAAGUGAAGACCAUGAGUUGUGAAGGACUUCAUUCAAUUUAGACUAUGCCGAGAGAGAGAGAGAGAGAGAGAGAGAGAGAGAGAGAGAGAGAGAGAGAGAGAGAGAGAGAGAGAGAGAGAGAGAGAGAGAGAGGGAGGUGAUGGCAAUAGACAAUAUAUACGUGCAAAAUCAAUUAUGUUAGCAACAUUCAAUACAAAGCCAAAAUAUGAAAUAUGCAGGGUUUAGAAAAUAAAAUAAAAUCAAAUGAUCAUAUAUCAUUCUAGAAACUAAAAGGGUUAUCAAAAAUCAAAUGAAGAAACUAGGUUCUUAAUCUCAAAAGCCAAAUUAAAACUUAGCUGGUGCUUAUCUAUUUAUUUAUUAUUAUUUUUUAAACUUUAAAAAUACUGCCCAUUUCAACCCAUUUUUCACACCAAUUAUCUACAAUUAUAUUCUACAUUUUAUAGUUUAAAUUACUCGUUCUCAAUUCAAUUCCUUAUUUCAUUAUUCAAUUAUCAUUCUAUUCAAUUCAUCUAUUGUAUUUCUCAUUCCUCAUAUUUUCUCACUUCAUCUCAAUUUUAUAAUUCAUCUAUUAUAUUCUAUACUUUUAUUUAUAUUUAUACAUUUCAAUUUUAUUUUAUACAAACAGAACCCAAUAUUUAUGUUCAGUGUUUGUUUAGUGACAACUCACCAUUGACGCCACAAUUUCAAUUCCACAAUGAUUUGGACAUCAGCGAUGUACAUGGGGAAUAGCCAUCCAAUUGAUAUGUAUGAUAUUGAUGAAGAAGCGGAACUCGAAAUACUUGAAGCAAGAGGGAAUCGAAAAUUUAAACAAACUGCAAAGUAUUAGGAACACUUCAAAAAUUGGUUUCAACAGGUCAUACAAUCCACAGAGUCCAAGAAUUUAAAGCAGCUUGUAAACGUUGUAAAAUAUAAUUGACAUAGCAAAAGGGAAUCAAAACUAGUCACCUGAACUGUCACUACAAGAAAUGCUUGACCAAAUAUGUACUUAUUGGCCAAACACAAACACAACUUCAAUUUGGUACUCCUUCUCCCAAUACUAAUUCUGCUUCACUAACCACAUGAAUCUACUCGAAAGAAAAUUACUGUGAAGGAAUAAUCAAGUUCAUUGUUGGUGCUGAGUUACCUUUAAACAUGGUGGACAAUAAACAUUUCAAAAGUUCGUGCAAGAAUAUUUUCAACCAAGGAAAGUUGGGGUAGGUAAACAUACUCUUUUUUCUGAUUACAUUGAUUAGUUUGUAAGACACAUAUAAAAGUUAAUACAUGAUUUACAAAAAUAUGGUGAUGUUAUAUAUUUUACAUUGGAUUUAAGGGAAGGAAUAAAUAAAUAAAAGUUAUAUAGCUCCAAAUGCUCACUAUAUAGACCCACUUUGGAUAAUGCAUAAAAGAAUAAUAAUUUUUAAAAUAAUUGAGUCCCCUUACAAUGUUAAUAAUAUAUUUAAUGUUAUUAUGUAAUUAUAGAAGAAUAUCGUUAUGAAUAUAAAAUUCAUAGUUUUAAAUUUGAUUGUGCAGGUGUUAAUAAACCUAUAAUUGACAAACUAUAUAGGGUUCUUAAUCUAGAUUUCUUUGGUUUUUAUUUCAUAUUUGUUGUGUAUGUCAUAUAUAUGGUUUAACUGUAAAAGAUGGAAACAUAUUAACGAACAAAUUGAAAGAAUUAGAGAUGUAUUAACAUAUAUUACUAUAUCACAUAGUACAAAAUAAUCUUUUACAGAAUAUUGUGCUCAAUUUUCUAUGGAACGCAAAAAUUUUAUAACUGACGUACAUCACGUGGAACUCAACUUACCUAUUACUCAAAUCUUUUGAAGGCUGUGAAACAUUAAUUAUUGAAUUUUAUAACUUCAGACCUACAAAUGAGUCAAACUCAAUUUUAAUAUAUUCUGAUUGGGAAAUAACUUUUANNNNNNNNNNNNNNNNNNNNNNNNNNNNNNNNNNNNNNNNNNNNNNNNNNNNNNNNNNNNNNNNNNNNNNNNNNNNNNNNNNNNNNNNNNNNNNNNNNNNNNNNNNNNNNNNNNNNNNNNNNNNNNNNNNNNNNNNNNNNNNNNNNNNNNNNNNNNNNNNNNNNNNNNNNNNNNNNNNNNNNNNNNNNNNNNNNNNNNNNNNNNNNNNNNNNNNNNNNNNNNNNNNNNNNNNNNNNNNNNNNNNNNNNNNNNNNNNNNNNNNNNNNNNNNNNNNNNNNNNNNNNNNNNNNNNNNNNNNNNNNNNNNNNNNNNNNNNNNNNNNNNNNNNNNNNNNNNNNNNNNNNNNNNNNNNNNNNNNNNNNNNNNNNNNNNNNNNNNNNNNNNNNNNNNNNNNNNNNNNNNNNNNNNNNNNNNNNNNNNNNNNNNNNNNNNNNNNNNNNNNNNNNNNNNNNNNNNNNNNNNNNNNNNNNNNNNNNNNNNNNNNNNNNNNNNNNNNNNNNNNNNNNNNNNNNNNNNNNNNNNNNNNNNNNNNNNNNNNNNNNNNNNNNNNNNNNNNNNNNNNNNNNNNNNNNNNNNNNNNNNNNNNNNNNNNNNNNNNNNNNNNNNNNNNNNNNNNNNNNNNNNNNNNNNNNNNNNNNNNNNNNNNNNNNNNNNNNNNNNNNNNNNNNNNNNNNNNNNNNNNNNNNNNNNNNNNNNNNNNNNNNNNNNNNNNNNNNNNNNNNNNNNNNNNNNNNNNNNNNNNNNNNNNNNNNNNNNNNNNNNNNNNNNNNNNNNNNNNNNNNNNNNNNNNNNNNNNNNNNNNNNNNNNNNNNNNNNNNNNNNNNNNNNNNNNNNNNNNNNNNNNNNNNNNNNNNNNNNNNNNNNNNNNNNNNNNNNNNNNNNNNNNNNNNNNNNNNNNNNNNNNNNNNNNNNNNNNNNNNNNNNNNNNNNNNNNNNNNNNNNNNNNNNNNNNNNNNNNNNNNNNNNNNNNNNNNNNNNNNNNNNNNNNNNNNNNNNNNNNNNNNNNNNNNNNNNNNNNNNNNNNNNNNNNNNNNNNNNNNNNNNNNNNNNNNNNNNNNNNNNNNNNNNNNNNNNNNNNNNNNNNNNNNNNNNNNNNNNNNNNNNNNNNNNNNNNNNNNNNNNNNNNNNNNNNNNNNNNNNNNNNNNNNNNNNNNNNNNNNNNNNNNNNNNNNNNNNNNNNNNNNNNNNNNNNNNNNNNNNNNNNNNNNNNNNNNNNNNNNNNNNNNNNNNNNNNNNNNNNNNNNNNNNNNNNNNNNNNNNNNNNNNNNNNNNNNNNNNNNNNNNNNNNNNNNNNNNNNNNNNNNNNNNNNNNNNNNNNNNNNNNNNNNNNNNNNNNNNNNNNNNNNNNNNNNNNNNNNNNNNNNNNNNNNNNNNNNNNNNNNNNNNNNNNNNNNNNNNNNNNNNNNNNNNNNNNNNNNNNNNNNNNNNNNNNNNNNNNNNNNNNNNNNNNNNNNNNNNNNNNNNNNNNNNNNNNNNNNNNNNNNNNNNNNNNNNNNNNNNNNNNNNNNNNNNNNNNNNNNNNNNNNNNNNNNNNNNNNNNNNNNNNNNNNNNNNNNNNNNNNNNNNNNNNNNNNNNNNNNNNNNNNNNNNNNNNNNNNNNNNNNNNNNNNNNNNNNNNNNNNNNNNNNNNNNNNNNNNNNNNNNNNNNNNNNNNNNNNNNNNNNNNNNNNNNNNNNNNNNNNNNNNNNNNNNNNNNNNNNNNNNNNNNNNNNNNNNNNNNNNNNNNNNNNNNNNNNNNNNNNNNNNNNNNNNNNNNNNNNNNNNNNNNNNNNNNNNNNNNNNNNNNNNNNNNNNNNNNNNNNNNNNNNNNNNNNNNNNNNNNNNNNNNNNNNNNNNNNNNNNNNNNNNNNNNNNNNNNNNNNNNNNNNNNNNNNNNNNNNNNNNNNNNNNNNNNNNNNNNNNNNNNNNNNNNNNNNNNNNNNNNNNNNNNNNNNNNNNNNNNNNNNNNNNNNNNNNNNNNNNNNNNNNNNNNNNNNNNNNNNNNNNNNNNNNNNNNNNNNNNNNNNNNNNNNNNNNNNNNNNNNNNNNNNNNNNNNNNNNNNNNNNNNNNNNNNNNNNNNNNNNNNNNNNNNNNNNNNNNNNNNNNNNNNNNNNNNNNNNNNNNNNNNNNNNNNNNNNNNNNNNNNNNNNNNNNNNNNNNNNNNNNNNNNNNNNNNNNNNNNNNNNNNNCGCGGGGUUUGAGAAAGUUGUGAUUUGAGCAAGUGAAUUUUUCGAUUUAUUAGGAACAAUUCAAACCCUAUAAGUAAAUUAUACAUGAAAUAGAAUGCCCAAAAGUUUCUUUAUCUUGAUCUCUUGAAGUCUAGCACUAAUUUCAACUCUUACUAGGGCUUCCAAAUAGAAUUUCAACUAGAAUUUGUCAAAUAGACUUCAAAUAGUAUUUCAAAAGCAUUUCAAAUAGAAUUCUUCUUAAUGUGUACUUUAAUUAGAACUCUAAAUUGUCUUCAACAAAGAAUUCGAGUCACACCCAAAUUCUAAUAAUCUCUACAUUAACAGGAAUUCCAUUACAAUGAAUAAAUUUGAAUUCUUCAAUGAAAAACACAAACGAAUUUCUUCAUCAACAAUUUUAACUAAAAAUAUUUUCCACCUCUGCUACCCUAGCUAGGGCAAAAGUGAUCUAAUGACCACCAAACAGGGCUGACACAAACCAUGUAUAGAAUUACAAUUAAAUGCAUCAAAAGAAAGAUCUUAGCUAGAAUCAACACCCUUAACUACAUUCAAAAUAUCAACAAAAUCAGAAGAAUUGUACCUAUAUGGAGUCUUAUGGCUAAAAAAUGGGUCUAUUUCUAACAAGUGAAUACGAUGACACCGUCAAUAAUGGUGGCAAAACAGAUUUACCCAUAUCUUCAAAAUUCAAUUGAGAUAUAUUCUUAAACGAAGAUCCCAAAUUGGAUUCCAAUGGUAUAGAAGCCAAUUCUAAAUCCACCAGAAUUCUUAAAAUAUGCUAAUUAUUCUAAGAUUCUGUAUAACACUGAAAGACGUAUAACAAAACAUAGGCUCAUUUAUGAACCUUCAGGACUCCACCUUCAACAGUGUAUUUGUAUCCUUUUGAAUCAAGAACACUUAAGGAGAUAAGAUUUCGUUCCAUAUUUGGAACGCGUCUCAUUGCAUCAAGUACACUAAUUGUCCCAUCAAACAUCUUUAUUUUGACCUUACUAAUCCCGCUAUUCGACAAGGUAUAUAAUUGUUGAUCAUCACAACACCUUUUGUAACUUUUUCAUGUGGUGAAAACAAUUCCUGAUUGGGUAAUAUAUGAAAAGUGUAAGCCGUAUUCAAAAUCCAAACCUCGUUAGGUUUGGAGUUAUAAUCAAACAUAAGUAAAAGUUCUCCAUCACUGUGAAAAAUUUCAACAAUGGCUUCACUUGAAGUAUAUAAUUGACUUUCCUUCUAAAAAGUUGCAGCCAGAUUUCUCUAUUACGCAACUUAUAAAAAUCCUUAAUUAAGUGCCCCGAAUUAUUGAAAUAAAUUUUGAAGUUAGACCUUAAUUUACCCUUUGCACAACUACCAUCAAGAAUAAGGUCGUCUCCAUGAACCUCAACAAUAUGCUUCAUCUUCUCAUUUGAAAUAGAACAUUAUAGACUUCUUCAAUUGGGAGAUCAAAAAUAUAUAAGAUCGUAUCUUUAAACAACGAAUAUGAAGUGGCAAAAAACAAAACAAAAUCAAUCUCAUAUAAGUGAGCACUGCUCAUUUCCUAAUCUGCCACAACAAAAAUCUUUUACUACGAUCCAAUAGUGGAACAUCAAACUUCAUAAUUGUCAUCACGAAAAACCUCAAUCUUCCCAAGAAUUUCAAAACCAAAAGCUCUAAUACCACUUAUUAUGAAUUCGGACCAGAUUUGAAACCACUUUAUUGAAAGCAGAACAAUUUCGAUAUCAAUUUGUUAUGAAAAGAUAAGAGAUUAAGACAAUUAUGUGAAGUAAAGAUCACAAGAAGAAAACAAUUUACAGAAGAUGAAGAUUUUAUUAUAAUACGGAGAAUGAAUACAAUGAUUUUGUGUUUAUAAUUUACCUAACUUAUAAUGAGGUUAAACUACGUACCUAAAUUGUAGAGAAGAGUCAAAUAUAUAUAGGGAACAAUCCAAGUCCUAGAAGUAGAAUUAUAGAUGAAAUGGAAUGGAAUGCCCAAAAGUUUUCUUAUCUUGAUCUCUUUUAAGUCCAACAUAUAUUCCAACUCUCAAUUGGAUUUUUAAAUAGAACUUCAAUUAAAAUUUAUCAAAUAAACUUCGAAUAAAAUUUCAAAAGCAUUCUAAAUGGAAUUCUUCUUAAUGUGCAUUUUAGUUAGAACUCUCAAUUAUCUUCAACCAAAAAUUCAUGUCAUACCCAAAUUCUAACACUAGUCAUGGGCAGUGAUACCAAAAUAAGGAAAUAUGGAGAUUCAGGAUUUGGAUGGAAGCGGCUCAAAGCAUAGUUUUUGAUCCUUUUAUUAAAAGAUCAUUUUUACCAUCUGCAAUUGUCCUUGUACAGUUGUCAACUUACUAUUGGAGCAAGAGAUAACAAUAGUGAAAAUAAAAGCCCUCUUUGGCUAAAAUUAUAUUUUGGUAGAUUUUUUGAUAAAUGAGUGAUUGAAAAAUAAAAAAAAAAAAAAAAAAAAAGUUAUGUGUUCCACAAAAUGUAUGCUUGAAAAGAAGUUUGAGAAUUUUAAAAAAAAAAAAAAAAAAAAAAAAAAAGUUAUGUGUUCCACAAAAUGUAUGCUUGAAAAGAAGUUUGAGAAUUUUAAAAAAAAAAAUAAAUAAAUAAAUAAAAUAAUUGAAUUUUAAAAAUUGGGAACAAAGCGAAGCAAUGUUGCACAGUAAAUUAUAACUACAAAGAAGCUGUUGAAUUUAUACAAUUCUUAACUUCGAUUUUUUUUUUUUUUUAGUUGUUUUCAUCUAGAAAUUAUAUAUUAAUUGAAAAGUGGGAAAAACAAUAAAUGAUGGUAGCAAAAAAGUGUAAUUAGCACAAAACGUCGUUAUUAUUUGUACUUAUUUUGUAAAUCGUCUCUAUAGAUUUAAACUUGACAUUUGCAAUAUUUCUCUUGCGGUGUUGGUACUUUCCGUUCCAUUUCGUCAAUUCCUUUCUCAUAUAUGGAUAAUUGAUGUAAGAUAACCUUAUCGUUUCUCUUCAUUACGCAAAUCAUCCCUAUCAUUUCAAAUCUGUCAUUAGGACCGUUAGAUCGACAUUUCUUUGCACAAAAGAUUCUUAUUGUCUAUUUUCUUCAUUAAAAUAUUGGAGACUAUCUAACUUACCCUCAUUUUUAAAUAAAUAAAUAAAAAGAAAAAAAAUAUAAAAAAGAAAUAAAUGCAGCUAGAGUUUCAAAAUUUUUAAAAAGUACAAACGAAUUUCAUGUAAAAUAAUUUAAAGCACACUAACAAAGUACUAUUCAUCUUCCCAAUUAACUUCACCUACCUCGACCCCUAACCCCUCCUUCACCACCACCAAAGUAAUUAACAAGAAGUUAAAAAAAAAAAAAAUUAUAUACACACACACACACACACACAAAGAAAAGUUAAAAAAAGGAUUAAAAUAGAAAAACAAAAUAAUAUAUAAAAAUAAAAUGAUUUUUCUUCCCCAUCAAAUUCCGCGACCUGCCACCGACCACCACCACCACCACCACCACCAUCCAUUCUUCACAUCCCAUUGCGGUACCAUCAAGAGUUCACCUAUUAUCCUAUAAUCAAGUUAUGUGAUCUAAUUUAUUAUUAUUAUUAUUAUUAUUAUUAUUAUUAUUAUUAUUAUUAUUAUUAUUAUUAUUAUUAUUAUUAUUAUAUUUUUUUUUUCCAGCGAACNNNNNNNNNNNNNNNNNNNNNNNNNNNNNNNNNNNNNNNNNNNNNNNNNNNNNNNNNNNNNNNNNNNNNNNNNUAUUUUUUUUUUCCAAUGAACUUAUCAAAGUUUUUUUUUUCUUUUUUUUUUUUUGCAAUUUUCAGCAAACAUUUGUUUCAAUUUCCUUGUACAUGGUUACAUACACAUGUAUACGUAAGUACCCAAUGCGGUAUCUUUUAAAUUUUGCUCUGAUUUUAUUCAAAUUUCUUUUGCCUCACAAAAUGAUAUUUGAAGGUGGAAUUUCUUCUUCCAUCAGAGGUUUCAUUCAAGAUCUUAAUCCAAAUGUCGAUCCUUUUCUUUUUUUCUAAUUUAAACCCAGCUAAAAGGGGCGUGUUUGGUAAUCAUUUUUACGUAAAAAUACAUUUUAAAAUAAUAACUUGAUGGGAAGUGUGUGGUUGAAAGAUAAGAAAAUUUUUUUUGAUUUAUAUGUAAUAUUAUUUUAAUAAAGAAUGUGUGAUUGAAAAGAAAAUAGAGAAAAAUGUAUUUUGAGAAAAAUGUAUUUUGAGAAAAAUGAGUAUCAAAAAGGGAAAUAUAUAUAUAAGUUUUUUUUUUUUUUUUUUUUUUUUGGGGGAAGAUGAAUUUUUUAUUUAUAUGUUUUAAAUUAUUUAAGUGGGACUCGUUUGUAUUAUUUGAAAAUUUUAGGACUUUGAUGUUUUAAAUUAUUCUAAAUGGGGCUUGUUUGCACUAUUUGAAAAUUUUAGGAUUUUGACUACAAUUAUUUCUUUCUUUCUUUUUUUCCUAUUUAUUUAUGUGUAGAGAAGGGUAAAGUAGUUAUAUAACAAUGCUUUAAUAAAAAAAAUAGACGAUAGAGACUGUUUGCACAAAGAAAGGACGAUCUGAGGGUCCAAAUACUAAAAUUGAAAUGAUAGAGAUGAUUUGUGCAAUAUAGACAAAUGAUAGGGACUUUUUGCACAAAAUACCUAUAUUUGACAAGAAUUGACAGAAUGAGUUUAAAAUAAAUAAAUAAAUAAAUACUGCUAGAAAAGGAUAAAAUGAGUGUUUAAAUGUCAAGUUUGAUACGAUAAGGACGAUUUGUACAAUGAGUACAAAUGAUGAGAACAUUUUGUGCUAACUAAGGGGGAAAAAUCUUGCUCUUAAAGACAUUAAUUAAAACAAUCGCUUAGACCAUAUUUAACUCAAUUUCUUAAAACUCAUUUUCAAUUACAUAUUUUAUAAGAUACACAAUUUUUACCAACUUUUCAAUUAUACAUUUCACUAACUUUUAUCAAAAUUUAUUAAAAAAAUUAAUUUUUAUUCAAACUAAACGGAGGUAAUAAAAUUACAUUAAAGAUCACAAGGUGAACCAAGAUUUGGAUAUUUUAAGUUCGAGUUUUGUUUUAGCGUGGAAUUCAGGUCACCAAGUCAAGCCCUCGUCAAAUACCAGCAGCGGCCUCGUUCAAGAAGAGUUAGAUUCAACCACCAAGUCAAGCCGUCUCUAGAGGAAUGAAAUUAAUCAGCUUACUCUGCUGCUCACCAAGUUCUCUUUUCUCUGUUUCUGUUAAUGUCACUAGUUCAAGAUUUAUAAAAUGAAUAAAAGUAAUAUGUACACUUUCUUGACGUCUUCAGAUCUUUUUAUAUUCUGUCUUAUCCUCUUAUCAAGAAAAUCUUCUGCUGCUGAUUAUUGGCAUGAAGAAUGCCAGCCAAAGAAUUGUGGUAAUGGCUUAAACAUAACUUUCCCGUUCUAUAUUCAAGGUGUUCAAGAAUCUUACUGUGGUUACCCCGGAUUCGAGCUCAACUGCACUAAAGGACACGGCUACCCAACAAUUAGAUUACCGGGAAAUGACUAUAUAGUCGAAAACAUUUCCUAUUCUAGUCGUUCUUUUCGUGUUUAUAAUUCUGCUGUUUUGAACACUUCGAACCGUACAUGCCUUCCACAAAUCAGAAACACAACUCUUCCUACCGCGUUCAAUUAUGCUAAUGUAACAUUGCUGUAUUUGUUGUCCAAUUGUACUAAACCCCUACCUGACGAUCUUUCGAGGUACCAGGUUUCUUGUGGGAGUGAGAAUAGAGAUGAUUGGGAUCUAGCAAUACGGGAUAAGGAUGAGAAUUCGCAGAAUGGAUUGGAAAACUGCAAAAAACACGUGGUGGCACCUGUGGAUGCGCAUGGAGAUGAUCAUGAGAAUGGAAUGGGAAACUAUAUGAAGAUAAUUAGAAGGGGGUUUGUGCUGAAUUGGACGGCCAGUGACUGCAGUAAAUGUCAAGAAAGCGGUGGCGUCUGUGGCUUUAACACCAGUGUUUACCAGUUCAAGUGUUUCUGCCCCGACAGGCCCCAUAGCGUGAGUUGCAUGCCUGGUAAGUUAUGUUCACAUCUUCUUUCUGGAAAAGUGCUGAUUAAUCAAUUAAACUGUACGUGAUUAUCAAGAUAAAUUUUAUUCCAUAAAAUUAGCACACAAAACAUAUUUUAUGAUGUUAGCAACCUAUAUCUUGUCUAUUGUGCCAAUGAAGUCCCUUCCGGACUCUGGUAUAUUAAUGAACAUGCAGAAUUAGGCAGCGAUCUCUUCUUUUGUUUCUGUGAGCAAUUUUUAACACGUCUUCAUGAAUAAAUCCUAGUCAACUGUCAUGUUUAACCUUUAUGAUGCGUGUAAAUAACUAAUUUGUUAGGCUUUGACCUUGAUCCACUCCAAAGACAUGGGGAAGAUACCCAACGAAUCUCCCCUCCACCACAUGUCGUGGAAGGAGCCAUCAUCCCAGCAAUGGAAGGAAAAACAUUAAGGUUCUUCCCCAUUAGCACUACAAUAACAAGUUCCUCUUUGUGUUCAGCUUCUGCAACUUUUUAGAAAUCCCUUUAGAAAUCUUUGACUCCCCGUUAACCAAUAAUCCAUAUUCAUCGAAAGAAUAACACUUGGAAGGUUGUCCGUCUGUCAAAGACCCUUUUGGAGGAAUAGUUGUUACUUUCAAUCUUUCAAGCAUACAAUCUUUCAAACUAUGUGCAUGUGUUUCUUCACUUGGUUCAACACAAUAUCAUGUACGCAUCGCCCAAUAUAACAAUUCACUUGCCAGUGAAAUAACUCUCAUUCAACAUUUGUCUUAUUAUCGGGGUUUUCCGUGGCAAAUGGUACUUACUCGUUCUUCACAUAAAGAUCUCCAAUUUUUCCUAUCCAAAUAAUAUAAUCUGAACUGCUGAUGCUAAUUCCACCUACAAUUGAACAAAUCAAAAUGUGAGUUAUGGAAUUAACACAAAAAAGGGGAAAAAAAUAAAAACUAAAUUUGAAGAAUGAAAACAAUGAAUUUCCCCUUUUUUUAAUUCAGCUCAGAAAAUCAAUCGAACAUCACAAAGACAACACCAAUUGAAGACUUUUGCAAUCAUAGGGAGAAGCACACAAAGGCAGAAGCUAGGUUUUAGAAAUGUACAAAGCAGAGGCCAAUUUUGGUGUGUAGAAAGUGAGGCCAAGAGACUUCAAUUUAUAGGCAAAGGAAAACCAGAUUUCCCAGAAAGAGUCGAGUAGAUGGACUUCAAGAACACUGAAAUUGGUUACCAAACUCACGUGAUUUCAAAUUAUCUCCAAAGUUAGGUAUUGAACAUCUAGUUCAAUGGGCCGAUUUCCUCUAAAUACCCAACACAAUUGGAUUAUAUCAAUUGUGAUGUGGAUUUAUGAUAUUCUUCAAUCCUAGGCUUAUAGCCUAUGAAGACAAACGGGCCUAGAUUUUUCAUCAUUGCCUAAGGGUUAUUUGCGCAUCACUUACUAAAAUACCCAACAACAAUUCAAAGAAACUAUUCUACUUGUUUAAACCUCCAUCAUUCAUAAUAAGAGCAAUGAAAACCAAAGAUUUGAUACUUCUUGCUGGGGGAAAUUAAGUCAAUAUCUAAGAUGAUAUCUGGCAAAAAGGCAACAGAAAAAACAAUUUGCCCCUUUUGUACAAACUUAAAUAAUUAAAUGGCGCAAUAACCCAAUAAAUCACGCAUUAAAGAACCACAUAAUACAUAUUUGGUUAUUUCUCUUUGGAGUGUCUACUCUACUCCUUAAAUAAUUCAAAUUAUAUUCAAUAUUUAAACUGAAUUAGAGCCAAACCUAUUAUAUAUGAAUUCCUACAUGUUGAAUAUUCAAAAACUAGUCUAUAUAGAUAAAAGGUUAAUAUGCCCCUUCAUAUGAACCUUCAGGUGAUUUAUCCUCCGUCAAUCUAUGCCAAUAUUUUGAACAAGUUCAUUCCCAUCACAAAAGAAGCAAAACCAGAUUUUGCAAUAUAACUACAUUGCUUUAUUCAAUAUAAAACCAAGUCAAACACAAUCUAAUCACAAAUUUUCUGAUGAUACAAAAUACAAUGAAGAUAAUCUAUUCUUGUAUUAUAAAUUUGUUGACUCCACUUAAUGACAUUCUUCAUUUUCCUGUUCACUACACAAGUUUCUUAGAACAAAAUAUCUCUCGUAUAGAAUAUAAUAAAGAUAUGGCAACCACAGCUCCAGCUCCCAAGAACUUGGCUGUUGGUAGACGAAGUUUUUUUGAGGAUACAACGUUACAUAGAUAUGCCCAAGCCCAUCGGGACAGGAAAUGUAGCUUGCAAGUCGCCUGAAACUUUUGUAGGGAAAAUUCCUAUACAUGGCAAAGCAGAGGGGAGUUCGAGGUCAAGUGGACAGAGAUAAAGGAGAAUAGUUAAACUGAAACUUAACACAAGCAAUAAAAUAUAAAACCAUAGUUAGUAGUAAGCUGUGNCCUAUAUCUUGUCUAUUGUGCCAAUGAAGUCCCUUCCGGACUCUGGUAUUUUAAUGAACAUGCAGAAUUAGCUAGCGAUCUCUUCUUUUGUUUCUGUGAGCAAUUUUUAACACGUCUUCAUGAAUAAAUCCUAGUCAACUGUCAUGUUUAACCAUUAUGAUGCGUGUAAAUAACUAAUUUGUUAGGCUUUGACCCUUGAUCCACUCCAAAGACAUGGAGAGGAUACCCAACGAAUCUCCCCCUCCACCACAUGUCGUGGAAGGAGCCAUCAUCCCAGCAAUGGAACGAUAAACAUUAAGGUUCUUCCCCAUUAGCACUACAAUAACCAGUUCCUCUUUGUGUUCAGCUUCUGCAACUUUUUAGAAAUCCCUUUAGAAAUCUGACUCCCCGUUAACCAAUAAUCCAUAUUCAUCGAAAGAAUAACACUUGAAAGGUUGUUCGUCUGUCAAAGACCCUUUUGGAGGAAUAGUUGUUACUUUCAAUCUUUCAAGCAUACAAUCUUUCAAACUAUGUGCAUGUGUUUCUUCACUUGGUUCAAUCAACACAAUAUCCUGUACACAUCGCCCAAUAUAUCAAUUCACUUGCCGGUGAAAUAACUCUCAUUCAACAUUUGUCUUACUAUCGGGGUUUUCCGUGGCAAAUGGUACUUACUGGUUCUUCACAUAAAUAUCUCCGAUUUUUCCUAUCCAAAUGAGGUAAUCUGAACUGUUGAUGCUAAUUCCACCUACAAUUGAACAAAUCAAAAUGUGAGUUAUGGAAUUAACAUAAAAAGGGGGGACAAAUCAAAACUAAAUUUGAAGAAUGAAGAACAAUGAAUUUCCCCUUUUUAACUCGGCUCAGAAAAUCAAUCCAACACCUCAAAGGCAACACCAAUUGGAGACUUGCAAUCACAGGGAGAAGCACACAAAGGCAGAAACUAGGUUUCAGAAAUGUACAAAGCAAAGGCCGGUUUUGGUGUGUAGAAAGUGAGGCCAAGAGACUUCAAUUUAUAGGCAAAGGAAAACAAGAUUUCCCAGAAAGGGUUGGCUAGAUAGACUUCAAGAACACUGAAAUUGGUUACCCAGGAUAAGGGAAUUAUAACCAUUGCAACCAUCUCACGUAUUUUCAAAUUAUCUCUAAAGUUGGGUAUUGAGCACUUAGUCCAAUGGGCUGAUUUCCUCUAAAUAUCCAACACAAUUGGAUUACAUCAAUUGUGGUGUGGACUUAUAAUAUUCUUCAAUUCUAGGCUUAUAGCCUAAGAAGACAAAUGGACCUCGAUUUUUCAUCAUUGCCUAGGGGUUAUUUGCGCAUCACUACUAAAAUACCCAACAACAAUUCAAAGAAACUAUUCUACUUGUUUAAACCUCCAUCAUUCAUAAUAAGAGCUAUGAAAACCAAAGAUUUGUUACUUCUUGCUGGGGGAAAUUAAGUCAAUAUCUAAGAUGAUAUCUAGCAAAAAGGCAAUAGAAAAAACAAUUUGCCCCUUCUGUACAAACUUAAAUAAUUAAAUGGCGCAAUAACCCAAUAAAUCACGCGCUAAAGAACUACACAAUACACAUUUGGUUAUUUCUCUAUUUGGAGUGUCUACUCUACUUCUUAAAUAAUUCAAAUUAUAUUCAAUAUUUAAAUUGAAUUAGAGCCAAACCUAUUAUAUAUGAAUUCCUACAUGUUGAAUAUUCAAAAAUGCCCUUCAAAAACUUGCAAUAGCUGUUGUGUGUCGUUUCUGAAUUAGAAUCCUUUGCUUGAGUUAAGUGGUUUUAGCUGCAGCGGAAAUCAAGUCAGCUGAGUUGUCCUUCCAGUUCUUUUUUGCUCGAGCAAGCCAUUGGUUCGUUAGAGUGAACUUAGCAUGUUUUUUCUGCUGUUUUGCUUUUCUAUUCCGGUGUUGCUAGUCUGGCUUACUUCGUCUCAGAGCGCGAGUUUUUCUUCUUUUUAAUCUCUUUUAACAAUAAUGCCAUGAAAUGUCAGGACUUGUCUUAAAAGCCAAAAACAAUGCAAGAUCAAUACAAAUCCAACCUGAGCCACUAACAUUUGUAUAAUAGCCCAGAUAAGAGUGAUAUUUACACUCAUCGACUUCUGUCUGUUUUGUCACCGAAAAGGAGGCCCAUGUACAACAGAAGGAAUGAAUUUCCAUGGGAAAAAGGUAUAAUCAGUAAUUUCUAAUGGUAAUAUACACAGUUAGUCACGCCUUUUCAGUCUCGUAGCACCAUAAUCUAUAGUAGUUAUGCCAGGGUACANNNNNNNNNNNNNNNNNNNNNNNNNNNNNNNNNNNNNNNNNNNNNNNNNNNNNNNNNNNNNNNNNNNNNNNNNNNNNNNNNNNNNNNNNNNNNNNNNNNNNNNNNNNNNNNNNNNNNNNNNNNNNNNNNNNNNNNNNNNNNNNNNNNNNNNNNNNNNNNNNNNNNNNNNNNNNNNNNNNNNNNNNNNNNNNNNNNNNNNNNNNNNNNNNNNNNNNNNNNNNNNNNNNNNNNNNNNNNNNNNNNNNNNNNNNNNNNNNNNNNNNNNNNNNNNNNNNNNNNNNNNNNNNNNNNNNNNNNNNNNNNNNNNNNNNNNNNNNNNNNNNNNNNNNNNNNNNNNNNNNNNNNNNNNNNNNNNNNNNNNNNNNNNNNNNNNNNNNNNNNNNNNNNNNNNNNNNNNNNNNNNNNNNNNNNNNNNNNNNNNNNNNNNNNNNNNNNNNNNNNNNNNNNNNNNNNNNNNNNNNNNNNNNNNNNNNNNNNNNNNNNNNNNNNNNNNNNNNNNNNNNNNNNNNNNNNNNNNNNNNNNNNNNNNNNNNNNNNNNNNNNNNNNNNNNNNNNNNNNNNNNNNNNNNNNNNNNNNNNNNNNNNNNNNNNNNNNNNNNNNNNNNNNNNNNNNNNNNNNNNNNNNNNNNNNNNNNNNNNNNNNNNNNNNNNNNNNNNNNNNNNNNNNNNNNNNNNNNNNNNNNNNNNNNNNNNNNNNNNNNNNNNNNNNNNNNNNNNNNNNNNNNNNNNNNNNNNNNNNNNNNNNNNNNNNNNNNNNNNNNNNNNNNNNNNNNNNNNNNNNNNNNNNNNNNNNNNNNNNNNNNNNNNNNNNNNNNNNNNNNNNNNNNNNNNNNNNNNNNNNNNNNNNNNNNNNNNNNNNNNNNNNNNNNNNNNNNNNNNNNNNNNNNNNNNNNNNNNNNNNNNNNNNNNNNNNNNNNNNNNNNNNNNNNNNNNNNNNNNNNNNNNNNNNNNNNNNNNNNNNNNNNNNNNNNNNNNNNNNNNNNNNNNNNNNNNNNNNNNNNNNNNNNNNNNNNNNNNNNNNNNNNNNNNNNNNNNNNNNNNNNNNNNNNNNNNNNNNNNNNNNNNNNNNNNNNNNNNNNNNNNNNNNNNNNNNNNNNNNNNNNNNNNNNNNNNNNNNNNNNNNNNNNNNNNNNNNNNNNNNNNNNNNNNNNNNNNNNNNNNNNNNNNNNNNNNNNNNNNNNNNNNNNNNNNNNNNNNNNNNNNNNNNNNNNNNNNNNNNNNNNNNNNNNNNNNNNNNNNNNNNNNNNNNNNNNNNNNNNNNNNNNNNNNNNNNNNNNNNNNNNNNNNNNNNNNNNNNNNNNNNNNNNNNNNNNNNNNNNNNNNNNNNNNNNNNNNNNNNNNNNNNNNNNNNNNNNNNNNNNNNNNNNNNNNNNNNNNNNNNNNNNNNNNNNNNNNNNNNNNNNNNNNNNNNNNNNNNNNNNNNNNNNNNNNNNNNNNNNNNNNNNNNNNNNNNNNNNNNNNNNNNNNNNNNNNNNNNNNNNNNNNNNNNNNNNNNNNNNNNNNNNNNNNNNNNNNNNNNNNNNNNNNNNNNNNNNNNNNNNNNNNNNNNNNNNNNNNNNNNNNNNNNNNNNNNNNNNNNNNNNNNNNNNNNNNNNNNNNNNNNNNNNNNNNNNNNNNNNNNNNNNNNNNNNNNNNNNNNNNNNNNNNNNNNNNNNNNNNNNNNNNNNNNNNNNNNNNNNNNNNNNNNNNNNNNNNNNNNNNNNNNNNNNNNNNNNNNNNNNNNNNNNNNNNNNNNNNNNNNNNNNNNNNNNNNNNNNNNNNNNNNNNNNNNNNNNNNNNNNNNNNNNNNNNNNNNNNNNNNNNNNNNNNNNNNNNNNNNNNNNNNNNNNNNNNNNNNNNNNNNNNNNNNNNNNNNNNNNNNNNNNNNNNNNNNNNNNNNNNNNNNNNNNNNNNNNNNNNNNNNNNNNNNNNNNNNNNNNNNNNNNNNNNNNNNNNNNNNNNNNNNNNNNNNNNNNNNNNNNNNNNNNNNNNNNNNNNNNNNNNNNNNNNNNNNNNNNNNNNNNNNNNNNNNNNNNNNNNNNNNNNNNNNNNNNNNNNNNNNNNNNNNNNNNNNNNNNNNNNNNNNNNNNNNNNNNNNNNNNNNNNNNNNNNNNNNNNNNNNNNNNNNNNNNNNNNNNNNNNNNNNNNNNNNNNNNNNNNNNNNNNNNNNNNNNNNNNNNNNNNNNNNNNNNNNNNNNNNNNNNNNNNNNNNNNNNNNNNNNNNNNNNNNNNNNNNNNNNNNNNNNNNNNNNNNNNNNNNNNNNNNNNNNNNNNNNNNNNNNNNNNNNNNNNNNNNNNNNNNNNNNNNNNNNNNNNNNNNNNNNNNNNNNNNNNNNNNNNNNNNNNNNNNNNNNNNNNNNNNNNNNNNNNNNNNNNNNNNNNNNNNNNNNNNNNNNNNNNNNNNNNNNNNNNNNNNNNNNNNNNNNNNNNNNNNNNNNNNNNNNNNNNNNNNNNNNNNNNNNNNNNNNNNNNNNNNNNNNNNNNNNNNNNNNNNNNNNNNNNNNNNNNNNNNNNNNNNNNNNNNNNNNNNNNNNNNNNNNNNNNNNNNNNNNNNNNNNNNNNNNNNNNNNNNNNNNNNNNNNNNNNNNNNNNNNNNNNNNNNNNNNNNNNNNNNNNNNNNNNNNNNNNNNNNNNNNNNNNNNNNNNNNNNNNNNNNNNNNNNNNNNNNNNNNNNNNNNNNNNNNNNNNNNNNNNNNNNNNNNNNNNNNNNNNNNNNNNNNNNNNNNNNNNNNNNNNNNNNNNNNNNNNNNNNNNNNNNNNNNNNNNNNNNNNNNNNNNNNNNNNNNNNNNNNNNNNNNNNNNNNNNNNNNNNNNNNNNNNNNNNNNNNNNNNNNNNNNNNNNNNNNNNNNNNNNNNNNNNNNNNNNNNNNNNNNNNNNNNNNNNNNNNNNNNNNNNNNNNNNNNNNNNNNNNNNNNNNNNNNNNNNNNNNNNNNNNNNNNNNNNNNNNNNNNNNNNNNNNNNNNNNNNNNNNNNNNNNNNNNNNNNNNNNNNNNNNNNNNNNNNNNNNNNNNNNNNNNNNNNNNNNNNNNNNNNNNNNNNNNNNNNNNNNNNNNNNNNNNNNNNNNNNNNNNNNNNNNNNNNNNNNNNNNNNNNNNNNNNNNNNNNNNNNNNNNNNNNNNNNNNNNNNNNNNNNNNNNNNNNNNNNNNNNNNNNNNNNNNNNNNNNNNNNNNNNNNNNNNNNNNNNNNNNNNNNNNNNNNNNNNNNNNNNNNNNNNNNNNNNNNNNNNNNNNNNNNNNNNNNNNNNNNNNNNNNNNNNNNNNNNNNNNNNNNNNNNNNNNNNNNNNNNNNNNNNNNNNNNNNNNNNNNNNNNNNNNNNNNNNNNNNNNNNNNNNNNNNNNNNNNNNNNNNNNNNNNNNNNNNNNNNNNNNNNNNNNNNNNNNNNNNNNNNNNNNNNNNNNNNNNNNNNNNNNNNNNNNNNNNNNNNNNNNNNNNNNNNNNNNNNNNNNNNNNNNNNNNNNNNNNNNNNNNNAUCCACAAAGCAUGUGUUUCGGCCACAUGUUGACUCUACCAUGCAUGGGAAUCAGCACAUGUGGGGAAAGAUCCAUAAAUUUGCAAGUUGUGCGGAAAUAAUCCUGUAGAAGAAGUCAAAAUUUUAAAAUAAGAUCUCCAGUAAAGGAGAAUAAUAAUAAAAACGACCUUGCUCCUCUUAGGACAUUAAAAAAUAAAAUAGACAUGAAAGUCCAUGGCCCUACAGCUACUUGUGAGUGGGGGUUAUAUGAAAUUAAAAUGUGUAUUAUGUCCCCAAUCAUGUCUUGUUCUCCAUUGCAUUGAAAAUGUAAAAACCAGGUUCUUUGAAGAUGAAGAGAAAUUUGCGUUUCUAAUUUGCAUAACAGUAAAUGGAAGAAAAAAUAUUGCAAUAUACUUACACUCAUAUUUCCACCAGAUGUAAUAUCCAAGAGGGCACUUCCUUGGCUGAAAUAAAUCCAUAUAGUCAUCAGCUCAGCACUUAACCAAGAAAAGUGAGGUAUUUAAACUGAAAGAAACAUCUCCAGAAAGAGAUGCACAAACUACUUAGUCCAACAUGAUUAAAUUACAAAAGAAAUUUUAGCAAUCACUGAUAACUUUCUCCGGAAAAGAGUAAAAUACGAUAACUUUUUUUUGGGACUUAAAACUUUUCAUGGUUUUUGGCCCUUCUAACUUGGUCGAACGUGAUUGAAAUCUCUAAAGAAAUUCUACAGAGGACAAUAAUAUAUGGUCAUUACAGCACACAUGGUCAAAGUUCUUGAAACAUCAAUCACGUACAGAUAGGAAAGCCAAAUUAAUUAGAGUACCCUUCCCUUCAUACAAUGUGGAUAAUUAAAUCUGAUUAAAAUCUUCUUCUAUGGUAUCUUACCCCACACAAUGAUCACCCACUAUCAGUGAGUGAGUACUGACGUGAAGCAAUGACAUGUGACCAUCCGUAUGCCCCUGACAAGAUUUCCCAAAAGCACAAAUUGUUACAUAUUUCAACAGAAAGGGAAAAAAAAAACAGAACAUAUCAUAUAUCUCAAAUUUGCAGAUUUCAAAACAAGCACGAGAAAAGGAUUAAGUAGCUUGAACAAACAGCCAAAGCAAUAUGCAGGACAAGGACUUGAAAUGAUGUAGGGAGGCUCAUGCCCUAAGACCAAAGAUAUAAGCCAAGAUUGGCUGGUGCAAUAAAUACAUCCAGGAAGGAAUUAGAGCUCUGACAUAACUCUAGGAUUAUGUAGGGGUUCAACAUAAAGUUAGAGGAUGAUAUAACUUUGACUAAUGCAAAAAAGGAGUGAAAUACUAAAAACUGGUGGAACACAAAGCUAUUUCUUAUAGUCUAACGGACAAAAGCUCGAAUGAGUUCAAGAGUGGGAACACAAUGCUGCUGGCUGAAGCUCAAUUUAUUUAAACUGGUUGAGCUUCUAGUAGAUAUCAAAAGGCAGAAAUAUCUAGGAAGAGAAAUAAUUGAAAACUGAAAACUGAUUAGAGGAAAAAGGUUUGUCCAUAAAAAUUACAGGAGCUGAAAUGAUUCUCAACCGUUGACCACCGAUGCAAAUUUCUUCAGAUCCCAAAACUGGAACGUAGUCAAGAGACCAAUCAUCUGCAUUAAGAAAAAUAACUUCAGAAGUUUCAUUUAUCGGGUGACAAAAAUCUUGUACCGCCCCUCCCCCCACCCCCACACCAUCACACACACAGACAUUUCAUAUUGAAAGAUACCUUCCCUUUCAGGUCUCCAAAUGAUGGCCACUUACCAGAAAGGCAAAUGACGCUAGUAGUUUUUCCCAAUUUUCCCCUACUAUCAUCAAUAUUGGAUUCGCGAAAUUAUCUCUUCUGUUUAAAAUACCAGAAUCAAAAGAAAAAACAAUCUCUUCUGCUUUUACAUUUAUUGACAGACAGUAUUUUGAUGAUCCAGCCACUAUUAUUUGAAACCUUUUUAUUUUACUCAAUACAUAAUCUUACAUCAUUGGUUUGAGACAUUUUAAUCAGAAACUAUCUUCAAAACUCCAAAAGUUUUCAGCUGUUACACUAGAGCACUGCAAUGUACCAUAACCUUGCCUUCAAUUGAAAUUUAUUCAGCUUGGCAAUUUAAAUCAAUUGCUUUGAUGUCAGAAUUAAAAAAAAAGAUAAAUUUUGCAACUUCCAUAAGAGGAUCUAGCAAUUUCAUUUGUGAACCUAUCAAUAGGCACAUGGCAUAAAUUAGAUGGUUGGCAUCUUCACCUUUUUGAAUCCGGCGCAUGGUACUUUCAUGAGCCAAGAGAACAGCAUCAGGUUUGCACUUCUGAACUAUUGAGAGACCUGAGAGCAAUCAGUGCAAUUAAAUGACUGUACACAUAAAAGAUAUCUGAUCUCUGCUUUUCGGUAUACAAACAAAUGACGUGGUGACUAGAAAACUUAUCCCAGUUGUAAAAAGAUUUUGAAAAUAGACAAAGUACUUAUCUAAGAACAUUAAGCCCCUGUUUGGGCUCCAUUAAAAUGUUAAUGCGUUUAUCUCUUUCUUCUUUUCACUAGUUCAUCAGAGAAGAGAAUAACAGUAACUAGAACGACUACCAAAAAUGGAAAGAGAACUAAUUAACAGGUGCAAUAAUUAUGAUUGCAUCCUAUGUAAUUCUUUUAUAUCCAUUUUACAAUUAUUUAGGAAUGAGAACACCUCCAUCAUAAUUUUCUAAACAUUAAAAAAAUAAAUAAAUAAAUAAAUAAUGAAAAGUCCGUUAAAACAAAGUGAAAAUUCUAGAUGCAGAUUAUAUUUUCAAAUGCUUACCGUCAACAUGAUCAUGAUGAUGAUGGGUUACAAAAACGAUCAACUUUCGUGGAAGUGCAGCAAUGAUUUGUUCGAGCUGACAGUGCAAGAGAAAGCAGAACAAAUGGCAUGAUUAAUAGUAAUUGGGCAAACAUUCAUAGCAUCAAAUCAAAGAUUGAUUUAGUUACAAAGUUUUUAUGAAAUAGCAAUACUCGUUACUAACUAAAAGCAAUAUCUAUGGCCAUUCCGCAAAGUUCUCUUCCGAUGUCAGUUUAAGGUGAAUAGCAGAAUGCGAAUACAGUAACUAAUUCGGCCAAGGUAAUAUUUCCUUUGGUAACUCACUUGAAACACAAGCGAAUGCUAAAUUGAGAAAUAUAUUACUAUCAUUAUUGUGCAUUUUAUUUUAUAAAUUGAACCACUCUAAAACCAAAGAACAACAGCUGACUUAAAAACGAUGACUACGUAACUGAACUGAUCCUUGAAUUUCUCAAGCAGGCACCGAGUUCACAGUUCAAAAAUAAUCAUUUACACAAUUCCGUGGUGUGACAUUCACCAAAUCCAAAUUUCAUAGCAGGUCCUACACGGAACCGUUUGUCAAAAUUGUUUUAAAGAGUUUCAAUUAGGAAGGAUCACGCAUAAAGUGUCCAUUUUUUAAGGACUAUAAGUCUGUACAAUUCAAUUUUUAAAGUGAUACAUCAUUCACCUCUUUCCAUUUUUUUUUCUUUUUCUUACUGUACCUCUUUAUGCAUAAUAGACUUGCAUCCUGGAUCAACAAUCAAUGCCUCUCCACAAGUAACAAAACUAUCACCAUCGCAGCCAUCAUAACUAGUCCCAGGAAAAAAUACAACUAAGUUUGUAGUGUGGAAAGGCUUUGCUGUUCUGCUUCCCAUGGGAAUAAGUUUAACACCUGGAGGAUACUCCUGCAUAAUAAACAAACUGUGAUUUUAUUUAAGCAAUAUAAACAAAACAUCAACAUCAACAAAGUGAAACUGCAUGUACAUAUUUAAGUCUGACUAAAAAUUCAGUCAAUAAAGAAAAUUGAAUCGCUCCAGACACUUUAGAGUGUAUAGCUGAAUGUCAGAAAAUAUCAAGAGACAAGAUUUGGACUUAUCUCGAGCAAGAUUUUUACAAAUAUCUGAACAUUUCUAAGUUAAUGACAUGUAAUUUAGGAUAAGCAUAAUUGAGUGAAGCAUGAUGUACAUAACAUAGAACUCUGUAGAGUCCAUAUCCCACAUGGACACUAAGCCAGUGCAAAUGCUUCUACUAUUCUAGUUGUUCAUGUAACCCAUUAAAACCUUAAGCGACAGUUGAAAGUAAGGGCUUUGGUUCAGGCCUGCAUUAGUUUCUAAGAAAUAAAGUUCCAACACUAGGACUGGAAACAAUGAAAUUCUCCGGCUGCAACCAGUUUUCCAAUGCCUAUGCCACCAUCAAUAAUUGUGUCACAUAUAAGAUGAGUAUUGACUAUUUAUUCCAGACCAGGACCACUGCAUCAAAAAAGAUAAUUAAUAAGAAGAGAACGGGAAAAAAUUUUGAGGACCUGAUGUCAAAAUAUUCCAAUCUUGACAUUUUCCACACUGUUGAGAUUGGGGUGAUAACUGAAACUUGCUUUCCAUUAUUUCUUAUUUGUAAAGUCCAACUUCCCACAGCAAACAACAUGACAGGGUAUUUUAAUCCAAUAGUAGGAUGGUGGUUGAACUAUGAAAACAAAUAUUAUAGGACUUGAAUUAGUGAAAAAUCAGUUUUCUUAAAGAUCGGGUUGGUUGUCAAUCCAACAUUAUCAUUACCCACGCUCAGAAAGGUCCAUACAGGAAAUUGUGUUGGGGGGGGGUGUUAUUAUGAUACGGAGAUUGAUUUAGCUCACAAAACCCAAUCAAUACCGCAAAAAACAAAC
rnacentral:lncRNA from 1 species